rnacentral:lncRNA from 1 species
CAGUGAGAUACACAUACUUUCCUUAGACUUUGGAGUAGACAUUUGUAUUCCACUUGUCGGUCUUCGAUUAUAUCUUCCAAUUGCGAGCAACUCUUUAUCUUCAAAGUAUGCAAUUGCCCAAGGUUAUUAGCUACUGACAUUGGGAAGAUAUAUUUCAAAUUAUUGCAUCCCUCUAUUUCAACAAUCUUCAGACUUUGGAGGCUUAAAUGACGACUGGGCCCUUCUUGUUCUAUGCUCCUCAAUUCAGCAAUUGGGAAUAACACUUGCAUCUCACCACAAUCUGAAACUACAACCUCUUCAAGCUUUUGUAAAAAACCUUGCGGCUGGAGAGCAUUGCACAUCUCUUCCAAAUGAAACAUACGACUUAAUGAUAACUUUCUCAAAUUAGAGAGUGCAGUGAUUGGCACUUGCUGCUUUGGUGCAUCAAUUAGGCAUUGCAUAGAGUGGCACUGUCGAAGAUCUAGAGAAGUCAACUUUCUAAAUCCCAAGUCCAAGCUCGGAAUAAGGUUUGGGUGACCCUCCACAUCACCCAAUUCAAGAGAUUCUACAUCUUCAAGUAGUUGCUUGCAUGCAUCUACAGACUUAUUGAUUCUCAAAGAUCUUGAGAUUGGACAAGUUUCAAGGUCCCUCUUUCGGUACCACAGUUCUCUUUUCAUGCCAAUGCAAAAAUCAAAGCUCCAUAAUCUAUGAAACACAAAGCCAUCUGGAAGAUGUUCAGAAGAAAUAUCCAAUGAUAUUAUAACCAACUUUGGCAAUAAAUUCAACUCUGAUAGGCUGGAAUAGCUUUCCCUUUUAGUUGAAUUCUCAGUCGCCCAUUUUAAUGAACUACAACCAUGCAAAUAUAGUUCUUCUAAAUUGGACAAUCUUCGCAUUAAAUUAGGAGUGAUUCUUCGUAGUUCAUAGCAAUACGAUAAAUCCAACAGUCUUAGAUUUUCCAAAUCACCAGCUUCAGUCGGCAAUUCAGUGAUAUCAGAUCGACUUAAAGAGAGAAUAUGAAGUGUCUUCAGCUUCCCAAGCAUUGAGAUGUCAGAGAGUUUACAAUCAAUCAAACACAAAGUUCGAAGGUUCAUAUUAAACUUAAAUGCAGCUAGAGAUAUCAAUUGAUCUUUCAAAGCACAAACUUGUAAUGCCUUCAUACCCUCAAAGAAUUCGCUUGAAGUUUCCAUGAAACGAUUGCCACAAUGUAAAAGAAGUUUGAGGUAUGGAAAACCCACUCCUUUAGGAAGUUCAUCCGUUUGAUCAGUUUCGAAGGAGAUUGCUGUGUAAUGCUUGAAACUUUCAUCCAUCUGGAGUGUUUCAACAGUCCCAAAAGAAAUCUCCUUUCUUGAAGAUGCUAUCCACAAAGCAAAUUGGCGAACCACGUCAUGCAUUUUGACAUGCCUUUCUCCGCAAUCUAGCAACAAACCGGAGUUCUUGAGGGUCUCAAUUGAUGCAAGCACUUCACUUCUAACAUCUUUAAUUGAGUCCAUGCCUUUAUACAACUCUAGUCCCCAUGCAUAUCCUGCCAAGUUCUCCACAUAAAUCUCAUCAUCUUCAGGAAAUAAGGAGCACAACAAGAAACAUGUCUUGGUCUCCAUAUUCUUCAAGUAGUCGAAGCUCGCCUCAAGACAUACAUAGGCAUUUUAUUCAUUAACAUCCUCAAUUUCAGUCAAUCUACGAUCUUUGAGUCUCCGGUAUGCAGCUUGCCACUCAUGAUGGGUUUUACCUUUCAAGGCACUUCCCAGCGGAACUAUAGCUAUAGGCAAACCCCCGCAUUUUUUGACAAUUUGAUUUGCUAGGAUUGUAAUAGAAUCAUCAGAAAAGUCAUCUAGACCUGCUUUCUUUUCAAACAGAGUCUAAGCUUCAUCAUCAUUCAAACAGACAAGUUGUACCACGUUUUGACAAUCCAUAGCUUGACACACUGGUUGACGGCGUGUUGUUAAAAGAACUUUGCAGCCUUUAUGAUCAUCCCCAAUUGGAAUUCCUAUCUUCUCCUUUAAGUUGAUAGGUUCCCAAAUAUCAUCAAGGAUGAUAAGAAUCCUCUGUUCUUUCUUCAGCCUCAACCAUAAUUCUUUCUCGGAUCUUCUUCCUUGUUGUUGGAACAAUGGCAGCAGCAAACAUCAAACAAAGUUACAACACAGUGUUUGUAAGACUGAAACAAGAAGAAUCGAAGCAAAGAAAAAGUAAAGCAAUGAACAAAAAAUGAAUACUCAGCAAAGUUGUAACUGAACAUUACAAAAUUCAUUCAAAAUUUGAAAUAAAAGGAGUUACAAUUUGUUCAUUUGACAGUUACCUACUAAUCUAACUGCCUCCACUAAUUUACAACCAAUGUAAGCUUAAGUCAAAUACAAAAUGAGCUGACAUAUCAGCUUUUACAUCAGCUAUCUAAUCACUAACUUAAUCUUACUAACUAUUAAAGCUAGUUGCAAUUAAACUGAACUAAAUUACAACAAAACAAAACAGCAAUGUCAGUUGCUUCAUUUGGUCUGAAAACCAUUCGUGCGCACCAAGCAAAAUGAGCUGAGCUCGAUAGCUGCUGGUCUCGACAGUAGCAUGCUUCUGGCUCCUUGUUGCAUUGCAGUCCAGCUUUCAACACUCCUCCUUGGACUGUAUGCAACACAUUCCAAUUGCACUUCUCAAAGAUUCAAAUCGAGCAGCCCCCAAGGAUUUGGUCAUUAUGUCAGCCAAUUGUGCCCCUGAGCUGCAAUGCACAAGGCUGACUUCCUUUGCUUGUUCAGCCUCUCUAACAAAAUGAAAUUUGAUUUUAAAAUGCUUAGUCUUACCAUGGAACACAGGGUUCUUGGCUAUUGCAACUGCAGACUGAUUAUCCACCCAAAUUUCAGUUGCUUCAUCUUGAGUUUCAUUAAGGUCAUGAAGCAGCUUCCUUAGCCAAAUGGCAUGAUUAACUGCUCCUACUGCAGCAAUGUAUUCUGCUUCAGCUGUGGACUGAGCAACAGUUUGCUGCUUUUUUGAACUCCAGCAAAACAUCCCCGAUCCAAGUGUGAAGAAGUAUCCUGAGGUACUCUUCAUGUCAUCAAGGGAUCCUGCCCAGUCACUGUCAGAGUAGCCUUCUAGUUUUAGUUGGUUCCCACUUUCAAACAUUACACCAAAACUAGCAGUGCCCUUGAUGUAUCUAAGGACCCUCUUUGCUGCCUUCAAAUGUGCCUCAUUGCAACAAUGCAUAAAUCUCGACAAUAGGCUGACACCAAACAUGAUGUCUGGCCUGGUUGCUGUUAGAUACAACAGACAACCAACUAGGCUUCGAUAGUGCCUCUCAUCAACCCUCUGCUGAUCACCACUGCUAGUCAGCUUUUCUCCUUGGGCCACAGGUGUGCUGACUGCUUUACAGUUAUGCAUGCAGAAUUUGUCUAGGAUCUUCAAAGCAAAUGAGUGUUGGCUGAUGAAGAUACCUCGAUCAGACUGGUGAACUUCUAUGCCAAGGAAGUAAGUCAUGAUCCCCAAAUCUAUCAUUUCAAACACUUGCUGUAUUUGGACCUUGAACUCAUCAAUGAGCCCAACUUUGCUCCCUGUCAUAAGCAAAUCAUCCACAUACAAGGAGACAAUUAGCAAGGUUUCAUGUUCUGACCUUUUAACAUACAGAGUAGGCUCACUAAGGCUCUUCACAAAUCCAAGUUUGGUCAGGUAAGCAUCAACUCUGUCAUACCAGGCCCUUGGUGCCUGUUUCAGGCCAUAGAGGGCCUUUCUCAACUUAUACACUUUGUCUUCAUGUCCAACAACUUCAAAACCUUCAGGUUGCUCGAUGAAGAUCUCCUCCUUGAGAAAACCAUUCAGGAAUGCUGAUUUGACAUCCAAUUGGUGAACUCUCCACUGCUUCUGAGCUGCUAAAGCAAACAGCAGCUUAAUUGUAUCCAGUCUUGCCACUGGAGCAAAAGUUUCUAGGUAGUCCAUACCAUACUGCUGACUGUAGCCCUUCACCACAAGCCUGGCCUUGUGCUUGUUCAGUGAGCCAUCAGCAUUGUACUUGGCCCGGUACACCCAUUUUACUCCUAUGACCUUCUUGUGUUCUGGUCUGCUCACCAACACCCAAGUCUGAUUUUUAUUGAUCAUUUCCAACUCAGCUUCCAUAGCUUUCAUCCAGCUUCUGUCCUUGGCAGCCUCUUCAAAGUCUGAGGGCUCAAUCACAGCAACAUUGCACCUCUGAUAGACAUCAGCCAAAGUUCUGGUGCCCCUCACUGGUGUAUCAUCAACAGCAUCAUUACUUGGUCCUUCUUCUGCAGGUUCAGCAACCAAGUCUAACUGGUCCAAUUCAGACAAGUCAGUCUCAACACCAUUCCAAUUCCACACCUUUUCCUCAUCAAACUUUACAUCCCUGCUGACUAAAACCUUCUUUGCUAAGGAUCAUACACUCUAUAGCCCUUCUUGUUGCUGCUGUAGCCAACAAAGAUUCCUGGUGUUGCUCUGCUCUCAAGCUUGGUCCUUUUCUCUACUGGAAUAAGUGCAUAACAUACACAGCCAAACACUUUUAAGUGUGUUACCACAGGUUUGACUCCAUGCCAAGCCUCAAAAGGAGUCUUAUCCUUGACUGCUCUAGUUGGCAGCCUGUUGAGCAGAUACACUGAGGUGUUGACUGCCUCAGCCCAAAACUGACUUGGAAGCUUGCCUUAAAACAAGAGGCACCUGGCCAUGUUCAGUACAGUCCUAUUCUUUCUCUCACAGACUUCAUUCUGUUGAGGAGUAUAGACUGUUGUGAGCUGAUGGUGAAUCCCAGCACUGUCACAAAGCUUCUGAAAUCUCUCAGACACAUAUUCAGAGCCAUUAUCAGUCCUCAAGGCUCUAAUUUUACAGCCUGACUGAUUUUCAGCAUAAGCCUUGAAUUUGCAGAAGGCUUCAAACACUUCUGACUUUUGCUUCAAGAAGUAGACCCAGCACAACCUUGUUAAAUCAUCUAUAAACAGGGCAAAGUACCUGUUCUCACUGAUUGAAGGUGUUCUCAUAGGGCCACAAACAUCAGAGUAUACCAAUUCGAGCUUGUUUUGAGCUCUCCAAGCACUGUCAGCAGGAAAAGGCAGUCUAGCCUAUUUACCAAGCUGACAAACCUCACAAACAUUCCCACUAACUUCAAUUUUUGAAAUGUCAUCAACCAAAUUCAGCCUAUGUAACAGAUCGAUGGAUCUAAAAUUUGCAUGGCCUAGUCUCCUAUGCCACAAGUCAGUGCUUUCAACAAGGCUGGUGUAUGCCUUUCUUUCUAUUUGGCUAACAUCCAGCAUGAAGCACCUAUCAGUCAUAGAGACUGUGACUAACUCCAGACCAUUCAUGUCUUGAACAAUACAGCAACCAUCCUUAAAAACCAAUGUAUAGCCCUUUUCAACUAAUUGGCCUACACUAAGCAAAUUCUGGUCUAAGUCAGGUACAAAAAACACAUCUGAGAUCAGCUUGUUACCUGAACCAGUGCUAAUCAACACACUGCCCUUGCCUUUAGCCUCAAUCUGCCUGUCAUCUCCAAUUCUAAUCCUCGAGUGGAAGCUUCUGUCUAGGCCCUUGAACAGCUUCUCAUCUGCUGCCAUAUGGUGUGAGCAGCCACUGUCUAGUAGCCAAUCAUUGCUGGCCUUGGUUGUGCAAACAAAACAAGUUGCUGUGAACACUUGCUCCUCCUGAGCUUGAAUGUCCUCAGCAGGUCUAGCUUGUUGCAGAGCAGCCUCCCUUGGUUUGCCCUUGCAUACCUUCUCCACAUGGCCAAACUGCUUGCAUUUUUUACACUGAAUAUCUGGCCUAAACCAGCAAUACUUUUCUGAAUGUGUUGUCUUCUUGCAAUGAACACAUGGUGGGAACACCCUUUUUGCUUCAUCUCUUCCUGACUUGACCCUUCUAUUGUGCCAAGGCUUCUUGCCUUUUGCACUCACACUCGAGCCUUCACUGGCUUUAGCCUGGAAAGCAGCUUCAGGAUUCUCCUCCUGCCUAUUUGCCCUCCUUUGCUCAAGUGCAUACAGGGAGUUUAUCAGCUCAGACAAUGAAAUGGCUGAUAAGUCCCUCGAGUCCUCAAGUGAAGAGAUUUUUGACUCAAAUUUCUCAAGGAGAGUUGUAAUGACCUUUUCAACAACUCUGCUCUCUGUGAAGUCCACUCCCAGGAGCCUAAUGCUGUUGACAAUGGCCAUUAUCCUGUCUGAGUACUGCUUGAUGGUCUCAGACUCCUUCAUCCUCAAAUUUUCAAAGUCUCUCCUGAGGUUGAUCACCUGCUGUUGCCUUGUCUUGUCAGUCCCCAUGAACUCCUCCUUCAGCUUGUCCCAAGCCUGCUUAGGUGUGUCACAUGCCAUGGUGCGUGUGAAUAUCACAUCAGACACUCCAUUCUGCAGACAGGCCAUAGCCUUGUGCUUCUUGGCUUGCUCAUCAGCAUGCUGCCUCAUUUGUGCAAUGGUGGGGUUGGCUCUCAAUGGAGGUUGUUCAGCAUCAUUCUCGAUCACACUCCAGAGAUCAUGUGCCUGGAGGUAAGUCUUCAUUUUGACUAUCCAAAUGUGAUAUUUUUCUCCAGUGAACACAGAUAGAGGAGGUGGAGUGAAACUCAUCCUGCUAGACUGAAUCCAAAUGCUUCGAUCUUACCAAAUUUUGAACUUGUUGUUGGUUUUGAUUCGAACACAACAGAUUGCAUACAAAGGCCCCUCAAAGACUCGGGCUCAUGAUACCAUUUGUUGGAACAAUGGUAGCAGCAAACAUCAAACAAAGUUACAACACAGUGUUUGUAAGACUGAAGCAAGAAGAAUCGAAGCAAAGAAAAAGCAAAGCAAUGAACAAAAAAUGAAUACUCAGCAAAGUUGUAACUGAACAUUACAAAAUUCAUUCAAAAUUUGAAAUAAAAGGAGUUACAAUUUGUUCAUUUGACAGUUACCUACUAAUCUAACUGCCUCCACUAAUUUACAACCAAUGUAAGCUUAAGUCAAAUACAAAAUGAGCUGACAUAUCAGCUUUUACAUCAGCUAUCUAAUCACUAACUUAAUCUUACUAACUAUUAAAGCUAGUUGCAAUUAAACUGAACUAAAUUACAACAAAACAAAACAUCAAUGUCAGUUGCUUCAUUUGGUCUGAAAACCAUUCGUGUGCACCAAGCAAAAUGAGCUGAGCUUGAUAGCUGUUGGUCUCGACAGUAGCAUGCUUCUGGCUCCAUGUUGCAUUGCAGUCCAACUUUCAACACUUGUUCAUUCUUCAUAUCAAAGCCUAUGUAUUGUGCAAUUUGAUCUUGAAUUCUCUCAAAAUUAGGCUUUUGAGACACAGUCGUAAUCAUAACUUUAUCAAACGAAUUCAAUUUUUUAUCAACUAAAUUCAGCUUUUAAGCUUGACUUCCAACUUCACGAGCCAGGGUGGUCUUGCCCACCCCUCCCAUCCCCCACAACCCAAUCAUGUUGAUAUUCUCAUCUUUUAAGGCUUCAAUGAUUUGAUUGAAAGCAGGCUUCGAAGAUUCCGAAACCACAAAUUCCUUAGAACAUAGGAAGUCUAUAGUGGGAAGGGCAGUAGGAGCAGGGUAACCGACUGGUCCAAGUUGACCAAAUUUGUCCAAAAGCUCAGAGAUAUCCUGGAUUUUCUUCAUUGCUUUCUUGCUUAAUUGAUAUCUCCAACUCCAAUUAGGACACCAAUUGAGACACAUCUUAUUCAGUUGGAUUUCCUCCUCCAGAGUUCUCAUAUCUGACAGUGUUUCGUCUGCCCUUGAUUGCAAGUUCUGUACAUCAUUUUCAAUUAGUAGAAGCCGAUUUUUAGCAUCCUCAAUCUUAUGUAGUAGACGAUCUAGUGCAUCUGCAAGUUCACACUUUUUCUCUCGGAGCUUUUCAACAUUGUCAUGAAAGCGACGGACAUAAUCAAGUUGACGUCCUACCGGCUUCACCACGGAGUCCACAACCAGUGUUCCAACUGUGUUAGAAAGAGCAGCCGCACAAAAUCCGCAACCCAUGCUUGACAAGCUCAAAUUGAAGAAUAUGAUGUUCCAAGUUCAAACACUGUAGUGAAUCAUAAGUAAUUACCAUUAAAAAAAAUUAAAGAAUCAAAAAGUGCUUUGAAGAUUAAGACACUACUUCUUAUACAUACCAAGGAUGGUGAAAGACAACUCAACCUAUGAGAAUCAAUGGGCUGUUCUUUCAACUCAGUCCAGCUGAAAACACAACGAGAAAUUUAAUAAACAAAUAAAAUCAUAUACGAGUGUAAUGUCAUAUAAUUAUAACUAAAAAAGAGAGUUAAUUACUUAUAAAAAUAAUAAUUGAAAAUAUUUUAACCCUCACACUAAUAAUAUUAUAGAUAUAAUGCUGGAAAAUAUAAUAAACAUAUCCACUUACCAUUUCAAAAUCCAAACAGUCUUUUAGCGCUUACUUGCUUCAAGAAAAACAUUAAAAGAUGAGAUCAGAUCAAUUUAUAUAUAAAAAAAAACAGAAAUGAAGCAUAUAUAAAUAGAUUUAAUUUAUACGAAGAUUCUUACUUCAAAACAACAAAAGGAACUUGAAGAUGAGAUCAAAAAUAUAUAUAUAACAAAUUUAAUUUCUAUAUAACACAAAUAUAAAUAGAUUUUCCUCACUUGGGAACUUCAAAAUCAAACUACACUUAGGUGGGUUUAGAUGGGCGGUGCGUUUACCUGCGGUUAGUGUAAAAAUAACAAUGGCGGUGAAAUUAGAUACUGUUGAGAAGAUCCUUACUACUUCAAAUCAAUCAAAAGGGAUUUGAAAGUUGGUUUUUUUUUUUUGAGCAAAAGUAAGUAAAACUGAAUACAAAAAGAAAGGAACUUGAAGGAAGGGAAAUAAAAAGAAAAAACAACAAAGUAGAAAUCAAGGUUGAACUAAAAAAAAAGGAGAAACUUUCAGAAAGAAAUUGAAGUUGAUCAGCCUCGAAAAGUCAACCACUCGGAAAGCAUAAACUCUAACACAACUAGGUUUUCUUGGUUUAGUAGCCAAAGGAUUUGUGUUAUGAGAUUAGUGCAGUAUUGGAUCUAAAUUAUGAGGAUUUGUUUUUCUCAAUUGUAUUUUAGUGGAUUGAAAAGGAAAGAGGAAUCUUCAGUUUCUUUUUCUUAAUUUUCAUUUGUUAUUAGAAAUGAAAAUGGUUUUUCUUUAUUCAUUUGUAUACAUUUAAGGUGUAUUUUCUAUUAUUUACUUGUUAAAUUUUAUUUAUUUUUAUUAUAUAGAAAGCUCUUUUCCUCAAAAUUAACUAUAAAUAAGAAUAGAACUUUUGAAAUUUCAAACUCAUAUGAUAGACUUUCAAAAAUUCCAACGUUAAAAUUAUGGAUUUGUAUUAAAUUAUGGAUUUCGAAAACACAAAUUCCUUAGAACAUAGGAAAUCUAUAGUGGGAAGGGCAGUAGGAGCAGGGUAACCGACUGGUCCUAGUUGGCCAAAUUUGUCCAAAAGCUCAGAGAUAUCCUGGAUUUUCUUCAUUGCUUUCUUGCUUAAUUGCUACCUCCAACUCCAAUUAGGACACCAAUUGAGACACCUCUUAUUCAGUUGGAUUUCCUCCUCCAGAGUUCCCAUAUCCGACAGUGUUUCGGCUGCCCUUGAUUGCAAGUUCUGUACAUCAUUGUCAAUUAGUAGAAGCCGAUUUUUAGCAUCCUCAAUCUUAUGUAGUAGACGAUCUCGUUCAUCUGCAAGUUCACGCUUUUUCUCUCGGAGCUUUUCAACAUUGUCAUGAAAGCGACGGACAUAAUCAAGUUGACGUCCUACGUACCGGCUUCACCACACAGUCUACAACCAGUGUUUCAACUGUAUUAGAAAGAGCAGCCUCACAAAAUCCGCAACCCAUGCUUGACAAGCUCAAAUUGAAGAAUAUGAUGUUCCAAGUUCAAACACUGCAGUGAAUCAUAAGUAAUUACCAUUAAAAAAAAUUUUAAAGAAUCAAAAAGUGUUUUGAAGGUUAAGAUACUACUUCUUAUACAUACCAAGGAAGGUGAAAGACAACUCAAACUAUGAGAAUCAGUGGGCUGUUCUUUCAACUCGGUCCAGCUGAAAACACAACACAAAACGCGAAUAUUAAGAGAAAUUUAAAAAACAAAUAAAAUCAUAUACGAGUGUAAUGUCAUAUAAUUAUAACUAAAAAAGGCAGUUAAUUACUGAUAAAAAUAAUAAUUCAAAAUACUGUUACCCUCACACUAAUAAUAUUAUAGAUAUAAUGCUGGAAAAUAUAAUAAACAUAUCCACUUACCAUUUCAAAAUCCAAACAGUCUUUUAGCUCUUACUUGCUUCAAGAAAAACAUAAAAAGAUGAGAUGAGAUCAAAAAAAUAUAGAAAAGCUUCAAUUUAUAUAUAAAAAAACAGAAAUGAAGCAUAUAUAAAUAGGUUUACCUCACUUGGGAACUUCUAAAAUCAAACUACGCUUAGUGCUCAGAAGAUUGUUACUUCAAAACAAUCAAAAGGGAGGGAUUUGAAGGUUGGUUUUUUUUUUCUUUAGCAAAAGUAAGUAAAACUGAAUACAAAAAGAAAGGAACUUGAAGAAAGGGAGGGAAAAAAGAAGAACAUAAAAAGAUCAGAUGAGAUCAAAAAUAUAUAACACAAAUAUAAAUAGAUUUUUCUCACUUGGGAACUUCAAAAUCAAACUACAUGUUGCGCGGAAGCGUGUAAAAGAGUAAAAUUAUUGUACUAAAAAAUCACACUAAGUUCAAUUCCUAGGAAAGAGAGGUGGAUCACGAGGAUCGCUUAAAUACCAGGUCUUUCCUAGCAAGAAUAUCCCUCUAUCGUAAUUUAAUAGCACAAUAAAUGACUACAAUCACACUCGCAAAAUAUGCAAAAUAAACAAUAAAGAACACUAGAAUUUUAACGAGGUUCAGCAAAUUUUGCCUACGUCCUCAGGCAUUACCAAAUAUAUUUCACUCCAAAAUACAAGUGAAAAUUUAUAAAUAAGGAGCGAGAACAAUGCCUUAAGUAGAGAAUGGCAUUUGUGGGAUGUAGAAAAUGAGAAAUAGCUAGGCCUAUUUAUAGUUGAAGCUCAAGGAUCAACUUGCAAAGUCCCUAUACAAUUAGAGACCAAAAUUGCAAUUAUCACAAGACAAAUUUCAACCCAAAAAUCUAUGCCUUAAAUGCUUAGAUUUUUCGGUGCCAAAUUUCUGACACCAUUCAUCUUUGAAAAGUCAAGAUGGUUGCUAAUAAUCUCUACCUUGAAGAUUUGAUAAGGAUAAUCUUAUCUUCACACAUUUCUUUCUGCCUUUGACAACAAUACUUGAUAGUGCCUUCUUCAUCUGUUAAACUUGCAGGAUAUUGAUCAAGUUCAAACAAUGUUCGAACUUGAUUGUUGUUACCACCUUGGUCAUCAUAUCUGUGGGAUUGUCUACAGUCUUAAUCUUCUGAAGAGAAAUUUUCCCCUCAUCAAUAAUUUCCCGCACAAAAUGGAAUCGUACAUCGAUAUGCUUUGUAUGUGCAUGAUAGACUUGAUUCUUUGCUAGAUGAAUAGCACUUUGACUAUCACAAAACACGUUAAUAUGCUCCUGAACCAAUCCCAAGGUUUUAGCCAUACCUUGUAACCAAAUAGCUUCCUUUACAGCCUCUGUUACAGCCAUGUAUUCGGCUUCUGUGGUUGACAAUGCAACUGUAGACUGCAGUGUAGACUUCUAACUUAUUGGUCCUCCAGCAAGUGUAAACACAUAACCAGUGGUUGAUCUUCGUUUGCCCAAAUCAUCGGCAUAGUCAGAAUCAACGUACUCGAUAACACCUUUACCAAGUGUAGUAUCCUACUUGAAUAGUAAUCCAACAUCCACGGUCUUCAGAAUAUACCGUAGAAUCCAUUUCACAGCUUGCCAAUGUCCUUUUCCAGGAUUAUGCAUAUACCUGCUCACUAUACUAACUGCCUGUGAAAUGUCGGGUCUUGUACACACCAUUGCAUACAUCAAGCUACCCACUGUAUUAGAAUACGGAACUUGUAACAUGUAUUCUCGUUCCGUAUUCGUCGAAGGAGAUAGUUGUGCAGAAAGCUUGAAAUGAGAAGCCAACGGGGUACUUACAGGUUUUGUCUGCUCAUUCAUGCCAAACUGCUGUAGUACUUUCUUCAAAAACUGCUUCUGAGACAAACUAACUGUAGUACUUUCUUCAAAAACUGCUUCUGAGACAAACUAACUCUUCCAUGAGCUCUAUCUCUACAUAUUUCCAUGCCAAGAAUCUUCUUAGCUUCACCUAGAUCUUUCAUCUCAAAUUCAAGAUUGAGUUGAGUCUUCAAUUUCUCAAUCUCAACUUUGCUCUCAGAUACUAUUAGCAUAUCAUCAACAUAUAAGAGCAAGUAUAUGAAAUUUCCUACUUGUAGCUUUUGAAAAUACACGCAAUGAUCAAAUUUACUUCUUGUGUACCUUUGCCCUUUCAUGAACUGAUCAAAUCGCUUGUAUCACUGCCUCGGAGAUUGUUUCAAUCCAUAAAGUGACUUCGUCAGUUUGCAAACCCAAUUUUCUUUAUCAACAACCUUGAAUCCAUCAGGCUAAGUCAUAUAGAUUUCCUCUUCCAAAUCUCCGUGUAAAAAAGUCAUCUUCACAUCAAGCUGAACUAGUUCAAGGUCAUAUUGCGCAACAAGGCUAGCAAAAUCUGAAUAGACGAAUGCUUCACAAUUGGAGAAAACACUUCAUUGUAGUCUAUUCCUUCUUUUUGAGCAUAACCCUUUGCUACCAAUCUAGCCUUGUAUCGAAUUUCAUUUUUACCAGGAAAUCCUUCCUUCUUUGCAUAUACCCAUUUGCAUUAAAUUGCCUUCUUUCCCUUGGGCAGUGUCACCAACUCCCAAGUCCUAUUUUUAUGAAGAGACUGCAUUUCUUCAUUCAUAGCUUGCUUCCACUUUACACCAUCAGGGUUACAUAUUGCUUCUGUGUAAGAAGAAAGAACAUCAUCAUCUGCAAUUGGAAGUGCAUAGGCCACUAUAUCAUCAAAGCGAGCAGGCUUACGAAUCUCUCUUCUUGGCCUCCUAUAUGCAAUUGAAUCUUGUUGCUGUAGAAGUUCUUGGGUCAAAACUUCUUCAUCAUUUGUUCCUUCAAUAUUAGCUGGAUCAUUAUUAACCUUUUAAAGCUCCACCUGCUACAAAGUGCCACUGGUUUUAUCAUCCUUUUGUGAAUCCUUGUUCUUCAUCAUGGUUGAUUCAUCAAAAGUCACAUCUCUAAUGAAAACAAUCUUCCUUGUAUCAAGACAUCAGAGAUGGUAUCCUUUUACUCCACCAGUUAUACCCAUGAAUAAUGCUUUCUUUGCUCUUGGGUCUAACUUAGAUUCUUUUACAUGAUAAUAUGCAGUGGAACCAAAAACAUGUAAAGAAUCAUAAUCAGUAGCAGGUUUACCAGUCCACAUCUCUAUAGGAGUUUUUCCAUUUAUUGCAGCUGAUGGCAACCGGUUAAUCAGAUGGCACACAUAUGUAACUGCCUCAGCCCAAAAUUCCUUGCCCAAUCCAGCAUUGGAUAUCAUACAUCGAACUUUCUCCAGUAUAGUCUGAUUCAUACGUUCUGUCACCCCAUUCUGUUGUGGUGUAUCCCGAACAGUGAAGUGUCGCACAAUGCCCUUAUCUUGACAUACUUGUAGAAAUGGAUCAUUUUUGUACUCAGUACCAUUAUCUAAUCGAAGUCGUUUGACCUUUCGACCAGUCUGAGUCCCCACCAUCUUCUUCCAUUUCAGAAAUGCAUCCAAAACUUCACUUUUUCUUUUCAUUAGAUACACUCAUACUUUUCUUGAAUAAUCAUAAACAAAAGUAACAAAAUAGUGCAUACCUCCCAAAGAAGCCACUUUUGUAGGUCCUCACACGUCACUGUGAACAUAGUCCAAAAUUCCUUCCGUAUUGUGAAUUGAUGAACCAAAUUUUACCCUCGUCUGCUUGUCCAGAACAAAAUGUUCACAGAACUCCAAUUUGUAAGAAUUUACACCUUUCAACAAGUCUUGCUUCGCCAAAGUCUGCAAAGUUUUUUCACCAGCAUGUCCCAAUCGCAUAUGCCGUAACCUGGUAGCCUCUGAAUCUGCAUCUUUCGCAGAAACUAUUGAUGUUGAUCCAAUAACUGUACUUCCAUUUAAAUAGUACAAGUUAUUUCUUCUAGUGCCUUUUAUCACUGUCAAUACCCCAGCUACUACCUUUAGUAAUCCAUCUCUCAAAGUGAUUGUGAGCCCUUUAGAUUCUAGGGCCCUUAAUGAGAUGAGAUUUUUCUUCAAGCUAGGUAUAUAACGAACAUCCGUCAAGACUUGGAUUGAGCCCUCGUGAUUCUUUAAUUUGAUUGUACCUACUCCCAUUGUUUUAUAAGCACUGUCAUUGCCCAUAAAAACAACUCCACCUUCUAGUUCUUCAAGACUAGAAAACCAGUCCUUAUUAGACACAUAUGGUAAGUACAUCCCGAAUCCAAGAUCCACUCAUCCGUAUGACAUGUCAUUACCAUGCCAACCAAGCUAAAGUCUGACUCCUCAUCAUACUCCAUUACACAUGCAUCAGAAAUAGCCUUGCCCUUUUGUAACUUAGGACAAUUCUUUUUCCAAUGCCCUUUCUCACGACAAAAAGCACAUUCAUCUUUGGCGGGUCUCCCUUUAGACUUGCCCCUUCUACCAGGUUUGUUGCUGUGUGAACGACCUCUUACUGUUAAGACUUCUACAAUUGUAUCUCUGUGAUCUCUUUUAUCUUUCUUUUGAGUCUCAGAUCUGUACAACGCACUGCAGACUGCAUCAAAUGUGAUCGUAUCCUUUCCAUGAAGCAAUGUAGUGGUAAGAUGAUCAUAUUCAUCAGGAAGAGAAUUCAAAAACAAUAAUGCCUUGUCUUCAUCUUCAAAUUUCUCAUCCAAAUUUAGUAAGUCUGCUAAAAUUUUAUUGUAUGAGUUCACAUGGUCAUUCAUCGACAUACCGGGUGCAUAAGUGAAUCGAAAAAGUUUCUUUUUCAUAUAAAGCCUAUUUUCAAGACUUUUUGUUAGAAACUUUUCUUCCAGUGUAUCCCACAACUUCUUCGCUGAUGUCUCCCUCAUGACAGAGUACUUCUGCUCUUUGGCCAAACAUAGGCGGACUGUACCAUACGCCUGUCUAUUGAUCUUGGUCCACUCCUUGUCAUCCAUCUUGUUAGGUUUUUCUUCAAGGGCUAUAUCCAACUCUUGCUGACAUAAGACAUCCAAGAUCUCACAUUGCCACAUACCAAAAUUAUUGGUAUCAUCAAAUUUCUCUACUUCAAAUUUUGCAUUGGUCACGGUAGUCUUUGUUGAUGACGAUGUCUCUGCCAUUUUUCUCCUCGAUCCCAACUACUGUAUAUGUGAAUAGUAUCAUCUAUAUGAAUAGUACCGUGGAUGAACAAUACUGUAUACGUAAAUAGUAUCGUAAACAGUAGUAUUCCCCAAGUACGAAUCUAGCUCUGAUACCAAUUGUAGCACGGAAGCGUGUAAAAGAGUAAAAUUAUUGUACUAAAAAAUCACACUAAGUUCAAUUCCCAGGAAAGAGAGGUGGAUCACGAGGAUCACUUAAGUACCAGGUCUUUCCUAGCCAGAAUAUCCCUCUAUCGUAAUUUAAUAGCACAAUAAAUCACUACAAUCACACUCGCAAAAUAUGCAAAAUAAACCAUAAAGAACACUAGAAUUUUAACGAGGUUCAGCAAAUUUUGCCUACGUCCUCAGGCAUUACCAAAUAUAUUUCACUCCAAAAUACAAGUGAAAAUUUACAAAUAAGGAGAGAGAACAAUGCCUUAAGUAGAGAAUGGCAUUUGUGGGAUGUAGAAAAUGAGAAAUAGCUAGGCCUAUUUAUAGUUGAAGCUCAAGGAUCAACUUGUAAAGUCCCUAUAAAAUUAGGGACCAAAAUUGCAAUUAUCCCAAGCCAAAUUUCAACCCAAAAAUCUAUGCCUUAAAUGCUUAGAUUUUCGGUGUCAAAUUUCUGACACCAUUCAUCUUUGAAAAGUCAAGAUGGUUGCUAAUACUACACUUAGUGUUGAGAAGAUUCUUACUACUUAAAUACAAUCAAAAGGGAUUUGAAGGUUGGGUUUUUUUUUAGCAAAAGUAAGUAAAACUGAAUACAAAAAGAAAGGAACUUGAAAGAAGGGGAAACAAAGUAGAAAUCAAGGUUGAACUAAAAAAAAAAAGGAGAAACUUUCAGAAAGAAAUUGAAAUUGAUCUGCCUGGAAAAGUCAACCACUCGGAAAGCAUAAACUCUAACACAACUGGGUUUUCUUGGUUUAGUAGCCAAAGGAUCUGUGUUAUGAGAUUAGUGCAGUAUUGGAUUUAAAUUAUGAGGAUUUUUUUUUGAUUGGUACUGAUUGGUUUGCCACAUGACAUGAAAUGGUAGAGGAUGACUUAGAAAAAAGUGAAGUCUUUGUGUUAAUUAUUUAUAUGAUUUUCAAUACAUUUAAAAUAUCUACUUUUCUGCAGUUUCUUUUUCUUAAUUUUCAUUUGUUAUUAGAAAUGAAAAUGAUUUUUCUUUAUUCAUUUGUAUACAUUUAAUGUGUAUUUUCUAUUAUUUAUUUGUUUGCAAAUUUUAGAGACAAACGUAAGUAUACUUGUUAACAUUUAUUUAUUUUUAUUAUAUAGAAAACUCUUUUCCUCAAAAUUAACUAUAAAUAACAAUAUAGAGUUUUUGAAAUUUCGAACUCAUACGAGAGACUUUCAAAAAUUCCAAUGUUAAAAUUAUGAAUUUGGAUUAAAUUAUUUAAAAAUGUCGCAAAACAAAAUUACCAGAAUAGGCAAUCUUUUGUAAAAAGUAUAGAAAUAGGUCAAUUUUACAAAAACACUCCUAGUUAUAAACUUUUUUAGCUAAUUUGCAGAAAAACACUUCCAGUUUGAAGCAUUUUCAAUAUGUUGCCAAAAAAAUGCUUCUAGCUGAAAGCGCUUUCUACCAAAUCAGCCAAAAGCAUUUUCCUCCAACGAUAACUCCAAUGACUACUUUCUCCAACGAUUAUUUAAUUAGCCAUUGGACCCUCCACCCACUCUCUACGGUCCCAUUUUAUUAUAUAACCCUUCCCCAUUUCAUUUUUCUUCCAAUUCAAUCUCAAAUCUCUCUCAAAUUUCUCUAAAUUCCCUUUUAAAUCCCACUCAAAAUUUAUUUCUCUCUCAACUUUAUUUUUUUAUUAAAAUUAUCUCAACAUUUUCAUAAAUUAUUUUUUCUAUUACAAAUUAUUCGGUGUUUUUCAAAAUUAGCAAUGACAAAAUCUCUAACUCGUUUUGAUGACAACCACAUUUCCGUUGACCAAUUGCAAAUGGUAGGAAUAUUUUUAAUUAUAUUUCAAUGUUGUUUAAUUUUACUAUUUCCUUGUUAUAUUUGAAUUUAAUCUUUUGUAUAUUUUUACCUAAAUAGGAAGAAUUUCAAAUUUUUGAGACGUAUAUUCGUAAUCUAUCCACUCCUCCAUCACCCUUGAUCGAACCCUACAUGAGAGAUGUCGAUUUUCCCAUGUGGCCCUUGUAGGUAAGGGGUGUAAGUUGGACCCGACACUCGUAAGCGCGUUAGUGAAAAAGUGGAGACUCAAGACACACACAUUUCAUCUUCCAUGCGGCGUGUGUACUAUCACUUUAGAGGACAUGCAACUAUAGCUUAGGUUACCGGUGGAUGGACUGGAAGUGACUGGGUCAGUUCAAGCAGCCGAUUGGAAAACUUUUAAAGAAGGUUCCAGAGAUGAUUUUUGGAGCCCAGAUAGAUAUGAGUUUGUUAAGAAGAAAUUUUGGUGGGCUUGAGAAGGAUUCAACUGAAGUCUAAAAAGAACAACACGCUUGGGUUGUAACACCCCAAAACUCGGCCUAGAAGUUAUGACUAGAUACUAAGUGAUUAAAUCAACUCAUUCAAAGCUUCGGUUCAAAUCAAACUCAAUGCAUGCUUCGAAAACAUAAAAUUUUGGCAAAACACCCAUUGAUGGUUAGAAAAGCCGAGUUCGAAAACACUUACUUAAAAUCCAUAAUUCACAUUCAAAAUCGCGCGUUUUGAAAGUACUAAUGUGAGCAGAUCAUUUCUAGUAUUAAAACAAUCAUUCGUUACAAACCAUAUAUUUUAUUUUCAAAAAAUACUUAAAUGAUUAUUUAAUCUUGUAGCGAAAAAUUUUCAAAGUUUGUUUUAGUCUGAAAAGCAAAAUCUAACUUAUUAGCUCGUGUGAUUUGCAGUUUAAUGCUCAAAAAUAUUAAAUGUUAACAAAUAUAACAAAAACCAAAACUAGGACCAAAAACAUAUUACAGUCCAAAAAUAAUUAAAUUGUAAACCCAUAAAUAUUUUAUCUGGUAACCAAUCUAAGCUCCCGCAUGUCGUCCGGUCCUAAGUUAGAAGUUAACCUAAAACAUAUUAAACAAACAAAUGAGCUAGGAGCCCAGUGUGUAUCUCAACCAACAAGCAUAAUUUUUAUUUAACAAGCACAUGUGUAAAUGUGAUCACAAAAUUUUACUUUAAUGUAUCAAUAACAUAUCAGAAUGUUAUAUUACUAGAAACAUAUGUAUUUCAGAUCAUAAUAUCAUAUAGCCGAAACAUAUUUCGAUUGUGGAAUAUCAUAAUUUCAUAUACAAAUAUAUCAUACUAGAAUGUCAUGUUUUUAGAAGUACAUAUGCCAUACCAGACCAGAACAAAUGAAGAUACAAAUCCUACAUUCAUCUGCUACACACCACCUCCGUCCAACGAAUCACACCAAUUAGGACUUCAAGAGUCCAUCCAUCCAAAUCACACUGGGUCGUGGUGGCAUGCCACUCAUAAUAGUGCACCUCAGUUGCCAAACAUAUAUCAUAGUUUAACCGCCGAAAAUGCAGUAAUGCUACUGUUGACACCAUUUUACGGAUAAAACGAGGUCGACUUGGGUUUUGAAAAACAAAAAUGAUAACUGGAGUCUCCACCAAUCCUUUUUGAUAAGGUGUGAUCGGAUCACCUUAAAAAGUGGUUGUUUUUAAUAAACAAUUUAAUUUUAUUAAAACAACGAUUUUGGUCCACGAAAUUCAAAAAAAAGGGUUCGGGAGUCGGUUACGUACGAGGAAGGAUUAGCACCCUCAUAAUGCCCAAAAAUUGGUACCUAGUUGAUUAGUUAAUGUCUUAAUGUCGAAAAUUAAAAACUUUAAAGAGAUUUAAAAUACGACCCUAUAUUUUAAAACUUAUAUGGAACGAGAUACUCGUUAAGAUCUUCUCAUUUCGGAAAGGAAAAUGUCACACCCAAUGAAUUAGGACACGAUAUUUUGUCUCUUCGAAAAUGCGCUUAUCUAAGAGCUCGCACAAUAAAAGUUAAAAGGAUAUUCAAUUGUUUAAGUCGUAUAAAAAUUGCAACCCAAUACGUUAGGGCACAAUUUCUCAAAAUACAAAACAUUGAAUAUUGCCUUUAUUUAUUAUUUAGGAAAAUCCUCAUCUCGAGAAAACAACGUGUCAUAUCAAUACGUUAGGACACAAUGUGUUGAAUUCCCGAUGAUGAGCUUUUUAUUUAUUUAUUUUUAUUAAAAGUGUUGACGCCAUUUUUUGAUAAAAACGGGGUCGACUUGGGUUUUGAAAAAUGAAAACGGGAGUCGCCACCAAUCCUUUUUUAUGAGGUGUGAUUGGAUCACCUCGAAAAGUGGUUGUUUUUAAUAAACCAUUUGAUUUUAUUAAAACAACGGUUUUGGUCCACGAAAUUUAGAAAAAUAGGUUUGGGAGUCGGUUACGCACAAGGAAGGAUUAGCACCCUCGAUACGCCCAAAAUUGGUACCUAGUUGAUUACUUAAUAUCUUUAGUGUCGAAAAUUUAAAACCUUGAAGAAUUUCAAAAAUACGAUCCUUAUUUUGAAAGAAAAGUUAUAAAAAAGGAUCUGCUCAUUAAGACUUUAGCAUUUCAGAAAGAGAAAAUGUCAUACCCAAUACGUUAGGGUGCGAUAUCUUACCUCUUCAGAAAUGAACCAGUCUAAACUCGCAUAGGAAAAUUUAAAAGAAUGUUUGAUUGUUUAAGUCAUAAAAAAAAUUGCAACCCAAUCAUGUUAAGAUACAAUUUCUUCAAAUGUUAAACAUUAAAUAUUACAUUUAUUUCGAAAAAUUCUCGUCUCGAGGAAUCAACGUAUCAUGUCCAAUGCAUUAGGACACGGCGUACUGAAUUCUCAAUAAUGAGUUUUAUUUAUGUCCUUUUUAAAAAAAAAGUAACCUCGAUUAUUUAGAUUCAACGAAGAAAAUCAGAACCCAAUACGUUAGGGCUCGAUUCUUUCGAGGAUCUCAAAUACCGAUUGUUACUUUUAUUUUUGAAUUUUUCGUUUUUUGAUAAAUCCAAGUAGAAGUAGGUGUAAAAUAACAAUAAUAAUGCAACAUAAAAAUAAUACAAAUGAAAUAAGAAAAGAUAAAUAAAUAAGAUGGCAAACAUAUAAUAAAAAGAAAUCAAUAAAUAGUAAAUACAAUUAAAUGUAAAGAGAUAUAUAUAAGCAUAAGUUAAAAUAUGUGUGUAUAUGUACAUGUAUUUACAAAGGUUAAAAUGCAUACAUAUAUAUAUUAUAAGAAAGGUAUACAUAAAUAUUACAAAACAUAAGAAUAUAUGUAUAUAGAUGAAAAUAUAUGCAUAUGUGGAAAAUAAAAUAAAAUAAAAUGACAUAAUAUAUAUAAACAAUAUACAUAUUUUAAUAUAUAUAAAAAAAACAUAUAUAUACAUAUGCAUAUAAAAUUGAGUAAGUAUAUUAAAUAGGUUAGAAAAGAAAAAUAAAUAAAUACAUUAGAAAAGAAAAAUAAAUAAAUACAUUAGAAAAGAAAAAUAAAUAAAUACAUAUAUAUACACACGUAUAUGUAUACGAAAACGAUUGUAUAAUAGUAAUAUAUUAAAACAAAUAUAUCUAAGAAUUUCAUAAGUGAAUAUAAGAAAACAUAAUACUAAUAAUAAUGUUAAUGAAUAUAAUAAUAAUAAUAGUAAAGAUAAUAAUAAUAAUAACUGAAUAAUAAAAUUGCUCAAAUAUGGACUGAAUCGAAAUAAAAACUAAAGUAUUGGGCGAAAUCGAAAUAAAAAACGAAAAAAGGAUUAAAUUGUGACGCCCGCCGAAAGAGGGAGGACCAAAAUGGUAAAUACUCCAAAGUCCCAAAACGCUGCGCUUCGAUGGGACUAAAAUAAAUCAAAAAUAAAAUUUUAGGGCUAAAUCAAAAAGAGUGAAAACAACGAAAUAGGACCAGAUUGUAAUGUGCUGUAAAAUAGGAGGGACUACGUGCAUAAAUAACCCAUUUUGUGAAAACACGCGGAUCGGGGACGGGUCACCGCGCGGGUCAGGGCCAAAACGACGUCGUUUUGGGGCUUAAGGACGCCGAAAAAAACGGCGUCGUUUUUCUGAACUAUAAAAGCAGCAUUUUCAGGAAAAAAAAUUCAUUUCAAACAUUUUGUAAAGAAAAAAAAAGGAGGGGGCCUUAUAUUCUCUGGGCAAAGUCCAGAUACCGGCCAAAGGGCCGCCGUGUCUCCAUCGCACCUCCGCCGGUAGCCGGCGCCAUUGCCGCCAUAUGCGGCCGCCGGAGAGUUAAAAAAAGUUCCCUUCUUCGGCCGAUCUAAAAGCAGGUAUUUUUUUCCUUUCUUUUUUACUCUAUUUGUAUAUAUAUAUGUAUAUGCCGUGUAUAAAAAAACUUGUAAAUAGGUUAGUGUUUUCGAAAUAUAAAAGAAGGAAACCUUGGAUCUGCUUCUGCUUUCGCUUUUUCUGCUUGAAUCUAUCUCUUUUUCUUUGUAUUUCUAAGUGACGUUUUACAAAGGAAAAUCGGGGAAGCAGAACCCCUAAAACCGAUAUCCAAAUUCGGCUUUUAUACAUUUAUUUGCUAGUACUGUCGUUUCUUCUUAAUUGUUUGCAGGCACUCGAUGGCGCCAGUGGAGAGGCGGUGGUGGCAGAGGACGUGACAGAGGCGGUGGGUUGGUGGCAGCAGUCAAGUGGAGGCUGCAGUCAAGUGGGGCACUAGGGUUUCAGAGACUGAAACCCUAGUCUGACUCCUUGUUGGGUCUGGGGAAUUGGGCUUCUUGGGCCUUUUAUUUGUAAUGGGCCCGUAACAAAAAGCGUUUUCCAUUAUUUAGAUCCAAAGAAAUUGAAACCAAAUGCGUUAAGGAUCAAUUUUCUCGAAUAUAAACAUAAAAUUUUACUUGUUUGAAAGUCGAAACUUAUGCGUCGAGAUAAAUUAAUCUAAUUUGAAAUAGUAUAAAUGAAACACGAGGUUAAUAUGCGUACAAAGCAAUACUGAAUACGAUAGCAUAAAAGUAAUACAAGUAAUAAAAAUGAACGAAUAAAAGGGACAAUUUAAUAACAUGUAAAAUAGCAAGCAUAAGCAAAUAAAAUUAAAAUGUUCUUUUAAAAUAAAAAUAAAUAAAUAAAAGAUAUGAAUAAAAUUUAUAGAAAUAUAAAGUAUAUAUAUAGGUAUCAAAAUUAUGAAGUACAAAAUAUGUAUGUGGAUAUAUAUAUACGUUUUAAAAUUAUACAAUAUAACAAAAAUAUAUGUGUAUAUAUGUAAAUUAUAAAAUAUAUGUACAUAUAAGUAUUAUAAAAAUGUAUAGAUGUAUGCAUAUAUUUUAAGACUAUAAAAUAUAUGGAAGAAUAUAUGUAUGUAUACGUAGUUUUAAGUUACAAAAUAUAUGUAAGAAAAAUGUAGGUGUGUAUGAAUUAUAAUAUAUAUAUAUAUGUGUAUUAUAUUAGAUUUACAUAGAAAACACAUAAGAAGAUUUAUGAUGAAAUUAAAUAUUAAUAUAUGAAGAAACUUAAUAUAAUAAUGCAUAAUAAAUUUAUAAUGCUGAUAAUAAUACCUUAUGAUUUUAAAACAGAAUAAUAAUAAUAAUGAUAGUAAUAAUAAUAAUAUUUUGAAAAUAUAAAUGGGUAUAAAUAAAUAAUGAAAUGAUAUUAUAAGAUAAUAAUAUUAAAAAUCCACAUAAGUAAACAAAUACCAAUGCAAACGUAAUUAAUGUAACAAUGAAUAAAAGAAUAAUGACAGUUAAUAAGCUAAGGUUUUAUAAUUAUAAAUGAAAUAGAUAAUAAAAUAAAAUAUAUUAAAGUAUUUAAAUGUAUGAGUAAAAGAUGCAAUAGAAGUGAUGUAAAAUUGAUUAAUUAGCAAUGUGAAAACAAUAAUAAAAGGGUAAAAUAAUAAAGAUAGCAAGAAUAAUAUGAAAUCAAUUAAUUUAACAAUAAAAUAACUAAAAUAACAAAAAGAAGGAUUAAAUUGAACUUAAGGAUGAAAUUUCGGGGCAAAUUAGUAAUAAUAAAUAAAAGGAAGGACUACCCUGAACGUGCGAAUAAUAUGGAGGGACUGAAAGGGAAAUUUUCCCUUCUCCUCCAAAACGACGUCGUUCGAAUAGCGACUGAACUGAAAUCGCAGAAAAUUAUGGGGUAAAUUUAAAGAAAUAUAAAACUUGAUUAAAAAAUGUUAACAAAGCGGAAGGACUAGGGUAGUAAUUAUACCCUAGUCACAAAACACGCGGAUCCUCCUGGUAAUGGGUUGGGUCACGCAAAACGGUGCCAUUUUGGCGCUGAGACCCCUAGGUGAAACGGUGCCGUUUUAAAUGCUAUAAAAACUAAAAAAAAACUUAAAUUUCAUUCUAAUCAGCUUCAAAAAUAAAUAAAUAAAAACAGACAAACACUCUCUGCCUUUCCCCUCAGCCAUUCGAAUUCGACCUAGGGUUCCGCCCUCCGUCCACCGUGCAACUGCCAUGGUUGCGGCCGACGAGGAAAAGAAAUGGGCUUUUGGCCCUUAUCUCGCAGUGCCGUUUGAGGGUCAAACCCUCUAGACGGCCAAAACAGAGGAGAACCCCAGCCUCCUUUCAAAUCCGAUCCUAACGGCGAUGGAGACUCCCCUCUCUUCGAUGAUGUGAUCACGAAAGUUCACCGGUGAGUCCCUUUUGCCUUUGUUAUUUUCUAUUUAAUAUAAAAAAAUAAAAUGAAAAAGAAACGCGAAUCUGAGAUAAAAAAAUCACCUUUUUGUUUUUUAUUACUCAAUCUCGUGAAAAAGAAAAGGGCCCCCCUUUUACAGUGUAUUUGGCUUUUGCCGAAAGAAAAGAAGAAAAAACCUAAAAGAAAAAUCCCCCCUAUUUUUACAAUGUAUUUCAGCUUUUGUAGCCCUUAUUCUUGCUGUUGGUACUGAUUUUGACUUGUUUGCAGGUGUAAGUUGCGGUGAUUGAAGCAAGUAGCAAAGUUGGUGGCUGCCAGAGGAGUGAUGUGAUGGAAGCGUGUGAGGCGUGCGGCGCAAGGGUGGUGGCAGAGACUAGGGUUCUGAAACCCUAGUUUUCAUUGGGUUUGGGCCAUGUUUGGGCCUAUUUUUGUAAAUGGGUUUUGGGUUUAUUUAUUUUUUUGUAAAAUGGACUGUUUAGGUUGGUUGCCAGGCCCGGGUAAAAUUGGGCUUACACAGCUACUAGAAAACACUUCCUCCAGCAAAUCAGAACCACCCCAAUGCAUAUGCUAAAUCACAUUGACAUACAUAUUUAUCACAUAAGUUGUAUGCAUGCAUACAUAAACAGAUAUUAUACGGACCGUAACUUACACAUAAUUUAUAUAUAUCAUAGCAUAUCAUAUUCAUGGUCGAAUCGGAUAGCUUAUCAGAACAGAUAACAAAAUAUGUAUAACACAUGGUUUACAAAAUAGUCAUGCUUAACUCACGUACCUACUUAUAGCAAAUAAUAUUGCAUUAUUAUAUUUAUCAUAAUUUAUUUAACAUACUUCCUACACUUACCCAUGUUUGUUUUACUAAAAUUUAUGCUUUCUAGGCCUACCUAAUGCCAUCGGACCUAAAUUCUGAGUCCUUUAAUUGACCCUUUAUUGGCCCAAAAGACCUACUCAGCCCAAAAAGCUAGUCGUGUGGUCCAUAUGGUCUAUCCACACGAUCAACAUGGUCUCACACAGCAGUGUGUGGGAACAUAGCCUGCAUGACAAGCCACAUGGGUUGUAAAAACACACAUGGUCGUGUGCCCUACAUGGGCUACAAAAUCACACACGGUCCUGUGUCCCUCACGGCCUAUCACACGAUUAUGUGUCACUGGGCAGUUUUAGAAAACAACUUUGUUUUACAUAUUUUUUGAAUUUUCGAUGAGUUUUUUGAGUUAAAUCACACGCUUGAUUGUUGAUUUUGAUGUAGAUUCGCGAAAGAACACACAAGAACCUAAAAUCAAUAUUCCAAACGUAUUAGUAACAAAAUGCAACACUAAAUCAAGAUUGACUCACUAACAUAACAUUAAAGAACCUACCACAAAGAAAACAACAACAAUAUCUAAGUCAUCGAAGGAAUGCCCAACACCUAUUGUUCUUUUCUUAAAAACGCUUCGAACUCGUUAAGUACAAAAAAUACAUAUUAAUACAAUACUACUAAAGCUCUGAAACCCUAAACGCCCAAUAAAGUAAUUUUAAUACAUGGCUGAAAAAAUAAAGGAUGAAGCAACCUUACCCUUAAUGACAAACUUAUAGCACAAAGGACGGAUGAUACACAAAUUAACAAAAGAAUAAAAAAGAAGAAGAGAGAAAAAAAGCAUGAAAAAUUGGAAAACCUACCAUAAAGAAAAAAACUAACGAGAAAAUGAAGGGGGAGGGAGAGGGGAUGGUAAUAAUAAAAAGAAAAUUUGGAAGAAAAUCUCUCUUCACUACUUUUAAAACUACCCAACUAACUCCUAGUCGUAUCCACAUAAGAUUUUUCCCAAAGUUAAUAAUUUUUUUCCACUUUGCAUAUGUAAGGAUUUGAACAUAAGACCAAAGGGUAAGUUGAUACCUUACCAUCAAACCAAUAGGCUCAUUCUUGUCAAUAAAUGCACUCAAAUAUUUCUUAAACCAAAUGCCAAAAACUAGGGAUUUAGACAAAAUUUGCAAAAACAGAAGCGAAAGGAUUCGAACCUAAAACCUUUCUCACACAAGCACAACCCUUAACCACUUAACUAGAACAAAUUACUUAACAUAAUUUCAAAAUCUUAACUAAAAAAAUCACAAUAUGACCUCUCUAGGUUUCACUAACCCACUUUUUGCAUUUUUCCUUUUUAUUUUUCAACAAUUAAGGAUGAAAACUAAGUUAGUAUAAUAAAUAAAUGUGGUAGGAAAUAAUUAAGAAAUGUGUAAUAGACCAAUAGCCAAGCAUCACCCCAUUCUCCUUAUAGUCUUAAGUUCUAUCCAUGCCAAUUCCCUUCCUUUUGUUUUAAAUCUCAACAAGAAGGUUUAUUUGCCAAAACAACCCCAAAAUUUGCACAACUUGGCCUUUUAACUCAUUUCCUAAUUAUAUUAGGAUUUUGAUUAUUUUUUCAAACCUAAUUAGAAUUUAUUUCUCCCUCCUUUUUAAAUACAUUUUUUUAUUACUUCUCUUUUUCAUAAAAAUGUUCAUUAUCUUUUGUUGAAAAUGUUAUAUUCAAAUCUCGUACCCAACAUCAACCUCGUUCAAUCUAUUCUUCAUAAUGUUUUAGCGUAAUGUCGUCAAAAUCUGUUUCUAAUGUGCCAAGAUCGGUAAGGAUUCCUUUUUUUAAUUUUGUAGAACUCUAAAAAUCUAAUAUAAUAUCGUUCUUGAUAAAUUUUCUAAAAUUAAUUCUAAAUAUUUAAUGGGUUUUCUUGAAAUCUUGUUAAAACUCGAUAAAUCUUAAACAUCAAUAGUAAUUAUUACAUUUUCAUCGAUUAAAAGACCUAUUGUAAGUAUCCCAGAUCAAUUUUGGACAUAAAGAUCAUCAUACGAGACCCCAUAAGUUAUAUGUGUGUUCUUUUGCUAGAAAAUUGAGGCAAAAUCGAACCCAACCCAGACCACACGACCAUGUGACCCACAUGGCCUAGACCCUCCCACACAAUUGUGUGUCCCCUGUAACACAACUUUACAAUUUUAACCUAAAAAUUUUAGAAAUUACACAAAUUAGUCCCUAACUGGUUCCCAAAUUCUAGUGUUUUGAUGAAUCUGUAAAAUUUUUUUUGUUGUUUGACAGAUUUCCUGAAAAUAUUUUCCAGAAAAAUUGUUUUUACAUAUAUUAAUAUAUUUAUAUAUAUAUUAAAUUGUUUUUACAUAUAUAGUAAUGAUUUAUUUAUAAAUAAAUAAAUCUAAUUAAAUAUAUAAUAAUACUUAAUUAUUAAGUUAGAAUAUUAACCAUCAUAAAUUGAAAACAACCAAAGUCAAAUAAAUUAUUUGUAAUAUUUGUGCUAAAAUAUUUAGACAGAUAAUUUUGGAAGAGUGAAAAAUAUCUGAAAAUAUAUAUAAAAUUACACAAAUUAAACUAAGUUUAACAAUCAAAACUCCGAUGUUUUAAGUUUAAAAUUCAUUAUUUUAGAUUUAAAUUACUUUAUUAAAAAGAUUUAUCAUGUUGCAAUUGAAACCCAUCUACCUCUGGCUGCAAUUUUUUAAGGAUUAAAGACUUAACUAUUUGAUUAGUAGGGUGGUUAGGAAUUUGAUAUAUGAUAUAUGACAGAUAGAAUAGAAGACAAUGACACAUUCAGUAAUCUUAAAGCAUGGUGUUGAUGAAUACAAAGGAAUUUUAAUGAAUAUGAAAUCUCAGCAUUGGUGCGUGUAGCCUACGACUAUGGAACAAUUUCAUCAGUUACUGUGUUCAAAUCAAAAUGCAAGGGAUCAUUAUUUCCAAUUUCAACUCAAUAAACCUGAUUUUUCAUUGUUAAAACCAGCUUUGAACCUAAGCUUUACCAUCCCUUGCCUAUGAGCCAUAACCAGUCAAGUGUGACCCUUGCAAAGAUACCUCCUAGGAGAAACAAAACAAGCAAAUUCCCUAGGAGAAACAAUUGUCGAGAUAAUAAUGGAGGGGUGAUUUGAGGGCUUUGGAAUGUUUGGCUGAAAUUGGUGGAUUUUUAAGGGGUAAUUAAGAAAUGGCCCUAACUUGUCAUUUUGGUACAACCGCAAGGGACUCUUUGCAGUUGUAGCUGCAGUUUUUCUUUCACCACCUGCAAGAAUUUGCUGAAUGUUAUAUUUUUAAUAAACUGUAUGAACUAGAUAAAUGAAUCAUUGAAUCGUAAAUUGACAGCAAACUUUAUUCAAAAACAUUGAAAUUCAAUUUUAUCGUUCAAGAUUUUGAUGUUUGUAUAUAAUACUGUCAAUGUACACUUCUUAAUUUGAACAUCUAUGGAACUGUCAGGAUCUGCCUGCUGAACUUUUUGUGUAUGAAGAAAGGGUUGGAACUUGGAAGUUGCGAGUCGCUACAAAGAUGGAAGGAGCCAAAGAUUGAAGAGAGUUGAAGCAAAGGAUAGAAACCACGACAUGAAAGCCAUAGCUGCAGACAACUGAUAUCUACUGCAUAUCUUUGACGAGCAAUAUGUCGAGCUGACAUUGACCAAGAGACUUGUCACACUAGCAGUUGAGCAAGCCAUGGCUAGUGAGAGAAAUGACAAGGCCUGCAAUCAGAUAAAACACAUGUUUUUACAUCAAAUUAUGAUAAGGGAUAACACCAUGGUGAUGAUAUGCAUAAUAAGCCUCGUAACAUACCCAGUCUCCAACAAUGACAACUAACAGUACCCUUGGUUGUCGUGGUAAGCCUUUAACGAACACGAAAUAUGCAUCAACCAAUGCUAAUGACACACUCCAUGGAGUCACUAAACCCAUGACUGUCACCAAGUAGCUACGAAAAAAUUUAAAGGAAAAUUGGAGAUUGAUUUAUCACCCAACAAUUGGUGAGCAACAAUGAAAACACAAACAUUAUCUUCUAUAUCAUUAUAUCUAAUGAGCAAUUGAAAAUUAUAGUUUGUACCUGCAAUUGAUCGAACAACACCAUAGACAAGGCAAGUUUAGACAAUAGAAGACCUUAUCCUAUGGCAAUUUUUUAUCAUUCAAUAGCUUCUGUUACUAGUGAAAGGGCUUUGAAAUUGCAAGAACAGAUAAGGUAAGACGGCCAUGCCAGUCAUAGCAGAUUGGUACUUAUGGUCUUAUGUCCUAAGCACAUAGCAUCUCCAUCGAAGAAAAUUGGAGAUAAGAAGUUUCAAAUAACAAUUUUUCUGAAGUACAAAUAAAGUGGUUAUAUUCAUUGUCUUAAGAUUGAUCCAGAUGGUUUGUGCUAAUCCAUAGAAGUUAGAUAGCAGAUACAGACAGUGCCUCAUUAUCUAGUUUCAUCUUUCCAGAAACAUGCAAAACAGGAGGACCCAAGUCAAGGAAUAAAGUUCAAAUGCAAAAGCCAUACAAGACCACUAUCUACUUUUACAAUUCACCUUGUUAACUAUCUUGAUUCCCUUGACAUCUAGCUUAAUCAUCCUUGAUAUUAGCACUUGAUGAGCUACUUGACUCUGGCCAUUUUGUUAAUUGCUUAAAUUAAGGCCUUUUACUUGUACAAAUGCUCCCAACAUUGUGCAUUUUAUACACAAAAAAAGACGCAUUUUUUCCAUUUCCAUUCACCUGGUGAAAACUUUUAACAGAGGAAGAAAAAUAACAAAUAAUUUCAAUCUGAACAGAAUCGAAAAUAAGAAGUCUGGAAAUCCAGCCUUGGAUAACAAAUAUCAUCAGCAAAUAAGUUAUAUUCUAUGGUCUAGUUCAACAACUAGCCAAGUAACAGGUCAUGUACAUUGAGAAUGGUUUUGAUAACUCUAAUUGUUGAAAGUCCAAAUUCAGUCAUCCAUAAAAAAAAAGAAAAAGCAAUUGAUCUUUGCAUAUCCCUGAAUCAAAAAAGACUCUCAGAUAACUUUACCCUUUCAAUCAUUAAAUGGCAGCUUUCCCUGCAGUCAUCCGUAAGCAAGAAGCAAGAUUUCCUAAAAAUGGCUUUUUUUUAAAACCUUAAAUCCUUUUGUUUUCAUAAAAAAAAUUCACCUAAUUCACUUUCUGCCCAAGCCCAAAGCCCAUCCCUUCAAACAAUUUCCAUGAAGAUACCAGUAGGAACCAGAAUUACUUUUGCUCUCUCCAACAUGGUAAAGCUGCUAUUUUACAUGGCAAAAAGACACACGAAGCAUCCAAUUCCUUAAAAACCAAUCACUAAAAUGAUCACGAUUGUGAUAGUUUUUCCCUGGAGGUUCCCAAAGAAACAUCAGAACCAGCUUUUAAAAGUUGACAACGAAUUGAAUUCCGAGCAAAUAUCAGAAACAAAGAGGCAUGGGUAUUGAAGAUUAAAAGCCAAAGAGAGGAAGAAAGAUAAAAUAUGACCAAAUAAAUGGAAGAAUCUUAAAACGUUUUCAGUUACCUGAAAGAAGUAUAGCUAUAGAAUUCAACAUCCAAACACAUAAAGAGAAGUGAAGCAGCGGAGAAAACAGUUUGUCCCAAACGAAGAGCCAAGCUGGCGCUUGUUCCCAACGCCCCUGGCACUGCUUCCAUCGUCCCUCAUGUCAUCUUAUCUUUCUGUUUCUUCUUCUUUAGUGUAUUCCCCUAAAACCCAAUAAAAAAGCAGAGGCCAAACACUAGGAGAAGGGAUUGAAACAAUAGAAUUCAUGGCAGAUUUGCCUGAGAAAGAGAGAAAGAGAGGAAACGAAACAGAAUAUGCUGAGAAGAGAAGAUAUACGACGAACUUUUACCUGGAAGAGAAGAUGAAGAACGGAAGAAGGAAAAUGAACGAAGAACGGAAGAACGAGAAAGAACCUUACCUGAAUGAAGGAGGAACCGGAAAAUGUCUUACAGAAAUGAAAUCCAUAAGACAUUUUCCCCUAAAACCCAUUUAUUUUACUCGUGUCUUGGAAAAUCUGGAAAACAUUUUGCUGCAAACAAACAGACCCUUAAUUUAAAAACUCGCAAUGAUGAAUUUUGAAAUCAACUCUUUAAAUAGAAAUGACUUCAUUUAUUGCUCUAUUCAUUUUCUGUUGGGGAUCAACUCAAUUAAGGGCUUAUUUAGUAUUACUUAAAAAAAGUAUUUUUGAUUCUAAAAGUAUUUUUGAAAAAAAACUGUGCUAAACAAAUUGUUUAUGGUUGAAAUUUGUGUUGCAUAGUCAUCGACAAUACUUUGCUGCAUCGUUUUUCGCUCUGUUUCUCUUCGCUUCGCUUUCUCCAGUAAAACCACCUGCCAUUUAGUUUCUCAUCAUUCCUCUCUUUCUUCUUCUUCCUUCUUCCUUCUUUUUUUUUUUUUUGCAUACAUAAAUUUAUCCCUGCGCCAGACUGCUCUAUUAUGCUGCAACUGCUUUGACGUCUUUGCCUUGUACAAUAUAGUUUAAGUUUGAUCUUGUUUCUAUUUUUAUCUCUUCCUUUUCAUGUUCUUUGUACUUGUAAUAACCAUUUACCCUAGAUUCAAAAAAAAAAAAAACUUUGCUUAUUUUCUUUUAUAUAUGUGGGCUAGAAGACUUCAUUAAUUGAAGGAAGAGGGAGACUCCAUUUGAGAUUGAGGUGAGUUUUCUUGGCUUUUUUCGAAGCGUUCUGUCUUAGAAACUAAUGGAGCUGCAGUUGGCUUUAAAGGGUUUGGAAUUUGCCCAGAAGAAGAAGAAAUGGGUUGCUUUAAUGGCGGCUUUUGGUUUAAGCAGUUAUAAACCAGUUAUGGUUUCUAUAGAUUUUAUCACUUUCCUAUUAUAGCUCAAAAGCGAAACAGAGUUUUAAAGCUUUUACGAGCUUUGGUUUCCAUUACUGAAGCCGUCUCUGAUCGUCCUAAAGCAAUAAGAGUUGUUUCUAGUGAUUUGAAUGGUUUUCUCCAAUCAGAAUUAGACCAAAUUCCUAAUAGUUUGAAACAGGUUUCGAAAAUCACCAGGUCCAAUGAGUUUUCACAGUCCAUAGCAAUGUAAAGAACUGCAACCUGAAGGAGUUUUGAAGCCAAAUUCGACUCCGAGCUGGCUGAAUUGGGUGUGUGGUGAUGAGUUUAGGGAGCUGAUUGGUGAUUGUAUUCAAGUUUCUGUAGUAAAAUUUUAAAGAAGAAUCAAUAUGUUGAAUUCUGAAUCUAAGGGUUUUAACUUUGGAUUUGAACUCCAUAAAUCUCACUGUUUUUAAUCUCAAUUAUAAAAGUGAGUACUUAGCAGAGAACUUGUGUUCCUUAUACUUCAAUUCCUUGAUUUCGAGGAGAAAUUUAAAGAUACUGUUCAUAAUUAUGCUCUUAUCUCCGUAAUCUUUGUUUUUGUUGUUUUCUUUUAUUCUAUCUUUUUAUAAAAGCAUUUUUUGCGUAUUUAUUGAUUAAUAUAUUUAAAUUUAAUAGAUUGGAGCAAGAGUUGGGGUUCUAAAUAUCUCACCUGGAGGAGGACUACAAGCAGCUCAGUUUCAUUCUGGUAUUCAUUCUCCUACAAAGCAUUUUUAACUAAUCAAAUUUUCAUAUAUAGUUAAUUCUCAUUGUUUUGUGUUGAGGUUAAAUUUAAAAUAGGGUCAUGGUUGAUUAGAUUUAUGGGUGUUUAAGUUGAUUUAAUGUAACUAGUCAAGGCAUAAUUUUUGUGUCAAGGAGUUGGUAUUGGCAAAUGAUGAACACUAGUGCUGGUCUUCUUAGGAAAUUUGUUUAAGAUCUGAUGGUCUUUCUUAUUAAGUAUUGUUUUUCUUUGGCGAGGGGGCCUUCUCUAAAGUUAAAAAUCAAUAUUGUUUCAUUAGUACAUAAAUCUCGUUUUAUUGGGAGACUAAUGCUUCCAUUUAUAAAGUGCUUCCAGAAAUCAUUCUUCUGUUUUCACAAAUUUUGAGAUUUGUUUCCGUAAUUGGAAAAAAAAUAAAGGUUAAAUACUUUUUUUUUAAAUUAUUGUUUUUAUUAAAUUAGUGUUUUUUAUCAAAAUUUGUUAAAUAUUUUGUUUGUCCGAAAAAAUUACUUAAUAUAUACCAUAUGUUUAUUAAACUUAUAAUAAUUUGCUUCUAAAAUAGAGAUGGUUGAGUUUUAAUUAGUAUUAACGAUGGAAUGAAGUAUUAAUAUAAUAAGUAUAACCAUUUAUAUCUUUUAAGUAUAAAAAUUAAAAUCCCUAAAGUAUGAACCUUUUAAUGCAUUUUAUUUAUUUAUUAAUAUUACAUAAUCUCAUUACAAUGUAUAACCUUUGUUUAAGAAUGAAUAAAAAAAUCAAGGAAUACAAAUUAAGUAUUACAUAAUCACAUUACAAUGGCAUUGUAUUCAAAGUGUUUCUCAAAAUAACCACCUCAACUUUUAAUAUAAUAUCAGAUUUAAUUAUUUAUAUUUAUAUUCCCUUAUCAAUUUCACCUUUCUUUUUUUAAAACUAAAUUUAGCUGUUAAUUUAAAAAAAAGACUUAAAUUAUUUAUAAACUCCAUAUAUACUUUAUGUUAAUAUGUCAAUAUUUGUCUUAUAUAUCACAUCAAUAAAUAAUUUAAAAUUUUAAAAAAAUAACAUAAAAUACACGUAGAUAAAUACAAUAAUUUAUCUUAUCAUUUAUUUAUUACAUUUUUUUAUUGAAAUAGUGAAAUGGAUCCCUACAAAAGAAGUAUUCGAUAGGCUCAUUUGAAUUGUUACUCAAACAACUCCAUUUUAAGCUCUCCUUAAUUGCAUUUGUAUUACUUAUAUGUUUUAAUUUAAUACAACAUUUUUUUGAGAUAAAAUUCAUGUUAGUGAUUUGAAUUAAGGCAUAAUAUCUGACAUAUCUCAUUGUGAUAUUACUAUUUUAGGUUAAAUGUAUUCAUUUAAUUAUAUAAGUAACACGUUUCUUAUUUCUUUAAGAUAUAAAUAAACAAACAUAAAUAGUAAUAAACAGAUUAUAAAUAAAUAAAAGAAACACAUAAACAAUAAGAGUAUUAAUUAUAUAAUUAAACCAUAUUUGAUUUUAAAUGAUUUACUAAACCAGUUUUAAACUAGCAUGAAGAUAACCAAUUUGGAUAUGUUUCAUUUAUAUUAGGUUAAUUUAAUAAAUAAAUUUUAAAUUUUUAUUAAUGUUGAUUUAUUUAACUUAACGAACGAAUAUAAAUAAACAAAAAUCCAACUCAUAAACUAUUUAGUUACAGCUUUAAACUUAACUUAUAUAUAUUUAGAAUACUUAAAUAACGGUAAUUUAUUGUCAACUUUAGACUUCAAGAACUACGAAAUAGAUAAGAGUUGGAUGGAUUUGUCAACGGUAAGCAACGAAUAUUAAAAUGGAGUACAAACUUUUCUAAAUUAGUUUGCAUUUAAAUUCUUAUAUUUAAAUAAUUUAUUUGAAGUGACUGAUCUACAAAUUAACUCACGCAUUAACUUAUAUUUAUACUUUAUUUGAGAAUAUUUUAAUUUUUAUAAUUAAUAAAUUUUAAUUUACAAUUAAUUUUUACAUUAACUAACUAAACUUUUAUAAAGAAAAUUAGAAACCCAUCGGUUAAAAACUAGUUAUUUUUCCUUUUAAAAAAUCUAGUUAUUUUUUUUAAAAGUAAUGUUUUAUUAUUUUAUAUAUUUAAUAUAAAAUUAUAUAAAUAUUUUAUUUUAUUUUCUGUGAUUCUCUAUGUCCGUUUUAUGUUCAUGUUCGGGUUUAUUAAACUAAUAUUAAAAUUAUGCAUUUUAAUAUUUAUAUUAAUAUAUUAAUUUAAAAUAAAAACAUAUAUUUUAAUUUUUUUUAUUUAUAUACAUUAAUAUAUAAAUAUUUUAUAUUUUAUUUUAAACUAUAUAAAAAAAGAUGUUAAGGGUAAGAUGAUAAAUUAAUAAAUAACACUUAUGUUUUAACUCAUAGAAAAUACAUGAUAAGAAGAUUAACUGUUAGGCACAAGUGUAAGCCGUGUAAGCCGUGUUAUCCUAUCCCUUGCCCCUAAUAUUGUAUCGAAAAACGCUUGGUAAGAAGAGUGAUAUAUAUCCAAUUUUCAACAACCAAACAAUUUGAUGUAGUAGCAUCUGUCUUUUAUGCAUAAUUUGAAAGUUGAGUGUUAUUUAACAUAACACUCCUCUUUUACAUCAAGCCUACCAAAUGUGACCAGACUAUCAAUUUGGCUAUGAUUCUAUAUAAAACGAUAAAAAAAUUGAGUUUUUUAAAAUUAGAAAAUCUUGAAAAUACAUAAAUUUGAAAAUUAAAUAAAAAUAGAUAAAAUUUAAAAAAUGUAUAGAUAAGUGAGAGAAAAUUAGGGAAAAUUAUUUUUCAUUAUGAGAAAAUAAUGAGAAAAAAAGAUUAGAUUUGCUUUUUUCAAUUUGGAUUUUGAAUAAUGUUGAAAAUUUUGAAGUUGCCGCAAGGUGUUAUGGGAAUUGCCCACUACCCCAAUCACUAUGACAAAACAAUUUGCCAUAGUUGGAAGAUUGGCAAUUUAUUGAUCUGUAUCUUUAGGUUGAGCUUAUAUUGUAGAGCGAAUCAAGCUCAUCAAUAAAGAUCAUAUCACUUGGAGAAACUUAUUUAGAAGAUUGGAUCGGGUUGGAUUGGAUUGCUUAUAUCAAAUCCUAUGGAUAAAGGAAAUUGAAUCGGAUCAAAAAAGUAAAGAGUUAGCCGCCAACCGUCAAUGUUUAUUGUGGUUGUUAAUAUUAUAUUGUAUUUAGCUAUUUUAGUUGUUGUUUAGUAAGGAUUGUGAUAGAUCUUCAUUAUGUUAGCAAGUCUCAAAAUCUUUAUGUAAUUAAGAGACUUGUAUAGGUUGAUGCACAAAUUAUUAAGAGCAUUUAUAUGUUCAAGUGAGGAACAUUAUUUUGCAAGAGUGCAUUUAUGAUUGUAAAAUUCUGUAUUGUGUUGUGCAUUUGUGAGGAACAUUAUUUGUGAUUGUAUUAUUUAGUGGUGAGUGAUCUAGUCUUCGAAGGUAUAAGAGUGAGGAAUCAUCAUUGAGAUGUGAUACAUUUAGGUUCACUAGUUGUAAUUGUUUAAAUAUAGUGAUUCUUCUCAUUGACCAAGACUUCACAAAUGUAUUGAAACUGAACUGCAUAAACAAACUUUAAUGUUUCCUAUUUUGUUUUUGCUUAUCAUGGUGCUUGCAGAAGUGCAAACUUUUGUAGUCACUACUGCUCAUACAUUGCUUGUUACUUAGCAACUAUUUUAGAUCAACAAAAAACCAUUUAAAUGAAUUAAAUUUUAUUAAUAGAGUUUGAAAAAUAAUAUUUUCUUGUAUAUUUUGUAUUUUUUUACUAAAAGAAUGGGAUCAGAUUCAAUUUCACAAGUCUUAGUGAGAUUAGUUUGAAAGAAAUUCUUCAAUAGCAUGGAACUUGACCGGAAGGUAUUACUAAAUUUGUCCUAUUUUGUUUUAAAUUUGUUAUUGGAUUCUAUUGAAUAAUCUUUUUCUUUCUUAUGUCUCAGUAUUGAACAAUCUUGAGCUUUAUUACAAUACAAGAACAUUAGUUUCUAAUCACAUUUAAGCUUUGUGCAAAAUGAAUAUUAUACUAAAAUAUUGAAAUUGAUCUAUUUCUUUUAUCCAUUUUCAUGAUUUAUUGCAAUGUUGAAUAUUUUGUUGCAGAAAUCAUAAUUUUUAUAUAGAAUUUUCUAUUUUUAAAAAAUAAUAUUUAGUUUUUAAAAUUAAUUUUAUAUAGAAUUAGGGUUAAAUGGAGAGAAAGUAUAAAAGUUAAGGGUUAAAAUUGUCAUUAUACUAACUAAAAAAGUGUGGUUGUUAGCUAUUUAAUAGUUGGGUAAAAAAAUAAUUUCAAAAACGUUAGUGGCCAAAUUGUAACUCUUUUAAUUAAAAGACACAUAAUUGAGGGAUUAAUAGUGUAAUUUAACCUUAUCUUUUUUAAACAUAUGGAUUAAUUCACAUUUAUUUGGAAUGUGUUAUUAAUUCACAUAUGAAUUUAAGUAGCGGUGGAGCUAGAAAAUAUUUUGGGGCUAAAAUUAAAUUGUAUAUUUUUAUGAUAGCAAGAAUGCAAUUUCACUAUUUUAUGAUAUCUUUAUUAUUUUUAAAGGGUUAAAUCAAUUUUUUAUCAUUUUUGAGAUUAAAGUGUAAUUUUACUAUUAUUAAUUUAAAAUUUUAUAAAUUAUAAAGGACAUAAGUGAAAAAUUUUCCAUUAAUCAACACCCUUGGCUCUACCACUUGAUCGAACACAUAUCACGAGUCCUUUCCCGCGUGUGUCAGAUUUUUUUUAUAUGGUUGAAAUAUCAUCACAUGUAUUUAUGUUUGAAUACACAUCACAAAACCUUGAGUUGCUUCGGCAUGACCUAGAGAAAAAAAAAUGGAGAAACAUGAAGGUAGCUUAGAAGAAUCCAAAAGCAAUAAACGAAAGCUAGACAAAAGGUUGAAAUCAUCAUUAACCAAGCCUUUACUUUUUCUAACUCCAGGAAGAGUCCAUAUUCGUUGAGAAAAUCGGCAAAGACUUUGUUAUCUUUUGGAAGGACUUGUAAAGAAACAAUUUUUUAUAUUUACGUUCUGUAAUGUUUUUCAUAUUAACAUUAUUGAUGUUUCUAAAUUUACCUUCUGUAAUGUUAGAGUUAGUUGAAGAGUCGUCAGAUUCUGGAGAGGAAUCAAAUUUUAGUCAUCAGCAUAGGAUGGAAGAUGAGAAGUUGCUGUCGGCAGUGUUGGGAGAGCAAAGGAGAAGGUAAGAAGACUGCAACUCAAGAGGAUGAAGGCAAAUCAGAAAUGGGUAGAUGACAGAAUUGUGAAUAGGAUCUCAGAUUCUGGGUCCAACUUAUGCAAUAAUUCUAUGAUCUGGGAAGCGUGUAGAGAUCGACAAAUCAGUUUGCGGUGAUUGCUGCGGUCCUGUCCAACAAGGAGCCAAUUGUUUUGCAGACACAGGCUAUGGAUGGGAUGGAAAGUUUAUGGUUAAACUAUUCCCCUUAAAUUCACGUCAGUAUAAAAUAAAAUGUAAACUAAUUUAAAAUUUUAAAAUAAUUUUAUUUUAAUUUUUAAGUCUAAGAAUUUUGAUGAGUUAAAAUUAUAAGAUAAGUGCUUAUUUAAUUACAAAAAUAAUUUAAAAACUUGUUUAAACAAAAUGUAAUAAUUUAACGGAAUUUUUAAUAUAUUAGCCAAAGAAAUUCAUCUAGGUAAGAUAUGAGAUUCAAUUGAAGUUAAUAAUGAAGAAUGCUUUUAAUGUUCCCAACAUUAGACCAAUACAAAUAAUUGUAAGUUUUGUCAAAAUUCUUAGUUUUCUUUUUUUGAUUAAUGAGCAGAGUUCACAAGAAAAACAAAAAGUAAGUGGUACAUAAUAACGAAUAAAUAGCAUUCAAUUUAAACAUUCACAAUGAUUAAUCUUCAAUUGAAAAAUCAUUAUCUUAAUUCAAAAUGACUUUCAUCUUCCACCAUUCUAUAUCACUACCAAUUGGCCAUGCAGUUUCAUCUUCCACUAAAAUUUCAUCAACUGAUUAGCUUGCCUGCAAAGCAAAUUAAACCUUCACUUAUUACUGUUUGCUUUUGAUGAUUGAUGAUGAAAAAAGCUUAUUGUGAGUUUGGAAGAGUAGUGUACCUUUGUUUUGGCAUGCACUGAUUUCUCUGAAUCAACACUAAAUCUUGUGGUUAUGUUGGGACAACCUUCUACUUGUAAAUCAAUCAAAAAUGGGAAAACAAAAUGAUAACCCACAGGGCUGAAGCUCACGAGGUUUGGUAGCUCAUCAAGCCGUAAGUAAGUUAAUCGAGGUAGGUGCAUCACUUUCUCUUCGUCCUUACUCACAUUUGGCUCAUCUCCUUCAAACACUUGCUUUAAUUUGGAGACCCUUCUAAGGUAUAAUCGACCUAGGUUUGGAAGGCCGCCAUGAGCAAGAGUAAGGGGAAGAGACAUUUCAAGUUUUCACAGUUAAUGAUUCUAAUCAAAUUCAAAUUAGGGAAGCAAAUAGGAUGGAGAUGAUGUUGUGAUGAAGUUUGAUCCUUCUCAAUUAUUUGCUCCAAAUUCCUCACACUCAGAUUUAUCCAAAGUCCACAAUUGUGGAAAAUUUCGAGCGAUGGUAGGUGAGAAGAUGUAUCUUAGCCUUCUGCAAUCAUGGACUGUCAAUGAGUGAGAUUUUGAAAGUGUUCAACUUGGAUGGGACCACUCCAUAUCACCCGCGAUUCAGUUAGUUUGGACAACAUUAGGAUCUUUAGAGUUGAAAGAUUAUAUCCAGAAUAUUCAAAUAACUCUUCAAAAUUGGAAAUUGUUAAAUAUUCCGUACAUGUUGAUGUUCCUCCUCUCCUUUCAGGGACUGUCACGUUGCUUAUUUGCUUCUUUUCUGUCAUCUCUGACAACUCCAAUUCCUAUAAACAUAUCAUCAAUUUAAGAAUAAGCACAAGAUUUCUUUUUCAAUCUUUUAUAGUCAAAGAAUUCAAAUUUUUAAAAAGUUUACUGUUCAACUCAAAUAAUCAUAAAUUACAAAAAAAAAAUAUGGGAGGGUUUGGGUAAAAAUAUAGGCCCGAAAUAUGGGCUUGGACAAAAAAAUUAGGCCAGUUUAGAAAACGGGCCGAGCCUCAAGUACCACUUUUUUGGCCCAGGCCCGGCCCAGCCCGAAUAUAAUAAAUAUAUUUUUUAUUUUUAAAAAUAUUUUUAAAAUACUUUUUUUAAACUUUUUUUAUUUUUAAAAUACUUUUUUUAAUUUUUAAAAUUUUUUUGGUGUUUAUUUAAAAAAUGGGUCGGGCCGGGCCCAGGCUUAGGAAUUUUUCCCGGGCCGGGCCUGGACAAAAUUUUAGGCCCAUAUUUCGGGCCGGGCCGAGCCCGGGCCUAGGACAAUGGCUAAAAUUUUUUUUAUGGGCCCGGCCCGGCCCAUGAGUACCUCUAGUCGCCACCGAUAUUUUUUUGAGGUGUGAUCAGAUCACCUUAAAAUAAUUUUGGUCUACGAAUAAAAAUGGGUUCGGGAGCCAGUUACGCACGAGGAAGGAUUAGCACUCUUGUAACACCCAAAAUUGGUACCGAAUUGAUUAAUUAAUAUCUUAAAGUCGAAUGUCAAAAAUUUGAAAAGAUUAAAAAUGAUCCCCCUCUUAUUAAUAACAUAUUUUUAAACAAUAUUUGUAUAAAUUUGAACAUAUGUAGAAAGACCCUCUCAUCUCGAGGCAAUAAAAUAUCGUAUCUCGUAAGUUAGGAUGCAACAUUUGAAUACUCAAGCAUAAGCUAACCUUUAAAAACCUUUAUUGAAACUUUAUAUAUUUGAAAACUAAAAAUAUUUGACCAUCUUGGUUCAAUGAGGAAAUCGAAACCCUGUAAGUUAGGGCACAGUUCCUUGAAGUUCCAAAGACGACAUAUAAGUUUGCCUUUAUUAAGAAAAACAUCAUCUCGAGAUAUUGAAAUGUCAUAUCCAAUGAGUUAGGACACAACGUUUCGAAUUCCCGAGAUAAGUUUUGAUUUGAAAUUUUUACAUUUGAAUUGAAAAAGGGAUACUCAGUUACUUAAAUUCAACGAGGAAAAUUGAAGCCCAGUAAGUUAGGGCACAAUCUUCUCGAAAAUCUUGGAUACCGAGUAUUGCUUUAUUUUGAAAACUUUUGAAUAAAACGAUUUUAAUGCUUUAAUGAAUCGUAAUCUUUUUGACAAAUGAAACGCAAUGGGAUGACAAUGUAUAACGCGAAAUGAUAGUAAACUAAAAUGUACGCUAAUGAGCGGCAAAGAAUCAAUAAAUACGAAUAAAAAACACCAUACAUAUAAGAGCAAUAAUCUCACAUCACAUGUAAAUAUCAACAUUUAAAAGCUAAUGAACUAAAAGCUAAUCUUAAAAGAAGUACCAAGCAAAUUAACACAAAUAAAAUGUAACAAGUUAUUAAAAUAACUAAAAAAAACAAAUAACAUGAAAGAAGGGAAAUUAUAUAUUAAAAUAAAAAUUUUAUAAUAACUAAAAAAACAAAUAACAUGAAAUAAGUAAUACAUAUAGAAUGAAAAACUUCAUAUAAAUAAUAGUAUAUAGUAGUAUAUGUAAAAGGUUAGAAUGGGCAAAAUAUAAUAAAAUAAUAUUUUUUAAAUGAAAAUAAAUCAUAGAUAUAGAGACAGAUAAAAAAAAAGAUGUAUAGUAAUAUGAAAUCACAAUAUAUUGUGUAUGUAUGUAUGUAUAAUAAAAAUAAUUUAAUAUAAAUUGUGUACAUAUAUAAAAAAUAGUAUUGUAUAAGAAUAUUAUUGUAUAAAUCUUUAAAGAUGAAAUAUAUAAAAGUGGAUUUUAAAAGUAUAUUAUAAAAUAAAAGUUAUUAAAAAUAUAUAUUAUAUUGGAUUAAUAGGAAGAAAAUAAAAUAAUUCAUUAUAAAAUUAAAUAAUAAUGAAUGAUAAUAAUAUAAAAAAAUUUAAAAUAAUAGUACUUAAUAGGAUAAUAUAUAUAUAAUAAGUAAAGGAAAAUAUAACCAAAUAUAAUAAUAAUAUAAAUAAUAAUAAAAUUAAUAAUAAAUUAAAAUUAAACUAAUUAAUUUAAUAGCAAAAAUAACAAGACAAAGGACUAAUUUGGAAUUAAAACAGAAAUGUAGGGGCAAAUCUGAAAUAAAUAAAAAGGAAAGAACCACAAUGAACGCGCGAAUAAAAGCGAAGGGCCAAAAGGAAAAUUAAUCCUUGCCUUCCAAAACGACGUCGUUCGAUUUUGGACCUAAUUGAAAUAAAAAUAAAUAAUGGGGUACAAAUUAAAGAUAAGAAAGACUUGAUUGCAAACACACAAAAAAGAGGAAGGGCUAAAGGUGCAACUAGCCCCUCCAUUAGAAUACACGCGGAUCGUAGGUCCGGAUCGGGUCGCGGGUUGGCCCCCAAAACGACGUCAUUUUGGGCGUCUGGGGGUCCUAAUGAAACGGCGCCGUAUUGUAUUAUUAUUUAAAAAACAUUUUGUAGCCCAUUUGUUUUUUAAAAACUACUGUUUUCUUCCUCCUCUAGGGUUUCGCCCACAGCCCCUAUGGUGCCACCAUAUCCGCCGCUCCUUCGCCAUGGCUCCGCCAAGGACGGCGAUCUAUGCCGGCGAGGAGAUCACGGACCCUUGGUAAGUCCCCUCUCUUCCCCUCUCUAUUAUUCUUUUUUUUUUGUAUUUAAAAAAAAAAGCAAAUCGAAACUAAAAGGAAAAAACAAAAAGAAAAAAAACAGAAUACUACCUUCUCUCUAUUUUCGUAUUUGAAAUUUUCUACUUGUGAUAAAUAUUCUUUUGCUUUUUUUUAUUUCCUUCGUGAAUCCCUUUACAGAUGCAAAAAUCGGCUUUAUAUAGCCGAAUGAAAAUACAAAAAUUAUUUAUUUUUUCUUUUAUAUUUUCUCUACUAUUUGCUGUCACUGUUUGUUGUGAUUUGCGUUCGUUGCAGGUUCGACCAGCCUAGAGUAGAGGUGCUCAUGGGCCGGACGGUUCGACCCGGCCCGACGGCCCGCCCGAAAAAUGGGAGGGUUCGGGUAAAAAUAUAGGCCCGAAAUAUGGGUUUGGGUAAGAAAUGAGGCCCGUUUUAAAAACGGGCCGGGCCUCGGGUAAAAUUUUUUUGGCCGCCCGAAUUUAAUUAAUAUAUCUUUUUAUUUUUAAAAUUGAUUAUUAGUUAUUAGUAAUAACUUAUUAGUGUCAGUUUUCAUUAAUACAUUUCCCAUUUCCUUUCCCUUCCCUUCCCCAUUUCCCCGACCCCAGAUAAAUCCCUAACCCCUUCCCUUCCUUUUUUUUCCCCCAAAUUGGAAAUCCACCUCCACCUCCACCUCCACCGAUCCACGACUCCACGACCACGACUCCACGACUCCACGACUCAACGGUGCUUCUAGCCUUCUUCGUCUUCUCAAAGGUGAGUUUGUUGUUAACCUUUGAAUUAGUUUUUUGCUUUGUGCUUUUCGAUUUUUAUUUUUAUUCGAAUCAGUUCCCUCAUUCUCUUUCAAUUACAGAGGAAUAGGAAGGUCUAACAGACUAACACAAACAGUAGAUGUAUAAUUUCAUUUGAUGUAUAAUUUCUUUUGGUUGGAUUAUUUUUCAUUUGAUGUAUAAUUUCAGAUAUUUGUUGAAAGCCCAGAUGCUAAAACUUCAAUUUCGAUUUUUUUAUUAUUGUUAUUUUUUGGUUUUGGAUUUAUAGGUACUUUCAAUUCUGGGAUUAUUUUACUUUCUGAAUCACUGAAUUGAUUUUAGCUCCUAAAAAGCAUAUAUUUUUAAGAACCGGGAUAGUGCUUGAUUUUGACUUUGAUCCUUUACUUGAAGAUUCAUUUUAGAUCUUUAUUUAGUUGGAAUACUGCUGAGAGAUUGAGUUACUUAAAUCUCCCUUGCAAACCCUUUUUUCUCUUCUAUUUGACGCAUAAGUUUUGCUUUAUUUGGAUGUGAAAUCUAUUUGAAGAUCUAACUAAAACUCAUGUUUUUGAGUAUUUUUUUGUUUUUUUGUUUGUUUUGUCACAGAACUUUUUUCACUACUGGGAAAGAAUACUUGGGCAAUGAUUUCAAUUCCAUGUCAACUUUAUUUUUUCACUACUGGGAAAGAAUACUCGGAAACACCUUCACAGUUCACACCCUAGCAUUUAACUCUAAUGAUUUGCCUCCUUAUCGUGAUAUUACCCCUUAACAACAGUAUACGUGCAUUCAUUCACUGGAGCCUUGAUCAUCAAUUUGUUUCUGUACUUUUCAAUGCUUGAUUAAUUAAUUCUGCACUUUUCAAUGCUUGAUUUUGUUGUGAUUAUUAUGAUUAACAACAAACAUAUGGCUAAAACUUUGUACUAACAUUUAAACAGUGGCAUUCAAAUUUUUUUAGAUUUAUUCUGAUUGGUUAUCAUAUUCUUUCUUGAUAUGCUAUGCUAGAUUUGGACAUUCAUUUGAUACAUUCUAGUUGAUCUCAUUUUCAUCUAGUAACUUUGAUCUUUGGAUUAAAACUUUUAAAAAAGAAAAAAAGUUGAGCUUUACCAUUUUAAGUAUAGAGUACAGAUUACAGAAUAAGAACUGAGACUGACUCCAUAUUUUAAAAUUUAUGUAAUAAGUAAUUUUUGACUACUUUUGUCUUAUUAAAUUGAGUAUGGAACUAUGGAUCAAAGAUCCAUGAGAGUAAUAGUAUGGAUCAAUUUUGAUAUUGUUCUCCUUUAAAAACAUAAAAAUGUAAUGAAAUGAUAAACUUUAAAAUGUUAUAUACAAAAAAAAAUGCAAUUUGAUAUUUGAUAUAAAUUCAAUAACAACCUUUUAAGUCAAAAAAAAAAAUGGGCCGGGCCUGGCCCAGGCUUCAUAUGUUUUUCACGGGCCGGGCCUGGGCAAAAUCUCAGGCCCGUAUUUCGGGCCGGGCCUGGGGGACUAAGAAAUGGGCUGAAAUUUUUAUGGGCCUGGCCCAAAAUUGGCCCGGCUCAUGAGCACCUCUAGCCUAGAGUGGAGGCUGUUGUGUUGACGUGGUGGCGCACGUGGCUGCUGUGCGAGGGAGGAGCAGCGCGUGAACAGCUUGCUGGGGCAUGCGGCGGCUGAGUCAUUAGCUGGCUAAGGUUUUCUAAUUUUUUAAUUUUGUUUUGGGCUGAUUCAGGGAUUGGGUUUAGUAUUUUGGAUUGGGCCUUUAGAUUUUAUUUUUUUGGUUUUGUAAUCUCGACUGUUUAAUUGGACAUUUUAUUGUUUAUUGGUUUUGUUUAUUUAUACACGGGGCCCGGGCAAAUAUUGAGCUAUUAAAGGUACAUAAUAACGAAUAAAUGGCAUUCAAUUUAAACAUUUACAAUGAUUAAUCUUCAAUCGAAAAAUCACUAUCUUCAAUUCAAAAAUCACUAUCUUCAAUUGUCCGCCUAUAUAUAUCACUACCAAUUGGCCAUGCAGUUUCUUGAGCUGUAACAGAAUCUUCCACUAUAAUUUCAUCAACUGAUUGGCUUGCCUGCAAAGCAAAUUAAACCUUCACUCGUUACUGUUUGCUUUUGAUGAUUGAUGAUGAAGAAAGCAAAGCUUGUUUUCCAAAAUUGGACAAAGGAUGACAUAUUAAGAACAAGAACUGUGAAUUGAAAAUAAUAAUGCAACAAGGAUAUUUAGAAAGAAUAUUGACAGCGGCAGAAACCAUAUGCAGUUGAUGCAAUUUCAUUUAGUCAUUUAAAGCAUUAAAAAAAAGAAUUUAUCUCAGACAACCAAAAUAAAAAUAGGGAGAAUACAUAAAGAAAAUAAUUGAAUGGAUGAAUUUCUGUUUUAAAGCUUAUUGUUGAGUUUGGAAGAGUGGUGUACCUGUGUUUUGGCAUGCACUGAUUUCUCUGAAUCAACACUAAAUCUUGUGGUUAUGUUGGGACAACCUUUUACUCGUAAAUCCGUCAAAGAUGGGAAAAUAAAAUGAUAACCUACAGGGCUGAAGCUCACGAGGUUUGGUAGCUCAAUAAGCUCUAAGGAGCAAAGCUGAGGUAGGCGUAUCACUUUCUCUUCUUCCUUAUUCAGAUUUGACUCAUCUCCUUCAAACACCUGCUCUAAUUUGGAGACCCAUUCAAGGCAUAAUCUCAAUAGGUUUGGAAGGCCGCCAUGAGCAAGAGUAAUGGGGAAGAGACAUUUCAAGUUUUCACAAUUCCUUAUUGAAAUAUAACUCAAAUUAGGGAAGCAAAUGGGUUGGAGAUGAUGUUGUGAUGAAGUUUGAUCCUUCUCAAUCAUUUGCUCCAAUUCCUCACAGUUAGAUAUAACCAAAGUCCACAAUUGUGGCAAAUUUCGAGCGAUGGUAGGUGAGAAGAUGUAUCUUAACCUUCUGCAAUCUUGGACUGUCAAUUGAGCGAGAUUUUGAAAGUGUUCAACUUGGAUGGGACCACUCCAAAUCACCCGCAAUUCAGUCAGUUUGUACAACCGUAGGAAGUAUAGAGUUGAAAGAUUAUAUCCAGAAUAUUCAAAUAACUCUUCAAAAUUAGAAAUUGUUAAAUAUUCCGUACAUGUUGAUGUUUCUCCUCUUCUUUCAGGGACUGUCACGUUGCUUAUUUGCUUCUUUUCUGUCAUCUCCGAUAACUCCAAUUUCUAUAAACAUAUCAUCAAUUUAAGAAUAAGCACAAGAUUUCCUUUUCAAUCUUUUAUAGUCAAAGAAUUCAAAUUUUUAAAAAGUUUACUGCUCAACUCAUAUAAUCAUAAAUUACCCAAAAAAAAAAUCUCCAAAAAUAUGGUGCAAAGACACAACAGAAAUAAUAUUACGUAGUACUAGAUAGUGUUUGCAAUAUAUAUAUAAGAAACUAAAAUGUCUUAACAAUUAUAAAAGUAUUCAGUUGAAAUGUUAUUUAUGUUACUAAUUGGUAUUGUAAUUAACUAAACUACUUAAAGGUUUAUUUAGAUUAGUUUUUAGACUAAAAUGAAAACUAUUUUUUAAAGAUUUAUACAUGCAUUUACUUAUUUUAGACCACAAAAAACAAAAAAAUCAAAAGGUGAAAAUUUUAAUAAAUAAUAUAUAUAAGAAGGUCUUACUUGUAUAUUAGUUGGAACGAUAAAAGGUGUCAAUUGAGGACAAUCUCUCACUUUUAACACGCGUAAAGAUGGCGAUGUUAGCACGAUGUUGUUUCUAUCCCUUCCUUUCAAUUGAGGCAAAUUAAUCAACUCAACUUCAUUCAAUCUUGCAAGACCUUGAGACAUUGAGAUUAACACUUCUGGUCCUUGGAUUAUUUCUUGCAAUUGGAAACAGUUCUUUAUCCUCAGAGUUUGCAAUUGCCCAAGACUAUUAGCAACACACAUUGGCAAGAGAAAUUUCAACUUAUUACAUUCUGUGACUUGUACUUCCCUUAGGCAUUGGAAGCUUAUGGUUGAUGAUACUUGUGAGUCUUGAAUUAUUUCUUUCAUUCCAAAGCAUCUCUCUAUCUUUAGGGUUUGCAAUUUCCCAAGACUAUUAGCAAUACACAUUGGGAAGAGAAAUUUCAAAUCAUUACUUUCUGUGACUUGUAUUUCCCUCAGGCAUUGAAAGCUUAUGGUUGAUACUCGUGAGUCUUGGAUUAUUUCUUCCAUUACAAAGCACCUCUCUAUCUUCAGAGUUUGCAAAUUGGGCACAUUUAGUUUUUUAGAGCUACCUUUAUCAACAAUAAUUGGAAAGAGAGAUUUCAAGCUUUCACAUUCCAAGAUAUCAAUUAGAAUCAGAUUUGGAAAGCAAAUAGGUAAGGUAUGCUGUUGUGAUGACGUUUGAUCUUGCUCCAAUUCCUCAUAUUUACAUAAAUGCAAAUUGCUCAAUUGUUCAUUUGUCAUCUUCCCAAACACCAAUUCCUAUAAACAUAUCAUCAAUUCUCAAUUUCAAACUGUUCAAAGAUGUCAACAAUUAACUUAACAUUUCAUCAAUUAAUUUCCUUACAAAAAAUUUAUUUUACCUUAAAUCAAUAUUAUACUCCAAAACUGUGGUACAAAAACAGUCAUAAAUAAUAUCACAUAAUCUGUACAUAUAAAUUAUUGGGAAUUACUUAAACUCAUUUUCAUUUAUUAACACAAAAAUAAAAAACCAACUGCGUAAAAGGCUACAUUUAAAAAAAAUUAAAUAUAUAUUUUUUUAGUUUAUUUUUAAUACAAAUUCUAAAAUCAUCCAAUAAUUCCUUCUCACAUUAAAAAAAAAAAGAUAAAAGUGAUUCAGGGCACUUGAACCAACAUUCUCUUAUUUAGACAACAAUAUCGAUACCAACCAAACUAAAACUUAUAUAUAAUUUUAUAUAGCUUAUUUUUGUUUACCCACAUAAUAGGUAUAAUAUAAUUUAGUAUUAGAUAAAUAGUUUGCAACAUAUCUAAAACAUAAAGUUUGGAUUUUUUUUUUGAAUCUUUUAUUAAUCUUAUUAUAUGGUAUUAUAAUCAACUAAUUUGUUUAAAAGGUUAUUUAGAUUAGUUUUAGACCAAAAUUAUAAAAUAAACAACAAUUCAAACAACGAACUAUAAAGAAAAAAAAAGAAACAAAUAAAUAAAUAAUAUAAAACAAAAAGAAAAAUCUUACUUGUAUCGUAGUCGAAAUAAAAAAAUGUGUCAAUUGAGGACAGUUGUGCACUUUUAACUUUUGCAAAGACGAUUGUGUGAGCAUAAUGUCGUUCACAUCCCUUCCUUUCAAUUGAGGCAAAUCAAUCAACGAAACCUAAAAUGAAAAGCAUAAUCAAAUUUCUCAAUCUUUGACCAUAGGACAAUAAGGAAAAGAAAUGUCAAGUUAUUGCAAUGAGAUACACAUACUUCCCUUAGACUUUGGAGUAGACAUACGUAUGCCACUUGUGGAUCUUGGAUUAUGUCUUCCAAUUGCAAGCAACUCUUUAUCUUCAAAGUAUGCAAUUGGCCAAGGCUAUUAGCAACUGACAUUGGGAAGAUAUAUUUCAAAUUAUUGCAUCCCUCUAUUUCAACAAUCUUCAGACUUUGGAGGCUUAAAUGACGACCGGGCCCUUCUUGUUCUAUGCUCCUUAAUUCAGCAAUCGGGAAUAACACUUUCAUACUAUGGCAACUUUCAACUUUAAACUCUUCAAGCUUUUGUAAAAACCCUUGCGGUUGGGGACCAUUGCACAACUCUUCCAAAAAGGAUAAAUCAUUUAAUGAUAACUUUCUCAAAUUAGAGAGUGUAGUGAUUGGCACUUGCUGCUUUGAUGCAUCAAUUAGGCAUUGCAUAGAGUCGCAACAACGAAGAUCUAGAGAAGUCAACUUACUAAAUCCCAAGUCCAAGCUUGGAACAAGGUUUCGGUGACCCUCCACAUGAUUCAAUUGAAGAGAUUCUACAUCUUCAAAUAGUUGCUUGCAUGCAUCUACAGAGUUAUCGAUUCUCAAAGAUCUUGAGAUUGGAUAAGUUUCCCUCUUUUGAAACCACAUAUCCCUCUUUUGGUACCACAUUUUUCUUUCUAUGCCAAUGCAAAAAUCAAAGCUCCAUAAUCUUCGAAACACAAAGCCAUCUGGAAGAUGUUCAGAAGAAAUAUCCAAUGAUAUUACAACCAACUUUGGCAAUGAAUUCAACUCUGAUAGGCUGGAAUAGCUUUCCCUUUUAGUUGAAUUAUCAGUCGCCCAUUUUAAUGAACUACAACCAUGCAAGUAUAGUUCUUCUAAAUUGGGCAAUCUUCGUAUUAAAUUAGGAGGGAUACUUCGUAGUUUAUAGCAAUACGAUAAAACCAACAGUCUUAGAUUUUCUAGAUCACCAGCUUCAGUCGGCAAUUCAAUGAUAUCAGAUCCACUUAAAGAGAGAAUAUGAAGUGACUUCAGCUUCCCAAGCAUCGAGAUGUCAGAGAGUUGACAAUCAAUCAAACACAAAGUUCGAAGGUUCAUAUGAAACUUAAAUGCAGCUAGAGAUAUCAAUUGAUCUUUCAAAGCACAAACUUGUAAUGCCUUCAUACCCUCAAAGAAUUCGCUUGAAGUUUCCAUUAAACGAUUGCCACCAAGUAAAAGAAGUUUGAGGUAUGGAAAAACCACUCCUUUAGGAAGUUCAUCCGUUUGACCAGUUUCAAAGGAGAUUGCCCUGUAAUGCUUGGAACUUUCAUCCAUCGGGAGUGUUUCAACAGUCCCAAAAGAAAUCUCCUUUCUUGAAGAUGCUAUCCACAAAGCAAAUUGGCGAACCACGUCAUGCAUUUUGACAUGCCUUUCUCCGCAAUCUAGCAACAAACCGGAGUUCUUGAGGGUCUCAAUUGAUGCAAGCACUUCACUGCUAACAUCUUUAAUUGAGUCCAUGCCUUUAUACAACUCCAGUCCCCAUGCAUAUCCUACCAAGUUCUCCACAUAAAUCUCAUCAUCUUCAGGAAAUAAAGAGCACAACAAGAAACAUGUCUUGGUCUCCAUAGUCUUCAAGUAGUCGAAGCUCGCCUCAAGACAUACAUAGGCAUUUUCUUCAUUAACAUCCUCAAUUUCAGUCAACCUACGAUCUUUGAGUCUCCGGUAUGCAGCUUGCCACUCGUGAUGGGUUUUACCUUUCAAGGCACUUCCCAGAGGAACUAUAGCUAUAGGCAAACCCUUGCAUUUUUUGACAAUUUGAUUUGCUAGGAUUUUAAUAGAAUCAUCAGAAAAGUCAUCUAGACCUGCUUUCUUUUCAAACAGAGUCCAAGCUUCAUCAUCAUCCAAACAGUCAAGUUGUACCACGUUUUGACAAUCCAUAGCUCGACAUACUUGUUGACGGCGUGUUGUUAAAAGAACUUUGCAGCCUUUAUGAUCAUCCCCAAUUGGAAUUCCUAUCUUCUCCUUUAAGUUGAUAGAUUCCCAAAUAUCAUCAAGGAUGAUAAGAAUCCUCGGUUCAUUCUUCAGCCUUAACCAUAAUUCUUGCUCGGAUCUUCUUCCUUGUUCAUUCUUCAUAGCAAAGCCUAUGUAUUGUGCAAUUUGAUCUUGAAUUCUCUCAAGAUUUGGCUUUUGAGACACAGUCGUAAUCACAACUUUGUCAAACAAGUUCAGUUUUUGAGCUUGACUUCCAACUUCACGAGCCAGGGUGGUCUUGCCCACCCCUCCCAUCCCCCACAACCCAAUCAUGUUGAUAUUCUCAUCUUUUAAGGCUUCAAUGAUUUGAUAGAAUGCAGUCUCUGAAGAUUUCGAAAACACAAAUUCUUUAGAACAUAGGAAAUCUAUAGUGGGAAGGGCAGUAGGAGCAGGGUAACCGACUGGUCCAAGUUGACCAAAUUUGUCCAAAAGCUCAGAGAUAUCCUGGAUUUUCUUCAUUGCUUUCUUGCUUAAUUGAUAUCGCCAACUCCAAUUAGGACACCAAUUGAGACACCUCUUAUUCAGUUGGAUUUCCUCCUCCAGAGUUCCCAUAUCAGACAGUGUUUCGUCUGCCCUUGAUUGCAAGUUCUGUACAUCAUCUUCAAUUAGUAGAAGCCGGUUUUUAGCUUCCUCAAUCUUAAGUAGUAGACGCUUUCGUGCAUCUGCAAGUUCACGCUUUUUCUCUCGGAGCUUUUCAACAUUGUCAUGAAAGCGACGGACAUAAUCAAGUUGACGUCCUACCGGCUUCACCACACAGUCUACAACCAGUGUUCCAACUGUGUUAGAAAGAGCAGCCUCACAAAAUCCGCAACCCAUGCUUGACAAGCUCAAAUUGAAGAAUAUGAUGUUCCAAGUUCAAACACUGCAGUGAAUCAUAAGUAAUUAUCUUAAAAAAAUAAAAUUUAAAGAAUCAAAAAGUGUUUUGAAGAUUAAGACACUACUUCUCAUACAUACCAAGGAUGGUGAAAGACAACUCAACCUAUGAGAAUCAAUGUGCUGUUCUUUCAACUGAGUCCAGCUGAAAAUACAACGAGAAAUUUAAUAAACAAAUCACAUCAUAUACGAGUGUAAUGUCAUAUAAUUAUAACUAAAAAAGACAGUUAAUUACUCAUAAAAAUAAAAAUUCAAAAUCCAAACAGUCUUUUAUAAUAUUAUAGAUAUAAUGCUGGAAAAUAUAAUAAACAUAUCCACUUACCAUUUCAAAAUCCAAACAGUCUUUUAUCUCUUACUUGCUUCAAGAAAAACAUAAAAAGAUGAGAUGAGAUCAAAGAAAUAUAGAACAACUUCAAUUUAUAUAAAAAAAAAAACAGAAAUGAAGCAUAUAUAAAUAGAUUUACCUCACUUGGGAACUUUUAAAAUCAAACUACACUUAGUGCUCAGAAGGUUCUUACUUCAAAACAAUCAAAAGGGCGAGGGAUUUCAAGGUUGUUUUUUUUUUUUAGCAAAAGUAAGUAAAAUUGAAUACAGAAAGAAAGGAACUUGAAGAAAGGGGGGGGGGGGAAAGAAUAUAAAAAGAUCAGAUGAGAUCAAAAAAAUAUAUAACAAAUUUAAUUUAUAUAUAACACUUAGUGUUGAGAAGAUUCUUACUACUUCAAUACAAUCAAAAGGGAUUUGAAGGUUGGGUUUUUUUUUUUUUUUUUGAGCAAAGGUAAGUAAAACUGAAUACAAAAAGAAAGGAACUUGAAGGAAGGGAAAUAAAAAGAAAAAACAACAAAGUAGAAAUCAAGGUUGAACUGAAAAAAGGAGAAACUUUCAGAAAGAAAUUGAAGUUGAUCUGCCUCGAAAAGUCAACAACUCGGAAAGCAUAAACUCUAACACAACUAGGUUUUGUUGGUUUAGUAGCCAAAGGAUUGGAUCUAAAUUAUGAGGAUUUGUUUUUCUCAAUUGUAUUUUAGUGGAUUGAAAAGGAAAGAGGAAUCUUCCUUUGCAACAAGUUGGUACUGAUUGGUUUGCCAAUGACGCCCACAUGACAUGAAAUGGUAGAGGACGACUUGGAAGAAAGUGAAAGUCUUUGUGUUAAUUAUUUAUAUGAUUUUCAAUACAUUUAAAAUAUCUACCUUUCUUCAGUUUCUUUUUCUUAAUUUCCAUUUGUUAUUAGAAAUGAAAAUGGUUUUUCUUUAUUCAUUUUUAUACUUAAUAUUUUGUAUAUUUUUUACCUAAAUAAGAAGAAUCUCAAAUUUUGAAGAUGUAUAUUCAUAAUCUAUUCGCUCCUCCAUCACCCUUGAUCGAACCCUACUUGAGAGAUGUUAAUUUUUGCAUAUGGCCUUUGUAGGUAAAGGGUGUAAGUUGGACUCGACACUCGUAAACGCGUUAGUGGAAAAAUGGAGACUUGAGACGCACACAUUUCAUCUUCUGUGAGGCAUGUGUACAAUCACUUUAGAGGAAGUGCAACUAUAGCGUAGGUUAUCGGUGGAUGGACUGAAAGUGACUAGGUCAGUUCAAGCAGUCGAUUAGGGAGACGUAUGCAAUGAACUUUUAAGGAGGGUUCUAAAAAUCAUUUUUGGAGCCUAGAUAGAUAUGAGUUGGUUAAGAAGAAAUUUUGGUGGGCUUAAUGAAGAUUCAGCUGAAGUCUAAAAGAACAACACGCUUGGGUUGUAACACCCUAAAACUUGGCCUAGAAGUUAUGACUAAAUAUUCAAGGAUUAAAUCAACUCGUUCAAAGCUUCAGUUCAAAUCAAACUCAAUGCAUGCUUUGAAAACAUAAAAUUUUGGCAAAACACCCAUAGAUGGUUAGAAAAGCCGAGUUCGAAAACACUUAUUUAAAACCCAUAAUUCACAUUCAAAAUUGCGCGUUUUAAAACUACUAAUGUGAGCAAAUCAUUUCCAGUAUUAAAACAACCAUUUGUUACAAACCAUAUAUUUUAUUUUCAAAAAAUACUUAAAUGAUUACUUAACCUUGUAGCAAAAAUUUUUCAAAGUUUGUUUUAGUUUGAAAACUGAAAUCUAACUUGUCAGCUCGUGUGAUUUGUAGUUUAAUGCUCAAAAAUAUUAAAUGCCGACGAAUAAAACAAAAACCAAAACUAGGACCAAAAACACAUUACAGUCCAAGAAUAAUUAAAUUGUAAACCCAAAAAUAUUUUAUCUGGUAACCAAUCUGAGCUCCUGUAAGUUGUCCGGUCCUAAGUCAGAAGUUAACCUAAAAUGUAUUGAACAAACAAAUAAGCUAGGAGCCUAGUGUGUGUCUCAACCCACAAGCAUAAUUUUUAUUUAACUAGCACAUACGUAAAUGUGAUCACAAAAUUUUACUUUAAUGUAUCAAUAACAUAUCAGAAUGUUGUAUUACCAGAAACAUAUAUAUUUUAGAUCAUAAUAUCAUAUAACCGGAACAUAUUUUGGUUUGGAAUAUCAUAAUUUCAUAGAAAAAUAUAUCAUACUAGAAUGUCAUGUUUUCAGAAGUGCAUAUGUCAUACCAGACUAGAACAAAUGCAUACACAAAUCCUACCUUCAUCUGCUACACACCAACUCUGUCCAACGAAUGACACCAAUUAGGACUUCAAGAGUCCAUCCAUCCAAAUCACACCGGAUCGUGGUGGUAUGCCACUAUAAUAGAGCAACUCAGUUGCCAAACAUAUAGAGUGGUUUAACCGCUGAAAAUGCAAUAAUGCUAUUAAAAAACACUUCCUCCAACAAAACAGAACCACCCCAAUGCAUAUGCUAAAUCACGUUGACAUACAUACCACAUAGUUUUUAUGCACGUACAUAAACAGAUAUCAUACGGAAUGUAAUGUAACACCCCUAACCCGUAUCCAUCGCCAGAAUAGGGUUAUAGAGCACUACCAGAGUUUACUAAUUAAUUUUUGAACUUUUAAUUUCAUCAAGCAUUCAUAUUUAUAACCAAUUAAAAUCAAAACAUUAAUAAGCUAACGUUAACCAAUUUAACUUGUACAUGCCAUUAUAACCAAAAUCAAAUCAUCCAAAAAUUAUCGAUAGAACCAAUGGAUAAUGUGAUAUAUCUCCAACAAGCUUCCAACUCAAUCGAGCUUCCGAUAAUCAUUUCAAUGCAUCAAAUAAUUAUACAUAUUACCAAUAAUAAUUCAAUUCCAAUAAUGAAACACACAUAUAUAUAAUAUUCAUUACCAAAUAGAAUUCACUUCAAUUAAAAUUAUACAGAUAUAGUUCAUACGAACUUACCAGGCUAAAUUGCAGAAAUAACAAAAUUCAGAGACAUUUUAAAAAUUUUCUAUUUUUCUCAAAUUUCCACCCAAUCUUGAUCUAAAUUAAUAUUUCAUUCAAUUUAAUAAUUUAAAUAAUAAAACAAUUCAUUUCAUGCAAUUUGGUCACUUUUUGACAUUUUUACAAAUUUACCCUUAAAGUUUUACUUUUAUUCAAUUUAGUCCAUGAGCCUAAAACGUGCAAAUUAUCCAUGCUAGCUGAAUAUUCAUAUAUAUAUAUUCCUCCUCCUCUCCUUUCCACAUCCUUAAUUUAUAUAAUAUGCUUAUAAGUAACAUUAUCUAUGAAUUCACUAUUUACUUUAAAUAUAUUCAAAACUGUCCAUUUGAGUCAUAGCCACUAAAUUAAUUUUAUAUUGAGCUACAAAACUCUAAAUUAGGAUCAGCUAAUUUUCCCUGAAACUAGAUUCACAUAUCUUCUUACCAUAAAAUUUUCAGAAUUUUUGGUUUAGCCAAUAAGUACAGUUUAUUCUUUAAAGUCACCUCUGUUCUGCUGUCUGACAGUUCUGACCCUUCUUCACUAAAACUUAAUUAUCUCCUUGUACAGAAUUUGGAUGAUAUCUCUGUUUGUUUCUAUUUAAAAUAAAUUCUUUAAGGCUUUUAAACAUAUAAAUUCUAACCCAUAAUUAUUUGUGUACAUUUUUUUAUGAUUUUCCAAAUCCAGAACAAGGGAACCCGAAAUCAUUCUGACAUUGUCUCACAAAAUCUAUUAUAUCUCAUGAUUUACAAUUUCAUUACUUACACCAUUUCUUCUAUAAAAAACUAGACUCAUUAAGCUUUAAUUACAUAUUUUUUUCAUCCUUUUAUUUCAUUUUCACAAUUUAUGAUGAUUUUUCAAAUUUAACCUACUGCUGCUAUCCAAAUCUGUUUUAGUUCAAGAUGUUGAUUACUAAGUUUAUAACUUCCUUAUUCCCUUUCUCUAUAAUAUUUCUCAUCACUUUCACUUAUUUCUCUUCACUAAUAUAUCAAGAACAUAAGAAUUUAUAUAAGAAAACUCCACUAUAACAUCUUUUCCAUGCUAUUUCAAUAAUAUCAAACUUAAAAAUAUAUUGAAAUCUCAAUGUUCUUACCUUGCCCUAUUGAUUUCAACCUUUAACUUGAUUUUCUCUCUCCUCCAACUUUAAUUUCUUGAAUCCAACUUGAUAUUCUAGCUCCCCAUAGUCUCCUUGCUAUCUUUCUCUCUUGAUGACUAUGGAGAUUCUUUUGAUUUCUAAGUGAAAAUGGUGAAUUUUUUUGGUGGAAGGACCAAAUUGUAAAGAAAGCAAAAAUUUCUUUCUUCUCUUCUCUUCUAACGUGAAUUGCAUGGAAAAGAUGGUGGCUGGGUUGCUUUUCAUCUUUCUUUCCACAUAUAUAUACUAAAUAAUAAAAUAAUAAAAUAUCAUUUAAAAAAUCAAAUUAAAAUAUUAAUAAACUAUUAUUUAUUUAUUUAUUUAAUCUAAAAUAUCUCCAACAUCAUCAUUAUCUUCUAGAUUUCUAUCUCUUCUAAAUGACCAUUUUGCCCUUUAUGAUCUUUUAAAAAUCCAUCCUUGAGUCAUUAUUUAAUUUGGGAAAAUUACGAUUUAGUCCCUCAUAAUUCUUCACCUAUUCGAUUUGGUCCUAAUUCAUCCAUUUUCCUUAGUUUUUAGAUUAUUCCACCCUUAAAAUAUUUGUACUAUUGGUCCUUCAACUUUUUUAUUUACACUUUAACCCCUCAAAUUUUGAGUAUUUACCCUUGGGCAACAAAACUUUUCUCACUUUUGCAAUUUAAUCAUUUCUUGAACUAAUAUGUCAUAAUAUACUUCUCAAUGUUGACAUAACUCAAAAUUAUCCUUUUUAUCACUUUAUUUCCUUAUUUUACUAUAUCAGGAAUAUUAUCUUACUUUUUUUUACUGUAGUAAUUUUCGAGGUAUUACAUGUAACUUACACAUAAUUUAUAUAGAUCAUAGCAUAUCAUAUUCAUGGUCGAAUCAGAUAACUUAUCAGAACGGAUAACAAAAUAUGUAUAACACACAUGAUUUACAAAAUAGUUAUGCUUAACUCACGUACCUACUUAUAGCAAAUAAUAUCACAUUAUUAUAUUUAUCAAAAUUUAUUUAACAUGCUUCCUACACUUACCCAUGUUUGUUUUCCUUAAAUUUAUGCUUUCUAGGCCUACAUAAUGCACCCAAACCCAAAUUCUGAGUCCUUUAGUCGACCCCUAAUUGGCCCAAAAGACCCACUCAACCCAAAAAGCUAGCCUGCGUGGUCCACAUAGUCUAUCCAUACGAUUUGCAUGAUCUUACACAGCAGUGUGGGAACAUAGCCUACAUGACAAGCCACAUGGGUUGUAAAAACACACAUCGUCGUGUGCCCCACACAGGCUACAAAAUCACACACGGUUGUGUUCCCCUCAUGGUCUACCACACGGUUAUGUGUCACUGGACAACUUUGUUUUGCAUAAUUUCUAAAUUUUUGAUGAGUUUUUCGAGUUAGAUCACACGUCAGAUUGCUGAUUUUGAUGUAGAUUCACGAAAGAACACACUAGAACCUAAAAUCAAUAUUCCAAACGUAUCAAAUUAGUAACAAAAUGCAACACUAAAUCAAGAUUGACUCACUAACAUAACACUAAAGACCUAGCACAAAGAAAACAACAACAAUAAUAUCUAAGUCGUCGAAGGAACGCCCAACACUUCUCGUUCUUCUCCUAAAAAUGCACCGAACUCAUUAAGCAUACAAAAUACACAUUAAUACCACACUACUAAAGCUCUGAAACCCUGAACGCCCAAUGAAGUAAUUUCAAUACAUGGCUGAAAAAAUGGAGGAUGAAGCAACCUUACCAUUAAUGACUAAAACUGAUAGCACAAAGGACAAAUGAUACACAAAUUAACAAAAGAAUAAAAAACAAGAAGAGAGAAAAAAAAACAUGAAAAACUGAAAAACCAACCAUAAAGAAAGAAACUAACGAGAAAGUGAAGAGGGAGGGAGAGAGUGAGAGGAUGGUAUCUCUGUGGCAGAAAGUUCUACGGUUUGGACAUAAGGGCAAGUUGGUAAUGAAGAAUGCUUAAGAAAUGAGAUUCAAUUGAAUUUAACAAUGAAGAAUGCUUUUAAUGUGCCUAACAUUAGACCAAGACAAAUAAUUAUAAGUUUUGUCAAAAUCUUAGUUUUCUUUUUUAAUCUUUGAUUAAUGAGCUGAAUUCACAUACUUUGUUUUUUUUCUUAUAGCUUAAUAAAUCUUUCUUCGCUCAUAAGAACAAAAAAAGUAAGUGGUACAUAAUAACGAAUAAAUGGCAUGUAGUUUUCCAAAUUAACUCCUUAAAUAGAAAUAACUUCAUUUACUGUUCCAUUCAUUUUAAAAUUCCUCUUUGACCCACCAUUUUAUAUCACUACCAAUUGACCAUGCAAUUUCUUGAGUUGUAGCAGAUUCUUCCACUAUAACCGAUUUUGUUGCUUGUUGUCUGACGUGCCAGCAAGUUAAGAUUCCCUUUGUACUGAUGGGCUUCGUUAGUGGGUUGCCUUCAACACCUACUAAAAACGAUUCUGUAUGGGUCAUCGUGGAUCGGUUGACCAAGUCUGCCCAUUUUAUUCUAGUUUGGACAGAUUAUUCUUUGCAGAAGUUAGCUAAGCUCUAUAUUUCUAAGAUUGUGAGACUUCAUGGAGUUCUGAUUUUGAUAAUUUCAGAUAGAGAUCCUCAAUUCACGUCUCGAUUUUGAAAAAAAACUUUAUGAGGCUUUGGGAUCGAGAUUGAACUUCAGUACUGCAUUCUAUCCUUAGGCCGAUGAUCAACCUGAGAGGGUGAUUCAGAUACUGGAGGGUAUGCUUUGAAGUUGUGUAAUUGAUUUUCGAGGUAGUUGAGAGGAUUUCCUACCUUUGCCUGAGUUCGCCUAUAACAAUAGUUUUCAGUCUAGUUGUAACACCCUCUAACCCUAAACAGUCGUCGAAACAAGAUUACAAGGCAUUACUGGACCUAUCAGACGAUCUACAAAUAAUUCCUAAAUAAAUAUAAAAUAUAUUAUAAUAUAAUCAUAAAUUCAUAUAAAGUUUUACUAAUUGACUUCAUUCAUUUUUCAUUUUUAAAAAAAAUUCAAUAUAACCCAUUUAUAAAUAUUUAACCUUCCUUGCUAAUUUCAAAUCCCAACCAAACCAAUUCCAGUAUUUCAACCAAUGCAUUUAUAUACUCAAAUAUACUUAAAUAAUACUUGAGAUAUUUGACUUAACAACUUAAUUAAUGAAAACCCUAUUAUCGUUUCUAAUUAGCUCAUAAAACUAUUCAAACCAUUUCAAUUCAAUACUAAUGUCAUAAACAAUUUCUACCAUCUCACUAAUUUAAUCAUCAAAACACCAAAUAUCUUUCUUUACAACAAAAUCAUAUAACAUACCAAAAUAACCAUUAUAAUCCCUAUGUACAUGUCACUUUCAUUUAAAGGAAGAAAACAUCACUAAAAUCUUUAUGCUGGAGUCGGGAUCAUUUGGAUGCUGGACUGGGGCACUAUACUCCUAUCAACCUGCAGACAUAAACAACCGUAUGCUGAGUAUUCCAUACUCAGUGGUAUUAUAAUAAUAAUAAUAAUAAUAAUAAUAAUAAUAAUAAUAAUAAUAAAAUAUAAUUAUCAAGCAUUUAACUAUCUAAUUUUUCAAAUAUCAAUUCAUUCUUAAACUUUCAUUAAUUACCAAUAACAGUACAAUUUUUAGCUAUUCUUCAAUUUCAACCACAUUUCACAUAUAAUAUUUUCAAUCACUACAUGAACAUUAAGUUCAUGCCUUUCAUUUUCAAUCUCAGUUUCAAUCCAUAAUUUUAAAUUUUCUCAUAUUCAAUACUACAAUUGAUCAAAUUCAUUUGAUUUUCUCAUUUUAAUUUUUCACCCUAUUAACAAUCCGGACUUUGACGGAUACAAGGAUUCCAACCCAAACACACCAGUAUGGCACAUUGGGCCUAAAACGAUACAUAGUAUCUGAUCAGUAUACAACACAUAAGCAAAUAAAAUGACACACGAGGUGCUUAAAAUGCGACACAUAAAGUGUCUGAUAUACUACAUAUAAAGUGUCUGAUCGGCAAAGUCGAUAAAUCCCGUACUCUUCCAAAUCCUAUGGCAUGCCAACUAUAUCCAACUUAGCCCAACUAGUUCAUAGGGUAUUCCGUAUUACUUUCGAAUUUCAAUUUCAUUCUCAAUUUAAUUACAACUCAAUUCAAUAUACUUUUCCAUUUCAAUCCACAUACAAUUCAAUUUCAAUUCAUAUUCAUUGUUCAACUCAAUUUUCAUUUAAUUCAACAAAAACACUUACCUUAUAAUUUACUUACCAUAUACAUAAAUUAAUUUAACAUUUAAUGAAUAAAUAAAUAAUUUGAAUUAUAGUAAUACAAACCUGAAUUUCGUAGUUACUCCUCGAUGACUUUUUCCUUUCCUUUCGGUACUGAUGCCCCGUGUUCUUUACUAGCUUUUAAAGCUUUAAAACCUUAAACCCUAGUUUUUCCUUUUCUUUUCUUUUUCUCCUUUCCCUUGCUCUGUUUCGAAAUGGUUCUGCUAUUCUUUUUUUCCUUUUCAUUUCUUUCAUUUCUUUUAUAUAUAUAUACUAAUUAAUAAUAAUAAAUAUCUAAUUUUUAACUAAUACAUAUAUUACAAAUGUAUACAUAUAUUCUUUUACACUUGUACUUGAUCUAUACCCUACACUUGUCACAAAUUAAUUUAUUAAUCACAUAAAAAUAUUAUAAUUUAAUUAUUUAUCUAAUAAAUAUCUUUUAAAUAAUAAAUAUCUACUUAAUAUACAAAUAUAAAUAUUACAACAGUAUAUAUUUAUCUUUUUAUACAUGUACUAUUUAAUCAUCAUACAUUUGGGAUAAAUAUAAUAUAAAUAUAAUAUAUAUUUAUCUUUUUACUUAAAUUUUAAGUAAAUAAAUAAUUUAAUACAAGUGUAUAUAUAUUCACAUAUUACACACGUACCACUUAUCACCCUACAUUUGUCAUGUCUUAAUUUAUUUAUUUCAUAAUAUAAUAAUUAAUAUAAUUUAUAAUUUAAUAUAAAACAUUAAUAAUAGUUAAUAUUAAGAUUUUUAAAAAAAUCAUAUAAAAAUCUUAGAUUUUAACGGCUUAUGCCACCACCUCACUUAUGUUAAUUGGCAUAAUUGCCAUUUUGACCUCUUUCUAUUUUUUAAUCUAAUAUUAAACUUUUACCCUUUAUUCAAUUUAAUCCUUUUUCGCAAUUACUCUUAAUUAAGCUAAAUUCACCUAAUUAAAAUUUAAUUAGACACACUACUAGACUCAUAAAUAUUUUUAAUAAUUAUUUUUGAACUCGAUUUACUAAGAUGGAUGCCCAAUAGUACACUUUUUCGAUGCCCGUGAAUUUUGGGUCAUUACACUAGCAUCCAGAUGGCACCUUACAAAGCUCUGUAUAGUUGUAAGUGUCGUACCCCACUAUGUUGGACUGAGUUGGGGGAGCGACGGGUUUUGGGUCCUGAGUUGGUUUCCAAGAUUGAGGGCAAGGUCAAAUUAAUUCAGGAUCGUCUUAAGGCAGCUUUUGAUAGACAGAAGUCAUAUGCAGAUUUGAAAAGGAGGGAUAUCGAUUACUCUGGGGGUGACUCUAUUUUCCGUAAGAUAUCUUUGUGGAAGAAAGUUCUGGGUUUGGACGUAAGGGCAAGUUGAGCACUAAGUUCAUUGGGCCAUAUCAGAUUCUAAAGCGUGUGAGACCGGUCGCUUAUCAGUUAGAGUUACCUCCAAAGUUAGACCGCAUUCAUAACGUAUUUCACGUCUCUAUGUUAAGGAGGUAUCGAUUUGACCCAUCUCAUGUUGUUUCUGUUGAGGAGAUCGAAGUUAGACCGAAUUUGACAUUUAAGGAUGAACCGAUUUAAAUUUUAGAUCGCCAUGUAAAUGCUUUGAGAAGGAAGUCUAUUCCAUUAGUUAAGGUUCUGUGGCAGAAUCAUGGCAUUAAGGAAGCCACGUGGGAACUUGAGGACUUGAUGCUUCAGUAAUAUCCUCAUUUGUUCGGAUCAGGUAAAUUUCGAGGCUAAAAUUUCUUUUAAGGGGUAGAGUUCUAAUGCCCUGACUAAUUUUACUUUAUUUAUGUGAAUUUUAUCAUAAAUGUGUAUCUAAUUCAGUGGCUAAGUGUUUUGGGUGUGUGUUUGAGGUCUUGGGUUUAAGCCCCACUUUUGGGAAAAUAAGUUAUUUUUUAUCCUAGCCUAUUCAUUGGCGAUUGGGUUUACGUCUUAUCUUCAGUAAACUCAUAUCAGAAUGAGCUUGUUGGUUCGAGUGGUAAGGAGUUAGCUUGCCUUGAGGUCUUGUGUUUGAGUUCUUGUGAGAAUUGGAGUGAUAAUUUUUGCUUCGGUUGUCAGAUAGAGAUUCGAUGAAAUUGAAACUUUAAGGUAGUUGGAUGUGGUUAGUUGGUAGGAUUCUAAGGGAUAAGGUAAUUAGUGGGGGAGUUAAGAUUUUAUGUUACCUUUGAUUUAGUUGUUAUUUAAUUUUAAUUUUUAAAUUUUAUUUUUGAUUUUCCUAAAACUCCUCCUCCUUCUCUCAUUUUUUUUCCUUUCCUUUCUUCUCUCUAUUUUUUUCUCUUUCAUUGAAAAAAAAUUCCUCCCUUUCCACUCUACAGUCUUUCGUUCCAACUAAACCAUGUGCCAUUGUUAUUUGACCGGUAUUGUAGUUUGUUUAUCACUCUCUUUUGUCUCAAAUUCUGAUUGUAAUUCUAUUUAGCAAGUUUGGGUAGGUGUAGUUAUUACUUUUGGUUGGUGUUUCUUUAUUGCUAGUGUUUUUGUUAAUGCCAUGUAGGGGAAGACCAAGGGGUUCGGGAUUGUCCGUCGGUGACUUAGUUGUACGUAACUACCAUCAUUCGAUUAAAGGUAAGGGUUUAGUUGAAUAAUGGGUUGAAUGGAUCGUUUUGGUUUCAAUUUUAGUAUCAAUUUAAUCGACUAAUUCAGUGAUUUAUUGGUUAAUUGUAGGUUCUGGUUAUCUCAUGGGAGCGUUCACAUCAAAUCCGAAUUAGAUGUGUAAUAAAAACACGAGAAAACGAGGUUCGACGAAAGUUAAAAAGCGGCCAAUCGACGCCAGAUGACGAAAGCGAUGUGGUAUUUCUAUAAAUCGAACAUAAAAAUAAAAUUACAACAAUUAUAUGCCAAUACUAUGCGAUAUUAUCACAUUCAUAGUUUGAUUCAUAUCAUACGUAAUUUAAUAUUAUUCCUUCAUUACAAAACCAUUCACUACUUUAAUUUCCAAAUCACAUUUCGUUAUAUAAUUCAUUCCAUUAUAUCGCAUUUGCUAUUUAAUAAAAUUUUCAUUUCAAAACUAUUAUCAUCUCAAGUCAUGAUUUCAGUUUUAUCAAUUACUUCCCCUAUUAACAUGACUCAAACUCGGAUAUGCGGAUCCAACCAACACAUCAAAGUUUGUCACCAAGUGCCUAAUAGAUAAACCAUAGAAAUUGAUUGCACCUUGCGCUAGCCAGUAAGAUAAAAAAAUAUAUGUGCCCAUCACUGGUCAGUAUAACUGACGAAUGGGGUGCCCAACACUCCCUGACACAUAGUUGUAAAACCUUAAACUCUUCCUAUCCUACCCAAACUGUUAAUAGGGUAAAAAUUUUCUCAAUUUAAUUUAUAACAAAUUACAUAAUCAUACAUCACCAAUUAUCAAUUCAAUCAUUCAUUUACCAACAUAACAAAACAUCUCAUUUCCAUAUAGAAUAUAAUCUCACAUGCAUCUCAUUCCGGAAUGUAAUCUCGCAUACAAUAUAUGCUAUUAUUAUAGCUAUACAAUUUAAUCAUUUAUCACCAAUAAUUAUUUGAUCAUAACAAUUCAAUUCGAAUUUAUCAUUUUGCAACAUUACUCUAGCAAUUAACUUACCUUAUAUACUUACCUAAUAAUACAAUGUGUAAUAGGAGUAAAUACAAAAGUUUAGAUGAUAAAAACACCAACAAUAGAUUUCAAGCUAUUCAACAUCGACUUUAUUUUUCCCUUUCUUACUCGAGGAUUCCGAAACGAUAUUAGCUACGGAAUAAAACAAACCACACAUCUCAUCAAUACACAAACAAUUUCACAUUUAAUUAUCAAAUUACGUAACUUUUGUACUUUAUUCAAUUUAGUCCCUAAAAUUGGGACUAGCCUAACUUUCACAUUAAACCCUAAAUUUUUAUACUAAUUUCACUACAAGCCUAAUUUAAUUCCCUAUUUCUCAAUGUCAUCCCCUAAUUUUGAGUUUUUUACAAUUUGGUCCAUAUUACUCAAAAUCAACCAUUAACUUCACAUUUAACCCAUUUUCACUUCUAACCUAAAAAUCUAUCAAAUUAGUCUCUAUGGCUUUAACUACUCAAUAAUCGUAACAUCUAAAAUCUUAAACAAUACUAAAAAAGAAGGCAUGGGUUGAAUGAAAAAAUAAGACAUCAGAAUUUCGAAAACAUAAAAAUUACAAGAAAAUAAAUUGAAGCUUGAAUGCUUAAACCUCUAAUGCCGAAUACUUCUUCUUCUCCCUUUAAUUUCGGCUUGCAUCAAGAAAGAAUGAAAAUGUUUUUAUUUUAUGUUCCACUAACUUGUUUUAAGUUAUUUUAUUAUAUUAUGUUUUAUGUUAUUAAUUUAUUUAUUUUAAGUAAAAAUUUACAACAUUUUUAACAUUUAAAACCAUGAUGCCAUCCACUUAUAAACCAUAGGUAUAAUUACCUUUUAAGUCCCCUUAAAUAAAUUCUAAUUAGAAUUCUUUAGUAACUCAUAUGUUUACCACUUACGCGAUUUAGUCCCUAUACUAAAAUUAAGCCUUAAUUCAAUUAAAUUUCUUAACCAAAAUUCAACUCGCUUCUAAUAAAACUCUAUAAAUAUUUAAUAAAAAUAUUUAUGAGUCUGGUUCAUGGAAACGGAGUCCCAAAACCUCACUUUUCGACACCAUUGACUUUUGAAUCAUUACAAGGAUGUUUUUCAAUUAAGCACUAACACAAAGAAAAUACUUGAACUGAUAGAAAACAAUACAUGCUCACAAGUGUAUACAAAAAGAUAAAGAAUUGAAGCACAGAGGUUGAAAAAAAGAGUUGUUGAUCUUUCUUGAUAACUCUUAAUCUUUUGUAAUCUUUUUGUUGUUGUUGAACAUUUGAAAGCUGGUAUUUAUAGUCCCAAAUUGAUUUCCACCCAUUUUGAUUGUUGUGGAAUUGAAUAGAAUCAUUGGGAUGUAAAAACCAAUGCAUUAAUGUCACCUACAACAACAAGUAUCGAUACCUUUGGAGGGCUAUCGAUACUUUGGGCAUUUAAUGCCUCAAUUUAGUGAUCAUUAAAGCCUGUAGUAUCGAUACAAUAGGGUAUGUAUUGAUACUUGCUAUGAGGUAUCGAUACUCGGAUAAUUUAUUGUUUUAAUUUUCAAAACAUUGAACCUUAAAACAGUAUCAUUACUAGGAGGAGGUAUCAAAAUAUUUGGUAAGGUAUAGAUACUUUGUAUUUGUCCUCAAUAUUUUUUUAGAAACAGAAGCUCAAUUUGGUAUCGAUACUAUGAAAGAGUAUCAAUACUUUGGUCAAGAUAUCGAUUCUCUUUUAUUCGUGCUCCUUUUUUGAAUUUCGAAGCUCAAUUCGGUAUCAAUACUUGGGGUUAAGGUAUCAAUACCUUGUUUAGGGUAUCAAUACUUUGAUCCCUGUGAGUAUUUUAACUUGUUUAAAAAUGUUAGAAAAAUUGUUUAUUGUUUUAAAAAACUUCCAAAAUAAUUUUCAAGUAUUUGAAAGAUUAGAUUUAAAAUUUCUCUCUCAAAAUAUUUUGAAACAAAUUUUUACUUUCAAAUUUAUCAAGUUUUAUUUCAAAAACAAGUUUUCCUCAAAAACAUUAUAUUUGUUAUAUCAAAACUCUUAUCAAAUUAAAGCUCGACUUAACAAAAUAUAAUCUUUAAACAUUACAUCUAAAUAUUAAAAAUAAAAUGUAAACAUAUAAUAUACAAUUUAUUAUUAUAAACUAAUAAAUAAUUCAUUAAAAUUAAUGUUUUAAAAUUAAAGUUUAAUAACCAAAUUUAGAUUAAAAAACAAGAGUCAAAUUUAAUAAAAAUAUAUCAACGUUGAGGGCUAAAAUUGUUAUUAUACUUUUAAUUAAUUAUUUUUCUUUCACCUAUGCAGUUCUAUAAUUACAUUACAAAGCUAUUCCAUCCAAAACAAAAAGAAGUAAAUAUUUGGUUGAGCCAGAAGAUAGCAUAAAUAGAAAACUUGAUGCCUGUGAAGCUAAAACUCUCCCUAUGUAGCAACUUCGUAAACAUCACUUCUCUAGUUGUUGCGAUUGCCACCAUAUUAAUUUUUCCACUCCUCAAUUACAACACUAAAUACAAUUAUAAGUAAACAACAUUAUUGAAAGGUGAACUAUUAGUAGAUGAAGUCUGUGAGUGUUGGGGAGAAGCAAAAAGAAAAUUUAGGGGAUAAAAUUAAAUUGUAAUUUUUAUGAUAGUAAAAAUGUAAUUCCGUAAUUUUAAUAGUUUAUAUCUUUAUAAAUUUUAAAAGAUUAAAUUAAUUUUUUAUCAUUUUUAAGAGGGACCAAAGUUUAAUUUUACCUUUACUAUUUAAAAUUUAAAAAAAAAUUUAAAGAGCUUUUGCCAUAUUUGAACCUCCAAAAAAAUUUGACUAUAAAUAUCAUGCAGAGGAAUAAAUGAAUGUCUUUGUUACAUGGUAUGGUUGUAAAUGUAGUAUCGUUCACUUUUCUUUCAAUAUUCUUAUAGAUUAUGAAGGGUGUUAGAGAGUUGUAUAUCUACAUUUAUAUUUAGAUAUUCGUCGUGAAUUAAAAGUGUAAUACUUGAAUUUGUAAGUUAUUUAAGUUUGAAAAAAAUUCGAUUCAAUAAUUAUCAAUCGAACUCAAAUUCAAACAAUUUAAAUUAUCGAUUAAGUUAAAGUCAAACAUUUUAAUAUUUGAUUAAAGUAUCUUGCGAGCAAUCGACCUUCUUAUAUAUUCUUUAAUUAAUUUUCGGGUAAACUUUAAAAUUAGUCACUUUUGUUUGUCUUAGAUUACAUUUUAAUCAUUUAUGUUUGAAAUGUUAAGUUUUAGUCACUUACGUUAUCGUUUUGUUACAAAGUGGUCACUCUAUCUUUAAGCUCUGUUACCUCCCUAAUGGCGGUCCUACGUGGCAGUCCAAACGGGUUUUAAAUGCCAACUUUGAUGUCCUAUGUGGCAAUCCAAAUUGAAUUUAUUUAAUUAAAAACCUAUUUUCAUUCCAGCAACUGGACAUCCAAGUUGGCAUUUAAAACCCAUUUGGACUGCCACGUAGGAUUACCGUUAGGGAGGUAAUGGAGUUCAAUGGUAGAGUGACCACUUUGUAACAAAAUAAUAACGUAAGUGACUAAAACGUAACAUUUCAAACAUAAGUGACUAAAAUAUAAUCUGAGGCAAACAAAAGUGACUAUUUUUAUAGUUUACCCUUAAUUUUGUGCAAUGUAUAGAUUUAUUGCAUGUAAUUAUAAAAAAAAAGUUAAUAUAAAAUAAUUUAAAAUAUUUGUAUUUAAAUAUCAUGGAAAAAAUUAAAAUGCACGUAACUUCUAUACAAUAAAUUAAGAGCUAAAUUAGAGAUAUGAUUGAAUGACUGAAAACAUGAAUAUAACUUACAUUUGAUUUGUGCCAGUAGAGUAACGUGUUAGAAACAUAAAAAUUUUGGCACGUUACUAUAGUAAAUACAGAAAAUAAUCUUGGAAAAUUUAUAAUCUUAGAGGCUCAUAUAAAUUUUUUAAGAAUAUCAAAUUAUAGAUUGAUUUUGAUCUUGACUUCUGAUAUAAAUUAAAUUGUACUAUUGAAUCUGAAGGAGCUAAACUAUAAAUAGAGACCUUCCCAUUUGUAAGCAUCCCAUUGUAGCUCAUUCUUGAUUAAUAUCACACUUUUACAAGUAUUUACUCAAACACUUAGUAUGCUAUUGCUUUUUUGCAACUUGUUUUGUUCUCUCGUUUCUUCUUUAUUUUUUCGGUGCCCACUUUCGAGAAUAAGAUUGACUUAGGCGACUUUGAAGCAAAAGAAUCGCCUAAUACCACGCAAUUUGCAAGACUAUAAAGUUCUAGGCGCAUGACAAUAUUUUGUGGUUGUAAUUUGCUCCAAUAUUACAUUUGCUCUACUAGUUUAAAGUGUAAAGAUUAAGGACACAGAUUUCAUUUACUUCUAUGAUUGUUAUCAUUUAUUUAAGGGAAAUGUAGGCUUAAUGGAAAGCCACUUUAUAUUCAAUAGACGGUUAUUGUUAAGAUAUUAUUUACUUCGAAACCAAGACUGUUCAAACAUGGAUGGAGAGUGAAGAGAUCAAUCUAUUUUUUGUUUUCCUUGGUGAAAAUCUAUGGGUUUUUUUUUUUCAAAAAAAUUUAUCUAGUGCAAAUAACUUCCCAUCCUCAAUUUGCAGCAAUGACGUUAGCAACAAUUAUAUUAAUAUGUUAUUGCUUAUACUUGUCCUUUGAAGGUGGAAUUAUGAGUUCCAGACCUUAAAAUUCCUGGCAUUGUACUUGAUUUAUGAUCGGCUAUCACUUCUGUAUUUUGCAGAGAAAACUGAUGCGAAACAGAGUUUUAAAGCUUUUACGAGCUUUGGUUUCCAUUACUGAAGCCGUCUCUGAUUGUCCUAAAACAAUAAGAGUUGUUUCUAAGGAUUUGAAUGGUUUUCUCCAAUCAGAAAUAGACCAAAUUCCUAAUAGUUGGAAACAAGUUUCGAAAAUCACCAGGUCCAAGGAGUUUUCACAGUCCAUAGCAAUGUAAAGAACUGCAACCUGAAGGAGAUUUGAAGUCAAAUUCAACUCCGAGCUGGCUGAAUUGGUGUGUGGUGAUGAGUUUAGGGAGCUGAUUGGUGAUUGUAUUCAAGUUUCUGUAGUAAAAUUUUAAAGAAGAAUCAAUUUGUUGAAUUCUGAAUCAAAGGGUUUUAACUUUAGAUUUGAACUCCAUAAAUCUCACUGUUUUUAAUCUCAAUUAUAAAAGUGAGUACUUUUGGAUCGGGUUGUACUUAGCAGAGACAGGGUAUAAAAACCCUAGCAGAAAACAAAAAAAAAGAGUUUAGGGUUUUUUUUUUUUGGCUGCAAAUGAUUUUUCUGCCAAAAAAAAAUUAAUAAAGACACAAAAACGGUGUCGUUUUACUAAGGCAGAUCCGCGCGUCGACCCGACCCGCAAGCAGGGUCCUCGCGUUCAGGCCUUGAAUGGGAAAUUUUCGAAAUUAGGCCUCCCUUUUUGCGGCGCGCUUUAAUCAAACCCGUUGUUCCUCUUUUAAUUUGGCCCAAAUAUUUUACCUUCAUGACAUUUUAAUCCAGGUCGCUGCGCAGCGUUUUGGGGAGGUGGAUUAUUUCUGAUUUGGCCCCCCACGUAAUUCACGUGUUGCAAUUUACUCCUCCAUUUUGCUGAAAUUUCAUUAUUUCCUGUUGUUUUAGUUUUAUUGACUAUUUAGUCAUUUUUGUAAUUUUGUAAUUAUAAUUAUUAUUGUCUAUUAUUAUAAUUAUUAGUGUAAGUACCCCUUUUCACAUGGCAAUUUAUUUAUUUAUUUUUAUUCUACUAUGUAUUAUUAUUCUAGUUUUUUAUCAAGUGUUACUAUUAAAUUUUAUAAUGUACUAUUUUAUUUUUUUUUAAAAAUCUAUAUAAUACUUUUAAUGAUUUUUAUUUUUCAUAAAUUCACUCUUUUUUUAUGCUUUAAAGGAUUUUAUAUGAUAAUAUUCUUGUAUAAUAUUUUUAAUACACACGAGGGUUAUAUUUUUUUUCCUUUUUAUCUUGAUUUCAUAUUUUUAUAUUUAGUAACUAUAAGUUUCCACUUAAAAAUGUCUUUGGUUUUAAUAAAAAUCCAUUUCUCAAGACCCCAUUUUAUUAUAUGUUUUCUUCAUUUAAACUUUUAUAGCUAUAUGUAGGCAUUAUCGUUUUUAUAAAGUUUUCAAGCAUUAUUUCGUUAAGAUCAAUGAAUAUGUAUAUUAUUUUGUAUGGAUGUUUUUAAAUCUCCUUUUGUGAAUAUUCUUUUAAAUUUUUAUAAAUCCACGAGUGUUAAUUUGUUUAAUGCUUGGAUUGACUUUUAAUGCAUCAGUCUUUGAAUAUGAGCAUAAUAUAUGAUGUGUGGCUAUGGUUAUAUAUGUAUAUAUCAAUUUGCUCUUUUGCAUUUUUAUAUUAUUUUAUAUUCUAGAUAUGUAUUAUUAUGCCAUGCAUACAAUUACACUCUUAUUUCUCAUUAUUGCAUUGUGAGCCAAAUUUUAAUGUAUGUGAUCAUUACUGAUUUUCUUCCUUUCUUUAUGUCAAGCUAAUCAAUUAAAUAUGUUUUGAGUCGGCUUUAUAAUGCGUUUCAAAGUUUCGAGAAAUCGUACCCUAACUUACAGGGUCUCGAUUUUCUUGUUAAUUCGAAAUGUCCCUUUAUUUUCAAAAAUGUAUGCUUUUUGAUAAAAUUAAAAGCAAGUUACAUAUCAUCUUUGGAACUGUGAAGAAUCGUACUCUAACUUACGGGGUUUCGAUUUUCUCGCUGAGCUAAAACGGCUAAAUAUUUUUUAUCUUUCAAAGUCGUUAAAUUUCAAUAAAUUUUUUAAAGGUUAAGCUUUUUCUUGAGAAUUUGAAUGUUGUAUCUAACUUACGGGGUACGACAUUUUGUUGGCUUGAGGUGGGAAAGCCUUUUACCCUCGAUCAAAUUUAUUCAAAUGUUUUUCUAAAAUUUGUGGUAUUAAUCAAAGGGGAAUCAUUUUUUAAAAAUCUUGGAUUUUCAUUAUUCGACUAUAAGACAUCUGUUAAUUAAUUAGGUACCAAUUUUGGGCGUUAUGAGGGUGCUAACCCUUCCUCAUACGUAACCGACUCCCGAACCCAUUGUUUUAAUUCGUAGACCAAAUUUAUUUUUAGGUGAUCCGAUCACACCUUAAUAAAGGAUCGGUGGCGACUCCAUUUUCAUUUUCAAAGUCAAUUCCUGUUUUUCAAAAAAAAAAACGGUUUCGACAAGUAUGUUACUAAUUGGUAUUGUAAUUAACUAAACUACUUAAAAGGUUUAUUGAAGUUAGUUUUUAAACUAAAAUUCUAAAUUGAAAACUAUCUUUUAAAGUGUUAUACAAACAUUUACUUAUUUUAGACAACAAAUUAUGAAAAGGUGAAGAUUUCAAUAAAUUAUAAAGUAAAAUAUAUCUUUUAAAAUGUGUCAAUUGAGGACAAUUGUGCACUUCUAACUUCUGCAAAUACGAUUGUGUGUGCAAAAUGUCGUCCAUAUCCUUUCCUUUCAAUUGAGGCAAAUCAAUCAACGAAACCUAAAAUGAAAAGCAUAAUAAAAUUUCCCAAUCUUUGACCAUAGGACAAUAAGGAAAAGAGAUGUCAAGUUAUUGCAAUGAGAUACACACACUUCCCUUAGACUCGCACUUGUGGAUCUUGGAUUAUUUGUUUCAACUGCGAGCAACUCUUUAUCGUCAAAGUAUACAAUUGCCCAAGGGUAGUAGCAACAGACAGUGGGAAGAGAUACUUUGAGUUAUCGCAAUUUUCAACUUCUAUUUCCCUUAAACUCUGGAGGCUUAUAUAUGGCACUUGUGAGUCUUCGAUUAUACCUUCCAAGCUCCGGUAAUUCUUCAUCUCCAAAGUAUGCAAUUGCCAAAGGCUAUAGCAACAGACAUUAGGAGGAUAUAUUUCAAAUUAUUGUAACUCUCUGUUUCAAUAAUCUUCAAACUUUGGAGGCUAAAAUGACGAUGGAACAAAGUGUUAAUAUAAUAAGUAUAACCAUUUAUAUUUUUUAAGUAUAAAAAUUAAAAUCCCUGAAGUAUGAACUUUUAAUGCAUAUCUUUAAUUUAUUUAGGUAAAGAUAUAUUUGAUUUUAUUUAAGAAUGAAUAAAAAAAUUAACUAUUACAUAAUCACAUUACAAUGGCAUUGUAUUCAAAGUGUUUCUCAAAAUAACCAUCUCAACUUUUAAUAUAAUAUUAGAUUUAGUUAUUAGUAUUUAUAUAUUAAUUUGACUUUUAUUUUUUAAAAACUAAAUUUAGUUAUUAAUUUUUUUAAAAAAAACUUAAAUUAUUUUUAAGCUCCAUGUAUACUUCAUGUUUAUAUGACAAUAUUUAUCUUAUAUAUCACGUCAAUAAAUAAUUUAAAAAUUAAAAAAUAACAUGAAAUACACAUAGAUAAAUACAAUAAUUUAUCUUAUCAUUUAUUUAUUAUUUUUUAUUGAAACAGUGAAUUGGAUCCCUACCAAAGAAGUAUUCGAUAGGCUCAUUUGAAUUGUUACUCAAACAACUCCAUUUUAAGUUCUCCUUAAUUGCAUUUGUAAGUAGCUCGUCUUACUUACAUGUUUUAAUUUAAUACAACAUUUUUUUGAGAUAAAAUCCAUGUUAGUGAUUUGAAUUAAGGCAUAAUAUCUAACAUAUCUCAUUGUGAUAUUACUAUUUUAGGUUAAAUGUAUUCACUUAAUUAUAUAAGUAACACGUUUCUUAUUUUUUUAAGAUAUAAAUGAACAAACAUAAAUAGUAAUAAACAAAUUAUAAAUAAAUAAAAGAAACACAUAAACAAUAAUAGUAUUAAUUAUAUAAUUAAACAAUAGUUGAUUUUAAAUGAUUUACUAAACUAGUUUUAAACUAGCAUGAAGAUAAUUAGUUUGGAUAUGUUUCAAUUAUAUUACGUUAAUUUAAUAAAUAAAUUUUAAAAUUUUAUUAAUGUUGAUUUAUUUAACUUAACGAACGAAUAUAAAUAAAUAAAGAUCCAACUCAUAAACUAUUUAUUUACAGCCUUAAACUUGACUUAUAUCUAUUUAGAACACUUAAGUAACCGUAAUUUAUUGUCAACUUUAGACUUCAAGAACUAGAAAUGAAUAAGAGUUGGAUGGAUUUGUUAACGGUAAGCAACGAAUAUCAAAAUGGAGUACAAACUCUUCUAAAUUAGUUUACAUUUAAAUUUUUAUAUUUAAAUAAUUUAUUUAAAGUGAUUGAUCUACAAGUUAACUCACGCAUUAACUUAUAUUUAUACCUUAUCUGAGAAAAUUUUAAUUUUUAUAAUUAAUAAAAUUUAAUUUACAAUUAACUUACUAAACUUUUAUGAAGAAAAUUAGAAACCCCGUCGGUUAAAACUAGUUAUUUUUCCUUUUAAAAAAUCUAGUUCUUUUUUUUUAAAAGUAAUGUUUUAUUAUUUUAUAUAUUUAAUAAAAACUUUUAUAAAGAAAAUUAGAAACCCCAUCGGUUCAUGUUCAGCUUUAUUAAACUAAGAUUAAAAUUAUGCAUUUUAAUAUUUAUAUUAAUAUAUUAAUACAAAAAACAUAUAUUUUAAUAUUUUUAUUUACAUACAUUAAUAUAUAAUUAUUUUAUUAUUUUAAAAAAUUAAUAAUAUUAAUAUGUUAUUUUAAAAAAUAAUAAUUUUAUUUAUUGUUUUAAUAUUUCAUAAAAAUUAAAUGUUAUAAUAUUUUAUUUUGUUAUUUUAUUAUAUUUUAGUGUAAAUAUUUUUUAAAUACUAAUAUUUUAUAUUUUAUUUUAAACUAUAUAAAAAAAGAUGUUAAGGGUAAGAUGAUAAAUUAGUAAAUAACACUUGUGUUUUAACUCAUAGAAAAUACAUGAUAAGAAGAUUAACUAUUUGGCACAAGUGUAAACCGUGUUAUCCUAUCUCCUACCCCUAAUAUUGUAUCGAAAAACGCUUGUAAGAAGAGUGAUAUAUAUCCAAAUUUCAACAACCAUACAAUUUGAUGUAGUAGCAUCUAUCUUUUAUCCAUCAUUUAAAAGUUGAGUGUUAUUUAACAUAACACUCCUCUUUUACAUCAAGCCUACCAAAUAUAGUCACGGUGCUUGCAGAAGUACACACUUUUGUAGUCACUUCUGCUCAUACAUUGCUUGUUAAUUAGCAACUAUUUUAGAUCAACAAAAAAUCAUUUAAAUGAAUUAAAUUUUAUUAAUGGAGUUUGAAAAAGGAUUUUUUAUUGUAUAUUUUGUAUUUUUUUUUACAAAAAGAAUGGGAUCAAAUUCAAUUUCACAAGUCUUAGUGAGAUUAGUUUGAAAGAAGUUAUUCAAUAGCAUGGAACUUGAAUGGAAGGUAUUACUAAAUUUGUCCUAUUUUGUUUUAAAUUUGUUAUUGGAUUCUAUUGAAUAAUUUUUUUUUCUUUUUUAUGUCUCAGUAUUGAACAAUCUUGAGCUUUAUUGCAAUAUAAUAUUAAGUUUUCUUGUAUGAACAUUAGUUUCUAAUCACAUUUAAGCUUUGUGCAAAAUGAAUAUUAUAUUAAGAUAUUGAAAUUGAUCUAUUUUUUUUAUCCAUUUUCAUGAUUUAUGGCAAUGUUGAAUAUUUUGUUGUUGCAGAAAUCAUAAUUUUUAUAUAGAAUUUUCUAUUUUUAAAAAAUAAUGUUGAGUUUUUAAAAUUAAUUUUAUAUAGAAUUAGGGUUAAAUGGAGAGAAAGUAUAAAAGUUAAGGGUUAAAAUUGUAAUUAUAGUAACUAAAAAAGUGUGGUUGUUAGCUAUUUAAUAGUUGGGCAAAAAAAUAUUUUUAAAAACGUUAGUGGCCAAAUUGUAACUCUUUUAAUUAAAUGACACAUAAUUGAGGGAUUAAUAGUGUAAUUUAACCUUAUCUUUUUUAAACAUAUGGAUUAAUUCACAUUUAUUUGGAAUAUGUUAUUAGUUCACAUAUGGAUUUAACUAGUGGUGGAGCUAGAAAAUUUUUUGGAGGUCAAAAUUAAAUUGUAUAUUUUUAUGAUAGCAAGAAUGCAAUUUCACUAUUUUAUAGUCUAUAUCUUUAUAAUUUUUAAAUGAUUAAAUCAAUUUUUUUAUCAUUUUUGAGAUUAAAGUGUAAUUUUACUAUUAUUAAUUUAAAAUUUUAUAAAUUAUAAAGGAGAUAAGUGAAAAAUUAUCCAUUAAUCAACUCAUGGCUCUACCACUUGAUCGAACACAUAUCACGAGUCCUUUCCCGCGUGUGUCAAAUUUUUUUUAUAUGGUUGAAAUAUCAUCACAUGUAUUUAUGUUUGAAUACACAUCGCAAAACCUUGAGUUGUUUCGGCAUGACCUAGAGAAAAAAAAAUGGAGAAACAUGAAGGUAGCUUAGAAGAAUCCAAAAGCAAUAAACGAAAGCUAGACCAAAGGUUGAAAUCAUCAUUAACCAAGCCUUUACUUUUUCUAACGCCGGGAAGAUUCUAUAUUCGUUGAGAAAAUCGGCAAAGACUUUGUUAUCUUUUGGAAGGACUUGUAAAGAAACAAUUUUUUAUAUUUACGUUCUGAUGUUUUUCAUAUUAACAUUAUUGAUGUUUCUAAAUUUACCUUCUGUAAUGUUGGAACUAGUUGAAGAGUCCUCAGAUUCUGAAGAGGAAUCAAAUUUUAGUCAUCAGCAUAGGAUGGAAGAUGAGAAGUUGCUGUCGGCAGUGUUGGAGAGCAAAGGAGAAGGUAAGAAGACUGCAACUCAAGAGGAUGGAGGCAAAUCAGAAAUGGGUAGAUGACAGAAUUGUGAAUAGGACUCUCAUAUUCUGGGUCCAACUUAUGCAAUACUUCUAUGAUCUGGGAAGCGUGUAGAGAUCCACAAAUGAGUUUGCAGUGAUUGCUGCGGUCCUCUCCAACAAGGAGCCAAUUGUUUUGUAGACACAAUGGCUAUGGAUGGGAUGGAAAGUUUAUGGUUAAACUAUUCCCCUUAAAUUCACGUCAGUAUAAAAUAAAAUGUAAAUUAAUUUAAAAUUUUAAAAUAAUUUUAUUUUAAUUUUUAAGUCAAGAAUUUUGAUGAGUUAAAAUUAUAAGAUAAAGGCUUAUUUAUUACAAAAAUAAUUCAAAAACUUGUUUAAAUAAAGUGUAAUAAUUUAACGGAAUUUUUAAUAUGUUGGCCAAAGAAAUUCAUCUAAGUAAGAAAUGAGAUUCAAUUGAAGUUAACAAUGAAGAAUGCUUUUAAUGUGCCCAACAUUAGACCAAUACAAAUAAUUGUAAGUUUUGUAAAAAAAUCUUAGUUUUAUUUUUUAAUCUUUUUUGUAAUAGUUAGUCCAUUCUUUUUUUAAUCUUUGAUUUUUGUUUAUAGCUCAGUAAAUCAGUAAAUCUGUCUUCAAUUUAACGAAUAAACGGUACAUAAUAACGAAUAAAUGGCAUUCAAUUUAAACGUUCACAAUGCUUAAUUUUUAAAUAGAAAUUACUUCAUUUACUGCCAAUUGGCCAUUCUAUAUGCUUAAUUUUCAAAUAGAAAUUAAUUCAAAAAGAAAUUACUAAAAUCAAAAUGUAUGUCAUCUUCCUCUUUGGUCCAUUCUAUAUUACUACCAAUUGGCCAUGCAGUUUCUUGAGCUGUAGCAGAUUCUUCCACUAUAAUUUCAUCAACUGAUUGGCUUGCCUGCAAAGCAAAUUAAACCUUCACUUAUUACUGUUUGCUUUUGAUGAUUGAUGAUGACAAAAGCAAAGCCAGUUUUCCAAAAUUGGACAAAGGAUGACAUAUUUAAAAUAUUGAAAAUAAUAAUGCAACAAGGAUAUAAAUCUAGAAAGAAAUAUUGACAGCCAGCAAAAACCAAUUACUGUUGAUGCAAUUUUAUUUAGUCAUUUAAAGCAUAAAAAAGAAAAAGAAAGAAUUUCUCUCAAGCAGCCAAAAUAAAAAUAUUGCAUUAAUGCAUAGAAAUUAAAGCUUAGUAUUGGAAGGCUACAUAGAGAAAAUAAAUGAAUGGAUGAAUUUCUGUUUUAAAGCUUAUUGUUGAGUUUGGAAGAGUAGUGUACCUGUGUUUUCGCAUGCACUGAUUUCUCUGAAUCAACAUUAAAUCUUGUGGUUAUGUUGGGACAACUUUUUACAUGAAACCCAUCAAAAAUGGGAAAUCAAAAUGAUAACCCACAGGACUGAAGCUCACGAGAUUUGGUAGCUCAUAAAGCUCUAAGAUGCGGAGCUGAGGAAGGCGUAUCACUUUCUCUUCUUCCUUAUUCAGAUUUGACUCAUCUCCUUCAAACACCUGCUCUAAUUUGGAGACCCAUUUAAGGCAUAAUCUCAAUAGGUUUGGAAGGCCGCCAUGAGCAAGAGUAAUGGCAUUCGGUUGAAGUUCACAAUGAAGAAUGGUUAUGUCAGUCUAUAUGGCUACCACUUUUCUUUUCUACUACUUUGAAUAAAGCUCAUAUUUAUUUCUAGACAAGCAUAUCUUAUACAUGUGCAGAGGAUAAGUUGUUAAACUAAAAACUAUUCUUUUUUUAAACUCAGAUUAAUCAAUAGAAUUCACAUUAGUUCAACAUAUGGUUCACUUUGUUUUUUUCCUUAUAACUCACUAAAAUUUGUCUUCUCUCUCAAGGAAAAGAAAAAGUAGGCGGUAUAUACUAACAAAUAAAUGACAUUCAAUUUAAACACUCGCAAUGAUGAAUUUUCAAAAUGAACUCCUUAAAUAGAAAUGAAAUCAUUUAUUGCUCCAUUCAUUCAUUUUCUAGUUGGUUACCGACUUGAUUAAGUAAUGAACAAGUAAAAAUAGUGAAAGAAAUUGAAAAAUUGGACACAUAAAUUUAACGUGGAAAAACUCUUCCAAAGAGGAUAAAAAAUCACGGACAAAAAUAAUUUUACUAUAAUGGCAAAAGAACGAAGAAUACAAGAGAUGGAGAUAAAAACUAAACCCCGAAACUCGAAAACAAAGAACCAUCAAAAUAUAAAUAAAAAUUUCUUCAAAAGUGUUAUGAGAUCUAUUCUUUUUGGGUGUAUUUUCUAAGUUUGUAAAAGAACUUAUUUAUAAGAUAAAUUCGUAGGUCAAAUAAUAAUAAAAUAAUCUAGACUAAUCAGGGUUCGAAUGAAAUGAAUAAAUAGAGUUUAAUUAUCUCUCAAAUUUGACUGAAAUAUGAGGCAUACUCAACAAGUCUCCACCUUAACUCAAUUUUCCACAAUGUCAUCAUUUCCAAAACCUACCACAGGCCUAUCUUGAACUAUGCAGGGAAUUAAUUGAGUCGAAUCUGUGCUUAGAAGCUGCAAGACUUCUAGUCUUCGAUGUAACACCCCAAACCCGUCCUAGACAUUAUGGGCGAAUCUGGAGUUACAAAAAAGGGUUUUGAAAAUAGUGAUAUUUCGACCAUCCAUGUUUAUUGUGGUUGUUAAUACUAUAUUGUUUUUAGCUAUUUUAGUUGUUUAGUAAGGAUUGUAAUAAAUCUUCAUUAUGUUAGCAAGUCUCGAAAUCUCUAUGUAAUUAAGAGACUUGUAUAAGUUGAUGCACAAAUUAUUAAGAGCAUUUAUAUGUUCAAGUGAAGAACAUUAUUUUGCAAGAGUGCAUUUGUGAUUGUAAAAUUUUGUAUUGUGGUUUUGCAAACUAAGUUCUCUGAGGGAGAAUUUAGUGGUGAGUGAUCUAAUAUUCAAAGGUACAAGAGUGAGGAAUCGUCAUUGGGGUGUGAUACAUUUAGGUUCAUUGGUUGUAAUUGUUUAAAUAUAGUAAUUCUUCUCACUAAGCAAGGCUUCACAAACGUAGGGAAACUAAACUGCAUAAACAAACUUUGAUGCUUCCUAUUUUGUUUUUGCUUAUCACAGUGCUUGUAGAAGUACACACUUUUGUAGUCACUUUCAACACGGAGCCAAUUGUUUUGCAAACACAAUGGCUAUGACUGGAUGGAAAGUUUAUCGUUAAACUAUUCUCUUUAAAUUCCCAUUAGUAUAAAAUAAAAUAUAAAUUAAUUUAAAAUUUUAAAAUGAUUUUAUUUUAAUUUUUAAAUCAAGGAAUUUGAUAGGUUAAAAUUAACUAUAAAAUAAUUUAACUCUUUUAAUUAAAUGACACAUAAUUGAGGGAUUAAUAGUGUAAUUUAACCUUAUCUUUUUUAGCAUUAUGGAUUAAUUCACAUUUAUUUGGAAUGUGUUAUUAAUUCACAUAUGGAUUUAACUAGUGGUGGAGCUAGAAAAUAUUUUGGGGUCCAAAAUUAAAUUGUAUAUUUUUAUGAUAGCAAGAAUACAAUUUCACCAUUUUAAUAGUCUAUAUAUUUAUAAUUUUUAAAGGAUCUGAUAAUUUUUUUAUCAUUUUUGGGAUUAAAAUGUAAUUUUCUUAUUAUUAAUUUUAAAUUUUAUAAAUUAUAAAGGACCGAAGUAAAAAAAUUCCCAUUAAUCAACACCCUUGGCUCUACCACUUGAUCGAACACAUAUCAUGAGUCCCUUCCCACGUGUAUGGCUGAAAUAACAUCACAUGUAUUUAUGUUUGAAUACACAUCACAAAACCUUGAGUUGUUUCGGCAUGACCUAGAGAAAAAAAAAUGGAGAAACAUGAAGGUAGCUUAGAAGAAUCCAAAAGCAAUAAACGAAAGCUAGACAAAAGGUUGAAAUCAUCACUAACCAAGCCUUUACUUGUUCUAACUCCAGGAAGAGUCCAUAUUCGUUGAGAAAAUCGGCAAAGACUUUGGUAUCUUUUGGAAGGACUUGUAAAGAAACAAUUUUUUAUAUUUACGUUCUGUAAUGUUUUUCAUAUUAACAUUAUUGAUGUUUCUAAAUUUACCUUCUGUAAUGUUAGAGUUAGUUGAAGAGUCGUCAGAUUCUGGAGAGGAAUCAAUUUUUAGUCAUCAGCAUAGGAUGGAAGAUGAGAAGUUGCUGUCGGCAGUGUUGGGAGAGCAAAGGAGAAGGUAAUAAGGCUGCAACUCAAGAGGAUGAAGGCAAAUCAGAAAUUGGUAGAUGACAGAAUUGUGAAUAGGACUCUCAGAUUCUGGGUCCAACUUAUGCAAUAAUUCUAUGAUCUGGGAAGCGUGUAGAGAUCGACAAAUGAGUUUGCCGUGAUUGCUGCGGUCCUCUCCAACAAGAAGCCAAUUGUUUUGCAGACACAGUGGCAAUGGAUGGGAUGGAAAGUUUAUGGUUAAACUGUUCCCCUUAAAUUCACGUAAGUAUAAAAUAAAAUGUAAAUUAAUUUAAAAUUUUAAAAUAAUUUUAUUUUAAUUUUUAAGUCAAGAAUUUUGAUGAGUUAAAAUUAUAGGCUAAGGGCUUAUUUAAUUACAAAUAUAAUUUAAAAACUUGUUUAAACAAAGUGUAAUAAUUUAACGGAAUUUUUAAUAUAUUAGCCAAAGAAAUUCAUCUAAGUAACAAUGAAGAAUGCUUUUAAUGUGCCCAACAUUAGACCAAUACAAUAAUUGUAAGUUUUUGUAAAAAAUCUUAAUUUCAUUUUUUAAUCUUUUUUCUAAUAGUUAGUCCAUUCUUUUUUUAACCUUUGAUUAAUGAGCAGAAUUCACAUACUUUGUUUUUGGUUAUAGCUCAGUAAAUCUAUCUUCAAUUUAACGGAUAAAUGGUACAUAAUAACGAAUAAAUGGCAUUCAAUUUAAACAUUGACAAUGCUUAAUUUUCAAAUAGAAAUUUCUUCAUUUACUGCUCCAUUCAUUUUAAAAUUCAAAAUGUCUUUCAUCUUCCUCUUCGGUCCAACAUAUAUCACUACCAAUUGGCCAUGCAGUUUCUUGAGCUGUAGCAGAUUCUUCCACUAUAAUUUCAUCAACUGAUUGGCUUGCCUGCAAAGCAAAUUAAACCUUCACUUAUUACUGUUUGCUUUUAAUCAUUGAUGCUGAAGAAAGCAAAUCCAGUUUUCCAAAAUUGGACAAAGGAUGUCAUAUUGAAAAUAAUAAUGCAACAAUGAUAUCUAGAAAGAAAUAUUUGUUAACAUUAAUGGGAGACAACAUUAAUGGCAAACAAUACAAAGUGGUGCAAGUUUAGCACCCUAAAGUUGACUUUGAAAAAGUGGCAUGGGAUAAUUUUUUUGGUCCUUGAGAUAAUGGGCUAUUUAUUGUUUGGUCCUUAAACCUCAACUAUAAAUAGGCCUUCUCAUUUCUCAUUUCAAUCAUCCCAACCAAUCUUUCUCUCUUAGUUUUCUCUCUUCUCCCAUUUGAGAAUUCUCAAGGAAUUCUAUUUGUUUGUAAUAUUGUGAAGAUAGUAAAGUUAUCAUCUGGUGUUAGUGCCCGAGGACGUAGGUAUAAUUUACCGAACCUCGUUAAAACUCUUGUGUUCUUUCUUGUCCUAUUUUUCUUUCAAUAUUUGAGGGUAUAAUAGUAGUAUUUAAUUGUGCUAUUAAAUUACUAUAGAAGGGAUAUUCUGACUAAGGAAAGACUUGGUAUUUAAGAGAUCCAUGUGAUCCACCUCUCUUCCCUGGGAAUUGAACUUUGUGUGAUUUUUUAGUACAAUAAUUUACACGCUUCCGACCCUAUUGGAAAAACAAGUGGUAUCAAGAGCCGAAGGUUAAUCGUAGUAUGCUCUGUGGUUGCAGUUUGAACUGAUCUUCCACAUCAGAAAAGAUUUCCUUAGGUAUAUUGAAAGAUUAUGGAGAAAACGGUCGGUGUAGGAGCUUCAACAUCGUCCAUGUGGACAAGACCGACAAUUGCAAAUGCAAGAUUGGCCGUGGAGAUCUUUGAUGGCACGGGCCAUUUUGGUAUGUGGCAAAGUGAGGUUCUAGAUGCCCUUUUUCAGCAGGGUCUAGACAUUGCCAUUGAUGAAGAGAAACCAGAUGGUGUACAGGAGAAAGAUUGGAAGGCGAUCAAUCGGUUGGCAUGUGGCACAAUUCGAUCAUGCCUUUCUCGAGAGUAGAGGUAUGUUUUUUCAAAGGAGACUUCUGCAAAUAAGUUGUGGGUGGCACUUGAAGAAAAUUUUUUGAAGAAAAACAGUCAAAAUAAGCUCCACUUUAAGAAAAGACUGUUUCGCUUCACAUACGUCCCAAGUACCACAAUGAAUGAUCACAUCACCAAAUUUAAUCAGUUAGUCACUAAUUUGCUGAAUAUGGAUGAGACAUUCAAAGAUGAAGAUUUGGCUUUGAUGCUGUUGGGGUCACUUCCUGAGGAGUUUGAGUUCCUAGAAACUACUCUACUUCAUGGCAGGAGUGAUAUAUCUUUGAGCGAAGUCUGUGCGGCCUUAUACAGUUAUGAACAGAGAAAGAAGGACAAACAGAAAAACUCAAUCAGAGAUACAGAAGCUUUAGUAGUCCGAGGUCGUUCAUACACUCGGAAGAAAACUCAAAAGGGGAGAUCAAAGUCAAAGUCCAGACUCGGGAAAGAUGAAUGUGCUUUUUGUCAUGAGAAAGGCCACUGGAAGAAAAAUUGUCCAAAGCUGAAGAAUAAGGGAAAAGCUGCUGUAGAUGCUUGUGUUGCUAAGCAUGAUACUAGUGACUCUGAACUAUCACUGGUUGCAUCAUCAUCGUCGUUCCAUUCAGAUGAGUGGAUAUUGGAUUCGGGUUGUACCUAUCAUAUGUCCCCUAACCGGGAGUGGUUCUCUGAUUUAGUAGAACUAAAUGGAGGAGUUGUUUAUAUGGGCAAUGACAAUGCUUGUAAAACUGUUGGGAUAGGUUCAAUCCAAUUAAAGAAUAAAGAUGGAUCAACCAGAGUUCUGACUGAUGUUCGGUACGUGCCCAGUUUGAAGAAAAAUCUCAUCUCAUUGGGAGCCUUGGAAUCCAAUGGUUCAGUUGUUACUAUGAGAGAUGGGGUUUUGAAAGUGACAUCUGGCGCACUUGUGAUAUUGAAGGGCAUCAGGAAAAAUAACUUGUAUUACUACCAAGGUAGUACAGUUAUUGGAGCAGUCGCUGCAGCUUCCGGUAACAAAGACUUGGACUCAAUGCAGUUGUGGCAUAUGAAGUUGGGACAUGCCAGCGAAAAAUCCUUGCAAAUUCUGGCAAAGCAAGGAUUGUUGAAAGGUGCAAAGGCUUGCAAAUUAAAAUUUUGUGAGCACUGUGUUCUGGGAAAGCAAAAGAGAGUGAAAUUCGGCACUGCUAUCCAUAAUACAAAAGGUAUUUUGGAAUAUAUUCACUCAGAUGUGUGGGGGCCUUCCAAAACACCUUCGUUGGGAGGAAAACACUACUUUGUUACUUUUGUUGAUGACUUUUCCAGAAGAGUUUGGGUGUAUACCAUGAAAACUAAAGAUGAAGUGCUUGGAGUUUUUCUUAAAUGGAAAACUAUGAUCGAAAACCAGACUGGCAAGAAAAUCAAGCGGCUUAGGACGGAAAUGGAGGGGAAUAUAAAAGUGAUCCGUUCUUCGAUGUGUGCCAAGAGUAUGGUAUUGUUCGACACUUCACAGUUAGGGAUACACCACAACAGAAUGGAGUGGCAGAGCGUAUGAAUCGAACAUUGCUAGAGAAAGUUCGAUGUAUGUUGUCCAAUGCUGGGUUGGGCAAGCAAUUUUGGGCUGAGGCUGUGACAUACGCUGGCCAUCUUGUUAAUCGUUUGCCAUCAUCUGCAUUAGAAAGAAAAACUCCUAUGGAGGUAUGGUCUGGAAAACCGGCUACAGAUUAUGAUUCCUUACAUGUGUUUGGAACCACUGCAUAUUACCAUGUGAAGGAGUCAAAGUUAGAUCCGAGGGCAAAGAAAGCUCUCUUUAUAGGAAUCACUUCUGGAGUGAAGGGAUUUCGUCUUUGGUGCUUAAGCACAAAGAAAAUGAUCUGUAGCAGAGAUGUUACCUUUGAUGAAUCUGCCACAUUGAAAAAGGUAGCAGAUAAAGAUAUUCAGACGAGCAAUACUCCACAGCAGGUGGAGUGUACUCCAAAACAGGUGGAGUUUGAGCAGAUGGGGAUUUGCCCAGUUAAUAAGUCUAAUUCUCCAGCCACAAUGGAGGAAUUAGAGGUUGAAGAGGUUCUGACCCAAGAACCACUAAGUACACCAGAACCAGUUGUAGUUGUAAGGCCACGGAGAGAAAUUCGUAAACCUGCUCGAUUUACUGAUAUGGUGGCCUACGCCCUUCCCGUUGUUGAUGAUAUUCCUAUCACUUAUCAAGAAGCAAUGCAAAGCUUAGAAAGUGAUAAAUGGAAAAGCGCCAUGGAUGAAGAAAUGCAGUCUCUCCGGAAGAAUAAUACUUGGGAGUUGGCGCAAUUACCGAAAGGUAAAAGGGCAAUCGGAUGCAAGUGGGUAUUCGCAAAGAAAGAUGGAUCUCCUAGCAAGAAGGAUAUUCGCUACAAGGCAAGAUUGGUAGCUAAAGGCUACGCUCAGAAGGAGGGAAUUGACUACAAUGAUGUAUUUUCCCCUGUUGUGAAGCAUUCCUCUAUUAGAAUUUUGUUGGCCUUGGUAGCACAGUUGAAUUUGGAGCUAGCUCAACUUGAUGUUAAGACGGCUUUCUUGCAUGGUGAGUUAGAAGAGGAGAUCUAUAUGACUCAGCCAGAAGGAUACACAGAUGCUGGUGGUAGAAAUUGGGUUUGUAAGCUUAACAAAUCGCUAUAUGGAUUGAAGCAAUCCCCGAGGCAGUGGUACAAGCGAUUUGAUAGCUUUAUGAGAAGGCAGAAGUACACAAGAAGCAAAUAUGACAAUUGUGUAUAUUUGCAGAAGCUGCAUGACGGAUCUUUCAUUUAUCUACUCUUGUAUGUUGAUGAUAUGUUAAUCGCUUCGAAGAGCCAAAAUGAGAUAGAUAAGCUGAAGGCUCAGUUGAAUCAAGAGUUUGAGAUGAAAGAUCUAGGUGAGGCCAAGAAGAUUCUCGGCAUGGAGAUAAGUAGAGAUAGACCGAGAGGCAAGCUCUGUUUAAAUCAGAAGCAAUAUCUGAAAAAGGUAUUACAAUGUUUUGGUGUAAAUGAAAACACAAAACAUGUAAGUACCCCACUUGCUUCUCAUUUGAAACUUAGUGCUCAAUUAUCUCCGAAAACUGAAGAAGAAAGAGAAUAUAUGGCGAAAGUCCCAUAUGCUAAUGCAGUUGGGAGUUUGAUGUAUGCGAUGGUAUGUACGAGGCCUGACAUUUCACAAGCUAUUGGAGUUGUGAGCAGGUAUAUGCAUGAUCCUGGAAAAGGACAUUGGCAAGCUGUGAAAUGGAUUCUACGGUAUCUUCGAAAAACCGUAGAUGUUGGUUUAAUUUUUGAACAGGAUGAAGCACUUGGUCAGUUUGUAGUUGGAUAUGUUGAUUCCGACUUUGCUGGUGAUUUAGAUAAACGUCGUUCAACUACGGGGUAUCUGUUUACUCUUGCGAAAGCCCCAGUGAGUUGGAAGUCUACCUUACAGUCUACAGUAGCUGUGUCUACUACAGAGGCAGAAUAUAUGGCAGUUACAGAAGCUGUUAAGGAGGCUAUUUGGCUUAAUGGAUUGUUGAAAGACUUAGGAGUUGUUCAAAGUCACAUAAGUUUAUAUUGUGACAGUCAGAGCGCUAUUCAUUUAGCGAAAAAUCAAGUCUAUCAUUCAAGAACCAAGCAUAUCGACGUAAGAUAUCACUUUGUGCGGGAAGUCUUUGAAAAAGGAAAAAUUCUACUUCAGAAGAUUCCGACAGCAGAUAAUCUCGCAGAUAUGAUGACCAAGGUGGUAACAACAAUCAAGUUUAAUCAUUGUUUGAACUUGAUUAACAUCCUGAGAAUUUGAGCACCUUCAGGUGUAUGGCGCUCGAGAGUGCAUUUGUAGGCACUACAAAAGACAGCUUUAUCGAAUUUGGGGAGUUGAAGGAAGUGUGUGAAGAUGUGAUUAUCCUAAUCAAAUCUUCAAGGUGGAGAUUGUUAACAUUAAUGGGAGACAACAUUAAUGGCAAACAAUACAAAGUGGUGCAAGUUUAGCACCUUAAAGUUGACUUUGAAAAAGUGGCAUGGGAUAAUUUUUUUUGGUCCUUGAGAUAAUGGGCUAUUUAUUGUUUGGUCCUUAAACCUCAACUAUAAAUAGGCCUUCUCAUUUCUCAUUUCAAUCAUCCCAACCAAUCUUUCUCUCUUAGUUUUCUCUCUUCUCCCAUUUGAGAAUUCUCAAGGAAUUCUAUUUGUUUGUAAUAUUGUGAAGAUAGUAAAGUUAUCAUCUGGUGUUAGUGCCCGAGGACGUAGGUAUAAUUUACCGAACCUCGUUAAAACUCUUGUGUUCUUUCUUGUCCUAUUUUUCUUUCAAUAUUUGAGGGUAUAAUAGUAGUAUUUAAUUGUGCUAUUAAAUUACUAUAGAAGGGAUAUUCUGACUAAGGAAAGACUUGGUAUUUAAGAGAUCCAUGUGAUCCACCUCUCUUCCCUGGGAAUUGAACUUUGUGUGAUUUUUUAGUACAAUAAUUUACACGCUUCCGACCCUAUUGGAACAACAAUAUUGACAGCCAGCAGAAACUAAUUACUACUGAUGCAAUUUCAUUUAGUCAUUUAAAGCAUUAAAAGAAAAAAAAAUUUCUCUGAGGCAACCAAAAUAAAAACAUUGCAUUAAUGCAUAGAAAUUAAAGCUUAGUAAAUAUAGAGUUUGGGAGAAUACAUAAAGAAAAUAAUUCAAUGGAUGAAAUUUGUUUUAAAGCUUAUAAUUGAGUUUGGAAGGAUAGUGUACUUGUGUUUUGGCAUGCACUGAUUGCUUUGAAUCAACACUAAAUCUUGUGGUUACGUUGGGACAACAAAAAAAGACACAUUUUUUCCAUUUCCAUUCACCUAGUGAAAACUUUUAACAGAGGAAGAAGAAUAACAAAUAAUUUCAAAACAGAGUCGAAAAUAAGAAGUCUGGAAAUCCAGCCUUGGAUAACAAAUAUCAUCAGCAAAUAAGUUAUAUUCUAUGGUCUAGUUCAACAACUAGCCAAGUAACAGGUCAUGUACAUUGAGAAUGGUUUUGAUAACUCUAAUUGUUGAAAGUCCAAAUUCAGUCAUCCAUAAAAAAAAAGCAAUUGAUCUUUGCAUAUCCCUGAAUCAAAAUAGACUCUCAGAUAACUUUACCCUUUCAAUCAUUAAAUGGCACCUUUCCCUGCAGUCAUCCAUAAGCAAGAAGAAAGAAUUCCUAAAAAUGGCUUCUUUUUUUUUUUUAAACCUUAAAUCCUUUUGUUUUCAUUAAAAAAAUUCACCUAAUUCAUUUUCUGCCCAAGCCCAAAGGCCCUUCCCUUCAAACAAUUUCCAUGAAGAUACCAGUAGGAACCAGAAUUACUUUUGCUCUCUCCAACAUGGUAAAGCUGCUAUUUUACAUGGUAAAAAGACACGCAAAGCAUCCAAAUCCUUAAAAACCAACCACUAAAAUGAUCACGAUUGUGAUAGUUUUUCCCCGGAGGUUCCCAAAGAAACAUCAGAACCAGCUAUUAAAAGUUGACAACGAAUUGAAUUCCGAGCAAAUAUCAGAAACAAAGAGGCAUGGGUAUUGAAGAUUAAAAGCCAAAGAGAGGAAGAAAGAUAAAAUAUGACCAAAUAAAUGGAAGAAUCUUAAAACGUUGACAGUUACCUGAAAGAAGUAUAGCUAUAGAAUUCAACAUCCAAACACAUAAAGAGAAGUGAAGCAGCGGAGAAAACAGUCUGUCCCAAACGAAGAGCCAAGCUGGCGCUUGUUCCCAACGCCCCUGGCACUGCUUCCAUCGUCCCUCAUGUCAUCUUAUCUUUCUGUUUCUUCUUCUUUAGUGUAUUCCCCUAAAACCCAAUAAAAAAGCAGAGGCCAAACACUAGGAGAAGGGAUUGAAACAAUAGAAUUCAUGGCAGAUUUGCCUGAGAAAGAGAGAAAGAGAGGAAACGAAACAGAACAUGCUGAGAAGAGAAGAUAUACGACGGACUUUUACCUGGAAGAGAAGAUGAAGAACGGAAGAAGGAAAAUGAAUGAAGAACGGAAAAAGGAGAAGGAGCCUUACCUGGAUGAAGGAGGAACCGGAAAAUGUCUUGCAGAAAUGAAAUCCAUAAGACAUUUUCCCCUAAAACCCAUUUAUUUUACUCGCGUCUUGGAAAAUCAGGAAAACAUUUUCCUGCAAACAAACAGACCUUCAAUUUAAACACUCGCAAUGAUGAAUUUUGAAAUCAACUCUUUAAAUAGAAAUGACUUCAUUUAUUGCUCUAUUCAUUUUCUGUUGGGGAUCAACUCAAUUAAGGGCCUAUUUAGUAUUACUUAAAAAAAGUAUUUUUGAAAAAAAUACUGUGCUAAACAAAUUGUUUUUGGUUGAAAUUUGUGUUGCAUAGUCAUCGACAAUCCUUUGCUGCAUCGUUUUUCAUUCUGUUUCUCUUCGCUUCGCUUUCUCCAGUAAAACCACCUGCCAUUUAGUUUCUCAUCAUUCCUCUCUUUCUUCUACUUCUUCUUCUUCUUCUUCUUCUUUUUUUUUUUUUUUUGCAUACAUAAAUUUAUCCCUGCGCCAGACUACUCUAUCAUGCUGCAACUGCUUUGACGUCUUUGCCUUGUACAAUAUAGUUUAAGUUUGAUCUUGUUUCUAUUUUUAUCUCUUCCUUUUCAUGUUCUUUGUACUUGUAAUAACCAUUUACCCUAGAUUCAAAAAAAAAAAAAAAAACUUUGCUUAUUUUCUUUUAUAUAUGUGGGCUAGAAGACUUCAUUAAUUGAAGGAAGAGGGAGACUUCAUUUGAGAUUGAGGUGAGUUUUCUUGGCUUUUUUCGAAGAGUUGUGUCUUAGAAACAAAUGGAGCUGUUCUUUCAACUCAGUCCAACUGAAAACACAACGAGAAAUUUAAUAAACAAAUAAAAUCAUAUACGAGUGUAAUGUCAUAUAAUUAUAACUAAAAAUAAGAAUUCAAAAUAUUUUCACCCUCACACUAAUAAUAUUACAGAUAUAAUGCUGGAAAAUAUAAUAAACAAAUCCACUUACCAUUUCAAAAUCCAAACAGUCUUUUAGCUCUUACUUGCUUCAAGAAAAACAUAAAAGAUCAAAAAAAAAUAUAGAGCAACUUCAAUUUAUAUAUAAAAAACAGAAAUGAAGCAUAUAUAAAUAGAUUUACCUCACUUGGGAACUUUUUAUUUUUAUUUUUUUAAUCUUUUUUCUAAUAGUUAGUCCAUUCUUUUUUAAUCUUUGAUUAAUGAGCAGAAUUCACAUACCUUGUUUUUCCUUAUAGCUCAAUAAAUCUGUCUUCGAUUUAACGAAUAAAUGGCAUUCAAUUUAAACAUUCACAAUACUAAAUUUUCAAAUAGAAAUUUCUUCAUUUACUGCUCCAUUCAUUUUAAAAUUCAAAAUGUCUUUCAUCUUCCUCUUUGGUCCAUUCUAUAUCACUACCAAUUGGCCAUGCAAUUUCUUGAGCUGUAGCAGAUUCUUCCACUAUAAUUUCAUCAACUGAUUGGCUUGCCUGCAAAGCAAAUUAAACCUUCACUUAUUACUGUUUGCUUUUAAUCAUUGAUGCUGAAGAAAGCAAAUCCAGUUUUCCAAAAUUGGACAAAGGAUGUCAUAUUGAAAAUAAUAAUGCAACAAUGAUAUCUAGAAAGAAAUAUUGACAGCCAGCAGAAACUAAUUACUGCUGAUGCAAUUUCAUUUAGUCAUUUAAAGCAUUAAAAGAAAAAAAAAAGAAUUUCUCUGAGGCAACCAAAAUAAAAACAUUGCAUUAAUGCAUAGAAAUUAAAGCUUAGUAAAUAUAGAGUUUGGGAGAAUACAUAAAGAAAAUAAUUCAAUGGAUGAAAUUUGUUUUAAAGCUUAUAAUUGAGUUUGGAAGGAUAGUGUACCUGUGUUUUGGCAUGCACUGAUUGCUUUGAAUCAACACUAAAUCUUGUGGUUACGUUGGGACAACCUUUUACUUUUAAACGCCUAAAAGAUUGGAAAACAAAAUGAUAACCCACAGGGCUGAAGCUCACGAGGUUUGGUAGAUCAUCAAGCUGUAAGUAGGUUAAUCGAGGUAGGUGCAUCACUUUCUCUUUGUCCCUACUCACAUUUGACUCAUCUCCUUCAAACACCUGCUCUAAUUUGGAGACCCAUUUAAGGUAUAACCCAUUUAGGUUUGGAAGGCCGCCAUGAGCAAGAGUAAUGGGGAAGAGACAUUUCAAGUUUUCACAGUUAAUGAUGUUAAUCCAACUCAAUUUAGGGAAGCAAAUAGGUUGGAGAUGAUGUUGUGAUGGAGUUUGAUCCUUCUCAAUUAUUUGCUCCAAUUCCUCACAGUUAGAUAUAACCAACAAAUACAAUUGUGGCAAAUUUCGAGCGAUGGCAGGUGAGAAGAUGUAUCUUAACCUUUUGCAGUCAUUGACUGUCAAUUGAGUGAGAUUUUGAAAGUAUUCAACUUGGAUGGGACCACUCCAUAUCACCCGCAAUUCAGUUAGUUCGGACAACGUUAGGAUCUUUAGACUUGAAAGAUUAUAUAUAGGAUAUUCAAAUAACUCUUCAAAAUUGGAAAUUGUUAAAUAUUCCGUACAUGUUGAUGUUCCUCCUCUCCUUUCAGGGACUGUCACGUUGCUUAUUUGCUUCUUUUCUGUCAUCUCUGAGAACUCCAAUUCCUAUAAACAUAUCAUCAAUUUAAGAAUACACACAAGAUUUCUUUUUCAAUCUUUUAUAGUGAAAGAAUUCAAUUUUUUAAAAAGUUUACUGUACAACUCAAAUAAUCAUAAAUUACAAAAAAAAAAAAAACUCCAAAAAUAUGGUGCAAAAACACAACAUAAAUAAUAUUACGUAGUACUGGAUAGUAUUUGCAAUAUAUAUAUAAGAAACAUAAAUAAUAUAUAUUUCUCAUAUAGAUUAUAAAAGUAUUCAGUUGAAAUGUUACUUAUGUUACUAAUUGGUAUUGUAAUUAACUAAACUACUUAAAGGUUUAUUUAGAUUAGUUUUUAGACCAAAAUUCUACAAUGCAAACUAUUUUUUAAAGAGUUAUACAAGCAUUUAUUUAUUUUAUACAAAAAAAAAAUUAAAAGGUGAAAAUUUUAAUAAAUAAUAUAUAUAUAUAUAAGGUGGUCUUACUUGUAUAUUAGUUGGAACGAUAAAAGGUGUCAAUUGAGGACAAUCUCUCACUUUUAACACGUGUAAAGAUGACGAUAUCAGCACGAUAUCGUUUCUAUCCCUUCCUUUCAAUUGAGGCAAAUUAAUUAACUCAACUUCAUUCAAUCGUUCAAGACCUUGAGACAUUGAGGUUAACACGUCUGGUCUUUGGACUAUUUCUUGCAAUUGGAAACAGCUCUCUAUCCUCAGAGUUUGCAAUUGCCCAAGACUAUUAGCAACACAUAUUGGGAAGAGAAAUUUCAACUGAUUGCAUUCUCUGACUUGUACUUCCCUUAGGCAUUGGAAGCUUAUGGUUGAUACUUGUGAGUCUUGAAUUAUUUCUUCCAUUCCAAAGCACCUCUCUAUCUUCAGAGUUUGCAAUUUCCCAAGACUAUUAGCAACACACAUUGGGAAGAGAAAUUUCAACUUAUUGCAUUUUGUGACUUGUACUUCCCUUAGGCAUUGGAAGCUUAUGGUUGGCAGUUGUGAGUCUUGGAUUAUUUCUUCCAUUCCAAAGCACCUCUCUAUCUUCAGAGUUUGCAAAUUAGGCGCAUUUAGUGUUUUAGAGUUACCUUGAGCAACAAUAAUUGGAAAGAGAGAUUUCAAGCUUUCACAUUCCAAGAUAUCAAUUCGAAUCAGAUUUGGAAAGCAAAGAGGUAGGGGAUGAUGUUGUGAUGACGUUUGAUCUUGCUCCAAUUCCUCAUAUUUACAUGAAUGCAAAUUGCUCAAUUGUUCAUUUGUCAUCUUCCCAAUCACCAAUUCCUAUAAACAUAUCAUCAAUUCUCAAUUUCAAAAUGUUCAAAGAUGUCAACAACUAACUUAACAUUUCAUCAAUUAAUUUCCUUACAAAAAAAAUAUUUUACAUUAAAUCAAUAUUAUACUCCAAAAAUGUGGUACAAAAACAGUCAUAAAUAAUAUCACAUAAUCAAUAUCAAACAACAAUAUAAUUUUAUACAGCUUAUUUUUGUUUACCCAUAUAAUUGGUAUAAUAUAAUUUAGAUAAAUAGUUUGCAACAUAUCUAAAACAUAAAGUUUGGAUAAUUUUUUUUUUUUGAAAAUUUUAUUAAUCAUAGUAUAUGGUAUUAUAAUUAACUAAUUUGUUUAAAAGGUUAUUUAGAUUAGUUUUAGACCAAAAUCAUAAAAUAAAAUCUUUCUUUUAAACAACUAUUCAAACAACGAAUUAUUAAAGAAAAAAUAGAAACAAAUAAAUAAAUAAUAUAAAACAAAAACAAAAAUCUUACUUGUAUCGUAGUUGAAAUAAUAAAAUGUGUCAAUUGAAGACAAUUGUGUACUAUUAACUUCUGCAAAGACGAUUGUGUGAGCAAAAUGCCGUUCACAUCCGUUUUUUUCAAUUGAGGCAAGUCAAUCAACGAAACCUGAAAUGAAAAGCAUAAUCAAAUUUCCCAACCUUUGACCAUAGGACAAUAAGGAAAAGAAAUGUAAAGUUAUUGCAGUGAGAUACACAUACUUCCCUUAGACUUUGGAGUAGACACUUGUAUGCCACUUGUCGGUCUUGGAUUAUAUCUUCCAAUUGCGAGCAACUCUUUAUCUUCAAAGUAUGCAAUUGCCCAAGGCUAUUAGCAACUGACAUUGGGAAGAUAUAUUUCAAAUUAUUGCACCCCUCUAUUUCAACAAUCUUCAGACUUUGGAGGCUUAAAUGACAACUGGGCCCUUCUUGUUCUAUGCUCCUCAAUUCAGCAAUUGGGAAUAACACUUGCAUCUCACCACAAUCUGAAACUAUAACCUCUUCAAGCUUUUGUAAAAAACCUUGCGGCUGGGGAGCAUUGCACAUCUCUUCCAAAUGAAACAUGCGACUUAAUGAUAACUUUCUCAAAUUAGAGAGAGCAGUGAUUGGCAGUUGCAGCUUUGAUGCAUCAAUUAGGCAUUGCAUAGAGUGGCACCGUCGAAGAUCUAGAGAAGUCAACUUUCUAAAUCCCAAGUCCAAGCUCGGAAUAAGGUUUGGGUGACCCUCCACAUCACCCAAUUCAAGAGAUUCUACAUCUUCAAAUAGUUGCUUGCAUGCAUCUACAGACUUAUUGAUUCUCAAAGAUCUUGAGAUUGGACAAGUUUCGCUCUUUUGGUACGACGUUUCUCUGCCUAUGCCAAUGGAAAAAUCAAAGCUCCAUAAUCUACGAAACACAAAGCCAUCUGGAAGAUGUUUAGAAGAAAUAUCCAAUGAUAUUACAACCAACUUUGGCAAUGAAUUCAACUCUGAUAAGCUGGAAUAGCUUUCCUUUUUAGUUGAAUCCUCAGUCGCCCAUUUUAAUGAACUACAACCAUGCAAGUAUAGUUCUUCUAAAUCGGACAAUCUUUGUAUUAAAUUAGGAGGGAAUCCUUCAAGGUUAUAACAAUACGAUAAAUCCAACAGUCUUAGCUUUUCUAGAUCACCAGCUUCAGUCGGCAAUUCAAUGAUAUCAGAUCCACUUAAAGAGAGAAUAUGAAGUGACUUCAGCUUCCCAAGCAUCGAGAUGUCAGAGAGUACACAAUCAAUCAAACACAAAGUUCGAAGGUUCAUAUUAAACUUAAAUGCAGCUAGAGAUAUCAAUUGAUCUUUCAAAGCACAGACUUGUAAUGCCUUCAUACCCUCGAAGAAUUCGCUUGAAUUUUCCAUGAAACUACCAAGUAAAAGAAGUUUGAGGCAUGGAAAACCCACUCCUUUAGGCAGUUCAUCCAUUUGAUCAGUUUCGAAGGAGAUUGCUGUGUAAUGCUUGAAACUUUCAUCCAUCGGGAGUGUUUCAACAGUCCCAAAACAAAUCUCCUUUCUUGAAGAUGCUAUCCACAAAGCAAAUUGGCGAACCAUGUCAUGCAUUUUGACAUGCCUUUCUCCGCAAUCUAGCAACAAACCGGAGUUCUUGAGGGUCUCAAUUGAUGCAAGCACUUCACUUCUAACAUCUUUAAUUGAGUCUAUGCCUUUAUACAACUCCAGUCCCCAUGCAUAUCCUACCAAGUUCUCCACAUAAAUCUCAUCAUCUUCAGGAAAUAAAGAGCACAACAAGAAACAUGUCUUGGUCUCCAUAUUCUUCAAGUAGUCGAAGCUCGCCUCAAUACAUACAUAGGCAUUUUCUUCAUUAACAUCCUCAAUUUCAGUCAAUCUACGAUCUUUGAGUCUCCGGUUUGCAGCUUGCCACUCAUGAUGGGUUUUACCUUUCAAGGCACUUCCCAGCGGAACUAUAGCUAUAGGCAAACCCCCGCAUUUUUUGACAAUUUGAUUUGCUAGGAUUUUAAUAGAAUCAUUAGAAAAGUCAUCUAGACCUGCUUUCUUUUCAAACAGAGUCCAGGCUUCAUCAUCAUUCAAACAGCCAAGUUGUACCACGUUUUGACAAUCCAUAGCUUGACAUACUUGUUGACGGCGUGUUGUUAAAAGAACUUUGCAGCCUUUAUGAUCAUCCCCAAUUGGAAUUCCCAUCUUCUCCUUUAAGUUGAUAGAUUCCCAAAUAUCAUCAAUAAUGAUAAGAAUCCUCGGUUCAUUCUUCAGCCUUAACCAUAAUUCUUGCUCGGAUCUUCUUCCUUGUUCAUUCUUCAUAUCAAAGCCUAUGUAUUGUGCAAUUUGAUCUUGAAUUCUCUCAAAAUUUGGCUUUUGAGACACAACCGUAAUCACAAUUUUGUCAACCAAAUUCAGUUUUUGAGCUUGACUUCCAACUUCACGAGCCAGGGUGGUCUUGCCCACCCCUCCCAUCCCCCACAACCCAAUCAUGUUGAUAUUCUCAUCUUUUAAGGCUUCAAUGAUUUGAUAGAAUGCAGUCUCUGAAGAUUUCGAAAACACAAAUUCCUUGGAACAUAGGAAAUCUAUAGUGGGAAGGGCAGUAGGAGCAGGGUAACCGACUGGUCCAAGUUGACCAAAUUUUUCCAAAAUCUCAGAGAUAUCCUGGAUUUUCUUCAUUGCUUUCUUGCUUAAUUGAUAUCUCCAACUCCAAUUAGGACAUCAAUUGAGACACCUCUUAUUCAGUUGGAUUUCGUCCUCUAAAGUUCCCAUAUCCGAUAGUGUUUCGUCUACCCUUGAUUGCAAGUUCUGUACAUCAUCUUCAAUUAGUAGAAGCCGGUUUUUAGCUUCCUCAAUCUUAAGUAGUAGACGCUUUCGUGCAUCUGCAAGUUAACGCAUUUUCUCUCGGAGCUUUUCAACAUUUUCAUGAAAGCGACAGACAUAAUCAAGUUGACGUCCUACCGGCUUCACCACACAGUUCACAACCAGUGUUCCAACCGUGUUAGAAAGAGCAGCCUCGCAAAAUCCGCAACCCAUCCUUGACAAGCUCAAAUUGAAGAAUAUAAACACUGCAGUGAAUCAUAAGUAAUUACCAUAAAAAAAAAAUUAAAGAAUCAAAAAGUGUUUUAAAGGUUAAGACACUACUUCUUAUACAUACCAAGGAAGGUGAAAGACAACUCAAACUAUGAGAAUCAAUGGGCUGUUCUUUCAACUCGGUCCAGCUGAAAACACAAAACAAAACGCGAAUAUUAUGAGAAAUUUAAUAAAUAAAAUCAUAUACAGUGUAAUGUCAUAUAAUUAUAACUAAAAAAGACAUUUAAUUAUUUAUAAAAAUAAGAAUUCAAAAUAUUGUUACCCUCAGACUAAUAAUAUUAUAGAUAUAAUGCUGGAAAAUAUAAUAAACAUAUCCACUUACCAUUUCAAAAUCCAAACAGUCUUUUAGCUCUUACUUGCUUCAAGAAAAAUAUAGAACAACUUCAAUUUAUAUAUAAAAAAACAGAAAUGAAGCAUAUAUAAAUAGGUUUACCUCACUUGGGAACUUCUAAAAUCAAACUACACUUAGUGCUCAGAAGAUUCUUACUUCAAAACAAUCAAAAGGGAGGGAUUUGAAGGUUGGUUUUUUCAUUUUUUUUUUAGCAAAAGUAAGUAAAACUGAAUACAAAAAGAAGGAACUUGAAGAAAGGGGGGGAAAAAACAAAGUAGAAAUUGAAGUUUAUCCGCCUGGAAAAUUCAACCGCUCGGAAAAUUUUACUAUUUCAGUAUGACCCCUGAAUUUCUACGAUGCUCCGCCACUAAAAACUGAGUUUUCUUGUAGACAAAGGAUUUGUGUUUAUUAAUGAAAUUGGUACUGAUUGGUUUGCAUUUAUUUUGCAAUUAAGACCAACAAAGACAUGACAGGAUAGGAGAUGACUUCCAAAAAGGUGAGUCUUUGGGUCAUAUUUUUACCCUGGUUUUCUCUAUUAGAAAUUAUGACUACCAAUUUAAAUUCGUCCCCAAACUUCAAAUUAUUUUAGUUACACAUUUAAAUUAUCGAUAUCAUAUUAAUCAAGUCCUUUUAUUAUUAUAAUCGUUAAAUAACAUAUCAAAUCUUAUGUAGUUAAAUUUAAAAUAAAAAAUUUAAGAAAUAGAAUCAUGUUACAUAACUUUUAAAAUUAAAAAUAAAAAUUAAGUAAAAUUGAAAUUAAAAAAAAAAGUGAACGAUAAAACUUUCAUAAAAACUUCCAAAACCUUAAAACUAGAGUUUUUAAAAUAUUUAUGUUUACAAUAUUCAUUUUUUAAAAUUUUCAUUUUAAAUUAUUAUGUCACAUUAGAUGAACAUGUCAUUUAAUAAUUAAACUCGGUAGAACGACCUCUCUAGGCUCUCUCUCAAUUUUGAUAUUGAGCAAAUUGGUCAUCUAAAAAGUCAAAUCAAUUUCGUAAGUGAGCAACUAAAGCAUUCUAUUAAUUUGAUCAUGAUUUAACAAAUUUAAUCCGCACUAUUUUUGUAAAUGCGUAAAUGUUGAGACUAAAUUUGUAGAUUUUCUUUUCAAGUAAGACAAAACUAACAAAAUAUGCAAAUGCCAAUGACUAAAUUUAUUAUUAUACCAAUCAAAACCAUGCAUAUAUAAUUGAGAAGGAUUUAGUUACUAACAUUAAAUUGUUCCUCUUUCUUUAGGGAGACGAAUUUACUCAAAUUCAAAAUUGAAAGGGAUUAGAGAGAUUUUUUUACUAUAAUAAUAAUCAAAACCCUUAUUAUUUUCUUAAUAAUAAUUUGUUUAUAAAUAUAAUUUUAAUGUAAAAUAUUUUCAUUCACUCGAGUAGUGUGAUAAAAUCUAAUAGAUAUAGAAUUGAUUUCUCUAUUUUAUUUAAAUACAAGUAUUGCAUAGAAUUGGGUAGAAAAGUAUAAAUGAAAGCAAGACUCGAUUGAGAAGCUGUUAUUUCAUUUUAUCAAUUCAUAUUAGUUGAUAAAAUCAUAUAUACAAUUCGAGUGUAAAGUCAUAUAAUUAUAAAUUGGAAGGAUAUAUUUCAUUACACAGAUAAAUAUAAUUCUAGUGAUUAAAAUUAAUUAAACUAAGUCUAUGUACUUUUUAUUAAUUUAUUUAAAUUUGAAAAAAAAAAUUAAAACUAAAAACUACCCAGUAGUAAUUGUUGAGUUUUUAUCUCUACUAAAUUUGGUUUAUUGAGUUGAGAGUGACACCAUGACUCGCUGUCAUAUUUAUAGAUUAUAGACGAUAGAUUAUAUAUAUUAUAUAUAACAUGUUUGACUAAAUUUGUGUCACGAGUCAAUUAGACACUAACUCGAUCGUAAAAUAAUUAAAAUACCCCUACUUUAAAAAGUAAUUAAUAUUAUUUUAACAUUAAUAUAAGAGUAUCUUCAUGUUUUCAUACUUUUAUUUAAUAUUCAAAUAAAACAACUCAAAAAUAAUAUUUAAGAAUCAAACACAAAACCAGUUGAAAUAUUUUUAUAAAUAUAUUUUUAAUAUAAAAUAUUUAUGUUUGUGAUAAAAUCUAGUAGAUAUAGACUAUAUAGAAUUGGUUUCUCUAUUUUAUUUAAUGAAAUGAACUUUAUAACUUUUAUUUCAUUUUGUUUGUUUUAUUUUUGUCAAUUCAUUUAAAUUUAUAAAAUUAAGAAUGAGCAAAAAUCGAUUUGGUUCGAAAAAAUUAAAUUUUAAGUUAAUUGAAUCGAUUUGACAAUUCGAAUAAUAGAUUAGUGUAAAUAUCUCUUUAAUCUCUAUCAAUUUUGAAAAUGAACAAAUUAGUUUUUUUCAACAAAAAUUACAAAAAAAUUUAAAAUAAUUUUCAAAAAUAAAAAAUAUUUAUAAAAAUUCCAAUUUUUUAAUAGUUUUAAAAAAUUCCUAAAAUAAGAAUUUUGGAACCUAAAUAAGUUAAUUAAUGAUUGAAGUUUAUUUAUUUUUAUUUAAAAAGUUUUCAAAUACAUAUGGUUUCAAAUUUAAGUGGUUUAACAUGUAAUUAGUUAUACGGUAACAAUAUUUUAAUUUGACAUGUUUAAUUUUUUAUUUAACUCUAAUAAUUUCACUCGAUUCGAAUUUUAUUUCACUUGACUCAAUUCGAAAAAAUUUCAAAUCGAAUUAGGAUGAUAAAAUAGGACUCAUCAACUCGAUCGACUCGAUUUGAUCCAACGUUCAUCCUAAAUAAAAUCGUAUACAUGUGUGUAAUGUGAUACAAUUAUAAAUAAAAAAGACAGAUAAUUUACCACUUCAAAAUGAAGUUGUAACUCCAAGAAUUUGAUCGUUAAAAUAAAAAGUCCAAACACUCUUUUAGCUCUGAUUUGCUUCAAGAAGGACAUAAAAAGAUGAGAUGAGAUGAGAUGAAAAAAAUAUAUAACAAAUUUAAUUUAUAUAUAUAAACACAAAUAUAAAUGGAUUUACCUCACUUGGGAACUUCAAAAUCAAACUACACUUGGUGUCGAGAAGAUUCUUAAUUACUACUUCAAAUCAAUCAAAAGGGAUUUGAAGUUGGGUUUUUUCUUUGUUUCUUUUUUUGAGCAAAAGAACUUGAAGAUAUUUUUUAUCUUUAAGGAAAGGGAAAUAGAAAUAGAAAUCAAGGUUGAAGUAAAAUAAGGAGAAACCUUCACAAAGAAAUUGAACUUGAUCUGCCUGGAAAUUUCAACAAACUGGGUUUUCUUGAUUUAGUAGCCAAAUGAAUUGUGCUAUGAGAUUACUGCAAUUUUGGGAUCUAAAUUAAUGAAGUUGGUACUGUUUGGUUUGCUAAUGGCCCCAUGCAUUUAUUUUCCAAUUAAGACCAACAAAAACAUGAUAUGAUAGGAGAUUACUUACAAAAACGUGAGUCUUUGGGUCAUAUUUUUACCCUGGUUUGCUCUAUUAGAAAAGAGUUAAUUACAUCAAGCAUCCUUAAAUUAUGACGAUCAAUUUAAAUUGGUCGCUGAACUUUAGAUUAUUCUAAUUACAUCCCCAAUUUAUCGGUGCUAUAUCAAUUGAGUCCUUUUGUUAUUACAAUCAUUAAGUGACAUGUCAAAAUCUUACAUAGCUAAAUUUAAAAUGAAAUUUUUAAAUAAAUAGAAUCAUGUUACAUAACUUUUUAAAUUAAAAACAAAAAUUAACUAAAACAUUUUUUUUUUAAAGUGAACAUAAAACUUCCAUAAAAACUUCGAAAACCUCAAAACUAAGGUUUUUAAAACAGUUAUUUUUAUAAUAUUAAUUUUUUAAAAUUUUCAUUUUAAACUAUUAUGUCAUAUUAGAUGUAACAUGUCAUUUAAUGAUUAAACUGGGUAAAACGACCUUUCUAGUACAUCUCAAUUUUGAUAUUGAGCAAAUUUGUCUCUCUAAAAAAAUCAAACCAAUCUAAUACCUAUCAAUUUCAAAAGUGACCGAAUAAGGACAAUUUUCAUAAAUUUGACAGGUAAAUAACAAAUUUAGCUCUCAAAGUUGACACAUUCUAUCAAUUUAGUCAUGAUUUAACAAAUUCAGCUCGCAAUAUUUUUAUAAACAUGUAAAUAUUAAGACUAAUUUUUUUUUAUUUUUUAGAAUCAAAACGAAACUAACAAAAUUACAAUUUAAUCAUAGAUAUUUUCAAAAUUUUUUGUUGAAGAUAUAUUUUACUAAUUCAUAGAUAUACAAACUAAAAAUAUAGUCCCGCCUGAAAAUCAAUAAAUCUUGAUUAAUAUAUUUUAUUAAUUCAUAUAUCUUCAAAAAUCAUGGAUUUCAAUUUAAUCAUAGAUAUCUUCAUCUAUUCUUUGGUUGUGGCCCAAGUAAAUGGAAAGUUUACCCACUUACCACUUCAAAAUGAAGUUAUGAUUCCAAGAAUUUGAGUGUGGAUGAGAAAAUUCCAAACAGUCUUUUUAUCUCUGUUUUAGUUUCAAGAAAAACAUAAAAAGAUAAUAUUAGAUGAGGAAAUAUAUAACAAAAUUAAACUUGGCGGUUGGUUUGCAAAUUCUAGAGAUAAAUUUCCAAUGUUUAUGCUAUAUAACAAGUUUUUUUCCUUCAAAAUUAAAAAUGAAUAAGAAUAUGCUUUUAUGAAAUUUCAUACCAAAUCACGGGUUUGGGUAUCUUCAACAAAAAGUUGAGUUUUACAUAACAUGUUCUAUUGUCAUUUUGGUAUUUUUUUUUUCCGUAAUCAAAAUAAUGUAUGAAAGAUAAAAUAUAAAAUUAAUGCAUCACUUUUUAGAAAAUUUUAAACAAUCAUCAUUAACGGUCUCAAUAGUUUUAUAGGUAAAUUACAAUCAAAUCAUUAAAUUAUUAAUAAUGUCGAAAUCUUUUUGAAAUCAACUUUCUAUUUUUAAAAUGACGAGAAUGAGAGUCGUCACCAAUCCUUUUUUAUUAGGUAUAAUCAGAUCACAUCGUAAUUUAAUCAUUUUUGGUUUACAAAAUCUAAGAAAUGGGUUCGGGAGUCAGUUACGCACGAUGAAUGGUUAGUAUCCUCGUAACGUCCAAAAUUGGUACUUAAGUGAUUAAUUGGUGUCUUAAGGUCGAAAGUUAAAAAUUCGAAAAUAGUUUAAAAUACGAUCCCUCUUUGUAUUAAUGUAUUUUUGAAGUAAAAUCCCUUGAAUAAAUCAAAAGUGUAUAAAAGGUCCUCUUAUCUUGAGGUAACAAAAAGGCCAUAUCCCGUAAGUUAGGACAUGUCAUCUCGCAUACUCGAAAAUAACCUUUCUCUUUAUUUAAUUACUAUUCAAAUCUCAGGUGUUUUAAUUUUGAAAGAGAUGUUUAGCUAUCUAGGUUCAAAGAGAAAGUCUCAUAAGUUAAGGUACGACAUCUCGAAUCUCCAAAUGCGGAACAUUGCCAUAAUUUUAAAAAUUUUCUUUUUAUGCACCGAGUAAAAAUUAAUGUAACACUUAAAAUAGUAUAUACUUAAUUUAUUCAGGCAUUAUAUGAAAAACGGACAAAUCUGUUCAAACAAGGUUCGUGACAUGAUUGCGGUCACAAUAAAAUUAAAUGAAGUAUAUAUAAAAAAUAUUGGUAUAUGGAAAACAAAAUGUCGUGCUAGUAAGUGACAGUGCGAUUUCAAUUUGUAAUAAUAAUAACAUGAUAAUGAUACACAUAAUAAAAUAUGAAUGUAUAAUAAUAUCAAUAUGAACAAUAAAUGUGCAAGUAAAACGUAAAUAAUCUAAUUUUGAAAAUAUAUUUUAAAAAAUAAAUAAUGACGAUAAUAAAGGCAAAAGAAGAAGAGAUAAAAAUAAAAAUAAAAUAAUAAAAAAUGCACAUUAAAUAAAAAAAACAAGUAAACUUUAAAUAAAAAUUAAAUAAUAAGUAAAUAAAUCAAAUCAAAUCAAAUAAUAAUAAAUAAUAAUAAUACAUAAAAAUGAAUAAUCUAGAAAGGGUCGAAACUAAAUAAAUAAGGAUUAAAUCGACAUUGAAAUGAAAUUAAGAGUCUAAAUUUUAAUAAAAUAAAAUAAGUGCAUAAACAUAAGGAUUAAGUUGAAACUAAAGUAAAAUUUUAGGGGGGAAAUUAGGAUAAAAAUAAAAUAAGGGACUAAAUUGUAACAUGCAAAGAAAAGAGAGUGGUAGAAUUGAAACAAAAUCAAAAUCAUUUUUGGGUCGGGUCAUCAAGUUGGCCUCAAAAUGACGUCGUUUUGGGGCGUUUUGGAACACCUCGAAACAGUACCGUUUAUCACCCUAUUUAGCUAAAAAAAACUUCAAAAAAUCAUUUUUAAAACAGUUUUAAAAAAAACUUUGUUCUUUUUUUUUUCUCUCCAUCCCUCCCAAUCCGGCCUAGGCAGCCGCCAAGCUCCGCCGUGAUGGCCACCAGUCGCCGACGAUGUAUUCGUCUUCCACGGUGGUCGAAAAACGAAAAAGGUGCAUUUUUUCGGCCUUUUGACUUCCAAAGCCCAGAUCUGAGGACUAAGAGCCUAAAAAGGUAGAAAAAAAACAAGAAAGUUUUGAUAUUUUUUUCUAUUCGCCUUUUUUUUAAAAAUAUAUAUGUGUUUUUUUUCCUUUCGAAAAAAAUAAAUAAACAAAAAAAAUGAAAUCACCUUCUGUAUUGAUUUCUUUUUUCGAUUGAUCUCAUUUUUUUAAAUUUUUUUGUCUCCAAAAAUACUUUUUAAUCCAGCCUUUAUAGUCGAUUUUUACAUAUUAUUUUUUAUGUUUUUCUACUAUUUCAUAAUGUUCAUUGCGUGUGUUGCUUUUUCUUGGCAGGGGUUGUCGUCGGUGGCAGAGGUUAGGGUACAACGCUGACAUGGGAGGAGCAGCGGCGCUAGGGGCUAGGGGGCUAGGGUUUUUUUUUUUGAAAAGAUGUUUUGGAUUAGGUUUUUUUUUAUUUGGGCGAUGUUGGGCCAUAUUGUAAAUGAACUAUUAUUUAUUUUUUAUUGGACUUUAAUAUUAUUCUUUGGUUUGGUUUGUUUGGGCCCAGGCUAAAUUGGCCUAUUACAGCUGCCCCUCUUUGCUUAUUUCGUGUAACGGGAAUGGAGCAAAAUUUUCCUGGUAUUAUCGAAUCUCGACUUCUUUGGUGCUUCUCUUCUUCAAGUAGUCUCAUUCUAACCCACUGCAACUUUAGGGAUAUGAAAAUUGUAAUUUUAAUCUACUUUGCUGCAACCUCGGAGAGAUGAGAUUUGUAGCUUCAAUUUGCUUCACUGUAACUUUAGGAAGAUAAGAUUUGCUAUCUUCAAUCUACUCCACUGCCACUUCAAGAAAAUAAGAUUUGUAGUUCUAAUUUGCUCCACUGCAACUUCAGGGAGAUAAGAUUUGUAGCUUUAAUCUACUCCACUGCAACUUCAGAGAGAUAAGAUUUAUGGUUUUAAUCUGCUCUACUACAACUUUAGAGAGAUAAGAUUUGCUAUCUUCAAUCUGCUCCACUGCAACUUCAAAGAGAUAAGAUUUGUGAGUUUAAUUUGCUUUACUGCAACUUUAGAGAGAUAAGAUUUGAUAUCUUUAAUCUGCUCAACUGCAACUUCAAGAAGAUAAGAUUUGCUAUAUUCAAUCUGCUCCACUGCAACUUCAGGAAGAUAAGAUUUACUAUCUUCAAUCUGCUCCACUGUGAUUUCAUGGAGAUAAGAUUUGCUAUCCUCAACCUGCUCUACUGUGACUUCAAGGAGAUAAGAUUUGUGAUUUUAAUCUGCUCCACUACAACUUCAGAGAGAUAUGAUUUGUGGCUUUAAUUUGCUCCACCGUAACUUUAGGGAGAUAAGAUUUUCCAUGAAAACUUCAAACUGUCCCACUGCAACUUCAGGGGUAUAGGAUUUGUGGUUCCACUAAUCUAUUACACCGUUCUCUAGGGAACAUGACCAGUAGAAACCAUUUCAUGGGCCUAUAUUUAUGCCAAGCGAUUAGGAUGCUAUGAUCAAAAUGAAUCAAAUGCUCCUAACUAGAUGUGUAUGAAUGAUAUUUGCAUGAAUGCAUAAUGUCAUUUUUUAAGAAUGAUCCCCUUUUAAUGCUUAGGUUGACAUUGCUAUUUUUCAUUAAGGUUUUAUUACUAGCACAUUACCUUGCUUCUUGUUUAACUGGUAUAUUUGACAGAAAAAUCAAAAAAAAAUCACAAUUUAAACUAUUUGUUUCCAAACAUUUCCAACUCUCAGAUUUGGCCAGUUCUGAUUAGUGGUCCAGUUUCAAGUCCUUGUAUUAUUUAGAAAACCUUUUAGAGCAAUAUACAAAAUUCCUUUUACUUGAAUAUUAUUAGUACAUUAAUCAUUAUUUCAAUGAAAAAUGCUUGAAAAAGAUCGUAAUAAUGGACAAGAUUGAAAUUUAUUCGGAGCAGAGCUCGAAAUGAAUAGAUUAAUCAAAGAUAGCAAAUGUUACUAAAAUACAAAAAGAGUAAGAUAAAAAUAGAUGCUGCACAUAUCGUAGUAUGAGCUUUUCUAUACUAACUUCACGAGGACCUUUUUUAAGCUUGAUAUGUGUUUAGGAUAUCCAGAGUACAUUAUUGAUGCCCCAAUAUGUAACGUUUUUCUUUCCAAGAAGACCUGACCAUCACAUGUUCAAUCUUCAAUCCAAAUUUGAGUUUCCCUUUUCUUGGGUUUUCAACUCAAAAACCCUUUUGGUAUCAAUGCACCCUUUGCGGGUUUUUGCCUUGGCUUCUCCAUCUCGGUCAAAAUCAAUGCUCCUCCAAAAAAAGGCCUCAUUUACCAUAUAAGGUCAUUCCCAGUUUGGCAUCCACUUUCCUAUGAAAUCCUUUUGUAUGGAAAGGAUCUAUUUCAAUACCAGGUACCCCUUAUAGAACUCUAUGGGGCGAACCUUUUUUCCAUAAGCUCGCAUCUUUUAUUUUUAGUACAUCUGACCAUGACGGAUAACUUUCAACCUUUUUUUCAAUCAAAUUCAGCUGAUCAUAUCGAGAUUGGAUCUAUUCUACUUCAUCUAACUUCAACUCUAACAAAACUUGGAGAGAAGGAAUCUCGACUUCAAUAGGCAAAACCACCCCUAUUCCAUAAACCAAUGAGAAAGGUGUUGCCCCAGUGGAGGUCUUGCCAAGUGUUCAAUAAGCAUAGAGGGCAAAUGGUAACUUCUCAGGCCAAUCUUUAUAAGUCUCAGUCAUUUUCGCUACGAUAUUCUUAAUGUUCUUGUUGGCUACCUUCACCGCACCAUUCAUUUUUGGGCGAUAUGGUGAUGAGUUGUGGUGUUUGAUCUUGAAUUAACUACAGACCUCUAUUAUUGUGCUGCUGUUCAAGUUCAAUGCAUUAUCGGAUAUAAUUCUUUCUGCCAUCUUAUACUAGCAUAUGAUCUUUUUCUUCAAGAAUUUGUUGAUUACCGACUUCGUGAAAUUGGCAUAAGAAGUGACUUCUACCCAGUUGGUGAAGUAAUCAAUGACCACAAUGAUGAAUCGAUGUCUGCUUAAAGAUUUUGGCGAGAUCGACCCAAUGACAUCCAUGCCCCACAUAGAGAAAGGCCAUGAAGAAGCCAUAACAUGAAGAGGUGGAUGAGGCAUAUGAAUUUUAUCUUCGUAAAUUUGACGCUAAUAACAUCUCUUGGCAUAACUGAUACAAUAUCAUUUUAUAGUGGACCAAUUAUACCCAAAUCUCAUUAUUUGCCUGGCUAUUGUAAAGCCAUUAGCAUGUGUUCCGCAGACACCCUCAUGGACUUCUUCUAAGAUUUUCUUAUACUCAACAGUGUCUACACAUCUUAGCCACACUUGAUCUUUUCUUCUUUUGUAUAGGAUCUCUCCAUCUAAGACAUAGUCAUUGGCCAGUCUUCUCAAUGUCCUUUUAUCAUUCUCGAUUGUUUGAUCGGGAUAUUCAUGGUUCGUCAUAUAUCGUAGUAUAUCGUGGUACCAAGGGUAAUCAUCCAUUUCUUCUUCGAUGAUGAUGUAACAAUGAGCCAGAGCCUCAUAAAUACUUAUCUAGAUAGGUUUUACAUCCUCUUGUUUGUUCACUUUGAUCAUAGAAGCUAAAGUAGCUAGGGCAUCAGCCAUCUGAUUUUCAUAUCGCGGGAGGUAGUAGAAAGUGAUGUCAUCAAACUCCUCAGUUAACUCAAGAACCAACCUGCGAUAACUAAUCAAUUUAGGGCCUCUCGUUUCCUAUUCACCUUUGAGUUAAUAGAUCAUGAGUGCAGAAUUCUCAUAUACUCUAGUACUUUGAUAUUACGUUUUGUGGCUGCAUGGAUACCCAUGAUGCAUACUUCGUAUUCUGCCAUAUUUUUUGUACAAUCAAUAUCCAAUUAACUAGUAAAUGAAUAAUGAUCUCCGUUUGGGGAUACCAAGACUACCCCGAUUUUGUUACCUAUAAUGUUUGAAGUUCCGUCAAAAUUUAGCUUCCAAGGAUGUAUGUAUUGAGAAUCUUCUUCAGUGGUUGCAACAUACAUAAGAUUUUCAUUUGGGAAAUCAAAGUUCAAAGGCUCAUAAUCUUCUAUGGCUCUACUGGCUAGAAAAUCUACUAUUACACUCCUUUUUAUUGCCUUCUAGUUCAUAUAAAUUAUAUCAAAUUCAGAAAGUAGAAUCUGUCAUUAGGCCGUUCUGCCAUUUAAAGCAGUUGACUCCAUCAUGUACUUUAGAGGGUUUAUUUUUUAGAUGAGCCAAGUUGUGUGGUACAACAUGUACUGUCUCAGUCUUCGGGUUAUCCAGAUUAAGGUGCAACAAAACUUUUCAAUUUGUGAGUAUCGUGUCUCACAUUUAGUGAACUUUUUACUAAGGUGGUAUAUUGCUUUUUCUUUCCUUCCUGACUCAUCGUGUUGGCCAAUCACACAUUUAAUAAAAUUCUCAAAUACGACCAAAUACAGUAUCAGUGGCUUAUUUGGACUAGGUGGCAUCAGUACUAGAGCAUUGGACAAGUAAUGUUUGACCUUGUUGAAAGUCUUUUGGCAUUCUUCAUCCCACACACUUGGAUUAAGUUUCUUAAGGAGACAAAAUAUGGUGUCACGUUUCUCAGUUAAUUGUUAAAUGAACCUGGCGAUGUAAUUUAAUCUCCCUAAGAAACCCCGAACUUCUUUUUGAGUGAACGACAGAGGCAACUCCUAUAUAGCUUUGACUUUGUCUGGGUCGAUUUCAAUUGCCUUUUCGCUGACUAUAAAACCUAGCAAUUUUCCUGACCUAGCCCCGAAGGUUCAUUUUGUUGGAUUGAGCUUUAGCUGAAAUUUUCUCAACCUCAAGAAUAAUUUCCUCAAGACUUGUACAUGCUCUUUUUCUAUUUGGGAUUUUACAAUCAUAUUGUCGACGUAAACAUUGAUUUCUUUCUACAUCAUAUCAUGAAACAGGGUUACCAUGGCUCUUUAAUACGUCACUCCUGCACGUUUUUUUCUAAAUGGCAUCACUUUAUAGCAAAAGGUUCCCUACAUAGUUCUGAAUUUGGUAUUUUCCAUGUCUUUAGGGUGUAUCUUUAUCUGGUUGUAACCGGAGAAGUCAUUCAUAAAGGAGAACAGUGAAUAACCUGUCGUGUUGUCCACUAAGGUGUCAAUAUAAGGCAAUGAAAAAUUAUCUUUCGGGUUAGCCUUGUUUAAAUCCUUGUAGUCUACACAUAUUCGUACUUUCCCAUCUUUCUUAGGGAUGGAGACUAUAUUGGCUACCCACUCGAAGUAUUUAAUCACUUGUAGGAAAACAACGUCAAAUUACUUCUUGACCUAUUCUUUUAUUUUUAACAAGAUGUCGAGCCUCAUCCUUCAAAGUUUUUAUAGAAUCGACUUGCAUUCUUCUUUUAAAGGAAACCUAUAAACCAUGAUAUCAGUACUUAGACCAUACUGUUGGAACGCCGGCACCCCCAUGGCGCAGUAAAAAUUAAUACUUCCGACAAUCCAACCCAUGGAUCCAUAUGCGAGGAACGAAUCGGGGUGAAAUAAAGGUUUCGUAAUUACCAAAACUUUAAACUGAGUAGGCAGUGACGCUAUUAGAAACAAGUAUUCUGAUCUACUAUUGAACCAAGCCGCAACCUUUCAGAUUUUGACCUCUACGUAAUCCACCCGGUUUGACAACGAACGGAAGAAAUCCCCAAAACUAUUUUGGAGAAGUCUUUGCUUGACGACUGCUAGACCUCACAAGCCAAAAAAAAACAAGAUUUUAUUUUCGGAGUUUUUUACACACAAACCCUCUUAUAAUUGGUAUAUAUAUAAUAAAUAAAUAUAAUAAUGUUUUAACUAAAAAUUAUAAUUAUGUUAAUUAUAAUAAGGAUUUCGAUAAACUAUAUUUAUUUAAAUUCAUAUACGAAGCAAAUUCAUAUAUUAAUAGAACUAUUUUCUCAUUAUGUGUACAACAUCCUUGCACACAUCAUAUGCUCGAUAUUUGAUUGCCCAAUUAAAUUAAUUCUAUAAUUAAUUUAAUUCAUGUGACAACCAAAACCAAUACCAACUAUGUUUUAUUCCGUCCAUUUCAACCAUAGGGUGUGACCCUGUAGGUUCUUGUAACGUUAGCAGUAAUACCAGAACGAUUCUAAUGUUACAAACAAUGAGUUGCAUCUAGCAAUGCAUCAUUGCUACCGAAGUUACAAGAAAAUAUGAUUCGACAUAACCUUUUUGUGAUUAACCUUUCAUGCAUUAAUCCUUAAGUCCUUUAUCUCUGGAAUGGACACAAGUCAUGGAAUAGUCACACUUGCAUAGUCCAUCCCUUGUUCCUCGAUAUUUUGAGUAGACUAUGAUAUACAAAUAAGUAUGACAUCUCAUAUCAACUUAUUUGAGCAUGGCCAUGCAUUUCUAGUCUCACUCAAUUAAGUGUCCUAAGAUAUUACUCCCAUUAUAUAGGAGGGACUUAUCCUAUAUGGAUCAACUAUAUCCCUCUACAUAGAUUGUGGUAUAUCCAACAUCAGCCUUUAUAGGACAACCAAUUACGGUGUACGUUUGACUAUAUCAAAAUAUACAACUCACGAUGUUAGGAUAAUGAUGAUCUCAAGUCUGAGGAUCAUAUACAUAUUAAUCACUAUGACUAAUGUUGUGACAAUUACAUAAUAAUCCAAGAAACAUACUCAUAGCGGGUCAGUCCAAUAUGUUGUUCUCUAACACACAUAUUCUUGCAUUGAUUUUGACACUCCAUAUCAAUGACAACUCUUUAUCAUCAAUCCACUACAUGUUAGUCUUAAUGCAUUAUUGUUGUCCUAGUUGACAAUAAUACUUGACUAAGGACCUUUUAAGAAUAAUCAAAUUAUUCUCAGGAUAUUAUUAUAAAACAAUUUAUUUAUACACAUAGAAAAGAAACUAAAAUAAUAAUGACAACGCCUUACAUUAAUAAACAUGAUAAAUCAAGUAUGUUAUUACAACCAUCUCAUGAUUAAUCUUUGGGCAUACUCUUACACAUACAUGUCUUGAUACCAUGCGAAGACAUCUUUGAAUUCUUAGAGUAACUCAAUGAGGUCUCACUUUGUCUCUACGGUGAUGCAAGCUCCGAUCUUCACUUCUUUCAUUUCUUGUCCAUCUCCUAAGUUCACAAUUUUUACUGACUUUUUCUUAGGUAGAAUCUGUUUCUCCUCUUGUUCUACCAUCCUUAACAAAUCAGGGGAUAGGUUACAAUCUCGAUCAUCUUCAAAGUCCUAAGUUUCCUCUAAACACAUAUCUUACUCAAAAGGAGAUUCUGAGUCAGUAGCAGUGUCGCUCAUAUCAUUGAUAUCCAGAAACCUGUUCUAGGAAUGAAGGAAGACCUAAAGAACAAAUGAAUCUAAGAAUAAUUAUUUGCGUGGUAUGAGUAUGAAUGAAAUGGAAAGAAUAAAAGAAUGUUUGCCAAAAUGAGACACAAAUAUGCAUUUUAUUGAAAUAAAAAUAAUGGAAAUAUGCCUUUUUCACAAAAGGUCUUAUUGCUCCCUGGCUUAGUGCAAUAAAUGUAUUUUGAACAUUACUCUGAAUUAGUUCUAAAAUUUAUAGAGAUCUUGGCAUGAAUAAUUUUCUAUUGAUUUAUAAAAAUAUAAAAGACAAAAACAUACUCAAAUAAUCAUAUAACUUACUUUGAAAAUAAAAUGGAUUUUUGUUGAUUUCCCAAGUGAGUUGGAACCCAAUUAAUGAGUGACACCAACUCAAUAAAAAGCUUAAUAAAUAAUGUAGACAAAUUAUAUCAUUAGUCUCUCAACUAUGAGUAAACUUUUGUUUUGAUUGCUUAACUAAAAAAUAUUACAAUUUAAUUAUAGACAUUUUCAUUUUUUAUUUUGGCUUUCUUCUACUUUUCUUGAGCUGAAAGACUAAUGGUGACACUUUUUUAAUUAGUAUAAUAAUAAUUUUAAGCUGAAUUUUAACCCUCAACUUUUAUACUUUCUAAGCACAAUUGAUUUGCUUGAAACUGGCAUGAUAGUUUAUUUAUUACAUAAUUUUCCCAUGGCCAUUGCACAAAAGUUAUCCCAAAGAAAGUCUUUAUAUUAAAGGAGGCUCAUUUGAUCUAUAAGAAUUGGCUCAAUUUGAAGAACAAGUGACAAAGCCUACAAAAUAUUUUGAUUUUAAUUUAUAAUUUAAUAUUCCAUUUUUUCAAUUAAGUAGUUAUAUUUGAUUUCCAUUACACAUCAACAUUUGAAAAUUAAAAAAUAUAUAAAAUUUUCAGAAAACAGUAUAGAGCAAACUACACUCAACUCAACUAAUUAUGGGUGAUUGUGUUUGGUCACCCAAUUAUGAAUUUGUUUAAUUUUUGAUCAUCCAAUUAUAUAUAUUUUUUAAAUUUGCUCACUCAAUUAAUUGAGAUUGUAUUUUUUUGUCCAUUUCCAUUAAUUGCACUAAUAGGAGGGUGUGAAAAAUAAAUAUAAUAAUAAAUUUAGCCCUCAACCUUUUACAUAUUAUAUCGAUUUAGUCACAAUUUAAAAAAAAAACCUUCAAAAUUUACAAAUAGUCUUAAUUUGAUUCUAUAUUUUUUAAAAAAAUCAAGGGAAUAUAUAGAAAUACAUAAAUAUUUAAAAAAAUUGUAUAAUAAUAUUGAUAUUAAAUAAAAAUAACUAUAUUAAUAUUAAAGAAAAAUACAUUAAUAUUUUCAACUUAUUUAAUAUAGAAUUUUUUAUUUUAAAAAACAAUUUUUAUAAAGAAUUAGGGUUAAAUUGACAGAAAAUUUAAAAGUUGAGGACUGAAAUUGUUAUUAUACUAACUACAAAAGUGUCACUUUUAGCCAUUGAAUGGUUGGGUGAAAAAAAAACAAUUUGCAAAUGUCAGUGGCCAAAUUGUAACUUUUUUAAUUAAAUGAGACAUAAUUGAGGGACUAAUAGUGUAAUUUGUCCUUUGUUUUUAAAGAUAUGAAUUAAUUCACAUUUUUUAGGUUAAUAUGUUAUUAAAAGAUUAAAAUCCAAAUGUCAUUUUUCUUCUUUUCUUUCUCGCGACUGGUUCCGCUUUUAUUGUCACGCAUCUUUGGUUUUUUUCCUUUUUGCUUUUCUAGUGCUUUUCUUUUUAUCGGCGACCGCCAUAGCCGCCACCACCAUCACCACUUAUUCCUCUCUUUUUUGGUGAAAUCUUCUUCUUUUUCCUUCAAAAGCCAAUAGUAGUGUCAGAAGGAUCGGACACAUAUCACAUGUCCUUACCCGCGUUGCGUCGGAAUUUUUUUCAUAUGUUUGAAAGAUCAGCACAAGUAUUUAUGUUUAAUACACAUCAUAAAACCUUGAGUUGUUUCUGCAAGAUCUAGAGAACAAAAUUGGAGAAACUUGAAGGUAGCUUAGAAGAACCUAAAAGCAAUAAACGAAAGCUAGAUGAAAGGUUGAAAUUAGCAUUAACCAAGCCUUCUUUUCUUCUAACUCUGGGGAGAGUCCAUAUUCGAUGGGAAAAUUGGCAAAAAGUUUAGUGGAGUAUUAAGCUUGUUGCUUAACGGUACUUCCAACAUUGGGUUGAGGGAGACCAAUUGUUUUGCAAACGCAACAGCUAUGGAUGGGAUAGAAAGCUCAUGUAUGCUUAAAGGUAGGUGAUUGUAAUAGAUUAACCAUUGGAAUUCAUCUAAUAAGAUAGAAAUGGCAUUCAGUUGAAGUUCACAAUGAAGAAUGGUUAUGUCAGUGUAUAUGGCUGCCACUUUUCUUUUCUACUACUUUGAAUAAAGCUCAUAUUUAUUUCUAGACAAGCAUAUCUUAUACAUAUGCGGAGGAUAAGUUAUUAAACUAAAAACUAUUCUUUUUUUAAACUCAGAUUAAUCAAUAGAAUUCGCAUAAGUUCAACAUAUGCUUCACUUUGUUUUUUUCCUUAUAACUCACUAAAAUUUGUCUUCUCUCUCAAGGAAAAGAAAAAGUAGGAUGUAUAUACUAACGAAUAAAUGACAUUCAAUUUAAACACUCGCAACGAUGAAUUUUGAAAUGAACUCCUUAAAUAGAAAUGAAUUCAUUUAUUGCUCCAUUCAUUCAUUUUCUGUUGGUUACAGACCUGAUUAAGUUAUGAACAAGUAAAAAUAUCGAAAGAAAUUGGGAAACUGGACACAUAAAUUUAACAUGGAAAAACUCUUCCAAAGAGGAUAAAAAAUCACGGACAAAGAUAAUUUUACUAUAAUGGCAAAAGAAUGAAAGUAUAAAAAUGGAGAUAAAAACUAAACCCCGAAACUCGAAAACAAAGAACCUUCAAAACGUAAAUACAAAAUUCUCCAAAAAUUUUAUGAGAUAUAAUCUUUUUGGGUGUAUUUUCUAAGUUUGUAAAAGAACUUAUUUAUAAGACAAAUUCGUAGGUCAAAUAAUAAUAAAAUAAUCUAGACUAAUCAGAGUUCGAAUGAAACGAAUAAAUAGAGUUUAAUUAUCUUUCAAAUUUGAUUGAAAUAUGAGGCAUACUCAACAAGUUUCCACCUUAACUCGUAUUUCCACGUCAUUUUUUCCAAAACCUACCACGGGCCUAUCUUGAACUAUGCAGGGAAUUAACUGAGUCGAAUCUGUGCUUAGAAGCUGGAAGACUUCUAGCCUUUGAUGUAACACCCCAAACCCGUCCUAGACGUUAUGGCCGAAUCCGGAGAUGUUACAAAAAAGGAUUUUGAAAAUAGUGAUAUUUCGACCAUCCAUGUUUAUUGUGGUUGUGUUAAUACUAUAUUGUAUUUAGCUAUUUUAGUUGUUUAGUAAGGAUUGUAAUAAAUCUUCAUUACGUUAGCAAUCUCGAAAUCUCUAUGCAAUUAAGAGACUUGUAUAGGUUGAUGCACAAAUUAUUAAGAGCAUUUAUAUGUUCAAGUGAGGAACGUUAUUUUGCAAGAGCGCAUUUGUGAUUGUAAGAUUUUGUAUUGUGGUUUUGCAAACUAAGUUCUCUAAGGGAGAAUUUAGUGGUGAGUGAUCUAGUCUUUGAAGGUACAAGAGUGAGGAAUCGUCAUUGGGGUGUGAUACAUUUAGGUUCAUUGGUUGUAAUUGUUUAAAUAUAGUGAUUCUUCUUACUAAGCAAGGCUUAACAAACGUAGGAAACUGAACUGCGUAAACAAACUUUGAUGCUUCCUAUUUUGUUUUUGCUUAUCACAGUGCUUGUAGAAGUACACACUUUUGUAGUAACUUUCAAUACGGAGCCAAUUGUUUUGUAGACACAAUGGCUAUGACUGGAUGGAAAGUUUAUGGUUAAACUAUUCUCUUUAAAUUCACAUUAGUAUAAAAUAAAAUUUAAAUUAAUUUAAAAUUUUAAAAUAAUUUUAUUUUAAUUUUUAAAUCAAGCAAUUUGAUAGGUUAAAAUUAACUAUAAAAUAAUUUAGGAAUUUAUUAACCACAAAAAUAAUUUAAAAACUUAUGUAAACAAAUGAAGAGUUCUUUUAAUAAAGGUAAUAUUUAUUUCUAGACAAGUGGCUAAGGGUAUGACAUUAGGCUAAAACGAAUAAUUGCAAGUUUUGUCAAAAAUCAUAGUUCUAUUUUUCAAUUUUUUUCUAAUAGUCGGUCCAUUCUUUUUUAAUCUUUGAUUAAUGAGCAGAAUUCACAUACUUUGUUUUUGCUUAUAGCUCAAUAAAUCUGUCUUCAAUUUAACGAAUAAAUGAUACAUAAUAACGAAUAAAUGGCAUUCAAUUUAAACAUUAACAGUGAUUAAUCUUCAAUUGGCCAUUCUAUAUCACUACCAAUUGACCAUGCAGUUUCUUGAGCUGUAGCAGACUCUUCCACUACGAUUUCAUCAACUGAUUGGCUUGCCUGCAAAGCAAAUUAAACCUUCACUUAUUACUGUUUGCUUUUGAUGAUUGAUGAUGAAGAAAGUAAAGCCAGUUUUCCAAAAUUGAACAAAGGAUGUCAUAUUAAGAACAAGAACUGUGAAUUGAAAAUAAUAAUGCAACAAUGAUAUCUAGAAAGAAAUAUUGACAGCCAACGGAAACCGAUUACAGUUGAUGCAAUUUCAUUUAAAGGAUUAGAAAAAAAGAAUUUCUCUCAGGCUACCAAAAUAAAAAUAUUGCAUUAGUGCAUAGAAAUUAAAGCUUAGUAAAAAUAUAGAGUUUGGGAGAAUAAUGUACCUGUGUUUUGGCAUGCACUGAUUGCUUUGAAUCAACACUAAAUCUUGUGGUUACAUUGGGACAACCUUUUACUUUUAAACACCUCAAAGAUUGGAAAACAAAAUGAUAACCCACAGGGCUGAAGCGCACGAGGUUUGGUAGCUCCUCAAGCACUAAGUAACGGAGCUGAGGUAGGCGUAUCACUUUCUCUUCUUCCUUACUCACAUUUGACUCAUCUCCUUCAAACACCUGCUCUAAUUUGGAGACCCUUUUAAGGUGUAAUCGAUCUAGGUUUGGAAGGCCGCCAUGAGCAAGAGUAAUGGGGAAGAGACAUUUCAAGUUUUCACAGUUAAAGAUUUUAUCCAGAAUAUUCAAAUAACUCUUCAAAAUUGGAAAUUGUCAAAUAUUUAUUACAUGUUGAUGUUCCUCCUCUCCUUUCAGGGACUGCCACAUUGCUUAUUUGCUUCUUUUCUGUCAUCUCCGAGAAGUACAAUUCCUAUAAACAUAUCACCAAUUUAAGAAUAAGCAGAAGAUUUCUUUUUCAAUCUUUUAUAGUCAAAGAAUUUAAAUUUUUAAAAAGUUUACCGUUCAACUCAAAUAAUCAUAAAUUGCAAAAAAAAAAUGUCCAAAAAUAUGGUGCAAAAACACAACAUAAAUAAUAUUACGUAGUACUAGAUAGUGUUUGCAAUAUACAUAUAAGAAACAUAAAUAAUAUAUAAUUCUCAUAUAGAUUAUAAAAGUAUUCAGAUGAAAUGUUAUUUAUGUUACUAAUUGGUAUUGUAAUUAACUAAACUACUUAAAAGGUUUAUUUAGAUUAGUUUUUAGACAAAAAUUCUAAAUGAAAACUUUUUUUUUAAAGAGUUAUACAAGCAUUUAUUUUAUAAAAAAAAAAUCAAAAGGUGAAUAUUUUAAUAAAUAAUAUAUAUAAGAAGGUCUUACUUGCAUAUUAGUUGGAACGAUAAAAGGUGUCAAUUAAGGACAAUCUCUCACUAUUAGCACGUGUAAAGAUGACGAUGUCAGCACGAUGUCGUUUCUAUCCCUUCCUUUCAAUUGAGGCAAAUUAAUCAAUUGAACUUUAUUCAAUCAAGCAAGACCUUGUGACAUUGAGAUUAACACUUCUGGUCCUUGGAUUAUUUCUUGUAAUUGGGAACAGCUCUCUAUCCUCAGAGUUUGCAAUUGCCCAAGACUUUUAGCAACACACAUUGGGAAGAGAAAUUUCAACUUAUUGCAUUCUGUGACUUGUACUUCCCUUAGGCAUUUGAAGCUUAUGGUUGACAGUUGUGAGUGUUGGAUUAUUUAAUCCAUUCCAAAGCACCUCUUUAUCUUAAGAGUUUGCAAAUUGGGCGCAUUUAGUUUUUUAGAGAUACCUUGAGCAACAAUAAUUGGAAAGUGAGAUUUCAGGCUUUCACAUUCCAAGAUAUCAAUUCGAAUCAGAUUUGGAAAGCAAAUAGGUAGGGGAUGAUGUUGUGAUGACGUUUGAUCUUGCUCCGAUUCCUCGUAUUUACAUGAAUGCAAAUUGCUCAAUUGUUCAUUUGUCAUCUUCCCAAUCACCAAUUCCUAUAAACAUAUCAUCAAUUUUCAAUUUCAAAAUGUUCAAAGUUGUCAACAACUAACUUAACAUUUCAUCAAUUAAUUUCCUUACAAAAAAAUUAUUUUACCUUAAAUCAAUAUUAUACUCCAAAAAUAGGUACAAAAACAGUCAUAAAUAAUAUCACAUAAUCUAUACAUAUAAAUUAUUGGACAGGUGUAACAAUGUAAUUGAGAAUUACUUAAACUCAUUUUCAUAUAUUAAUACAAAAAAAAAACCACUUGUGUAAAAGGCUAUAUUUAAAAAAAUAUAUAUAUAUUUUUUCUAGUUUAUUUUUUAAUACAAAUUCUAAAAUCAUCUAUAAUUCCUUCCCACAUUUAAAUAGAAAGAUACAAACACUUGAGUGUACUCGAACCUAUAUCCUCCUAUUCAGACAAUAAUAUUGAUACCAACUAAACUAAAACUUAUAUAUAAUUUUAUAUAGCUUAUUUUUGUUUACCCACAUAAUAGGUAUAAUAUAAUUUAGUAUUAGAUAAAUAGUUUGCAACAUAACAAAAUAUAAAGUUUGGAUAAUUUUUUUUUUUUUGAAAAUUUCAAAAUCCAAAUAGUCUUUUAGUUCUUACUUGCUUCAAGAAAAACAUAAAGAACUUCAAUUAGGUUGGGUUUUUUUUUUCCUUUUUUUGAGCAAAAGUAAGUAAAACUUAAUACAAAAAGAAAGGAACUUGAAGAAAGGGAAAAAAAAACAAAAUAGAAAUCAAGGUUGAACUAAAAUAAGGAGAAACUUUCAGAAAGAAAUUGAAGUUGAUCUGCCUUGGUUUUCUUGGUUUAGUAGCCGAAGGAUUUGGGUUUUCCUUUGCAACAAGUUGGUGCUAAUUGGUUUGCCAAUGACCCAUACAUUUGUUUGGGAAUUAACAGCCACAUGACAUGAAAUAUCUACUUUUAAAAUAUCAACUUAGAAAAAAGUGAAAGUCUUUGUGUUAAUUAUUUAUAUGAUUUUCACAACAUUUAAAAUAUCUACUUUUCUUCAGUUUCUUUUUCUUAAUUUUCAUUUGUUAUUAGAAAUGAAAAUGUUUUUUCUUUAUUCAUUUUUAUACAUUUAAGGUGUAUUUUCUUUUAUUUAUUUGUUUCCAAAUUUUAGAGACAAACGUAAGUAUACUUGUUAAAUUUUAUUUAUUUUUAUUAUAUAUAAAGCUCUUUUCCUCAAAAUUAACUAUAAAUAACAAUAGAGUUUUUGAAAUUUCAAACUCAUACGAGAGAUUUUCAAAAAUUCCAAUGUUAAAAUUAUGGAUUUGGAUUAAAUUAUCCAAAAAUGCCGAAAAAUAAAAUUUACCAGAAUAGGUAAUCUUUUGUAAAAAUUAUAGGAGUAGGCCAAUUUUACAAAAACACUCCUAGUUAUAAGCGUUAUAGCUAAUUUGCAGAAAAACCCUUCCAGUUGGAAGCGUUUUUAAUGUGUUGCCAAAAAAAAAAACGCUUCCAGCUGAAAGCGCUUUCUACCAAAUCAACUGAAAACGCUUCUACCUAAAAGCGUUUUUCCCCAACGAUAACUCCAAUGACUACUUUCUCCAAUGACUAUUUAAUUAGCCAUUGGACUUGGACCCCCACCCACCCUUUAUGGUUCCAUUUUAUUUCCUAUAUAACCCUUUCCCAUUUCAUUUUUCUUCUAAUUCAAUCUCAAAUCUCUCUCAAAUUUCUCUAAAUUCCCUCUUAAAUUCCCGCUCAAAAUUUAUUUCUCUCUCAACUUUAUUUUUUAUUAAAAUUAUCUCAACAUUUUUAUAAAUUAUUUUUUAUUACAAAUUAUUCGGCAUUUUUCAAAAUUAGCAAUGACAAAAUCUCUAAUUCGUUUUGAUGACAACUGCAUUUCCGUUGACCAAUUGCAAAUGGUAAGAAUAUUUUUUAUCAUAUUUCAAUGUUGUUUCUUUUUACUAUUUUCUUGUUAUAUUUGAAUUUAAUAUUUUGUAUAUUUUUUUACCUAAAUAGGAAGAAUAUCAAAUUUUGGAGACGUAUAUUCAUAAUCUAUCCACUCCUCCAUCACCCUUGAUCGAACCCACUUGAGAUCUUGAUUUUCGUAUGUGACCCUUGUAGGUAAGGGGUGUAAGUUAGACUCGACACUCGUAAACGCGUUAGUGGAAAAGUGGAAACCCGAGACGUACACAUUUCAUCUUCCAUGAGGCGUGUGUACUAUCACUUUGGAGGACAUGCAACUAUAGCUUAGGUUACCGGUGGAUGGACUGGAAGUGACUGGGUCAGUUCAAGCAGCCGAUUGGAAAGACGUAUGCAAGGAACUUUUAAUGAGGGUUCUAGAGAUGGUUUUUGGAGCCCAGAUAGAUAUGAGUUGGUUAAGAAGAAAUUUUGGUGGGCUUGAUGAGGAUUCAACUGAAGUCUAAAAUAAUAACACGCUUGGGUUGUAACACCCCAAAACCCGGCCUAGAAGUUAUGACUAGAUACUCAGGGAUUAAAUCAACUCGUUCAAAGCUUCGAUUCAAAUCAAACUCAAUGUAUGCUUCGAAAACAUAAAAUUUUGGCAAAACACCCAUAGAUGGUUAGAAAAGCCGAGUUCGAAAACACUUAUUUAAAACCCGUAAUUCAUAUUCAAAAUCACGCGUUUUGAAAGUACUAACGUGAGCAGAUCAUUUCCAAUAUUAAAAAAAUCAUUCGUUACAAACCAUAUAUUUUAUUUUCAAAAAAUACUUAAAUGAUUACUUAACCUUGUAGCGAAAAAUUUUCGAAGUUUGUUUUAGUUUGAAAACUGAAAUCUAACUUGUUAGCUCGUGUGAUUUGCAGUUUAAUGCUCAAAAAUAUUAAUGUCGACGAAUAAAACAAAAACCAAAACUAGGACAAAAAACAUAUUACAGUCCAAAAAUAAUUAAAUCAUAAACCCACAAAUAUUUUAUUUGGUAACCAAUCCGAGCUCUCGCACAUCGUUCGGUCCUAAGUCAGAAGUUAACCUAAAACGAAUUAAACAAACAAAAGAGAUAGGAGCCCAGUGUGUGUCUCAACCCACUAGCAUAAUUUUUAUUUAACAAGCACAUGCGUAAAUGUGAUCACAAAAUUUUACUUUAAUGUAUCAAUAACAUAUCAGAAUGUUGUAUUACCAUAAACAUAUAUAUUUCAGAUCAUAAUAUCAUAAAACCGGAACAUAUUUUGGUUUGGAAUAUCAUAAUUUCAUAUACAAAUAUAUCAUAACAGAAUGUCAUGUUUUCAAAAGUGCAUAUGUCAUACCAGACCAGAACAAAUGCAGAGACAAAUCCUACCUUCAUCUGCUACACACCAACUCCGUCCAACGAAUCACACCAUUUAGGACUUCAAGAGUCCAUCCAUCCAAAUCACACCGGAUCGUGGUGGUAUGCCACUCAUAAUAGUGCAGCUCAGUUCCCAAACAUAUAUCACGGUUUAACCGCCGAAAAUGCAAUAAUGCUACUAGAAAACACUUCUUUCAACAAAUCAGAACCACCCAAUACAUAUGCUAAAUCACGUUGACAUACAUAUCACAUAGUUUGUAUGCACGCAUACAUAAACAAAUAUUAUACGAAACGUAACUUACAUAUAAUUCAUAUAGAUCAUAGCAUAUCAUAUUCAUGGUCGAAUUGGAUAGCUUAUCAGAACAGAUAAAAAAAUAUGUAUAACACACAUGGUUUACAAAAUAGUCAUGCUUAAUCACAUACCUACUUAUAGCAGAUAAUAUCGCAUUAUUAUAUUUAUCAAAAUUUAUUUAACAUACUUCCUACACUUACCCAUGUUUGUUUUACUAAAAAUUAUGCUUUCUAGGCUUACAUAAUGCCCCCAGAUCCAAAUUCUGAGUCCUUUAGUCGACCCCUAAUUGGCCUAAAAGACCCACUUAGCCCAAAAAGCUAGCCCGUAUGGUCCACAUGGUUUAUCCACAUGAUUUGUAUGAUAUCACACGGCAGUGUGAGAACACAACCUGCAUGACAAGCCAUAUGAAUUGUAAAAACACACAUGGUUGUGUGCCCCACACGGGCUACAAAAUCACUCACGGUUGUAUAUCUCUCACGACCUACCACACGGUUAUGUGUCACUAGGCAGUUUCAGAAAACAACUUUGUUUUGCAUAUUUUUUGAAUUUUUGAUGAGUUUUUCGAGUUAGAUCACACGCCUGAUUGCUGAUUUUGAUGUAGAUUCAUGAAAGAACACACCAGAACCUAAAAUCAAUAUUCCAAAUGUAUCAAAUUAGCAACAAAAUGCAACACUAAAUCAAGAUUGACUCACUAACAUAACAUUAAAGCACCUAGCACAAAGAAAACAACAACAACAAUAUCUAAGUCGUCGAAGGAGUGCCCAACACCUCUCGUUCUUCUUCUAAAAAUGCUUCGAACUCAUUAAGUACACAAAAUACACAUUAAUACCACACUAUUAAAGCUUUAAAACCCUAAAUGCCCAAUAAAGUAAUUUUAAAACAUGGCUGGAAAAAUGGAGGAUGAAGCAACCUUACCCUUAAUGACUAAAACUAAUAGCACAAAGGACGAAUGAUACACAAAUUAACAAAAGAAUAAAAAAAGAAGAGAGAAAAAAAGCAUGAAAAACUGAAAAACCAACCAUAAAGAAAUAAACUAAAGAGAAAGUGAAGAGGGAGGGAGAGAGUAAGGGGAUGGUAUCUUUAUGGAAGAAAGUUCUGCAGUUUGGAUAUAAGGGCAAGUUAACAAUGAAGAAUGCUUAAGAAAUGAGAUUCAAUUGAAGUUAACAAUGAAGAAUGCUUAAGAAAUGAGAUUCAAUUGAAGUUAACAAUGAAGAAUGCUUUUAAUGUGCCCAACAUUAGACCAAGACAAAUAAUUGUAAGUUUUGUCAAAAAUCUUAAUUUUCUUUUUUAAUCUUUCAUUAAUGAGCAGAAUUCUCAUACUUUGUUUUUUCUUAUAGCUCAAUAAAUCUUUCUUCACUCACAAGAAAAACAAAAAGUAAGUGGUACAUAAUAACAAAUAAAUGGCAUGUAGUUUUCUAAAUUAACUUCUUAAAUAGAAAUAACUUCUUUUACUGCUCUAUUCAUUUUAAAAUUCCUCUUUGGCCCACCAUUCUAUAUCACUACCAAUUGGCCAUGCAGUUUGUUGAGCUGUAGCGGAUUCUUCCACUAUAACCGAUUUCGUUGCUCAUUAUCUGACGUGCCAGGAAGUUAAGAUUCCCUUAUAAAAAUGGGAGUGUGUAAUGAUGGGCUUCAUUAGUGGGUUGCCUUCAACACUUACUAAGAAGGAUUCUGUAUAGGUCAUCGUGGAUCGAUUGAUCAAGUCUGCCCAUUUUAUUCCAGUUUGGACAGAUUAUUCUUUGCAGAAGUUGGCCAAGCUCUAUAUUUCUAAGAUUGUGAGACUUCAUGGGGUUCUAGUUUCGAUAAUUUUAGAUAGAGAUUCUUGAUUCACGUCUCGAUUUUAAAAAACUUCAUGAGACUCUGGUUUCGAGAUUGAACUUUAGUACUGCAUUUCAUCCUUAGGCCGAUGGUCAAUCUGGGUGGGUAAUUCAGAUACUGGAGGAUAUACUUUGGAGUUGUGUAAUUGAUUUUCGAGGUAGUUAAGAGGAUUUCCUGCCUUUGGUUGAGUUCGCCUACAACAAUAGUUUUCAGUCUAGCAUCCAGAUGGCAUCUUACGAAGCUGUGUAUGGUCGUAAGUGUCGUACUCCACUAUGUUGGACUGAGCUGGGGGAGCGACGUGUUUUGGGUCCUAAGUUGGUUUUUGAAACUGAGGGCAAUGUCAGAUUAAUUCGGGAUCAUCUUAAGACAGCUUUUGAUAGAUAGAAGUCAUAUGCAGAUCUGAAAAGGAAGGAUAUCUAUUACUCUAGGGGUGACUUCAUUUUUCAUAAGGUAUCUUUGUGGAAGAAAGUUCUAGGUUUAGAAGUAAGGGCAAGUUGAGCCCUAAGUUCAUUGGGCUGUAUCGGAUUCUGAAGCUUGUGAGACUGGUCACUUAUCAGUUAGAGUUACCUCUGAAGUUAGACCGUAUCCUUAACGUAUUUCAUGUCUCUAUGUUGAGGAGGUAUCGGUCUAACCCAUAUCAUGUUGUUUCUGUUGAGGAGAUUAAGGUUAGACCGGGUUUGACAUUUAAGGAUGAGCUAGUUUAAAUUUUAGAUCGACAUGUAAAGGCUUUGAGGAGGAAGUCUAUUCCGUUAGUUAAGGUUUUAUGGUGAAAUCAUGGCAUUGAGGAAGCCACGUGGGAACUUGAGGACUCGAUGCGUCAGUAGUAUCCUCAUCUGUUCGGAUCAGAUAAAUUUCGAGGCUGAAAUUUCUUUUAGGGGGUAGAGUUGUAAUGCCCUGACUAAUUUUACUUUGUUUUUGAGAAUUUUAUCAUAAAUGUGUAUCUACUUUAGUGGCUAACUGUUCUGGGUGUGUGUUUGAGGUCUUGGGUUUAAGCCCUACUGUUGGGAAAAUAAGUUAUUUUUUAUCCUAGCCUAUUCCUUGACGAUUGGGUUUAUAUCUUAUCUUCAGUAAACUUAUAUCAGAAUGAGCUUGCUGGUUCGAGUGGUAAGGUGUUAGCUUGUCUUGAGGUCUUGUGUUUGAGUCCUUGUGUGAAUUGGAAUGAUAAUUUUUGCUUCGGUUGUCAGAUAGAGAUUCGGUGAAACUAAAACUUUAAGGUAGUUGGAUGUGGUUAGUUGGUAGGAUUCUAAGAGAUAAGGUAGGUAGUGGGGGGAGUUAGGAUUUUCUGUUACCUUUGAUUUAGUUUUUAUUUUUUAAAUUUUAUUUUUGAUUUUUCCCAAAACUCCUCCCCAUUUUCUCAUUUUUUUCCUUUCCUUUCUUCUCUCUAUUUUUUUUCUCUUUCUCUAAAAAAAUUCCUCCCUUUCCACUCUACAGUCUUUCGUUCCAACUAAACCAUGUGCCAUUGUUAUUUGACCGAUAUUGUGGUUUGCUCAUCACUCUCUUUUGUCUUAAAUUCCGAUUGUAAUUCGAUUUAGUAAGUUUGGGUAGGUGUAGUUAUUGCUUUUGGUUGGUGUUUCUUUAUUGACGGUGUUUUUGUUAAUGCCAUUUAGGGGAAGACCAAGGGGCUCAGGAUUGUCCGUCGGUGACUUAGUUGCAAUGUAACUACCAUCGUUCGAUUGAAGGUAAUGGUUUGGUUGAAUAAUGGGUUGAAUGGAUCAUUUUGGUUUCGAUUUUAGUAUUGAUUUAAUCAACUAAUUCGGUGAUUUAUUGGUUAAUUGUAGGUUUUGGUUAUCUCGUGGGAGCAUUCGCAUCAAAUUUGAAUCAGAUGUGUAAUGAAAAUACGAGAAAACGAGGUUCGGUGAAAGUAAAAAAAGUGGCCAGUCGACGCCAAAUGACGAAAGCCGUGUGGUAUUUCUAUAAAUCGAACAUAAAAAUAAAAUUACAAUACAAUUAUAUGCUAAUGCUAUGCGAUAUUAUCACAUUCAUACUUUGAUUCAUAUCAUACUUAAUUUAAUAUUAUUCCUUCAUUACAUAACCAUUCACUACUUUAAUUUCCAAAUCACAUUUCGUUAUAUAAUUCAUUCCAUUACAUCAAAUUGCUAUUUAAUAACAUUUUCAUUUCCAAACCAUUAUCAUCUCAAGUCAUGAUUUUAGUUUUAUCAAUUACUUCCCCUAUUAACAUGCCUCAAACUCGGAUACGCGAAUCCAACCAACACAUCAAAGUUUGUCACCAAGUGCCUAACAAAUAAACCAUAGAAAUUAAUUGCACCCUGCGCUAGCCAGUAAAAUCAAAAAAUAAAUGUGCCCAGCACUGGUCAGUAUAAUUGACAAAUGGGGUGCCCAACACUCCAUGACACAUAGUUGUAAAACCUUAAACUCUUCCUAUCCUGUCGCAUGCCAAUUAUACCCAACCCUACCCGAACAGUUAAUAGGGUAAUAAUUUUCUCAAUUCAAUUUCUAACAAAUUACACAAUCAUACAUCACCAAUUAUCAAUUCAAUCAUUCAUUUACCAACAUAACAAAACAUCUCAUUUCCAUAUAGAAUAUAAUCUCACAUGCAUCUCAUUUCAGAAUAUAAUCUCACAUACAAUAUAUGCUAUUAUUACAGCUAUACAAUUUAAUCAUUUAUCACCAAUAAUUAUUUGAUCAUAACAAUUCAAUUCGAAUUUAUCAUUUUGCAACAUUACUCUAGUAAUUAACUUACCUUAUAUACUUACCUAAUAAUACAAUGUGUAAUAGUAAUAAAUACAAUAGUUUAGAUUAUAAAAACACCAACAAUAGAUUUCAAGCUAUUCGACAUUGACUUUAUCUUUCCCUUUCUUACUCGAGGAUUCCGAAACGACAUUUGCUAUGGAAUAAAACAAACCACACAUUUCAUCAAUACACAAACAAUUUCACAUUUAAAUAUCAAAUUAUGUAACUUUUGUACUUUAUUCAAUUUAGUCCCUAAAAUCGGGAAUAGCCUAACUUUCACAUUAAACCCUAAAUUUUUAUACUAAUUUCACUACAAGCCUAAUUUAAUUCCCUAUUUCUCAAUUUCAUCCCCUAAUUUUGAGUUUCUCACAAUUUAACCCAUUUCACUUCUAAUCUAAAAAUCUAUCAAAUUAGUCCCUAAAGCUUUAACUACUCAACAAUGGUAACAUCUAAAGUCUUAAGCAGCAUUGAAAAAUAAGACAUGGGUUGAAUGGAAAAAUAAAACACCGAAAUUCCAAAAACAUAAAAAUUACAAGAAAAUAAAUUGAAGCUUGAAUGCUUAAACCUCUAAUGCCGAAUACUUCUUCUUCUCCCUUUAAUUUCGGCUUGCAUGAAGAAAGAAUAAAAAUGUUUUUAUUUUAUGUUCCACUAACUUGUUUUAUGUUUUCUAUUAUAUUAUGUUUUAUGUUAUUAAUUUAUUUAUUCUAAUUAAAAAUUUACAACAUUUUUAACAUUUAAAACCAUGUUGCCGUCCACUUAUAAACCACAGGUAUAAUUACCUUUUAAGUCCCCUUAAAUAAUUUCUAAUUAGAAUUCUUUAGUAAUUCAUACGUUUAUCACUUACGCGAUUUAGUCUCUAUACUAAAAUUAAGCCUUAAUUCAAUUAAAUUUCUUAAUCGAAAUUCAAUUCGCUACUAAUAAAACUCUAUAAAUAUUUCAUAAAAAUAUUUACGAGUCCGGUUUAUGGAAACAGAGUCCCAAAACCUCACUUUCCGACACCACUGACUUUUAGAUUAUUUCAAGGAUGUUUGUCAAUUAAGCACUAACACAAAGAAAAUACUUGAGCUGAUAGAAAACAAUACAUGCUCACAAGUGUAUACAAGAAAAAGAUAAAUAAUUGAAGCACAAAGGUUGAGAAAAAGAGUUGUUGAUCUUUCUUGAUAGCUCUUAAUCUUUUGUAAUCUUUUUGUUGUUGUUGAACAUUUGAAAGCUGGUAUUGAUAGUCCCAAAUUGAUUUCCAACCAUUGUGGUUGUUGUGGAAUUGAAUAGAAUCAUUGGGUUGUAAAAACCAAUGCAUUAAUGUCACCUACAACAACAAGUAUCGAUACCUUUGGAGGGGUAUCGAUACUUUGGGCAUUUAAUGUCUCAAUUUAGUGAUCAUUAAAGCCUAUAGUAUCGAUACAAUAGGGUAUGUAUUGAUACUCGGACAAUUUAUUGUUUAAUUUUCAAAACAUUGAACCUUAAAACAGUAUCAUUACCAGGAGAAGGUAUCAAUAUAUUUGGUAAGGUAUCGAUACUUUGUAUUUUUCCUCAAUAUUUUUUUAGAAAUAGAAGCUCAAUUCGGUAUCGAUACUAUGAAAGAGUUUCGAUACUUUGGUCAAGGUAUUGAUACUCUUUUAUUCGUGCUCCUUUUUUUGAAUUUCGAAACUUAAUUCGGUAUCAAUACUAGAAAGGGGUGUCGAUACUUGAGGCUAAGGUAUCAAUAUCUUAUUUAGGGUAUCAACACUUUGAUCCCUGUGAGCAUUUUAACUUGUUUAAAAAUGUUAGAAAAAUUGUUUAUUGUAUUGAAGAACUUCCAAAAUAUUUUUCAAGUACUUGAAAGAUAUUUCUCUCUCAAAAUAUUUUGAAACAAAUUUUUACUUUCAAAUUUAUCAAGUUUUAUUUCAAAAACAAGUUUUACUCAAAAACAUUAUAUUUUUUAUAUCAAAACUCUUAUCAAAUUAAGGCUUGACUUAACAAAAUAUAAUCUUUAAACAUUACAUCUAAAUAUUAAAUAUUAAAAAUAAAUUUAUAAACAUAUAAUAUACAAUUUAUUGUUAUAAACUAAUAAAUAAUUCAUUAAAAUUAAUGUUUUAAUUAACAUCUCUAUGAGAAAAAUGACAAUUUAAUUCUUUUUAAAAGUUUAAUAACCAAAUUUAGAUUAAAAAACAAGAGUCAAAUUUAAUAAAAAUAUAUAAAAAUUGAGGGCUAAAAUUGUCAUUAUACUUUUAAUUAAUUCUUUUUCUUUCACCUAUGCAAUUCUAUAAUUACAUUACAAAGCUAUUCCAUCCAAAACCAAAAGAAGUAAAUUUGUGGUUGAGCCGGAAGAUAGCAUAAAUAGAAAACUUGAUGCCUGUGAAGCUAAAACUCUCCCUAUGUAUAGAUAAGCAACUUCGUACACAUCACUUCUCUAGUUGUUGCGGUUGCCACUAUAUUAAUUUUUUCACUCCUCAAUUACAACACUAAAUACUAUUAUAAGUAAACAACAUUAUUGAAAAGUGAACUAUUAGUUAAUGAAGUCCUUGAGUGUUGGGGAGAAGCAAAAAAAUAAAAAUUAAAACUAGGGGAUAAAUUUAAAUUGUAAUUUUUACAAUAAUAAAAAUGCAAUUCCGCAAUUUUAAUACUUUAAUUUAUAAGGAUUAAAUCAAUUUUUUUUAUCAUUUUUAAGAGGGACCAAAAUGUAAUUUUACCUUUACUAUUUAAAAUUUAAAAAAAAAUUAAAGAGCUUCAAUAAAAAAAAUCAUUUUUGGGGUCGGACCUACAAGCCCCUAAUUAUGCUACUACUUGGGUGGAUGCAAUACAAAAAGUUUUUGAUAUUUGAAACUCCAAAAAAAAAAAAUUGACUAUAAAUAUCAUGCAGAGGAUUAAAUGAAUGUCUUUGUUACAUGGUAUGGUUGUAAAUGUAGUAUCGUUUACUGUUUUUCAAUAUUCUUAAAUAUUUUGAAGGGUGUUAGAGAGUUGUAUUUCUACAUUUAUAUUUGGAUAUUCGUCGUAAAUUAUGAGUGUAAUACUUGAAUUUGUAAGUUAUUCAAGUUUGAAAAAAGUUCGAUUUGAUAAUUAUCAAUCGAGUUUAAAUUCAAACAAUUCGAAUUAUGAAUUAAGUUAAAAGUCAAACAUCUUAAUAUUUGAUUAAAGUAUCUUGCGAGCAAUCGACCUUCUUAUAUAUUCUUUAAUUAAUUUUCAUACUGUGCAAUGUAUAGAUUUAUUGUAUGUAUUUAUAUAAAAAAAAGUUAAUAUAAAAUUUGUAUUUAAAUAUCAUGGAAAAAAAAAUUAAAAUGCACGUAACUUCUAUACAAUAAAUUAAGUGCUAAAUUAGAGAUAUGAUUGAAUGACUGAAAACAUGAAUAUAACUUACAUUUGAUUUGUGCCAGUAGAGUAACGUGUUAGAAACAUAAAAGUUUUGGCUCCUUACUAAGGUUACUAUAGUAAAUACAGAAAAUAAUCUUGGAAAAUUUAUAAUCUUAGAGGCUCAUAUAAUUUUUUUAAAAAUAUAUUGAUUUUGAUCUUGACUGUUGAUAUAAAUUAAAUUGUACUAUUGAAUCUGAAGAAGCUCAACUAUAAAUAGAGACCGUCCCAUUUGUAAUCACCCCAUUGUAGCUCAUAUUCUUGAUUAAGAUCAUACUUUUACGAGUAUUAAAUCGAACAUUCGGCAUGGUUAUUGCUUUUUUGUAGCUUUUUUUGUUCUCUCGUUGUUUCUUUAUUUUUUCGGUGCCCACUUUCGAGAGUAAGAUUGAUUUAGGCGAAUUUGAAGCAAAAGAAUCACCCAAUACCACGCGAUUUGCAAGACUAUAAAGUUUUAGGCGCGUGACAAAAUUUUGUGGUUGUAAUUUGCUCCAAUAUUACAUUUGCUUUACUAGUUUAAAGUGUAAAGAUUAAGGACACAGAUUUGAAUUACUUCUAUGAUUGUCAUCAUUUAUUUCAGGGAAAUGUAGGCUUAAUGGAAAGCCACUUUAUAUUCAAUAGAUGGUUAUUGUUAAGGUAUUAUUUACUUCGAAACCAAGACUGUUCAAACAUGGAUGAAGAGUGAAGAGAUCAAUCUAUUUUUUGUUUUCCUUGAUGAAAAUCUAUGGUUUUUUUUAAAAAAAAAUUUAUCUAGUAAAAAUAACUUUCCAUCCUCAAUUUGCAGCUAUGUCAUUAGCAACAAUUAUAUUAAUAUGUUAUUGCUUAUACUUGUUCUUUGAAGGUGGAAUUAUGUGUUCCAAACCUUGAAAUUCCUGGCGUUGUACUUGAUUUAUGAUCGGCUAUCACUUCUGCAUUUUGCAAAGAAAACUGAUGCGAAGCAGAGUUUUAAAGCUUUUACGAGCUUUGGUUUCCAUUACUGAAGCCGUCUCUGAUUGUCCUAAAACAAUAAGAGUUGUUUCUAAUGAUCUGAAUGGUUUUCCCCAAUCAGAAUUAGACCAGUUUCCUAAUAGUUUGAAACAAGCUUCGAAAAUCACCAGGUCCAAUGAGUUUUCACAGUCCACAGCAAUGUAAAGAACUGCAACCUGAAGGAGAUUUGAAGUCAAAUUCCACUCCGAGCUGGCUGAAUUGGGUGUGUGGUGAUGAGUUUAGGGAGCUGAUUGGUGAUUGUAUUCUAGUGUCUCUAGUAAAAUUUUUAAAGAAGAAUCAAUAUGUUGAAUUCUGAAUCUAAGGGGUUUAACUUUGGAUUUGAACUCCAUAAAUCUCACUGUUUUUAAUCUGAAUUAUAAAAGUGAGUACUUUUGGAUUGGGUUGUACUUAGCAGAGAACUUGUGUUCCUUAUACUUCAAUUCCUUGAUGAGGAGAAAUUUAAAGACACUGUUCAUAAUUAUGCUCUUAUCUCCGCAUUCUUUGUUUUUGCUCUUUUCUUUUAUUCUAUCUUUUUAUAAUUUAAAUCUUUUAAUCUGUUCAUGCAUUUUUUUUGUGUAUUUGUUGAUUAAUAUGUUUAAAUUGAAUAGAUUGGAGCAAGAGUCGGGUUUCUAAAUAUCUCACCUGGAGGAGGACUACAAGCAGCUCAGUUUCAUUCUGGUAUUCGUUCUCCUACAAAGCAUUUUUAACUAUUCAAAUUUUCAUAUACAGGUUAAUUCUCAUCGUAGACCCUGUACAAGGCAUAGUUUUGUGUUGAGGUUAAAUUUAAAAUAGGGUUAUGGUUGAUUAGAUUUAUGGGUGUCUUGGUAUAACUAGUCAAGGCAUAGUUUUUGUGUGGAGGAGUUGGUAUUGGGAAAUGAUGAACACUAGUGCUGGUCUUCUUAUGAAAUUUGUUUAAGAUCUGAUGGCCUUCUUUAUUAAGUAUUGCUUUUCUUUGGCGAGGGCAGCUUGGAAUAAAUUCUUCCAUUUUAUUGGCCUUCUUUAAAGUUAAAAGUCAAUAUUCCAUUAGUACAUAAAUCUCAUUUUAUUGGGAGACUAAUGCUUCCAUAUAAAGUGCUUCCAUAAAUUAUUCUUCUAUUUUCACAAAUUUUGAUAUUUGUUUCCGUGAUUGGAAAAAAUUAAAGGUUAAAUACUUUUUUUUUAAAUUAGUAUUUUUAUCAAAUUUUGCUUAAAAUUUGUUAAAUGUUUUGUUUGUCAAAAAAAAUUGCUUAAUAUAUACCAUAUGUUUAUUAAAUUUAUAAUAAUUUGUGUAAUACCCCCUACCCGUAUUAGUCGCCGAAAUAGAGUAUGAGGCAUUACUAGAUUUUACCGAAUAAAUUUUUUUUUAAAACUCAAUAUAACCCCUUUAUAAAUAUCUAAUCUUCCCUGUAAAUUUUAAACCGAGACCAAUCCAACACAACCAAUCCAUUUCAAUAUAUUUUCAAGAUAGAUUUAUUGUAUUCAUAAGAUAAUCUCAUCACAUACCAAAACCAAAAUUUGUUAGCCAUACCAAUGGCUAACCAUACAUUCAUUUCACAUUAACAUCUACUUUACUAGCUUAUACAUGCCAUUGAUUUCCAAAAUAAAGUUUCUUUAUAUACCGAUAUCUUAAGGUUGAUAGUGUGAUGCGUCUCCGACCAAAUCCGACCUCUGAGCUCUUAACACUACAAAACAGGGGAAAAGGAAACAGGGUAAGCACUUUGUGCUUAGUAAGCUCAUGUAAUAAGAAUUAUACUUACCUAAUAUUUUCAAUACAAUGCAAUAAACAUUCAUACAUCCAUUCAAUACAUUAUUCCCCUAUCAUGCACAAACUCAACAUUCAAAUUAGUCCAAUAAUUUCCAUAUGUAUCAAAUAUAUAUAUCAUGAUUGAUGAGCUCAUCAAUUCCAUGAUUUCCAUUCCCUUGUUAUUUUUCCAUUAUCCCAUUGAACUUCUAGGAAUUUCGAUGGAUUUUCAGGGGUACACCUAAUUGUACAAAUCCGGGUCCGUCAAUUCAUAUUCAUGUGCGCACAUUUCCAUUUCAGAGAGCACACUCCCGCGAACCUCAUCCUUAGAGCGGGAUUACCAGUCCAGGCUAAAUCCCCUGUAAUAUAAACUCAUAAAGUAUUGUCGGGAUUACCAGUCCAGGCUAAAUCCCCUGCAACGACAAUUACUCUAAUGAGCUUGAAUCUGAAUUACCAAUCCAGGCUAAAUUCAGACCCUAAUUCGGAUUACCCGUCCGGGCUAAAUCCAUUUUCCACAUAUUCUUCGGGAGGGCUAUAUCAAAAUAGGAUCACCCGUCCGGGCUAGAUCCUUUUUACCGUCAAUUCCUUUUUAGAGAUCCAUCGAAUUUUCCUUCCAUUCAACCGGGAUUUCUUCCCCUUUUUAUCAAAUAUAUCAAUGUUUCAUCAAUUUUAAUAUAAUGAACAUUCAAAUCAUAUUCACAUCAAUAACAAACAUUUCAAGCAUUUAAGAAUAUAAUUCAAGUUAAACGAACUUACCUCGAUACUUGUUCGUAAACAAAAAUCUACUAAUCCCGAACUUUUUCUUUUCCUCGAUCUAGCUUCGUAUUUGAAUUCUCUAGAUCUAAAUAAAUAAAUUUAAUCAUUAAUCUAAUACAUUUCAUGUUCAUAUGUAACAUUCUCUAUAAUUCCAUUAUUAUUUAUAGUGCAUUCAAAGCUGUCUCGCUGAGUCACAGUCACUAAAUUAUUUAUAUCUUGAGCUACGGAACUCCAAAUUUAAGAUCCGUUAAUUUUUCCUUAAACUAUACUCACAUAUCUUCUUACCUUGAAAUUUUCAGAAUUUUUGGUUUAGCCAAUAAGUAGAGUUUAUUCUUUAAAGUUUCCCUUGUUUCACUGUUUGACAGUUCUGACCCCUCUUCACUAAAAAUUAAUUAUCUCAUUGUACAAAAUUAAAAUAAUGUUUCCGUUUGUUUAUUCUGAAAAUAGACUCAUUAAUAAUUCUUACCAUAUAAAUUAUAACUCAUAAUUAUUUGUUUACAAUUUUUAAUGAUUUUUCAAAUUCAGAACAGGGGAACCCAAAUUCAUUCUGACCUUGUCUCACAAAAUCUAUUAUAUCUCAUAAUUUACAAUUCCAUUGCUUACAAAAUUUCUUCUAUAAGAAACUAAACUCAAUAACAUUUAAUUUCAUAUUUUAUUCAUCCUCUAAUUCAAUUUCUAAAAUUUUUGGUGAUUUUUCAAAGUUAACCUACUGCUGCUGUCCAAAACUGUUUUAGUGCAUGAUGUUAAUUACCAUUUUUCCCUAAACUUUCAAUAAAUGAUAAUUUCAUCCCUGCUCAAUUUCACUAAACUACUUUAAAAUACUUUAUAAGCUUUGGAAAUCAGAAUUUUAGUACUAGACUUUAAUUCCAAACUUUUUCACAAUUAGGUCCUACAAAUCAAUUUCUAUUGAAAUUACCUAAUAAAAUCAUCUCAUAAACAAAUUAAAGCUUCAAUUUCAUCCUAUUCCAUCAUAAACUUCCAGCACAUAUUCAUAUAAACUUUCAAAUUCAUUCAUAAAAUCAAAAACUAAUGAAUUUAGUAAUAGGACCUAGUUGUAAAAGCCUUAGAAACACAAUAAUUACAAGAAAAAGGCAAGGAUUAACUCACUUGGUGCAAAAAUUAUGAAAAACCAGAUUGAAGAAACCCUUAGGAAUUUUUUGACUGAUGAGAAUGCAGAAAAAUAAAGAGAAAUCUAGAUAAUUCCACUUUAGUCCUAACUUUUAAAGCAAAUUUUGCAAUAUUCCAAUUUUACCCUUAAUUCUUCAAUUCUCCUCGAUUUUUCUCAGCUUAUGCCGCCCAAAAUAUCUCCUUUUGAGGUUAUUUGCAAUUUAUGUCCCUCCUCAUUUAACAAUUGAGCUAUUUAAUCCUUCUAGUAACUUUAACACAUUUUUCAAUUUAGUCCUUUUCACUUAAUUGACUAUCCAAACAUUAAAAUUUUCUAACGAAAUUUUAAUACCAUAUUAAUAACACUUCAUAAAUAUUUAUAAAAAUAUUUUUGACUCGGUUUUAUGAGAUUGAGGUCUCGAUACCUUAUUUUUACCCAAUUUCUUCAAUAAUUUCUUUUUCUAACUAACCACUAAAUCAAUAAAAUUUUUCUAUCGAUAUUUUUAUACGAUUUUCCUAUCAUAUCAAUAUUCAUGCAAAAAUAUUAAAAUAAAUUUCUCUUUAAAUCGGAUUUGUGGUUACGAAACCACUAUUCUGAUAACCUUGAAUUUGGGCCAUUACAAUUUGCUUCUAAAAUAGAGAUGGUUAGGUUUUAAUUAGUAUUAACGAUGGAACAAAGUAUUAAUAUAAUAAGUAUAACCAUUUAUAUUUUUUAAGUAUGAAAAAUAAAAUCCCUAAAGUAUGAACUUUUAAUGCAUAUCUUUAAUUUAUUUAGGUAAAGAUAUAUUUGAUUUUAUUUAAGAAUGAAUAAAAAAAUCAAGGAAUACAUAAUCACAUUACAAUGGCAUUGUAUUCAAAGUGUUUCUCAAAAUAACCAUCUCAACUUUUAAUAUAAUAUCAGAUUUAGUUAUUAAUAUUUAUAUUCUCUUAUCAAUUUCACCUUUCUUUUUUUAAAACUAAAUUUAGCUAUUAAUUUUUAAGCUCCAUAUAUACUUCCUUUUAAUAUGACAAUAUUUGUCUUAUAUAUCACGUCAAUAAAUAAUUUAAAAUUUUAAAAAAUAACAUAAAAUACACGUAGAUAAAUACAAUAAUUUAUCUUAUCAUUUAUUUAUUAUUAUUUUAAAACAAUGAAUUAGAUCUGUACAAAAGAAGUAUUCGAUAAGCUCAUUUGAAUUGUUACUCAAAUAACUCCAUUUUAAGCUCUCCUUAAUUGCAUUUGUAAGUACCUCAUCUUAUUUGCAUGUUUUAAUUUAAUACAACAUUUUUUUGAGAUAAAAUCCAUGUUAGUGAUUUGAAUUAAGGCAUAAUAUCUUACAUACCUCAUUGUGAUAUUACUAUUUUAGGUUAAAUGUAUUCAUUUAAUUAUAUAAGUAACACGUUCCUUUUUUUUAAGAUAUAAAUAAAUAAACAUAAAUAGUAAUAAACAUAUUAUAAAUAAAUAAAAGAAACACAUUAACAAUAGUAGUAUUUAUUAUAUAAUUAAACAAUAGUUUAUUUUAAAUGAUUUACUAAACCAGUUUUAAACUAGCAUGAAGAUAAUUAGUUUGGAUAUGUUUCAAUUAUAUUAGGUUAAUUUAAUAAAUAACUUUUAAAUUUUUAUUAAUGUUAAUUUAUUUAACUUAACGAACGGAUAUAAAUAAACAAAGAUCCAACUCAUAAACUAUUUAUUUACAGCUUUAUACUUGACUUAUACAUAUUUAGAACACUUAAGUAACGGUAAUUUAUUGUCAACUUUAGACUUCAAGAACUACGAAAUGGAUAAGAGUUUAAUGGAUUUGUGAACGAAUAUCAAAAUGGAGUACUAAAUUUGUUUGCAUUUAAAUUUUUAUAUUUAAAUAAUUUAUUUAAAGUGAUUGAUCUACAAGUUAACUCACUCAUUAACUUAUAUUUAUACUUGAUCUGAGAAAAUUUUAAUUUUUAUAAUUAAUAAAAUUUAAUUUACAAUUAAUUUUUACAUUAACCAACUAAACUUUUAUAAAGAAAAUUAGAAACCCCAUCGGUUAAAACUACUUAUUUUUCCUUUUAAAAAAUCUAGUUAUUUUUUUAAAAAAAGUAAUGUUUUAUUAUUUUAUAUAUUUAAUAUAAAAUUAUAUAAAUAUUUUAUUUUAUUUUUCAUUAUUCUUUACAUCCAUUUUAUGUUCAUGUUCGGGUUUAUUAAACUAAUAUUAAAAUUAUGCAUUUUAAUAUUUAUAUUAAUAUAUUAAUUUAAAAUAAAAACAUAUAUUUUAAUUUUUUAUUUAUAUACAUUAAUAUAUCAUUAUUUUAUUAUUUUAUUAUUUUUAAAAAAUUAAUAAUAUUAAUAUAUAUUUUUUAAAAUAAUUUUAUUUUAUUUUUAAUAUUUUAUAAAAACUAAAUGUUAUAAUAUUUUUUUUAUUUUAUUAUAUUUAAUGUAAAUAUUUUGUAAAUAAUAAUAUUUUAUAUUUUAUUUUAAACUAUAUAAAAAAGAUGUUAAGGGUAAGAUGAUAAAUUAAUAAAUAACGCUUAUGUUUUAACUCAUAGAAAAUACAUGAUAAGAAGAUUAACUGUUUGGCACAAGUGUAAGCCGUGUUACCUUAUCCCCUGCCCCUAAUAUUGUAUCGAAAAACGCUUGGUAAGAAGAGUGAUAUAUAUCCAAUUUUCAACAACCAAACAAUUUGAUGUAGUAGCAUCUAUCUUUUAUCCAUCAUUUGAAAGUUGAGUGUUAUUUAACACAACACUCCUCUUUUACAUCAAGCCUACCAAAUGUGACCAGACUAUCAAUUUGGCUAUGAUUCUAUAUAAAACGAUAAAAAAAUUGAGUUUUUUAAAAUUAGAAAUCUUGAAAAUACAUAAAUUUGAAAAUUAAAUAAAAAUAGAUAAAAUUUAAAAAAUAUAUAGAUAAGUGAGAGAAAAUUAGGGAAAAUUAUUUUUCAUUAUGAGAAAAGAAUGAGAAAAAAAGAUUAGAUUUGUUUUUUUUUUUUUAGUUUGGAUUUUGAAUAAUGUUGAAAAUUUUGAAGUUGUCGCAGGGUGUUAUGGGAAUUGCCCACUACCCCAACCAUUAUGACAAAACAACUUGCCAUAUUUGGAAGAUUGGCAAUUUAUUGAUCUGUAUCUUUAGAUUGAGCUGAUAUUGUAGAGCGAAUCAAGCUCAUCAAUAAAGAUCAUAUCACUUGGAGAAACUUAUUUAGAAGAUUAGAUCGGGUUGGAUUGGAUUGCUUAUAUCAAAUUCUAUGGAUAAAGGAAGUUGAAUCGGAUCGAAAAAGUAAAGAUUUAGCCGCCAACCAUCAAUGUUUAUUGUGGUUGUUUAUAUUAUAUUGUAUUUAGCUAUUUUAGUUGUUGUUUAGUAAGGAUUGUGAUAGAUCUUCAUUAUGUUAGCAAGUCUCGAAAUCUCUAUAUAAUUAAGAGACUUGUAUAGGUUGAUGCACAAAUUAUUAAGAGCAUUUAUAUGUUCAAGUGAGGAACAUUAUUUUGCAAGAGUGCAUUUGUGAUUGUAAAAUUUUGUAUUGUGUUGUGCAUUUGUGAGGAACAUUAUUUGUGAUUGUAUUAUUUAGUGGUGAGUGAUCUAGUCUUCGAAGGUAUAAGAGUGAGGAAUCAUCAUUGAGAUGUGAUACAUUUAGGUUCACUAGUUGUAAUUGUUUAAAUAUAGUGAUUCUUCUCAUUGACCAAGGCUUCACAAAUGUAUGGAAACUGAACUGCAUAAACAAAUUUUAAUGUUUCCUAUUUUGUUUUUGCUUAUCAUGGUGCUUGUAGAAGUGCACACUUUUGCAGUCACUACUGCUCAUACAUUGCUUGUUACUUAGCAACUAUUUUAGAUCAACAAAAAAUCAUUUAAAUGAAUUAAAUUUUAUUAAUAGAGUUUGAAAAAGAAUAUUUUCUUGUAUAUUUUGCAUUUUUUUUUACUAAAAGAAAGGGAUCAAAUUCAAUUUCACAAGUCUUAGUGAGAUUAGUUUGAAAGAAGUUCUUCAAUAGCAUGGAACUUGACUGGAAGGUGUUACUAAAUUUGUCAUAUUUUGUUUUAAAUUUGUUAUUGGAUUCUAUUGAAUAAUCUUUUUCUUUCUUAUGUCUCAGUAUUGAACAAUCUUGAGCUUUAUUACAACACAAGAACAUUAGUUUCUAAUCACAAUUAAGCUUUGUGCAAAAUGAAUAUUAUAUUAAGAUAUUGAAAUUGAUCUAUUUCUUUUAUCCAUUUUCAUGAUUUAUGGCAAUGUUGAAUAUUUUGCUGUAGAAAUCAUAAUUUUUAUAUAGAAUUUUCUAUUUUUUAAAAAUAAUAUUGAGUUUUUAAAAUUAAUUUUAUAUAGAAUAGGGUUAAAUGGAGAGAAAGUAUAAAAGUUAAGGGUUAAAAUUGUCAUUAUACUAACUAAAAAAGUGUGGUUGUUAGCUAUUUAAUAGUUGGGUAAAAAAAUAAUUUCAAAAACGUUAGUGGCCAAAUUGUAACUCUUUUAAUUAAAAGACACAUAAUUGAGGGAUUAAUAGUGUAAUUUAACCUUAUCUUUUUUAAACAUAUGGAUUAAUUCACAUUUAUUUGGAAUGUGUUAUUAAUUCACAUAUGAAUUUAAGUAGUGGUGGAGCUAGAAAAUAUUUUGGGGCUAAAAUUAAAUUGUAUAUUUUUAUGAUAGCAAGAAUGCAAUUUCACUAUUUUAUGAUAUCUUUAUAAUUUUUAAAGGAUUAAAUCAAUUUUUUUAUCAUUUUUGAGAUUAAAGUGUAAUUUUACUAUUAUUAAUUUAAAAUUUUAUAAAUUAUAAAGGACAUAAGUGAAAAAUUUUCCAUUAAUCAACACCCUUGGCUCUACCACUUGAUCGAACACAUAUCACGAGUCCUUUCCCGCGUGUGUCAGAUUUUGUUUAUAUGGUUGAAAUAUCAUCACAUGUAUUUAUGUUUGAAUACACAUCACAAAACCUUGAGUUGCUUCGGCAUGACCUAGAUAAAAAAAAAAUGGAGAAACAUGAAGGUAGCUUAGAAGAAUCCAAAAGCAAUAAACGAAAGCUAGACAAAAGGUUGAAAUCAUCAUUAACCAAGCCUUUACUUUUUCUAACUCCAGGAAGAGUCCAUAUUCGUUGAGAAAAUCGGCAAAGACUUUGGUAUCUUUUGGAAGGACUUGUAAAGAAACAAUUUUUUAUAUUUACGUUCUGUAAUGUUUUUCAUAUUAACAUUAUUGAUGUUUCUAAAUUUACCUUCUGUAAUGUUAGAGUUAGUUGAAGAGUCGUCAGAUUCUGGAGAGGAAUCAAUUUUUAGUCAUCAGCAUAGGAUGGAAGAUGAGAAGUUGCUGUCGGCAGUGUUGGGAGAGCAAAGGAGAAGGUAAUAAGGCUGCAACUCAAGAGGAUGAAGGCAAAUCAGAAAUUGGUAGAUGACAGAAUUGUGAAUAGGACUCUCAGAUUCUGGGUCCAACUUAUGCAAUAAUUCUAUGAUCUGGGAAGCGUGUAGAGAUCGACAAAUGAGUUUGCCGUGAUUGCUGCGGUCCUCUCCAACAAGAAGCCAAUUGUUUUGCAGACACAGUGGCAAUGGAUGGGAUGGAAAGUUUAUGGUUAAACUGUUCCCCUUAAAUUCACGUAAGUAUAAAAUAAAAUGUAAAUUAAUUUAAAAUUUUAAAAUAAUUUUAUUUUAAUUUUUAAGUCAAGAAUUUUGAUGAGUUAAAAUUAUAGGCUAAGGGCUUAUUUAAUUACAAAUAUAAUUUAAAAACUUGUUUAAACAAAGUGUAAUAAUUUAACGGAAUUUUUAAUAUAUUAGCCAAAGAAAUUCAUCUAAGUAACAAUGAAGAAUGCUUUUAAUGUGCCCAACAUUAGACCAAUACAAUAAUUGUAAGUUUUUGUAAAAAAUCUUAAUUUCAUUUUUUAAUCUUUUUUCUAAUAGUUAGUCCAUUCUUUUUUUAACCUUUGAUUAAUGAGCAGAAUUCACAUACUUUGUUUUUGGUUAUAGCUCAGUAAAUCUAUCUUCAAUUUAACGGAUAAAUGGUACAUAAUAACGAAUAAAUGGCAUUCAAUUUAAACAUUGACAAUGCUUAAUUUUCAAAUAGAAAUUUCUUCAUUUACUGCUCCAUUCAUUUUAAAAUUCAAAAUGUCUUUCAUCUUCCUCUUCGGUCCAACAUAUAUCACUACCAAUUGGCCAUGCAGUUUCUUGAGCUGUAGCAGAUUCUUCCACUAUAAUUUCAUCAACUGAUUGGCUUGCCUGCAAAGCAAAUUAAACCUUCACUUAUUACUGUUUGCUUUUAAUCAUUGAUGCUGAAGAAAGCAAAUCCAGUUUUCCAAAAUUGGACAAAGGAUGUCAUAUUGAAAAUAAUAAUGCAACAAUGAUAUCUAGAAAGAAAUAUUUAUUAACAUUAAUGGGAGACAACAUUAAUGGCAAACAAUACAAAGUGGUGCAAGUUUAGCACCCUAAAGUUGACUUUGAAAAAGUGGCAUGGGAUAAUUUUUUUGGUCCUUGAGAUAAUGGGCUAUUUAUUGUUUGGUCCUUAAACCUCAACUAUAAAUAGGCCUUCUCAUUUCUCAUUUCAAUCAUCCCAACCAAUCUUUCUCUCUUAGUUUUCUCUCUUCUCCCAUUUGAGAAUUCUCAAGGAAUUCUAUUUGUUUGUAAUAUUGUGAAGAUAGUAAAGUUAUCAUCUGGUGUUAGUGCCCGAAAUAAAUUAAAUUGUAUAUUUUUAUGAUAGCAAGAAUACAAUUUCACCAUUUUAAUAGUCUAUAUAUUUAUAAUUUUUAAAGGAUCUGAUAAUUUUUUUAUCAUUUUUGGGAUUAAAAUGUAAUUUUCUUAUUAUUAAUUUUAAAUUUUAUAAAUUAUAAAGGACCGAAGUAAAAAAAUUCCCAUUAAUCAACACCCUUGGCUCUACCACUUGAUCGAACACAUAUCAUGAGUCCCUUCCCACGUGUAUGGCUGAAAUAACAUCACAUGUAUUUAUGUUUGAAUACACAUCACAAAACCUUGAGUUGUUUCGGCAUGACCUAGAGAAAAAAAAAUGGAGAAACAUGAAGGUAGCUUAGAAGAAUCCAAAAGCAAUAAACGAAAGCUAGACAAAAGGUUGAAAUCAUCACUAACCAAGCCUUUACUUGUUCUAACUCCAGGAAGAGUCCAUAUUCGUUGAGAAAAUCGGCAAAGACUUUGGUAUCUUUUGGAAGGACUUGUAAAGAAAAUAUACCAAAUUAUUAAAUUAUUAAAUAUAUCUGGAUUUGCCCAAGUAAAUGGAAAAUAUACCCACUUACCACUUCAAAUUGAAGUAAUGAUUCCAAGAAUUUGAGUGUGGAUAAGAAAAUUCCAAACAGUCUUUUCAGCUCUGUUUUAGUUCAAGAAAAACAGAAAAAGGUAAUAUUAGAUCAAGAAAUAUAUAGCAAAAUUAUAUAUAAAAAAUCACAAUUAAACUUGGCUGUGCAUUUGUUUUGCAAUUAAAGACUUGACAGGAUAAGAGACGGGACGACCUAGAAAAGUGUGAAAGUCUUUGGGUCAGUUUUCACUUUUUCACCAUUACACAUCUACAUUUUUCAUAUUUGUUUCAUUUGAAGCGUCUUUCAAGAAAAUAUGUUCUUUUUCUUCUUAUUUUUCAUUUGCUAUCAGAAAUGAAGAAGAGUUUUCUUUAUUCAAAGUGAUUUUUAUAUUAUUUUGCAAAUUCUAGACAUAAAUUUCCAAUGUUUAUGUUAUAUAACUAGUUUUCCUUUCUUCAAAAUUAAAAAUGAAUAAGAACAUGCUUUUUAAUUUGAAAUUUCAUACCAGAUCAUGAAUUUGGGUAUCUUCAACAAAAAGUUGAGCUUUACAUAACAUGUUCCAUUGUCAUUUUGGUAUUUUUUUUCCCGUAAUCAAAAUAAUGUAUGAAAGAUAAAAUAUAUAAUUAAUACAUCACUUUUUAGAAAAUUUUAAACAAUGAUCAUUAACAGUCUCAAUAGUUUUAUGGGUAAAUUACAAUCAAAUUAUUAAAUUAUUAAUAAUGUCGAAAUCUUUUUGAAAUCAACUUUUGAUUUUUAAAAUGACGAGAAUGAGAGUUCAUCAAUCCUUUUUUAUUAGGUGUAAUCAAAUCACUUCGUAAUUUAAUCAUAUUAAUAAAAAUUUAAAUUUACUAAAACGACGAUUUUUGGUCUAUAAAAUCUAAGAAAUAAGUUCAGGAGUCGGUUAUGCACGAGGAAUGGUUAGUAUCCUCGUAACGUCUAAAAUUGGUACCUAAGUGAUUAAUUGGUGUCUUAAGGUCGAAAGUUAAAAAUUUGAAAAGAGUUUAAAAUACGACCCCCUCUUUUUAUUAAUGUAUUUUUUAAGUAAAAUCCCUUGAAUAAAUCAAAAGUGUGUAAAAUGUCCUCUUAUCUAGAGGUAACAAAAAGGCCAUAUCCUGUAAGUUAGGACACGCCAUCUAGAAUCCUCGAAAAUAAGUUUUCUCUUUAUUUAAUUACUAUUCAAAUCUCAAGUGUUUUAAUUUCGAAAGAGAUGUUCAUGAUCAGCUAUCUAGGUUCAAAGAGAACGUCGAACCCCAUAAGUUAACGCACGACUUCUCGAAUCUCCAAAUGCGGAACAUUGCCAUAAUUUUAAAAUUUUCCUUUUUAUGCAUCGAGUAAAAAUUAGUGUAACACUUAAAAUAGUAUAUAUUUAAUUUAUUCGGGCAUCGUACGAAAAACGGAAAAUCUGUUCAAACAAGGUUCGUGACAUGAUUGCGGUCAUAAUAAAAUUAAAUGAAGUAUAUAUAAAAAAUAAUGGUAUAUGGAAAAUAAAAAUGUUGUGCUAGUAAGUGGCAGUGCGAUAUCAAUUUGUAGUAAUAAUAACAUGAUAAUGAUAAACAUAAUAAAAUAUGAAUGUAUAAUAAUAUUAAUAUGAACAAUAAAUGUGCAAGUAAAACGUAAAUAAUCUAAUUUAAAAAAUAUAUUUAAAAAAUAAAUAAAUAAUGACGACAAUAAAGGCAAAAGCAGAAGAGAUAAAAAAUAAAAAUAAAAAAAUGCACAAUAAAUAAAAAACAAAUAAAUUUUAAAUAAAAAGGAAAUAAUAAGUAAAUAAAUCAAAUCAAAUCAAAUAAUAAAUAAAUAAAAAUAAUAAUACAUAAAAAUGAAUAAUCAAGAAAGGGUCGAAACUAAAUAAAUAAGGAUUAAGUCGACAUUGAAAUGAAAAGAGUAUUUUAUAUACUCUAAUGACCUACACACGGAAAUAACUGUACGUUGAGUAUUUUAUACUUAAUGGUAUUAUUAUAAUUUAAACUAUUUAAUAUUAAUAAAUUACAACAUCAACCAUAAGCUUUUUUUUUAAAUCGUUUAAACUAAUUAUACAUAAUUAUAUAUCACUUCAUAAAUCUUAAAUUCAUAUAUAUUUUUUAUAUACUAAUUCAAUUCAUAUUUUAAUUCAUACAUUCUUUCUCGUACUUUUCAAUAGUGUCAAAUCAAUCAAUCUCAUUUUCAAAUUUUCAUUUCAAUUAUUUACUCUAUUAACAAGGCUCGGACUCUGACAGAUACGUGGAUUCCACCCAAACACACUAGAAUAUCCAACCUAAUACACCCGGAAUAAUAUAAAUCCUCCAUAACACACCAGUAUAUCAUAUCAUCCCAAACACACCAAUAAGGAAUUAGAUGCCUCUUCGGAUAAACCGAAACAUAUAAUAACAAAAUCAUCUUCUCGGCCAAACUACAAAUCUCCUCAUCACAUUACAAAUCCUAUGACAUGCCAUUUGUAUCCAAUCUAGUCCGAUAAGUUAAUAGGGCAUUAUUUUACUUUUCCAAUUUCGAAUUCAUUUCCACAACAAUUUCAAAUAUUCAAUCAAUUCAAAACAUCUAUUAUUUCAAUUCACUUAAAAUUCAAUAUUCACACAUAUCUUAAUUUCAAAUUUAUUACUUACCUUACCUUAAAUAUCCCAUGAUUACAAUUUCAAUAUAGCAUUUAGUAAAUAGAUUAAAUUAUAGUAAUACAAACCCGGAAUAAGCGUUUACUCCUCAACGAUAUUUUCUUUUCCUUUGGAUGUCGAUGCCUCGUUUUCCUUGUUAGCUACGAAAAUAAUAAUUAUUUUCACUAUUAAUUACAACAUUAAAUUAUAAAAAAUAAUAAUAAUUAAAUUUUAUUCAAUUCAUGCUUAUUCCCAAUUUAAUUCUAACUAAGCUUACUUACAUUUCUAGCUUAAUUCAUAUUUCUUUUCUAUAUAAUUUAUUGUCAUAUUUAACUCAACUAUUCAAUAUUCAUAAUUAAACCCUAAUUUAAGACUUCUUAUAACUUAAUCCCAACUAUGUAAAACUUAUAGCUUACUUUACAAUUUGAUCCUUUAAUCAAUUCUAACUAAAAUUUCUAUCAAUUAAACCCCUAAUUGAUCAAUUUGUUCAACAUGAACUAUAUUCAAAAACUUAGGAAUUUCCAAAAUUUCAACUUGAUUUCAACAAAACUUUGUUCCAAAACUUUUAAAACAUCAAAACUAAGUAAAAAGGACUUAUUUGACUUACCAAUUAAAGCUUUAAGCUUCAAAAUCCAAGUUUUCCCUUUUCUUUUUCUUUUCUUCUUUCCUUUCACUAUUUCGAAUUGCUCUUUUCUUUUCUUCUUUGUUUUUUUUUUCUUUUACUUUUUAUUUACUUACUUUACUUUACUUUAUUUUAUUUGCUUUAUUUUUUUUAAUUACUAAAUAAUUAAUAUAAUAUCAAUAUAAAAUAUCUUAUGCUUAAAUAUUAAGUAAACCAAUUGUUUAAUUACAUUUGUACAUAUUUAUUUUAUUACACUUGUAUAAAUUUUAUACCAUUUAUUUAUCAAUUAUCUUAUUUAUUUAAUAAAAAUCUAUUUAACAACAAAUAAUAAUAUUACAAAUGUACAUAUAUAUUUUAUUUAUAAAUGUACAUUAUCAUCUAUACCAUACAUUUGUCAUCAUUUAUUUUAUUUAUCACACAAAAAAAUCUUAUAAUUUAAUUUUUUUAUCGAAUAAAUAUCUAUCUAAUAAUUUAAUAUAAUUAUUACAAAUGUAUAUACUUCUAUCAAUACAUUUGUAUUAAAUCACUACCAUACAUUUGUCUUUGUUUAACUUAUUUCAUAAUAUAAUAAUAAUAACAAUUAAUAUAAUUUAUUAUUUAAUAUUAAACCUUAAUGAUUAUCAAUGAAAUUUUAAUGAAAAAUAUCACAUAAAAAUCUUCAAUCUUACCCAGCUUACGCCGCCUCAUACUUAUGAAUUGGCUUAAUUAUCAUUUUGAUCCUUUAUACUUUCUUUUAAUCUAUAAUUAAACUUUUACCCUUUACUCUAUUUAGUCACUUUUCCUAAUUAUUCUUAAUUAGACUAAAUUCACCUAAUUAAUACCUAAUUAAGCACUCAACUAAACUCAUAAUUACUUCUAAUAAUUAUUUAUGACUCAGUUUACUAAGACGGUGGCCUGAUAAUGUACUUUUCAGAUGCUUGUGAAUUUUGGGUCAUUAUAACCAUCCUUCCAAAAACACGCAGAUCUUAGGGGCAUUCGGGUCGGGUCAUCAGGUCAGCCCCAAAACGACGUUGUUUUGGGGCGUUUUGGAACACCUCGAAACGGUGUCGUUUUGGCACCCUAUUUAGCUAAAAACAAAAGCUUCAAAAAAUUAUUUUUAAAACAGUUUAAAAAAAACACUUUGUUCUUUUUUUUUUCUCUCCAUCCCUCCCAAUCCGGCCUAGGGAGCCGCCAAGCUUCGCCGUGAUGGCCACCAAUCGCCGGUGACAGCUCCAUCUUCCACGGUGGCCAAAAAAUGAAAAAGGUACAUUUUUUCAGCCUUUUGACUUCCAAAGCCCAGAUCUGAGGACUAAGAGCCUAAAAAGGUAAAAAAAAAGAAAAAGAAAGUUUCGAUUUUUUUCUAUUCGCCUUUUUAAAAAAUAUAUAUAUGUUUUUUUUUCUUUUGAAAAAAGAAAUAAACAAAAAAAUGAAAUCACUUGAUCUGUUUUGAUUUCUUUUUUCGAUUAAUCUCAUUUUUUAAUAUUUUUUCCCCAAAAAUACUUUUUAAUCCGACCUUUAUAGCUGAUUUUUACAUAUUAUUUUUAUAUUUUUCUACUGUUUCAUACUGUUCAUUGCGUGUGUUGCUUCUUCUUGGCAGGGGUUGUUGGCAGUAGCAGAGGUAGGGUGCAGCGCUGACAUGGGAUGAGCAGCGGCGCCAGGGGCUAGGGGCUAAGGUUUCUUUUUUCUAAAAAGAUGUUUUGGGGAUAGAGUAAUUUUUUCCUGGUAUUGUCGAAUCUCGACUUCUUUGGUGUUUCUCUUCUUCAAGUAGCCUCAUUCUAACCCACUGCAACUUUAGGGAUAUGAGAAUUGUAAUUUCAAUCUACUCCGUUGCAACCUCAGAGAGAUGAGAUUUGUAGCUUUAAUCUGCUUCACUGCAACUUCAAGGAGAUAAGAUUUGCUAUCUUCAAUCUGCUCUACUACCACUUCAGGGAAAUAAGAUUUGUAGUUGUAAUCUGCUCCACUGCAACUUCAGGGAGAUAAGAUUUGCUAUCUUCAAUCUGCUCCACAGCCACUUCAGGGAAAUAAGAUUUGUAGUUCUAAUCUGCUCCAUUACAACUUCAGGGAGAUAAGAUUUAUAGCUUUAAUCUACUCCACUGCAACUUCAGAGAGAUAAGAUUUAUGGUUUUAAUCUGCUCUACUACAACUUCAGAGAGAUAAGAUUUGCUAUCUUCAAUAUGCUCCACUGCAACUUUAGGGAGAUAAGAUUUGUGGCUUUAAUCUACUUUAUUGCAACUUCAGAGAGAUAAGAUUUGAUAUCUUUAAUCUGCUCUACUGCAACUUCAAGGAUAUAAGAUUUGCUAUCUUCAAUCUGCUCCACUGUGACUUCAGGAAGAUAAGAUUUGCUAUCUUCAAUCUACUCUACUACGACUUCAGGGAGAAAAGAUUUGCUAUAUUCAAUCUGCUCCACUGUGACUUCAGGGAGAUAAGAUUUGUGGUUUUAAUCUGCUCCACUACAACUUCAGAGAGAUAGGAUUUGUGGCUUUAAUCUGCUCCACCGCAACUUUAGGGAGAUAAUAUUUGCCACAAUAACUUUAAUCCAUCCCAAUGCAACUUCAGGGGUAUAGAAUUUGUGGUUCCACUAAUCUAUUACACCGUUCUCUAGGGAAUAUGACCUUUAAAACCCAUUUCAUGGGCCUAUAUUUAUGCAAAGCGAUUAGGAUACUAUGAUCAAAAUGAAUCAAAUGCUCCUAACUAGAUGUGUAUGAAUGAUAUUUGCAUGAAUGCAUAAUGUCAUUUUUUGAGAAUGAUCCCCUUUUAAUGCUUAGGUUGACAUUGCUCGUUGUUCAUCAAGGUUCUAUUACUAGCAUAUUACCUUGCUUCUUGUUUAGUUGGUAUCUUUGACAGAAAACUCGAAAAAAUAAUCACAAUUUAGGGUCCGUUUAAUUGCCAGUAAAAUGUUUUCCGUAAAAUGAUUUUUGGAAAAUGUUUUACUUUUCUGUAAAAUGAUUUACUAGAAAAUAUUUUCUGGUGUUUGAUUGAAUCUGUGUAAAAUAUUUUUUGCUGUUUGAUAGAUUUCCUGAAAAUAUUUUCGGAAAAGUUGUUUUUACAUAUAUUAAUAUAUAUUAAUAAAUUUUUAUAUUUUAAAUUGUUUUUACAUAUAUUGGAAUGAUUUAUUUAUAAUAAUACUCAAUUAUUAAGCUACAAUAUUAAUCGUUAUAAAUUGAAAAAAAACUAAUAUCAAAUAAAUUAUUUAUAAUUGUGUUAAAAAAACAAGUAUUGAAUAAUUAUAAAUUGCUUCGAAACCACAACGAAUACUAGAAAUAAUAUUAUCCAAAUACAUAAUUAGUAGUACACCACAUAGUAACAACAUUGUCCAAGUGCAUAAUAUUACACCACAUAAAAGUAUCAAUAUCUUCAACCAUGAGAAAAUUUUUGAAGCCAAAUUUUUCUAUGCUUCUUACUUUUAACUAAAAAAGCUUUGGUUAAUACAAUACUUCAAUAUAUUUGAUAAGCAUAUGAAAAUGAAAGCAUGACAAAUUAGUUUUCUUGUAGGAAAUUGCAAUUACUGCAAGAUUUUGUUAUAUAUUAUUAGGAUUUCAAUAUCAUGUAUAAUUAAUUAAUUAAUCCCUCAUUAUAUAUUUAAUCAAGAAUUUGAAUGGAAAAUUUGAAUGAAAUUCAUUUAAAAAUCAAUAUAUUAUUAGGUGUAAUACUUUAAUAUUUAACAUAUUAUUUAUAAAAAAUAUACAUUAACAGUAAAUAUUAUUUUUUAUUGCAAAAACAUUAUUAAAAAUGGUGAUGCCUCUUUUUUAAAAUAUAAAAAAUUAAAUUAUAAAUUGCUAUCAAGUGUGUUUUCUUUUUUUAUUUCGAAAUUUUAAACAAAAAAAAAGGAAAAAUGUUAUAAAAAUUUUUUAUUUCUAUUUUUUAUAAUUUUUUAAAUUAAAAAUUGAUUAAUUUUUAUAAAAAAAAUAAUGUUUAAGUGCACUGCUAUAAUUGCCAUAAUCUCAAAUGUCCAACAUAAGUUUGUUUGCUCUAUUUUCAGCAUGAAAAAAGCAUUCAAAUGUUUAUAACAAUAUCAACGAAAACAACAAUCCAAGACCUUUUUAAUGUGCGUAAAACAUCUGAUUAACUGAAACCAAACUUUAGCAUUCAAAUGUUUAAUGAAUAUUCUCAAAAAACUGAAACAGAUUGAACAAAGGAAGUUGGCAAAAGCCAUGUGGGGAUGGCAAACUCAAAUUCCAGAUAUCGAAUGAACAUUCUGAUGAAACACAAGCGAAAGAGCUCAUUCUGAUGAAAUAGAGGCAUUGAUGUUACUUAAGGACCUUCCUUUGUAGUCAAACAUGCUAGAUAUCAAAUGAACAUUCAUCACCCCUUUUCUCUAGCAUCAAAUACUAACAGAUCAUUAAGUGCUAACAAAUACUAACAGAUCAGUAAAUGCUAACCAGAGAAAGGCACAUAUGCCAAUUCAUACAUUAAUCAUACAUUGCUCACUUUACAAUCAGUUCACAUUCGGAUGCUAAAUCAUGCCAAAAUUACCAAAAUUCAUGACAUAGGCACAUAUGUAUUUACCUACCAUCAACCAAAUAUAACAGUUCAUCACUGCCAUUUUGCAAAUAAUUCAACAAAGAUCUUAUCACUGUUUCGUUUUUCCUUACAAUUUCAAGGAUUUGAAGGAUCAUAAUCUCGUAUGAUGAAACUCAAUUUGAAUGAAUAAAUGAAUCGAUCAACAGCUUAUGUUUAGGAAUUUUCAAUUUCGAAGCAGUUUACUAUGGAUAAGAACAGAAGUCACAUUGGACCAAAAGUAAAAUCCUACGUUCGAAAUUCAAAGUUCAAACCGUCAAACAAUGACUAGACCUAAAUUAACAAUUAGGCAUCAAAGCAAAACUUCAAACGUUGAAUUGAAGGUCACACAAUACUGUAAAGGUAGGGGGUUGCUAUGCUAAAAUUCAAAUCGAAACUCUAAAUAUUGUCGACUUUAUAGUCAAAUUACAAAGAUAAAAGAUGGGUUUCGUACAAAAUUAACCAUGAAAAUGGCUUGAAGCAUUCAUGAAUCAUGAGACCAUUACCAGGAAGUAAAGCACCAAAAUUAAGCAUUCAGCAAAAGACAGCUUACUAUAAAUGGCUAAAGCAUCCGUUAAGAGACCUUACUCUAAGUCUGAAAACCAACACAAAACAAGGGUUCUUUUACUUUUAUUCAGAAACUUCCUAGUUCACAUACAGAGUUUGCUCCUAGGCCAUUGCAUCUCCAUUCAAUGUAUUAUUCCGCUAAUAAAGAAAAACCACAAAAACAUUCUUUCCACAACCAACUGGGAAAAGAAAAGUAAAAUAGGUUCAAUUAUAUAUUCCCAUUCAACAGGAUACAACAUAUAUACUCAUUCUCUACACAGAACAUUAUGUAUAAAGAGGGCAGAAUAUAAAUCAACAACAAAGAUGAAAACAUUAUAUUUACAAAAGAUUACUAGAGAUAAUACAACCAUAAAGAUCAAUCCUUUUUCCAGAAAACAUUAUAUCGAACAUUAUAUCGAACACACAAACGGCCACAGAAAUAUUACUUUGAUUACAAAGCCCAUUAAUCAAAGUUGAAAAAAUUACAACAUCAGGCUCAACACCUAACUUCAGCAUUUUCCCCAAAACAGAAAACCCAAAAUCAAUUCGACCUAAUUGACAAAAGCAAUUAAUCAAGAUGCUCACAGAAUAAACAUCAUGGGAAACACCUAAUAAUUCCAUCUGGCUACACAUAGAAACAACAAUGGCAUAAUGUUUAAUUCUAACAAUGGCUGCAAACAAUUUAGUAAAUUCCACAAUUGAAGGCUUUGGGUACUUUUCAAUCAUCUUAUUGAACAAACUCAAAGCAUGAUCAACAUUAUCGAAGCGGUGGUCUGUUUUUCCCUUUCCUCUAACAGGCAUGGACAUGGGUUUCUUACUUAGGCAGUCGAAAAGAGUAGAAAUUAGAAAGAUGGCUUCCAACAUUAACAACCAAACGAAGAAUAAAAGAAUAAGGAAGCCUACCUAUCAUUUAAAAGCAGAAAUGGCAGCGGCAGUAGCAGCCAAAAAGAAAUGAAAAAUAAACGGAGCAUAAAAGCCAAAAAGAAAUGAAAAAUAAACGAAGUAACAGUCGAAAAAUAGAAUUGCAACGUACCAACAGCGGUUUCCAGUUCUGAACCAAAAUGAAGCUUUCAAGAACGAAAAUUUGAAGGAAUGAAGGAAGGGAGAAUAAUGGAUGAAGGGAGAAGAAUGCCUGUGAGCUUUAGGAAAAUGUCUUACGGAGAUUGAAUCGGUAAGAUAAUUUCCCAAAAAUUGUAAGGCAUUUUCCCAUGUUUUGGAGUUGAUUUUCCAAAAGGAAAAUAUUUUCCUUCAAUCAAACACUGGAAAAUGGGGAAAACCAAUUCUGGAAAAUAUUUUCCCCUAUCAAAUAGACCCUUAAACUAUUUGUUUCCAAACAUUUCCAACUUUCAGAUUUGGUCGGUUCUGACUAGUGGUCCUGUUUCAAGUCAUUGUAUUAUUUAGAAAAUCUUUCAGAGCAAUAUGCAGAAAUCCUUUUACUUGAAUAUUAUUAGUCCAUUAAUCAUUAUUUCAAUGAAAAAUGCUUGAAAAUGAUCGUAACAAUGGACAAGAUUGAAAUUUAUUGGGAGUAGAGCUUGAAAUGAAUAGUUAAUCAAAAAUACCAAACAUUACUAAGAUACAAAAUGAGUAAGAGUAAAAUAGAUGCCCUACAUAUCGUAGCAUGAGCUUUUCCGCACUAGCUUUACGAUGACCUUUUUUAAGUCUGAUAUGUGUUUAGGAGAUCCAUAGUACAGUGUUGAUGCCCUAAUAUAUAACGUUUUUCCUUCUGAAAAAACUCGACCAUCACAUGUUCAAUCUUCAAUCCAAAUUUGAGUUGCCUCUUUUCUUGGGUUUUCAACUCAAAAACCCCUUUGGUUUCAAUGUGCCAUUUGCUGGUUUUCGCCUUGGCCUCUCCCCAUUUUUUUAGGUGAAGUAUUUCUUGACUGAAUCAAAAUUUACAAGAUUAGGAAGGCUUUUGCCAUCCAUCUCAGUCAAAAUUAAUGCUCCUCUAGAAAAUGCCUUCUUUACCACAUAAGGUUAUUCCCAAUUUGGCAUCCACUUUUCUAUGAAAUCCUUUUAUAUGGGAAGGAUCUUUUUUAAUACCAGGUCCCCCUCAUAGAAUUCUCUAGGGUGAACCUUUUUGUCAUAAGCUCGCAUCUUUCAUUUUUGGUACAUCUAACUAUGAAGGAUUACUUUUAACCUCUUUUUUUUCAAUCAAAUUCAGUUGAUUAUAUCGAGAUUGGAUCUAUUUUGGUUCAUAUAACUUCAACUCUAACAAAACUUGGAGAGAAGGAAUCUUGACUUCAAUGGGCAAAAUCACAUUUAUUCCAUAAACUAAUGAGAAAGGCGUUGCCCCAGUGAAGGUCCUGCCAAGCGUUCGAUAAGCUUAGAGGGCAAAAGGUAACUUCUCAGGCCAAUAUUUAUAAGUCUCAGUCAUUUUCCCUACGAUUUUUUUAAUGUUCUUUUUGGCUGCCUUCACCGCACUAUUCAUUUUUGGGCGAUAUGUAAUGAGUUGUGGUGUUUGAUCUUGAAUUAACUAUAGACAUUUGUUAUUGUGCUGUUGUUCAAGUUCAAUGAAUUGUCAGAUAUAAUUAUUUCUAGCAUAUUAUAUUGACAUAUGAUCUCUUUCUUCAAGAAUUUGCUGACUGCUGACUUCGCGACAUUGGCGUAAAAAGUGGCUUCUACCCACUUGGUGAAGUAAUCAAUGACCACAAAGAUGAAUUAAUGUCCGCUGAAAGCUUUUGGAAAGGUCGACCCAAUGACAUCCAUGCCCCACAUAGAGAAAGGCCAUGGAGAAGUCAUAACAUGAAGAGGUGAAGGAGGCACAUAAAUUUUGUCUCCAUAAAUUUGGCACUUAUAACAUCUCUUGACAUAACUGAUACAAUAUCCUUUUAUGGUGGACCAAUAAUACCUGAAUCACAUUAUUUGCCUGGAUAUUGUAAAACCAUUAGCAUGUGUUCCGUAGACACCCUCAUGGACUUCUUCUAAGAUUUUCUUAUCAUCAACAGUGUCCACACAUCUUAGUAGCACCUGAUCUUUUCUUCUUUUAUAUAAGAUCUCCUCAUCUAAGACAUAGUCAUUGGCCAGUCUUCUCAACGUCUUUUUAUCAUUUUCAAUUGUUUGAUUGGGGUAUUCAUGGUUCUUUAUAUAUCGCAGUAUAUCGUGGUACCAAGGGUAAUCAUCCUUUUCUUCUUCUUCUAUGUUGUAACAAUGAGCCAGAGCCUCAUAAAUACUCAUAUGGAUAGGUUUUACAUCCUCUUGUUUGUUCACUUUGAUCAUAGAAACUAAAGUAGCUAGGGCAUCAGCCAUCUGAUUUUCAUCUCGCGGGAGGUAGCAAAAAGUGAUGCCAUCAAACUCCUCAAUUAACUCAAGAAUCAAUCUGCGAUAACUGAUCAAUUUGGGCUCUCUCCUCUCCUAUUCACCUUUGAGUUGAUAGAUCACGAGUGCAGGAUCCCCAUAUACAUUUAGUAUUUUGAUAUUGCGUUCUAUGGCUGCAUGGAUACCCAUGAUGCAUACUUCGUAUUAUGCCAUAUUGUUUGUGCAAUCAAAAUCCAAUUUACUAGUAAACGGAUAAUGAUCUCCGUUUGGGGAUACCAAGACUACCCCGAUUUUGUUACCUAUAACAUUUGAAGCUCUGUCAAAAUUUAGCUUCCAAGGAUGUUUGUCUUGAGAAUCUUCUUCGGUGGUUACAACAUACAUAAGAUUUUCAUUUGGGAAAUCAAAGUUCAAAGGCUCGUAAUCUUAUAAGGCUCUACUGGCUCGAAAAUCUCUUAUUGCACUCCCUUUCAUUACCUUCUAGUUCACAUAAGUUGUAUCAAAUUUAGAAAGCAGAAUUUGCCAUUGGGUCGUUCUGCCAUUUAAAGCAGUUGACUCCAUCAUGUACUUUAGAGGGUCCAUUUUUGAGAUGAGCCAAGUUGUGUGGUACAACAUGUACUGUCUCAGUCUUCGGGUUGUCUAGAUUAAGGUGCAACACAACUUCUCAAUUGGCGAGUAUCGUGUCUCACAUUCAGUGAACUUCUUACUAAGGUAGUAUAUCGCUUUUCUUUCCUUAUUGACUCUUCAUGUUGGCCAAUCACACAUCCCAUAAAAUUCUCAAAUAUGACCAAAUACAGUAUCAGUAGCUUAUUUAGACUAGGUGGCAUCAGUAUUGGAGCAUUGGACAAGUAAUGUUUGACAUUGUCGAAAGUCUUUUGGCAUUUUUUAUCCCAUACACCUGGACUAAGUUUCUUAAGGAGACGAAAUAUAGAGUCACAUUUCUCAGUUAAUUGUUAAAUGAACCGGGCGAUGUAAUUUAAUCUCCCUAAGAAACCUCAGACUUCCUUUUGAGUGCGCGACAGAGGCAACUCCUAUAUAGCCUUGGCUUUAUCUGGGUCAAUUUUAAUCCCCUUUUCGCAGACUAUAAAACCUAACAAUUUUCCCGAUCUAGCCCUGAAGGUACAUUUUGUUGAUUGAAUUUUAGCUGAAAUUUUCUCAACCUCAAGAAUAAUUUCCUCAAGACUUGUAAGUGCUCCUUUUCUGUUUAGGAUUUUACAAUCAUAUCGUCAACGUAAACGUCGAUUUCUUUGUGCAUCAUAUCAUGAAAUAGGGUUACCAUGGCUCUUUAAUAUGUCGCUAUUGCAUUUUUUUGUCUGAAUGGCAUCACUUUAUAGCAAAAGGUUCCCUACAUAGUUACGAAUGUGGUAUUUUCCAUAUCUUCAGAGUGCAUCUUUAUAUGGUUGUAACUGGAGAAGCCAUCCAUAAAGGAGAAUAGUGAAUAACCUGCCGUGUUGUCCACUAAGGUAUGAUAUGAGGCAACAAAAAAUUAUCUUUUGGGUUAGCCUUGUUUAAAUCCUUGUAGUCUACACAGAUUCGUAAUUUCCUAUCUUUCUUAGGGAUGAGGACUAUAUUGGCUACCCACUCCGAGUAUUUAACCACUUGUAGGAAACCAACGUCAAAUUGGUUCUUGACCUAUUCUUUUAUUUUUAACAAGAUGUCAAGCGUCAUCCUUCGAAGUUUCUAUUGAACCGACUUGCAUUCUACUUUUAAAAGAAACCGGUGUACCACGAUAUCAGUACUUAGACCAGGCAUGUCUUGAUACGACUAUGCGAAGACAUCUUUGAAUUCUUGGAGUAACUCAAUGAGGUAUUGCUUUGUCUCUGCAGUGAUGCAAGCUCCGAUCUUUACUUCUUUCAUUUCUUGUCCGUCUCCUAAGUUCACAAUUUUUAUUGACUCUUUGUGAGGUAGAAUUUGUUUCUCCUCUUGUUCUACCAUCCUUAACAAAUCAGGGGAUAGGUUACAAUCUCGAUCAUCUUCAAAGUCUUGAGGUUCCUCUAAACACAUAUCUUGCUCAAAAGGAGAUUCUGAGUCAGUAGCAGUGUCAUUCAUAUCAUUGAUAUCUGGAAACCUGUUAUAGGAAUGAAUGAAGACCUGAAGAAUAAAUGAAUCUAAGAGUAAUUAUUUGUGUGGUAUAAGUAUGAAUGAAAUGGAAAGAAUAAAAGAUUGUUUGCAAGAAUGAGACACAAAGAUGCAUUUUAUUAAAAUAAAAAUAAUAGACAUAUGUCUUUUUCACAAAAGGAUUCUUAUUGCUCCCUAGCUUAGAACAAUAAAUGUGUUUUGAAUAUUACUCUGAAUUAGUUCUAAAAAUUACAGGGAUCUUAGUAUGAAUAAUUUUCUAUUGAUUUAUAAAAAUAUAAAAGACAAAAACAUACUCAAAUAAUCAUAUAACUUACUUUGAAAAUAAAAUGGAUUUUUGGCGAUUCCCUAAGUGAGUUGGAAUCCAAUUAAUGAGUGACACCAACUCAAUAAAAAGCUUAAUAAAUAGUGUCGAUAAAUUACAUCAUCUAUCUCUCAACUUUGAGUAAACUUUUGUUUUGAUCGCUUAACUAAAAAAUAUUACAAUUUAAUUAUAGACUUUUUUUUUUUGCUUUCUUCUACUUUUCUUGAGCUAAAAGACUAAUGGUGAAACUUUUUAAAUUGGUAUAAUAAUAAUUUUAAGCUGAAUUUUAACCCUCUUCUUUUAUUCUUUCUAAACACAAUUGAUUUGCUUGGAAGUGACAUGAUAGUUUAUUUAUUACAUAAUUAUCCCAUGGCUAUUGCACAAAAGAUAACCCAAGAAAGUUUUUAUAUUAAAAUAGGCUCAUUUGACCUAUAAGAAUUCGCUCAAUUUGAAGAACAAGUGACGAAGUCUACAAAAUAUUUUGAUUUUAAUUUAUAAUUUAGUAUUCCAUUUUUUUCCAAUUAAGUAGUUAUAUUUUAUUUCCAUUACACAUCAACAUUUGAAAAUUAAAAAAUAAAUAUAAAAUUUCCAUAAAACAGUAUAGAGUAAACUACACUCAACUCAACUAAUUAUGGGUGAUUGUUUUUGGUCAACCAAUUAUGAAUUUGUUUAAUUUUUGAUCAUCCAAUUAUAAUUUUUUUAAUCUGGUCACUCAAUUAAUUGAGACAGUAUUUUUUUUGUCCAUUUCCAUUAAUUGCACUAAUAGGAGGGUGUGAAAAAUAAAUAUAAUAAUAAAUUUAGCCCUCAACUUUUACAUUAUAUCGAUUUAAUCACAAUUUUUGAAAAAUAGCCUUCAAAAUUUACAAAUAGUCUUGAUUUGAUUCUAAUUUUUUUAAAAAAAAAUUAAAGGAAUAUAUAGAAAUACAUAAAUAUUUUCAAAAAGUAUAAUAAUAAAUUUAAAUUUGUAUAAUAAUAUUGAUAUUAAAUAAAAAUAACUAUAUUAAUAUUAAAUAAAAAUACAUAAAUAUUUUCAACUUAUUUAAUAUAGAAUUUUUUAUUUUUAAAAAAUAAUUUUAUAAAGAAUUAGGGUUAAAUUGACAUAAAAUUUAAAAGUUGAGGACUGAAAUUGUUAACUACAAAAGUGUCACUUUUAGCCAUUGAAUGGUUGGGUGAAAAAAAAACAAUUUGAAAAUGUCAGUGGCCAAAUUGUAACUUUUUAAAUUAAAUGAGACAUAAUUGAGGGACUAAUAGUGUAAUUUAUCCUUUGCUUUAAAGAUAUGGAUUAGUUCACAUUUUUUUGGGUUAAUGUGUUAUUAAAAGAUUAAAAUCCAAAUAUCAUUUUUCUUCUUUUCUUUCCCGUGACUGGUUCCGCUUUUAUCGUCAGGCAUCUUUGGUUUUUUUCCUUUUUGCUUUUCUAGUGCUUUUCUUCUGAUCGGCGAUCACCGCCGCCGCCAGCACCACCACCACUUCUUCUUUUUUUUUUGGUGAAAUCUUCUUUUUCUUUUUCUUUCAAAAGCCAAUAGCAGUGUCAGAAGGAUCGGACACAUAUCAUGUGUCCUUACCCGCGUUGCGACAGAAUUUUUUUCAUAUGUUUGAAAGAUCAGCACAGGUAUUUAUGUUUAAUACGCAUCACAAAACCUUGAGUUAUUUCUGCAAGACCUAGAGAACAAAAAUGGUGAAACUUGAAGGUAGCUUAGAAGAACCCAAAAGCAAUAAACGAAAGCUAGACAAAAGGUAGCUUAGAAAUGCCUUCAUUUCUUCUAAUGCUGGGGAGAGUGCAUAUUUGCUGGGAAAAUCACCAAAGAGUUUAGUGGAGUAUUAAGCUUGUUGCUUAACGGUACUUCCAACAUUGGGUUGAGGGAGACCAAUUGUUUUGCAAACACAAUGGCUAUGGAUGGGAUGGAAAGGAGGGGUGCUCGUCCGGUUAACCGAUCCCGAAAUAGCUAUAAACUUUUCAAAAUUUUUAACUGUUAAUCGAAUCGAAAUUUUUUUUGGUUAAUUCAGUCGAUUAAUUGAAUUAACCAAAAAUUAUAUUUUUUUAUUUUUGGUUAAAAAAAUAUUCGAAUUAUCUAAAUUACCUGAAUUAACCGAACACAAAUUCAUGUACUACUUUCAGAAAACCUCAAUGUGCCUUGCACUUGCAUUACCCCAAAAAAGAAAUGGUAAAAUUAUAAUAGAGAAGAAGCCAAGAGGGGUUUAUUAUAUUUCUCAAAGAAGAAAAGAAUGAAAAAACAAAUAUUUAGAGUUUUCCAUUGGAGAAAGAUUGACCAAAACUGAAGGGGAAACAUGAUGCAGCUCCAAUCAGAAAGAUACGUUAAGGCAGGAAUGUACACUUAAAGACAUUGGCAGCAUUGAAAAAGAACAGUUUAGGCACCAGUCUUGGAGACUAAUGGAGUUCCUCUGUGCAAUUCCCAUUCGUGUGUUAACUAAGAAAAACAUAAAUAGCUUAGGCUAUCUUAUUCUAUGUUUGUAUCACACAAAUUCUCUUCUUUAUAUUAUUUGUUUCAGAGGGUACUUGUCUUCUUCCAUACCACCAGUGAUUUGAGGAACUCCAUAACCUUCAAAACCCUUAAUUGAAGAAUACAUAAAAUAUCUUCACAUACUUUGCUUUGUAGAAUACAUCUCAGAUUUCCCAUAAUUGAAGACAUGCAAGGUUUCAAGGAAAUAUCUCACUUAAUAUGUAUUCACACACACAUAAAUAUAUAUAAUGUUUUCUUAGAGAAAACUAAAAACUGGGUAGGCAUUGUUCACCCUUGUGUAAUCUAAGCUGAGAUGGAAAAAAGCUGUUCAAAUGAAAAGCAAGUUAUAAAAGAGAAGUAAGCUUAAAACACAGAGUUGAAAACAGUGUUCCAAGUUAAGUCCCAAGUACAUGAGCAGCUAAAAAUUUUGCACACCUCCAUUGGAAAGCUCAUGUACGCUUAAAGGUAGGUGAUUGUAAUAUACCGUUGGUGUCUUUAUUUUUUAUGUUUUAGAGUUGCGCUAAAAUGAUAAGAUAGAAACUUAAUUAAGGGUUAUUUAAACAGAGUGUAAUACUUUAAUAACUUUUUUUAAUAUAUUAACCAUUGGUAUUCAUCUAAUAAGAAAGAAAUGACAUUCAGUUGAAGCUCACAAUGAAAAAUGGUUGUGUCAGUCUAUAUGGCUACCACUUUUCUACUACUUUUAAUAAAGUUCAUAUUUAUUUCUAGACAAGCAUAUCUUAUACAUGUGCGGAGGAUAAGUUAUUGCUACCAAUUACUUCAUUUACUGCUCCAUUAAUUUUCCUAUUCAGAAAGCUCUACUAGAGCAGUGACUUGAUCAUUCCACCAUCUUCAAAUAUGUUUCCGCCACUCUAUAUCACUACCAAUUGGCCAUGCAGUUUCUUGAGCUGUAGCAGAUUCUUCCACUAUAAUUUCAUCAACUGAUUGGCUUGCCUGCAAAGCAAAUUAAACCUUCACUUAUUACUGUUUGCUUUUGAUGAUUGGUGAUGAGGAAAACAAAGCCAGUUUUCCAAAAUUGGACAAAGGAUGACAUAUUAAGAACAAGAAGUGUGAAUUGAAAAUAAUAAUGCGACAAUGAUAUCUAGAAAGAAAUAUUGACAGCCAACAGAAACCGAUUACAGUUGAUGCAAUUUCAUUUAGUCAUUUAAAGCAUUUAAAAAAAAAAUCUCUCAGGCAACCAAAAUAAAAAUAUUGCAUUAAUGCAUAGAAAUUAAAGCUUAGUAUUGGGCGAAUACAUAGAGAAAAUAAUUGAAUGGAUGAAUUUCUGUUUUAAAGCUUAUUGUUGAGUUUGGAAGAGUAGUGUACCUGUGUUUUGGCAUGCACUGAUUUCUCUGAAUCAACACUAAAUCUUGUGGUUAUGUUGGGACAACCUUCUACUCGUAAAUCCGUCAAAGAUGGGAAAACAAAAUGAUAACUCAUAGGGCCGAAGCUCACGAGGUUUGAUAGGUCAUCAAGCUGUAAGUAGGUUAAUCGAUAUAGGUGCAUCACUUUCUCUUCGUCCUUACUCACAUUUGACUCAUCUCCUUCAAACACCUGCUCUAAUUUGGAGACCCUUAUAAGGUAUAAUCGAUCUAGGUUUGGAAGGCCACCAUGAGCAAGAGUAAUGGGGAAGAGACAUUUCAAGUUUUCACAGUUCAUGAUUGUAAUCGAACUCAAAUUAAGGAAGCAAAUAGGUUGGAGAUGAUGUUGUGAUGGAGUUUGAUCCUUCUCAAUUAUUUGCUCCAAUUCCUCACAGGUAGAUAUAUACAGCCUCCACAAUUGUGGCAAAUUUCGAGCGAUGGUAGGUGAGAAGAUGCAUCUUAACCUUCUGCAAUCAUCGACUGUCAAUUGAGUGAGAUUUUGAAAGUGUUCAACUUGGAUGGGACCACUCCAUAUCACCCGCAAUUCAAUUAGUUCGGACAACGUUAGCCUCUCCAGACUUGAAAGAUUAUAUCUAGGAUAUUCAAAUAACUCUUCAAAAUUGGAAAUUGAUGUUCCUCCUCUCCUUUCAGGGACUGUCACGUUGCUUGUUUGCUUCUUUUCUGUCAUCUCCGAGAAGGACAAUUCCUAUAAACAUAUCAUCAAUUUAAAAAUAAGCACAAGAUUUCUUUUUCAAUCUUUUAUAGUCAAAGAAUUCAAUUUUUUAAAAAAGUUUACUGUUCAACUCAAAUAAUCAUAAAUUACAAAAAAAAUCUCCAAAAAUAUGGUGCAAAAACACAACAUAAAUAAUAAUAAUACGUAGUAGUAGAUAGUGUUUGCAAUAUAUAUAUAUAAGAACAAUUUAUUCUUUGCAAAUUAUAUAUAUUUCUCAUAUGGAUUAUAAAAGUAUUCAGUUGAAAUGUUGUUUAUGUUACUAAUUGGUAUUGUAAUUAACUAAACUACUUAAAAGGUUUAUUUAGAUUAGUUUUUAGACCAAAAUUCUAAAAUGAAAACUAUUUUUUAAUGAGUUAUACAAGCAUUCAUUUAUUUUAUAAAAGAAAAUCAACAGGUGAAAAUUUUAAUAAAUAAUAUAUAUAAGGUGGUCUUACUUGUAUAUUAGUUGGAACGAUAAAAGGUGUCAAUUGAGGACAAUCUCUCACUCUUAACACGUUUAAAGAUGAUGAUGUCAGCACGAUGUCGUUUCUAUCCCUUCCUUUCAAUUGAGGCAAAUUAAUUAACUCAACUUCAUUCAAUCGUUCAAGACCUUGAGACAUUGAGAUUAACAUGUCUGGUCUUUGGAUUAUUUCUUGCAAUUGGAAACAGCUCUCUAUCCUCAGAGUUUGCAAUUGCCCAAGACUAUUAGCAACACACAUUGGGAAGAGAAGCUUCAACUUAUUGCAUUCUGUGACUUGUACUUCCCUUAGGCAUUGGAAGCUUAUGGUUGGUACUUGUGAGUCUUGGAUUAUUUCUUCCAUUCCAAAGCAUCUCCUUAUCCACAAAGUUCGCAAAUUGGGCACAUUUAGGCUUUUAGAGCUACCUUGAGCAACAAUAAUUGGAAAGAGAGACUUCAAGCUUUCACAUUCCAAGAUAUCAAGUAGAAUCAGAUUUGGAAAGCAAACAGGUAGGGGAUGAUGUUGUGAUGCCGUUUGAUCUUGCUCCAAUUCCUCAUAUUUACAUGAAUGCAAAUUGCUCAAUUGUUCAUUUGUCAUCUUCCCAAUCACCAAUUCCUAUAAACAUAUCAUCAAUUUUCAAUUUCAAAAUGUUCAAACAUGUCAACAACUAACUUAACAUUUCAUCAAUUAAUUUCCUUAGAAAAAAUUUAUUUUACCUUAAAUCAAUAUUAUACUCCAAAAAUGUGGUACAAAAACAGUCAUAAAUAAUAUCACAUAAUCUGUACAUAUAAAUUAUUGGACAGGUGUAACAACGCAAUUGGGCAUUACUUAAACUCAUUUUCAUAUAUUAAUACAAAAAUAAAAAACCACCUGUGUAAAAGGCUAUGUUUAAAAAAAAUUUAAAUAUAUAUUUUUUCUAGUUUAUUUUUUAAUACAAAUUCUAAAAUCAUCCAUAAUCCCUUCCCACAUUUAAAUAGAAAGAUACACGUGCUUGAGUGCACUCGAACUCACAUCCUUCUAUUCAGACAACAAUAUCGAUACCAACCAAACUAAGACUUGUAUAUAAUUCUAUAUAGCUUAUUUUUGUUUACCAUAAUAUAAUUUAGUAUUAGAUAAAUAGUUUGCAACAUAUCUAAAACAUAAAGUUUGGAUAAUAUUUUUUUUUUGAAAAUUUUAUUAAUCUUAUUAUAUGGUAUUAUAAUCAACUAAUUUGUUUAAAAGGUUAUUUAGAUUAGUUUUAGACCAAAAUUAUAAAAUAAAAUAUAUCUUUUGAACAACUAUUCAAACAACGAAUUAUUAAAGAAAAAAAAGAAACAAAUAAAUAAAUAAUAUAAAACAAAAAGAAAUAUCUUACCUGAAUCGUAGUCGAAAUAAUAAAAUGUGUCAAUUGAGGACAAUUGUGCACUUUUAACUUCUGCAAAGACGAUUGUGUGAGCAAAAUGCCGUUCACAUCCAUUUUUUUCAAUUGAGGCAAGUCAAUUAACGAAACCUGAAAUGAAAAGCAUAAUCAAAUUUCCUAAUCUUUGACCAUGGGACAAUAAGGAAAAGAAAUGUCAAGUUAUUGCAGUGAGAUACACAUACUUCCCUUAGACUUUGGAGUAGACAUUUGUAUGCUACUUGUCGGUCUUGGAUUAUAUCUUCCAACUGCGAGCAGCUCUUUAUCUUCAAAGUAUGCAAUUGCCCAAGGCUAUUAGCAACUGACAUUGGGAAGAUAUAUUUCAAAUUAUUGCAUCUCUCUAUUUCAACAAUCUUCAGACUUUGGAGUAGACAUUUGUAUGCCACUUGUCGGUCUUGGAUUAUAUCUUCCAAUUGCGAGCAACUAUUUAUCUUCAAAGUAUGCAAUUGCCCAAGCCUAUUAGCUACUGACAUAGGGAAGAUAUAUUUCAAAUUAUUGCAUCUCUCUAUUUCAACAAUCUUCAGACUUUGGAGGCUUAAAUAACGACUGGGCCAUUCUUGUUCUAUGCUCCUCCAUUCAGCAAUUGGGAAUAACACUUGCAUCUCACCACAAUCUGAAACUAUAACCUCUUCAAGCUUUUGUAAUAAACCUUGCGGUUGGGGAGCAUUGCACAUCUCUUCCAAAUGAAACAUAUGACUUAAUGAUAACUUCCUCAAAUUAGAGAGUGCAGUGAUUGGCACUUGCUGCUUUGAUGCAUCAAUUAGGCAUUGCAUAGAGCGGCACCGUCGAAGAUCUAAAGAAGUCAACUUUCUAAAUCCCAAGUCCAAGCUCGGAAUAAGGUUUGGGUGACCCUCCACCUUAUUCAAUUGAAGAGAUUCAACAUCUUCAAGUAGUUGCUUGCAUGCAUCUACAGACUUAUUGAUUCUCAAAGAUCUUGAGAUUGGACAAGUUUCGCUCUUUUGGUAUCUUCCUAUGCCAAUGCAAAAAUCAAAGCUCCAUAAUCUACGAAACAUAAAUCCAUCUGGAAGAUGUUCAGAAGAAAUAUCCAAUGAUAUUACAACCAACUUUGGCAAUGAAUUCAACUCUGAUAGGCUGGAAUAGCUUUCCCUUUUAGUUGAAUUCUCAGUCGCCCAUUUUAAUGAGCUACAACCAUGCAAGUAUAGUUCUUCUAAAUUGGACAAUCUUCGUAUUAAAUUAGGAGUGAUUCUUCGUAGUUCAUAACAAUACGAUAAAUCCAACAGUCUUAGAUUUUCCAAAUCACCAGCUUCAGUCGGCAAUUCAGUGAUAUCAGAUCGACUUAAAGAAAGAAUAUGAAGUGUCUUCAGCUUCCCAAGCAUUGAGAUGUCAGAGAGUUUACAAUCAAUCAAAUACAAAGUCUGAAGGUUCAUAUGAAACUGAAAUGUAGACAGAGAUAUCAACAGAUGAUUCAAAGCACAAACUUGUAAUGCCUUCAUACCCUCAAAGAAUUCGCUUGAAGUUUCCAUUAAACGAUUGCCACCAUGUAAAAGAAGUUUGAGGUAUGGAAAACCCACUCCUUUAGGAAGUUCAUCCGUUUGAUCAGUUUCGAAGGAGAUUGCUGUGUAAUGCUUGAAACUUUCAUCCAUCGGGAGUGUUUCAACAGUCCCAAAAGAAAUCUCCUUUCUUGAAGAUGCUAUCCACAAAGCAAAUUGGCGAACCACGUCAUGCAUUUUGACAUGCCUUUCUCCGCAAUCUAGCAACAAACCGGAGUUCUUGAGGGUCUCAAUUGAUGCAAGCACUUCACUUCUAACAUCUUUAAUUGAGUCCAUGCCUUUAUACAACUCCAGUCCCCAUGCAUAUCCUACCAAGUUCUCCACAUAAAUCUCAUCGUCUUCAGGAAAUAAAGAGCACAACAAGAAACAUGUCUUGGUCACCAUAUUCUUCAAGUAGUCGAAGCUCGCCUCAAGACAUACAUAGGCAUUUUCUUCAUUAACAUCCUCAAUUUCAGUCAAUCUACGUUCUUUGAGUCUCCGGUAUGCAGCUUGCCACUCAUGAUGGGUUUUACCUUUCAAGGCACUGCCCAGCGGAGCUAUAGCUAUAGGCAAACCCUCGCAUUUUUUGACAAUUUGAUUUGCUAGGAUUUUAAUAGAAUCAUCAGAAAAGUCAUCUAGACCUGCUUUCUUUUCAAACAGAGUCCAAGCUUCAUCAUCAUUCAAACAGCCAAGUUGUACCACGUUUUGACAAUCCAUAGCUUGACAUACUUGUUGACGGCGUGUUGUUAAAAGAACUUUGCAGCCUUUAUGAUCAUCCCCAAUUGGAAUUCCUAUCUUCUCCUUUAAGUUGAUAGAUUCCCAAAUAUCAUCAAGGAUGAUAAGAAUCCUCGGUUCAUUCUUCAGCCGUAACCAUAAUUCUUGCUCGGAUCUUCUUCCUUGUUCAUUCUUCAUACCAAAGCCUAUGUAUUGUGCAAUUUGAUCUUGAAUUCUCUCAAGAUUUGGCUUUUGAGACACAGUCGUAAUCACAACUUUGUCGAACAAAUUCAGUUUUUGAGCCUGACUUCCAACUUCACGAGCCAGGGUGGUCUUGCCCACCCCUCCCAUCCCCCACAACCCAAUCAUGUUGAUAUUCUUAUCUUUUAAGGCUUCAAUGAUUUGAUAGAAUGCAGUCUCUGAAGAUUUCGAAAACACAAAUUCUUUAGAACAUAGGAAAUCUAUAGUGGGAAGGGCAGUAGGAGCAGGGUAACCGACUGGUCCAAGUUGACCAAAUUUGUCCAAAAGCUCAGAGAUAUCCUGGAUUUUCUUCAUUGCUUUCUUGCUUAAUUGAUAUCUCCAACUCCAAUUAGGGCACCAAUUGAGACACCUCUUAUUCAGUUGGAUUUCCUCAUCCAGAGGUCCCAUAUCAGACAGUGUUUCGUCUGCCCUUGAUUGCAAGUUCUGUACAUCAUCUUCAAUUAGUAGAAGCCGGUUUUUAGCUUCGUCAAUCUUAAGUAGUAGACGCUUUCGUGCAUCUGCAAGUUCACGCUUUUUCUCUCGGAGCUUUUCAACAUUGUCAUGAAAGCGACAGAUAUAAUCAAGUUGACGUCCUACCGGCUUCACCACAUAGUUCACAACCAGUGUUCCAACUGUGUUAGAAAGGGCAGCCUCGCAAAAUCCGCAACCCAUGCUUGACAAGCUCAAAUUGAAGAAUAUGAUGUUCCAAGUUCAAACACUGUAGUGAAUCAUAAGUAAUUACCUUUAAAAAAAAUUAAAGAAUCAAAAAGUGUUUUGAAGAUUAAGACACAACUUCAUAUCCAUACCAAGGAUGGUGAAAGACAACUCAACCUAUGAGAAUCAACGUGCUGUUCUUUCAACUCAGUCGAGCUGAAAACACAAGAGAAAUUUAAUAAACAAAUAAAAUCAAAUACGAGUGAAAUGUCAUAUAAUUAUAACUAAAAAAGACAGUUAAUUACUUAUAAAAAUAAGAAUUCAAAAUAUUGUUACCCUCACACUAAUAAUAUUAUAGAUAUAAUGGUGGAAAAAAUAAUAAACAUAUCCACUUACCAUUUCAAAAUCCAAACAGUCUUUUAGCUCUUACUUGCUUCAAGAAAAAUAUAGAACAACUUCAAUUUAUAUAUAAAAAACAGAAAUGAAGCAUAUAUAAAAGAUUUACCUCACUUGGGAACUUUUAAAAUCAAACUACACUUAGGGAUCAGAAGAUUCUCACUUCAAAACAAUCAAAAGGGAGGGAUUUGAAGGUUGGUUUUUUUUUUUAGCAGGAGUAAGUAAAACUGAGUUUAUCUGCCUGGAAAAUUCAACCGCUCGGAAAAUUUUACUAUUUCAGUAUGACCUCUGAAUCUCUACGAUGCUCCGCCACUAAAAACUAAAUUUUCUUGUAGACAAACAAAGACAUGACAGGAUAGGAGAAAACUUAACAAAAAGGUCGGACUCUUCGGGUCAUAUUUUUACCCUGGUUUGCUCUAUUAGAAAAGAGUUAAUUACAUCAACCAUCUCUAAAUUAUGACUACCAAUUUAAAUUGGUCCCCAAACUUCAAUUUAUUCUAAUUACAUCUCCAAAUUAUCAAUACUAUAUCAAUCAAGUCCUUUUGUUAUUACGAUCAUCAAAUGACACAUCAAAUCUUAUGCAGCUGAAUUUAAAAUGAAAAAUUUAAGGAAAUAGAAUCAUAUUACAUAAUUUUUAAAAUUAAAAACAAAAAUUAAGUAAAAUUGAAAUUAAAAAAAAUGAAUGAUAAAACUUUCAUAAAAACUUCCAAAACCUUAAAACUAGGGGUUUUUAAAACAUUUAUUUUUAAAAUAUUCAUUUUUUAAAAUUUUCAUUUUAAAUUAUUAUAUCACAUUAGAUGUAACAUGUCAUUUAAUAAUUAAACUGGGUAAAACGACAUCUGUAGUCUCUCUCUUAAUUUUGAUAUUAAGCAAAUUGGUCCCUUUAAAAAAUCAAAUCAAUUUCGUAAGCAAGCAACUAAUGCAUUCUAUUAAUUUGAUCAUGAUUUAACAAAUUUAACCCGCAAUAUUUUUGUAAAUCCAUAAAUGUUGAGACUAAAUUUGUUGAUUUUAUUUACAAGUAAGACCAAACUAAAAAAAAUGUAAAUACCAAUGGCUAAAUUUGUUAUUAUACCAAUCAAAACUAUGCAUAAUUGAUAAGGAUUUAGUUACUAAUUGUCUAAAUUGACAAGGAUUUAGUUACUAACAUUAAAUUGUUCCUUUUUUUUUAGGGAGACUUAUUUACUCAAAUUCAAAAUUGAAAGCGAUUGGAGAGAUUUUUUUACCAUCAAAUUAAUAAUCUUGGUAACAUUUUUUUUAAAAUGUUAAAAUUUCCAUUCCUCGAAAUUAACAAUAAAUAAGAAUAGGCUUUUCAAAAUUCAUAUUUUUUUUUAAAUACAGAAUUUUCAAUGUUGAAAUCAUGGAUUUGGCUAUGGAAACCCCUAUUAUUUCCUUAAUAAUAAUUUGUUAAAAUAUGUUUAUAAAUAUAAUUUUAAUAUAAAAUAUUUUCAUUCACCCGUGUGUGAUAAAAUCUAAUAGAUAUAGAAUUGAUUUCUCUAUUUUAUUUAAAUACAAGUAUUGCAUAGAAUUGACUAGAAAAGUAUAAAGGAAAGCAAGAGUUAGAUAUGAGAAGUUUCUAUUUCAAUUUAUCAAUUCAUAUUAGUUGAUAAAAUUAUAAAUUGGAAGGAUAUAUUUCAUUACACAAAUAAAUAUAAUUCUAAAGAUUAAAAUUAAUUUAUUUAAAUUUUAAAAAAAAAUUAAAACUAAAAACUACCCAAUAGUAAUUGUUGAGUUUUUAUCUCUACUAAAUUUGGUUAAUGGAGUUGAGAGUGACACCAUGACUCUAUGUCAUAUAUAGAUUAUAUAUAUAUAAUGUGUUUGACUAAGUUGGUGUCACGAGUCAGUUAGGCACUAACUCAACCGUAAAAUAAUUAAAAUAUCCUUACUCUAAAAAGUAAUUAAUAUUAUUUUAAUAUUAAUAUAAGGGUAUUUUCAACUUUUCAUACUUUUAUUUAAUAUUCAAAUAAAACAACUCAAAGAUAGUAUUUAAGAAUCAAACACAAAACUAACAAAUUCUAUGAAAAAUUCUUGCCACUUCCAUAAUAUAAUGUGUUGAAAUAUUUUUAUAAAUAUUUUUAAUAUAAAAUAUUUCCGUUUGUGAUAAAAUCUAAUAGAUAUAGAUAAUAUAGAAUUGGUUUUUCGAUUUUAUUUAAUAAAAUGAACUUUAUAGCUUUUAUUUCAUUUUGUUUGUUUUAUUUUUGUCAAAUCAUUUAAGUUAAUAAAAUUAUGAGCGAGAAAAACUAGAUUCAAUUAAAAAAAAAUUGAAAAAAAUUAAAUUUUAAGUUAAUUGAAUUGAUUUGAAUUUUACAAUUCAAUUUUGCUUUAAAAAAUUAAAUUUUAAGUUAAUUGAAUAGAUUGGUGUAAAUACCUCUUUAAUCCCUAUCAAUUUUCAAAAUGAGCAAAUUAGUUUCUUUCAACAAACAAAAAGAAUUAAAAUAAUUUUCAAAAAUUUAAAAUAUUUAUAAAAAUUCUAAUUUUUUAAUGAUUUUAAAAAAAUUCUAAAAUAAUAAUUUUGAGACCUAAAUAAGUUAUUAAUGAUUGAAGUUUAUUUAUUUUGCUUUUUUCAAAUUUAAGUGGUUUAACAUUUAAUUAGUUAUACGGUAACAAUAUUUUAAUUUGACAUGUUUAAUUUUUUAAUUUAACUCUAAUAAUUUUAUUCGAUUCUAAUUUUAUUUCAAUUAAUUCAAUUCGAAAAAAUUUCAAAUCGAAUUAGGAUGAUAAAAUAGGGGUGUCAACUCGAUUAAUUUAAAAUUUUUCGUCUCGAUUUGAUCCAACAUUCAUCCCUAAAUAAAAUCAUAUACAUGUGUGUAAUGUGAUAUAAUUAUAAAUAAAAAAAAGACAGAUACUUAGUUAUAAUAAUGAUGGAAACAUAUCCACUUACCACUUCAAUAAGAAGUUGUAACUCCAAGAAUUUGAUCGUCAAAAUAAAAAAUCCAAACACUCUUUUACCUCUGAUUUGCUUCAAGAAGAACAUAAAAAGAUGAGAUGAGAUGAGAUGAGAUCAAAUAUAAAACAAAUACAUAAACACAAAUAUAAAGAGAUUUACCUCACUUGGGUACUUCAAAAUCAAACUACACUCAGUGUUGAGAAGAUUCUUACUACUUCAGUACAAUCCAAAGGGAUUUGAAGGUUGGGGUUUUUUUUUUUUUUUGAGCAAAAGAGCUUGAAGAUUGAAGUAAAAUCAGGAGAAACCUUCACAAAGAAAUUGAAGUUGAUCUACCUUGAAAAUUCAACAAACCGGGUUUUCUUGAUUUAGUAGCCAAAGGAUUUGUGUCAUGAGAUUUCUGCGAUAUUGGGAUCUAAAUUAAUGACUGAUUGGUUUGCGAAAAAAACCAACAAGGCAUGUCAGUCGACUUAGGAAAAGGUGUGUCUUUGGGUUAUCUUUUUACUCGGCUUUCCACUUUUUUCACUUUGCCCUAAGGCAGACUUAAUAAUUAGCACCAUCUGAAAAGAGUUAAUUCCAUCAAGCAUCCCUCAACUAUUACCUUCAUUUUAAAUUGGUCCCUAAACUUCAGAUUAUUCUAAUUACAUCCUCAAUUUAUCAAUACUAUAUCAAUCGGGUCCUUUUGUUAUUACAAUAGUUAAAUGACACAUCAAAUCUUAUGCAGAUAAAUUUAAAAUGAAAAUUUUAAAGAAAUAAAAUCGUGUUGCAUAACUUUCAAAAUUAAAAACAAAAAUUAAGUAAAACUGAAAUUAAAAAAAACGAACGACAACUAUAAUAUUCAUUUUUAAAAUUUUUAUUUUAAAUUAUGUCACAUUAGACGAACACACCUCAGUUCAAAAAUUCCAACGUUGAAAUUAUAGAUUUGGACAUCUUCAAUAAAAUUGAGCUUUAAUAAAAGUUCAAAAUAUGUUAACUAUUAUUAUUUAGUUAUUAGUUAAUAUAUAUAAUAUAAAAUUAAUGCAUCACUUUUAAAAAUUCAAGUUACAGAAGAUUGAAAAUUGAGAAGCUUGCAGAGAUCGACAAGUGACUUUAUGACUGGUAAAGUCAAAAAAAAAUUUAGAAGAUUAAAAUUAAAUUAUAAUUUUUACAAUAAUAAAAAUAUGAUUUUAUCAUUUAAAUAAUUUAUAUUUUUAUAAAUUUUGAAAGAUUAAAUUGAAAUUUUUAUUAUUUUAAAAAUAAUAAAAUAUAUUUUUAUUUUUAUUAAUUUAAAAUUUUAAAAAUUUUAAAACAGCUAUAUUUAAAAUUUUUACUAUAUUUUUACUAGUUUAAGGAGAUUGCUGAGGUCCAAUCCAACAUUGGGUUAGUGGGGUGGGGGCAAUUGUUUUGCAAAGAUAAUGGCUAUCGGUGGGAUGGAAAGUUCACCUGUAUUUAAACUAUUCCCUCCGAAUUCACCUUUGCACAAAAUGUAAAUUAGCUUAAAAUUUAAAAUUAAUUUUAUUUUAAUAUUAAAAUUAAGGACUUUCAUAAGUUAAAAUUAUAAAAUAAGAGUUUAUUUAAUUACAAAAAUAAUUUAAAGACUUAUUUAAAUAAAGUAUAAUAAUAUAAGAGUAGUUGGAAUUGAUGUAGUAAGAAGGAAAUGACAUUCAAUUGAAUGCUUAUUCCAGAAUAUGUUGCUACCACUUUUGUACUGCUUUUAAUAAAGUUGAUAUUUAUUUCUAGACAAAGCAUAUAUUAUUCAUGUGCUGAAGGGUAAGACAUAUGCUGAAUAAAUUUCAGAUUAAUUACCUGAGUUCAUCUAUGCUUCACUUUGUUCUUUUCUUACAGCUCAAUAAAUUUGUCUUCUCUCACAAGAAAAAGAAAAAGUAGGUGGUAUGUUUUGAAUUAACUGCUUAAAUAGAACUGACUUUAUUUACUGCUCCAUUCAUUCUUCCUAUUCAGAAAUAUGUUUAAAUAUGUUUCAACCAAUGUAUGUCACUGCCAAUUGGCCAUGUAGUUUCUUGGGCUGUUGCAGAUUCCUCCACUAUAAUUUCAUCAACUAAUUGGCAUGGCUGCAAAACAAAUUAAACCUUGAUUUAUUACUGUUUGCUUCGGAUGAUUGAUGAUGAAGAAAGCAAAGAAACCUUCCCAAAACUGAAAAUAUUGUCAGCCAACAGAAAUCAAUUUUGUUUUAAAGCUUAUCAUUGAGUUUGGAAGAGUAGUGUACCUGUGUUUUGGCAUGCACUGAUGUAUUUGAAUCAAAACUAGAUCUUGUGGUUAUGUUGGGACAAUCUACUACUCGCAAAAUCAACAAUGAUUGGAAAACAAAAUGAUAACCUACAAGGCCGAAGCUCACGAGGUUUGGUAGCCCAUCAAGCUGUAAGUCGGUUAAUCGAGGUAGGUGUAUCACUUUCUCUUCCUCCUCACUCACAUUUGGCUCAUCUCCUUCAAACACCUGUUCUAAUUUGGAAACCUUUCCAAGGAUUAUAUUUUCUAGUUUUUGAAGGCCGCCAUGAGCAAGAGUAAUUGGGAAGAGACAUUUCAAAUUUUCACAGUUCCUGAUUGUAAUCCAAAUCACAUUAGGAAAGCAAACAGCUUGGAGAUGAUGUUGUGAUGAAUUUUGAUCCUUCUCGAUUAUUUGCUCCAAUUCCUUACAGUCAGAUAUAUCCAACCUCCACAAUUGUGGCAAAUUUCGAGCCAUGGUAAGUGGGAAGAUGUAUCUUAACAUUUUGCAAUCUUUGACAUCCAAUUCAGUGAGAUUUUGAUAGUUUCCAACUUGGAUGGGACCACUUCAUAUCACUCGCAAUUCAAUUAGUCUAGAUAAGUUUAAGAUCUUCAGACUUGAAAGAUUAUAUCCAAAAUAUUCAAACAGCUCUUCAAAAUUGGAAAUUGUUAAAUAUUCCAUACUAGUUGAUGUUCCUCCUCUCAUUUCAGGGACUAUCACGUUGCUUAUUUGCUUCUUUUCUGUCAUCUCCGAGAACUCCAAUACCUAUCAACAUAUCAUCAAUCAUCAAUUUCAAAGUGUUUAUAUAUUUUUUAAACCAAUAUUCUAAAAUGAAAACUAUCUUUUUAAGAGUUUUACAAGCAUUUACUUAUUUUAGACUACAAAUUAUGAAAAAGGUGAAAAAUUCAAUAAAUAAUAUAUAUAUAUAUAUAUAUAUAUAUAAGAAGGUCUUACUUGUAUAUUAGUUGAAAUAAUAAAAGGUGUCAAUUAAGUACAACCCAUCACUUUUAACUUGUGCAAAGAUGGGGAUGCGAGCACAAUAUCAUUUCUAUUCUCUCCUUUCAAUUGAGGAAAAUUAACCAACUCAACUUCAUUCGAUAGUGACAGACCUUGAGCCAUUAAGAUUGACACUUCUGGUCCUUGGAUUAUUUCUUGCAAUUGGGAACACCUCUCUGUCUUUAGAGUUUGCAAUUGUCCAAGACUAUUUCAAAUUAUUGCAGCCUGUAACUUCUACUUCCCUUAGGCAUUGAAAGCUUAUAUGUUUGAAACUUGUGGGUCUUGGAUUAUUUCUUUCAAUCCAAAGCACCUCUCCAUCUUCAGAGUUUGUAAUUGCCCAAGGUUGUUAGAAGCAGCUAUUGGAAAGAGAUAUUUCAAAUUAUUGCAUUCUGUGACUUGUACUUCCCUUAAGCAUUGAAAGCUUAUGAUUGAUAUUUGACUGUCUUGGAUUAUUUCUUCCAAUCCAGAGCACCUCUCUAUCUUUAGCGUUUGUAAAUUGGGCGCAUUUAGAAUUCUAGGGUCGCCAUGAGCAACAGUAAUUGGAAAGAGAGAUUUCAAGCUUUCACAUUCCAAGAUAACAAUUACAGUGAGAUUUGGGAAGCAAACAGGUUGGGGAUGAUGUGAUGACGUUUGAUUCUGCUCCAGUUCCUCAUAUUUACAUGUAUUGCUCAAUUGCUUAUAAGUCAUCCUCCCAAGCACCAAUUCCUGUAAACAUAUCAUCAAUUUUCAAUUUCAAAUGUUCAAAGAUGUUAACAACUUAUCAUUUUAUUAAUUAAUUUCUUUAUAUAAAUUUUAUUUUAACAAAAUUUUGCCUUAAAUCAAGAUAUAUAUACUCCAAAAAUAUGGUAAAAAUAAGACAUAAAGAAUAUCACAUAAUCUAAACAUAUAUAAAUUAUUUGACAGGUUUAACAACUCAAUUGGGAAUUUAUUUAAAAUUAUUUUUUUAUAAAUCAAUUAAUAAUAUUAUCACCUUAUUUAUGUCUUUAAUUUUUAAUAUAUAUUUAGAAAAAACCACCUAUGUAAAAAGCUACCUUUUUUAAAAAAAUUAAAUUAAAUAAAACUACCCAUAAUUAUUUUUCACUCUUAAAUAAGAAAAACUUAAAUAUAAUUUUUUAUAGUUUAUUUAAUAUUUGAUAAAGAAUUUGCAACAUAUCUAAGACAUAAAGUUUGCUUAAUAUUUUUUUAUUGAAAUUUUUUUUAUCUCAUUAAAUAGUACUAUACUAAACUAAGUUGCUUAAAAGAUUAUGUAGAUUAGUUUCAGAACAAAAUUAUAAAAUAAAAUUUAUCAUUUAAACAACUAUACAAUGGUUUGUUGAUUUCAGACAACGAAUUAUUAAAGGAAAAAAAAGAAAUAAUUUAAUAAAUAAAUGAUAUAUAACAAAAAUAAAUCUUACUUAUAUCUCAGUAAUAAUAAAAAGUGUCAAUUGAAGACAAUUGUUCACUUCUAACUUCCGCAAAGACAAUUAUGUUAACAUACUGUAGUUCACACCCCUUCCUCAAUUGAGGCAAAUCAAUCAAUAAAACUUGAAAUGAAAAGCACAAUCAAAUUUCUCAAUCUUUCACAUAGGACAAUAAGGAAAAGAGAUGUUAAGUUAUCGCAAUGAGAUACACAUACCUCCCCUAGACUUUGGAGUAGACAUAUGUAUGGCACUUGUAGGUCUUGGAUUACAUCUUCCAAUUGCGAACAACUCUUUAUUUUCAAAGUUUGCAAUUGCCCAAGGGUAUUAGUAGCAGAUAGUGGGAAGAGAUAUUUUAAAUUAUCACAUUUUUCAACCUUUACUUCCCUUAAACUUUGGAGGGUUAUGUAUGGCACUUGCGGGUCUUGGAUUAUGUUUUCCAAUUGAGAGCAACUCUUUAUCUUCAAAGUAUGCAAUUGUCCAAGACAAUUAGCAACAGAUAGUAGAAAGAGAUACUUUAAAUUAUCGCAUUUUUUAACAUUUACUUCCCAUAAACUUCGGAGGCUUACGUAUGGCACUUGUAGACCUAGGAUUAUGUCUUCCAAUUGCGAGCAACUCUUUAUCUCCAAGUAUGCUGUCUAAGACCAUUAUCAAUAGACAGACGAAAAAGAUACUUUAAAUUAUCACAUUUUUCAACUUUUACUUCCUUUAAACUUUGGAGUCUCAUGUUCGGCAUUUAAACAUGUAAAUAUUAAGACUAUUUUUUAUUUUAUUUUUUAGAAUCAAGACCAAACUAACAAAAUUACAAUUUAAUCAUAGAUAUUUUCAAAAUUUUUUGUUGAAGAUAUAUUUUACUAAUUCAUAGAUAUACAAACUAAAAAUAUAGUCCCGCCUGAAAAUCAGUAAAUCUUGAUUAAUAUAUUUUAUUAAUUCAUAUAUCUUCAAAAAUCAUGGAUUUCAAUUUAAUCAUAGAUAUCUUCAUCUAUUCUUUGGUUGUGGCCCAAGUAAAUGGAAAGUAUACCCACUUACCCCUUCAAAAUGAAGUAAUGAUUCCAAGAAUUUGAGUGUAGAUAAGAAAAUUAUAUAUAAAAAUCACAAUUAAACUUGGCGGUUGGUUUGCCAAUGGCCCCAUGCAUUUGUUUUGCAAUUAAAGACUUGACACGACAAGAGACGAGACGACCGAGCAAAGAGUGAAAGUCUUUGGGUCAGCUUUCACUUUUUCACCGUUACAAAAUAAUACAUCUAUGUUUUUCAUAUUUGUUUCAUUUGAAGUGUCUUUCAAGAAAAUAUGUUUCUUUUGUUCUCAUUUUUCAUUUGCUAUCAGAAAUGAAGAUGAGUUUUCUUUAUUCAAAGUGAAUUUUCUAUUAUUUUACAAAUUCUAGAGAUAAAUUUCCAAUGUUUAUGUUAUAUAACAAGUUUUUCUCCUUCAAAAUUAAAAAUGAAUAAGAAUAUGCUUUUAUGAAAUUUCAUACCAAAUCACGGAUUUGAGGUUCAAAGGAAAUAUGAAGAACUUCAGCAGCAACUUAAAGCAGAGGCGGCAGUGAGGGAAGCAGAUGCCGCAGCGAGAGAAGCAGCGAUAGAAGCAGAGGUUCAAAAGAAAUAUGAAGAACUACAGCUACGACUUCAAAAAGAUGCGGCAUCGAGAGAAGCAGAGCAGAGCAAAAAGUACGACGAACUUCAACAGCAGCUUCAGAUUAUGAUGAAGAUGUUUCAGCAGUCGCAACUUCCGCCGUCAUAGUGUAUGUUGCAUAAAUACUUUUAACGCUUUUGUAAAGAAAAGUAUGAAUUCACUUUUAUUUAUCAAUUAAUAUUAUUUUAGUCAUUUAAUUUGAAAUAUUAUAUAAAUUUAUUGUUUUUGGUUAGUUUAGAUCUGGUUGCUUUUGAUUUGUUGUUGCAGGAGGGCUGAAAAAAAAUUAUUUUAAAAAAUCCCAAAAUUAGUGGCAUUUUUUAAAAAAGUGCCGCUAAAAGUCAUAUCAAAAUAGUGGCGUUUGUGAAAUAAGCGCUGCUAAAGAACACUACUUUUAGCGGCGUUUUUAAACAAGCGCCGCUAUAGAACAUUACUUUUAGAGGCGUUUUCUUCCAAAGCGCCGCUAAAGAAUGUGAUCUUUAGCGGCGUUUUCUUCCAAAGCGCCUCUAAAGAACAUGAUCUUUAGCGGCGUUUUUUUUCUAAGCGCCGCUAAAGAACAUGAUCUUUAGCGGCGCUUUUUUCUAAGCGACGCUAAAGAGCAUGAUCUUUAGCGGUAUUUUUUUAUGUAAGCGCCGCAAAAGUUAGCGACGUUGUCGUUAGCGGCAUUUUUUGUGGCGCUUCUUCAAGCACCGGAAAUGGAGUUAGUGGCGUUAAAAAGCGCCGCUAAAGACCUAAAAAAUGCCGCUAAAAACCUAUUCUGCUGUAGUGUAGGAGGAAUCCAGCUCAUCAAUAAAGAUCAUAUAAAUUGAAGAAACUUAUUUAGAAGAUUGGAUCGGGUUGGAUUGGAUCGCUUAUAUCAAAUCCUAUGGAUAAAGGAAGUUGGAUCGGAUCGAAAAAGUGAAGAGUUAGCUGCCAACCGUCAAUGUUUAUUGUGGUUGUUAAUAUUAUAUUGUAUUUAGCUAUUUUAAUUGUUGUUUAGUAAGGAUUGUGAUAGAUUUUCAUUAUGUUAGCAAGUCUUGAAAUCUCUAUGUAAUUAAGAGAGUUGUAUAGGUUGAUGCACAAAUUAUUAAGAGCAUUUAUAUGUUCAAGUAAGGAACGUUAUUUUGCAAGAGUGCAUUUGUGAUUGUAAAAUUCUGUAUUGUGGUUUUGCAAACUAAGUUAUCUGAGGGAGAAUUUAGUGGUGAGUGAUCUAGUCUUCGAAGGUAUAAGAGUGAGAAAUCAUCAUUGAGGUGUGAUACAUUUAGGUUCACUGGUUGUAAUUGUUUAAAUAUAGUGAUUCUUCUCACUGAGCAAGACUUCACAAAUGUAUGGAAACUGAACUACAUAAAUAAACAUUAAGGUUUCCUAUUUUGUUUUUGCUUAUCAUAGUGCUUGCAGAAGUACACACUUUUGUAGGCACUAAUGCUCAUACUUUGCUUGUUGCUUAGCAACUGUUUUAGAUUAACAAAAAAUCAUUUAAAUGAAUUAAAUUUUAUUAAUGGAGUUUGAAAAAGAAUAUUUUUUGGUAUAUUUUGUAUUUUUUUUUUACUAAAAGAAUGGGAUCAAAGUCAAUUUCACAAGUCUUAGUGAGAUUAGUUUGAAAGAAGUUCUUCAACAGCAUGGAACUAGUCUUGAAGGUAUUACUAAUUUGGUCCUAUUUUGUUUUAAAUUUGUUAUUGGAUUCUAUUGAAUAAUCUUUUUCUUUUUUAUGUCUCAAUAUCGAACAAUUUUGAGCUUUACUGCCAUAUAAUAUUAAGUUUUCUUGUAUGAACUUUAGUUUCUAAUCACAUUUAAACUUUGUGCAAAAUGAAUAUUAUAUUAAGAGAUUGAAAUUGAUGUAUUUUUUUAUCCAUUUUCAUGAUUUAUGGCAAUGUUGAAUAUUUUGUUGUUGCAGAAAUCAUAAUUUUUAUAUAGAAUUUUCUAUUUUUUAAAAUAAUAUUGAGUUUUUAAAAUUAAUUUUAUAUAGAAUUAGGGUUAAAUGGAGAGAAAGUAUAAAAGCUAAGGGUUAAAAUUGUCAUUAUACUAACUAAAAAAGUGUGGUUGUUAGCUAUUUAAUAGUUGGGUGAAAAAAACAACUUCAAAAACAUUAGUGGCUAAAUUGUAACUCUUUUAAUUAAAUGACACAUAAUUGAGGGAUUAAUAGUGUAUUUUACCCUUAUCUUUUUUAAACAUAUGGAUUAAUUCACAUUUAUUUGGAAUGUGUUAUUAAUUCACAUAUGGAUUUAACUAGUGGUAGAGCUAGAAAAUAUUUUGGGGGCCAAAAUUAAAUUGUAUAUUUUUAUGAUAGCAAGAAUGUAAUUUCACCAUUUUAAUAGUCCAUAUCUUUAUAAUUUUUAAAGGAUUAAAUCAAAUUUUUUUAUCAUUUUUGGGAUUAAAGUGUAAUUUUACUAUUAUUAAUUUUAAAUUUAAUAAAUUAUAAAGGACCUAAGUGAAAAUUUUCCCAUUAAUCAACACCCUUGGCGUGUCGGAUUUUUUUUAUAUGGUUGAAAUAUCAUCACAUGUAUUUAUGUUUGAAUACACAUCACAAAACCUUUAGUUGUUUCGGCAUGACCAACUGGAAAAAAAAUGGAGAAACAUGAAGGUAGCUUAGAAGAAUCCAAAAGCAAUAAACGAAAGCUAGACAAAAGGUUGAAAUCAUCAUUAACCAAGCCUUUACUUUUUCUAACGCCGGGAAGAGUUUAUAUUCGUUGAGAAAAUCGGCAAAGACUUUGUUAUCUUUUGGAAGGACUUGUAAAGAAACAAUAUUUUAUAUUUACGUCUGUAAUGUUUUUCAUAUUAACAUUAUUGAUGUUUCUAAAUUUACCUUCUGUAAUGUUAGAACCAGUUGAGAGUCGUCAGAUUCUGAAGAGGAAUCAAAUUUUAGUCAUCAGCAUAGGAUGGAUGUUGCGGAAAGGAUCGAUUCGAGAACUCCGAUAUGACUACAAGUAAAUUGACCGAAACGAAAAAUAAAGUGAACACAAGGAUUUACGUGGUUCGGCUUUAAUGCCUACGUCCACGGGCAGAGGCGAAAAGAAAUUUCACUAUAACAAGAUGAAGAUUACAAGUGUUUUACACUCAAGACACAACCCGAGAACCUCACAACUCUCAACCCCUAUAGAAAACCCGAAAGCUAAAAUCCUAGCUUUCAAAGAACAAGCUUUGCUCUCUCUUGGUUUGGGAUGAUCAAUAUGGCUAAUGAACCUCUCUAUUUAUAAGAGAGUUCAAGGACAUAAUUGUCCAAAACUUUGGCAAAGAUUUGUGGUUGAAAAUGGACACCAACAACCAUCCACUAAUCCACUACCACCAACAACCCACUACCAACAACAACAAUCCACUACCAAUUUUAAGCCAUUUCUUAACAAAUCUCCACCUUGGCUUGAAAUUUACCAAGCUGAACAUCAUAGUGAAUUCCUCGAACUGGAUCACCUCUUCCAAACGCCUCUCUGGCGCUAAUCAAUCCCGAAUACCUAUCAAGUCCAAGCAAUGCUUGAACUUAUAUGCAGGGAUCACCUUAGUUAACAUAUCUGCAGGAUUCUUCUCGGUAGCAACCUUGCUGAUAACAAUGUCACCUUGCGUAACAUGUUCCCGAACAAAAUGAUAUCUGACAUCAAUGUGUUUGGUCCGUUCAUGAAACAUCUGAUUUUUAGUCAGAUGUAUGGCACUCUGGCUAUCGCAAAAUACAACAGUGAAAUCCUGUUGUAAACCCAAACUGCUUACUAGACCUUUCAUCCACAAUGCUUCUUUCACUGCUUCUGCUAACGCCAUAUAUUCCGCCUCAGUCGUAGAUAAGGCUACGGUAGACUGUAACACAGCUUUCCAACUAAUGGCUCCUCCAGAAUAAGUGAAAACAUAACCCGUCAGAGAUCUUCUUUUGUCCAGAUCUCCAGCAUAAUCAGAGUCCACAUAGCCCGUGACACUGCUAGUGCAGUCACUCUGAUCAUAUACCAAGCAUAAAUCUGCAGAACCUCUCAAGUACCUGAGAAUCCAUUUCACGGCCUGCCAGUGUUCCUUGCCAGGACAACUCAUGUAUCUGCUGACCACACUAACUGCAUGUGAAAUGUCUGGACGAGUGCAAACCAUUGCAUACAUCACGCUUCCAACUGCACUCGAGUAUGGAAUGUGAGACAUUUGCUGCUUUUCUUCAUCAGAUUGUGGUGACAACUCUGCAGAGAGUUUGAAAUGUGGUGCCAACGGAGUACUCACAGUUUUCGCUUUAUCCAUGCCGAAGCGUUGAAGAACCUUUUCAAUGUAGUUCUUCUGCGACACACGAAGCUUGCCCGCCUUGCGAUCUCUGUGAAUAUCCAUGCCCAAAAUUUUCUUGGCAGCACCCAGAUCCUUCAUCUCGAACUCACCACUCAACUGCGACUUUAACUUGUUGAUUUCCGACAUGUUUUUGGAAGCAAUUAACAUGUCAUCAACAUACAGCAACAAAUAAAUGUGCGAACCAUCUGAGAGCUUCCGAUGAUAGACACAAGCAUCAUAGUCACAUCUUGUGUAACCAUGCUGAAUCAUGAAGCUAUCAAACCGCUUGUACCACUGCCUUGGGGAUUGUUUCAAUCCAUAUAAAGACUUCUUUAAUAGACAGACAUGGUCUUCUUUACCAGGAACUGUAAAACCCUCUGGUUGGCGCAUGUAGAUUGUUUCCUCGAGCUCACCAUGCAAGAACGCUGUUUUUACGUCAAGCUGCUCAAGUUCUAGAUCAGACUUGGCCACCAUGGCAAGUAAUACACGAAUGGAAGAAUGCUUUACGACUGGGGAGAAAACUUCAUUGUAGUCAAUCCCCUCUUUCUGAGUGAAGCCUUUAGCAACCAAUCGUGCCUUGAAUCUAGUUGCUUCAACCCCUAGGAUGCCUUCCUUUUUCUUGAAGACCCAUUUGCAACCAACUAUCUUCUGGUUACUUGGCGGCUUAACCAACUCCCAAGUAUGGUUCUUGUGAAGAGAUUCUAUCUCCUCACUCAUAGCAAUUGCCCACUGUGCCGACUCAUCACACGUGACAGCCUCAUUAUAACUGGAAGGUUCUAUACCAAUGGACUCCGCCACACUGAGCGCGAAAGACACCAGAUUAGCGUAACGCGGAUUUGGUUUGAUUUGUCUCUUCGUUCUUCCAGUGGCAAUGCUAUAUGGUUUUUCUUGAGGUGACUCAUCUUCAUCGGAAUCUUGCACCUCAACUUGAUCAUCCUGGACUGAAGUACCUUCCGUAGGAAUUGGAGCGUCCACCUGACACUCCACCUGCUUCUCAACACCGUGAUCUCCCAUUCUAUCUGACUCCUCCUUUUCCCGGGAAUUUGUGGUGGAUCGAAGCAUGGAUGACUCAUCAAAAGUCACAUCUCUGCUGAUGAUGAACUUGGACGAAACCGGAUCAGGACACCACAACCUGUAUCCUUUCACCCCUUGGCCGUAUCCAAGAAAUAUGCAUUUCUUCGCCCUCGGUUUGAGUUUUCCCUCAUUUACAUGAGCAUACGCAGGGCAGCCAAACACUCUUAAACCAGAGUAAUCAGCAGGAGAACCAGACCAUACUUCCUCAGGAGUCUUCAGCUCAAUAGCUGUUGACGGAGAUCUGUUAACCAAAUAACAAGCAGUAUUAACAGCUUCAGCCCAAAAUUCUUCACCGAGCCCAGCAUUUGAUCGCAUGCAACGAGCUCGCUCCAAGAGAGUUCUAUUCAUGCGUUCUGCAACUCCAUUUUGUUGUGGUGUUCGACGAACAGUGCGGUGUCUCACUAUUCCUUCAUUUUUGCAGAACUCAUUGAAUUCACCUGAGCAAAACUCCAAGCCAUUAUCCGUCCGGAAUCGCUUGAUCUUCUUUCCUGUUUGAUUUUCGAUCAAAGCUUUAAAUUGCUUGAAGUUGAUGAGAACCUCAUACUUGCUCUUCAGAAAAUACACCCAAACCUUUCUCGAGUAAUCAUCGAUAAAGGUAAGCAGAUAUCUGUAACCACCUUUAGAAAUUGUCGGAGAAGGCCCCCAAAGGUCAGAAUGGAAGUAAUCCACUGUGCCUUUUGUCUUGUGAAUCCCAGUGCUGAACUUUACCCGAGUCUGCUUACCGAAGACGCAGUGCUCACAGAAAUUCAACUUUCCUGUACACUGCCCAGACAAUAAUCCUCGUUUGCUUAGCACCGAUAAGCCUCUCUCGCUCAUAUGCCCGAGCCGCAUAUGCCAUAACUUCGUGGUGUCAGAAUCUAGAUCAUCUGAUGAUGACACUCCCGCAACACCUGUAACCGAGGAACCAUCGAGGAAGUAAAGGCCCCGCUCCAAAUUACCACGUAUCACAGUCAAAGCACCCGAGAAUACCUUGAGAACUCCACCUUCAGCAGAGUACCGAAAGCCUUUCUUGUCCAACGUACUCAAAGAGAUCAAAUUUUUCUUCAUUUCUGGAAUGUGCCGAACAUCAGUUAGAGUUCUAACAAUACCGUCAAACAUCUUUAUACGAACUGUGCCAAUCCCCAUGACUUGACAUGCGUGGUCAUUUCCCAUUAGUACUGAACCAGAAUGCUUCUCGUAUGUUGAGAAUGCAUCUUUCGAAGUACUUAUAUGAAAUGUAGCUCCCGUAUCAAGAAUCCAUCUCCCACCAGCGUAAGAGUCGGAUACUGCAAGAACGAUCUCGGCAUCACUUGAAGAAUCUGCAUCAGCUACAUUCGCACGAUCAUUUUGUUGCUCCUGUGAUUCUGAUUUCUCCUUCCUUUUCGGACAAUCUACCUUCAUGUGCCCGUACUUCUUACAGUAGUAGCACUGUAUUCUCUUCUUGGACUGCGAUCUAGGAUGGCUUUUACUUGAACUUCCACCCUUUGCCUUGGAUCUUCCUCGAGCAACCAAGCCUUCGCCUUCAUUGUUUUCGACCACCUUACCAGUGAUUUUCUUCCUCAACUCACUGGAACUUAAGGCAUUUUUCACCUCCUCUAGAGUCAGGUCAUCACGACCGUACAUCAUUGUAUCAACAAAAUUCUCAUACGAGGGAGGCAAAGAACACAAAACAAUUAUUGCUUGGUCCUCAUCAUCGAUUUUGUUAUCGAUAUUAUUCAAAUCCAUGAUAAUGGAAUUGAAUUUAUCCAGGUGCUGGGAAACAGGUGUACCUUCCUCCAUCUUCAGGGCAUAGAGUCUUUGCUUGAGGUAGAGCCGGUUCGUCAAUGACUUCGUCAUGUACUUGCUCUCUAACCGGAGCCACAAACCGGACGCGGUUUUCUCAUCCGCUACUUCUCGUAGCACUUCAUCUCCUAGACAUAGCAGAAUAGCACUAUGUGCUCUUUCUAGCAUGUCAUCCUUUUGCUCUUCCGAAAGCGUGCUUGGUAAUUUAUCUUUACCAGACAAUGCUUUUAGCAAUCCUUGUUGAACCAGCACUGCCCGCAUCUUGAUGCGCCAUAAACUGAAACUAUUUUUCCCGGUAAAUUUCUCGACAUCAUACUUAGUCGAUGAAACACUUGUAGCCAUAAUUUGGAACCUUUGAAUGAAUGAUAAUAUUUUCUUCCUGAUGUGAAAGAUCAGACAAAGCUGCAGUCACAGGGCAAUUCAGAAAAUAUUAUCACUCCUUCAACUACGCUCUGAUACCAAUUUGUUGCGGAAAGGAUCGAUUCGAGAACUCCGAUAUGACUACAAGUAAAUUGACCGAAACGAAAAAUAAAGUGAACACAAGGAUUUACGUGGUUCGGCUUUAAUGCCUACGUCCACGGGCAGAGGCGAAAAGAAAUUUCACUAUAACAAGAUGAAGAUUACAAGUGUUUUACACUCAAGACACAACCCGAGAACCUCACAACUCUCAACCCCUAUAGAAAACCCGAAAGCUAAAAUCCUAGCUUUCAAAGAACAAGCUUUGCUCUCUCUUGGUUUGGGAUGAUCAAUAUGGCUAAUGAACCUCUCUAUUUAUAAGAGAGUUCAAGGACAUAAUUGUCCAAAACUUUGGCAAAGAUUUGUGGUUGAAAAUGGACACCAACAACCAUCCACUAAUCCACUACCACCAACAACCCACUACCAACAACAACAAUCCACUACCAAUUUUAAGCCAUUUCUUAACAAUGGAAGAUGAGAAGUUGCUGUCGGCGGUGUUGGGAGAGCAAAGGAGAAGGUAAGAAGGCUGCAACUCAAGAGGAUGAAGGGAAAUCAGAAAUUGGUAGAUGACAGAAUUGUGAAUAAGACUCUCAGAUUCUGGGUCCAACUUAUGCAAUAAUUCUAUGAUCUGGGAAGCGUGUAGAGAUCGACAAAUGUGUUUGCGGUGAUUGCUGCCGUCCUCUCCAACAAGGAGCCAGUUGUUUUGCAGACACAAUGGCUAUGGAUGGGAUGGAAAGUCUAUGGUUAAAUCCCCUUAAAUUCACGUCAGUAUAAAAUAACAUGUAAAUUAAUUGCAAAAAAAAAUUUAAAAACUUGUUUAAACAAAGUGUAAUAAUUUGACGGAAUUUUUAAUAUAUUAGCCAAAGAAAUUCAUCUAAGAAAUGAGAUUCAAUUGAAGUUAACAAUGAAGAAUGCUUAAGAAAUGAGAUUCAAUUGAAGUUAAGAAUGAAGAAUGCUUUCAAUGUGCCCAACAUUAGACCAAGACAAAUAAUUGUAAGUUUUGUCAAAAAUCUUAGUUUUCUUUUUUAAUCUUUGAUUAAUGAGCAGAAUUCACAUUCUUUGUUUUUUCUUAUAGCUCAAUAAAUCUUUCUUCGCUCACAAGAAAAACAAAAAGUAAGUGGUACAUAAUAACGAAUAAAUGGCAUUCAAUUUAAACAUUCACAAUGAUUAAUCUUCAAUUGAAAAAUCACUAUCUUUAAUUCAACAUGUCUUUCAUCUUCCACCAUUUUAUAUCACUACCAAUUGGCCAUGCAGUUUCUUGAGCUGUAGCAGGUUCUUCCACUAUAAUUUCAUCAACUGAUUGGCUUGCCUGCAAAGCAAAUUAAACCUUCACUUGUUACUGUUUGCUUUUGAUGAUUGAUGAUGAAGAAAGCAAAGCCAGUUUUCCAAAAUUGGACAAAGGAUGACAUAUUAAGAACAAGAACUGUGAAUUGAAAAUAAUAAUGCAACAAUGAUAUCUAGAAAGAAAUAUUGACAGCCACUUGAUGCAAACCGAUUACAGUUGAUGCAAUUUCAUUUAGUCAUUUAAAGCAUAUAAAAAAAAAAGAAGAAUGAAUUUCUCUCAGGCAGCCAAAAUAAAAAUAUUGCAUUAAUGCAUAGAAAUUAAAGCUUAGUAUUGGGAGAAUACAUAGAGAAAAUAAUUGAAUGGAUGAAUUUCUGUUUUAAAGCUUAUUGUUGAGUUUGGAAGAGUAGUGUACCUGUGUUUUGGCAUGCACUGAUUCCUCUGAAUCAACACUAAAUCUUGUGGUUAUGUUGGGACAACCUUUUACUUUUAAAUCCGUCGAAGAUGGGAAAACAAAAUGAUAACCCACAGGGCCGAAGCUUACGAGGUUUGGUAGGUAUAAUAUUAUGUAUUGUGCAAUUUUAGCCUUGAAAAGCAAACGCACAGCAUGCAUCCUUUGGAGGGGCAAUGAGUUUAUCUUGGUGAGAUUAAAAUCAAUAGUGAGAUAUUUAUUUAAAUAUAAAUGUUGUGGUGAGAAGAGAUUAAAAUAAAAAAUAAUCAUUAUAGAUAUUAAUUUAUAAUGUAUUUAUAAUACAAUAAAUAAUUAAAGUUAUAUUUAUUUUUGACCAAUCAAAACACUCAUUCUUUUGCCUUCUCCUUCUUUAAAACAGCUCUAGUGAAAAAUCACAAUUUUAGUGCAAUAGAAUGCCUCAACUGAAUCAAAUCACAGACGAGAAAUCUAACCUCAUCGGAGCUAAAUGGGAUCUAAAGGGAUCCUUAAUUAAAAGCAUAUUGCAGUCAAACCACGAGGUGUGGCAUGUUGAUUACACACCUCGUCCCUUAAUCAUGUGGUUGAGGAGUUUAAUCUCCACUCAUGGAAAAAGAACACAUUUCAUGGUUAACCGUUUCAUCUUUUCGGAGAACACCCGCUGCAGGGGGAUUAAUCACUUUUAUUGAUGUUGGAAUACCUCGGUUUAAAAAAAAAAACAUAAUGAUUUAUUUAACUUGCAUUAUUUGUCAAAUUAUCCCAAAAUGAAUGGAAAAAUUAACUUUUGUUAAAUUUACUGACGUGGCAUCAUGUGUAUGUUAUGUUAGCAAUUUAAUUUUUAAAAAUUAAAAAAUAUUUUUAUAAUUUUUUAUAUAAUUAUUAAUACUUUUAGUAGCUUUUUAUUUUAAAAAUAAAAUUUAUAAUUUUUAUUAAUUUUUAAAAAUUUUAAAAAUUAUUUAUUUAUUUAUGUGGCAUACACGUAGCAAUCAUCAUUUUAAAAUUUUUAAAUAUUUAAUAAUAUUUUAAAUGAUGGUUUUUUAAAGGAAAUGAUAGUUUUCAAAAUUGUCAUUUUAAUUUAUAAUUUAUAAAUAUAUUUUUAAAAUAUAACCAUGAAUAUGUUCUUAAAGUAAUGCAUCUUGAAAAGUGGACAAAAAUAGGAGUUUUGAUUAAUUUCCUUAUUUUUGCAUGAAUAAAAAGUCCUACGGUAUAUUUAUGAAAAAAGAGUGAGUGGUUGAGAUUAUAUCUAAUUAUGGGUUAGUUCGAUAUAAAAUUUUAGAUUUAUUUUUUUAUUCAGUUUUAAAAUUCUUUUUAAGUCCCUCUCAGACUAAAAAUAUUUAACUCGAGUCCAAUCCACCAGUAUUAAUUUUUUUAGAUUAAUUUUUAUAUAAAAAGUUUUAAAAAUAUAGUACAUCAAAUCCAUUAAAAACAUUAAAAUAAAUAUUUCCUAACAAAUUAAAAAUACAUUUAAAAAAGGCUUUAUACUUAAAUAACGAAAUGUUAUCUGUAAAUUAAUUUUUCAUACCAAAUAUUUCAACUAAUUUAAAUUCUUAAAAAAUUAUUGAUUGAUUCUUCGUUCAAUUGACAUGGGUAUUGUUAUGAGGACAUGGUUUCAAGUGUGUUGAAGCGCAUUAUCCUCCUGUUUAUAAAUUGGAAAAAGGCUAUAAAUAAUUUUAGACAUUACGUAAAAAAAAAAGAACAAAUAUAAAUUAAAAUUGUUAAAAGAAGUUCUUAAAAAAUUGAAACUUUCCACCAUAUCAAUCCACUCCAAAACUUGUAUCUUAACAUCUAUAGUCUGAUCUCUUAUUAUAAAAUUACAGCCUCGUUCUUAUCAAAAAUAAAAUCUUCAAAAAGAAUGUACCUGUGGAAGAAAAAAUUAAAAUGUUUAAAACAUUGUUGUACUGCAAUUGGUGGGUCAAACUGAGGCUCUGCGGCUGUUCAUACCAUGCCAAACUUCAUAUUUCCACCACUUAUUUUAAAAAGAAGGUUUAAUUUUGUCUUCAGUCCCUCUACUCUUCAAACUCUUAAAAUUUAGUACAUUUACUUUUAUUUUUAGAAAUUCAUUUUUUUCACUUGUUUAAUUUGAAAUUUUAAAUUGAAUUGAUAAAUUUUUAUUAAAUUUAAAUAUGUUUCAUUUGAAUAUUUAAAAGUGGAAAUUCAAUUGAUGACACAUAUUUAAAUUUAAUAAUAUAUAGUUAACAUCGUUAUCAAUUAAUUUUUAACUUUUAAAUCAAAUAAAUUUCUAAAAUAAAGUCGCGAAAAUGAGGAAAAAGAUUUGAAACCACAAUAUAUAUAUAUAUAAACCUAUAUAUUAAGGUGGAAUCUGGGAUGUAUUAGAUUGAAGUGGAAGUACACACAAAUUGCAUGUGCAAAAGCAUGGUCGGUUUAUAGUGUUCUAAGUAACCGACACUAGUGGUAGUCGUCGGCGAUCUCUCUCAACAUGCAUUGAAUUUAACAAAAGCUACGUGUAUGCCACAUAAAUAAAUAAAUAAUUUUUAAAAUUUUUAAAAAUUAAUAAAAAUUAUAAAUUUUAUUUUUAAAAUAAAAAGCUACUAAAAGUAUUAAUAAUUAUAUAAAAAAUUAUAAAAAUAUUUUUUAAUUUUUAAAAAUUAAAUUGCUAACAUAACAUACACAUGAUGCCACGUCAGUAAAUUUAACAAAAGUUAAUUUUUCCAUUCAUUUUGGGAUAAUUUGACAAAUAAUGCAAGUUAAAUAAAUCAUUAUGUUUUUUUUUUUAAACCGAGGUAUUCCAACAUCAAUAAAAGUGAUUAAUCCCCCUGCAGCGGGUGUUCUCCGAAAAGAUGAAACGGUUAACCAUGAAAUGUGUUCUUUUUCCAUGAGUGGAGAUUAAACUCCUCAACCACAUGAUUAAGGGACGAGGUGUGUAAUCAACAUGCCACACCUCGUGGUUUGACUGCAAUAUGCUUUUAAUUAAGGAUCCCUUUAGAUCCCAUUUAGCUCCGAUGAGGUUAGAUUUCUCGUCUGUGAUUUGAUUCAGUUGAGGCAUUCUAUUGCACUAAAAUUGUGAUUUUUCACUAGAGCUGUUUUAAAGAAGGAGAAGGCAAAAGAAUGAGUGUUUUGAUUGGUCAAAAAUAAAUAUAACUUUAAUUAUUUAUUGUAUUAUAAAUACAUUAUAAAUUAAUAUCUAUAAUGAUUAUUUUUUAUUUUAAUCUCUUCUCACCACAACAUUUAUAUUUAAAUAAAUAUCUCACUAUUGAUUUUAAUCUCACCAAGAUAAACUCAUUGCCCCUCCAAAGGAUGCAUGCUGUGCGUUUGCUUUUCAAGAUAAAUAUCAUUCUUCAUAUCAAAGCCUAUGUAUUGUGCAAUUUGAUCUUGAAUUCUUUCAAAAUUAGGCUUUUGAGACACAGUCGUAAUCACAACUUUGUCAAACAAAUUCAGUUUUGUAGCUUGACUUCCUACUUCACGAGCCAGGGUGGUCUUGCCCACCCCUCCCAUCCCCCACAACCCAAUCAUGUUGAUAUUCUCAUCUUUUAAGGCUUCAAUGAUUUGAUUGAAAGCAACCUUCGAAGAUUCCGAAACCACAAAUUCCUUAGAACAUAGGAAGUCUAUAGUGGGAAGGGCAGUAGGAUCACGGUAACCGACUGGUCCAAGUCGACCAAAUUUUUCCAAAAGCUCAGACAUAUCCUGAGUUUUCUUCAUUGCUUUCUUACUUAAUUGAUAUCUCCAAAUCCAAUUAGGACACCAAUUGAGACACCUCUUAUUCAAUUGAAUUUCUCCUUCCAGAGUUCCCAUAUCCGAUACUGUUUCGCCUGCCUUUGAUUGCAGGUUCUGUACAUCCUUUUGAAUUAGUAGAAGCUGCCUUUCAGCAUCCUCAAUCUCAUGUUGUAGACGAUCUCGUGCACCUUCAAGAUCACACUUUUUCUCUCGGAGCUUUUCAACAUUGCCAUGAAAGCGACGGACAUAAUCAAGUUGACGUCCUACCGGCUUCACCACACAGUCCACAAUUAGUGUUCCAACGGAGUUCGAAACAGCAGCCUCACAAAAUCCGCAACCCAUGCUUGACAAGCUCAAACUGAAGAAGGAUUCAAAGUCUGAGAAUCAAUGGGCUCUUUUUCCAACUUAGUCCAGCUGAAAACAUAAUACAAAAUGCGAAUAUCAUUAGAAACUUAAUAAAAAAACAUGACUUGAAAACUAGAGAAAAACAAAUUUAUACAUUAGAAAUUUAAAUACAAGUAUCGUAUAGAAUUGGGUAGAAAAGUAUAAGGAAAGCAAGAGUUAGACGAGAAGUUUCUAUUUCAUUUUAUCAAUUCAUAUUAGUUGAUAAAAUUAUAAAUUGGAAGGAUAUAUUUCAUUACACAGAUAAAUAUAAUUCUAAAGAUUAAAAUUAAUUUAUUUAAAUUUAAAAAAAUUAAAACUAAAAACUAUCCAAUAGUAAUUGUCGAGUUUUUAUCUCUACUAAAUUUGGUUAAUGGAGUUGACAGUGACACUAUGACUCUCUGUCAUAUAUAUAGAUUAUAUAUAUGUAAUGUGUUUGACUAAGUUGGUGUCACGAGUCAGUUAGGCAUUAACUCGAUCGUAAAAUAAUUAAAAUAUCCUUACUCUAAAAAGUAAUUAAUAUUAUUUUAAUAUUAAUAUAAGGGUAUUUUCAAAUUUUUAUACUUUUAUUUAAUAUUCAAAUAAAACAACUCAAAAAUAGUAUUUAAGAAUCAAACACAAAACCAACAAAUUCUACGAAAAAUUCUUGCCACUUCCAUAGUAUAAUGUGUUGAAAUAUUUUUAUAAAUAUUUUUAAUAUAAAAUAUUUCCGUUUGUGAUAAAAUCUAACAGAUAUAGAUAAUAUAGAAUUGGUUUUUCUAUUUUAUUUAAUAAAAUGAACUUUAUAGCUUUUAUUUCAUUUUGUUUGUUUUAUUUUUGUCAAAUCAUUUAAGUUAACAAAAUUAUGGGCGAGAAAAACUAGAUUCAAUUUGAAAAAUUAAAAAAAAAUUUAAAUUAAUUGAAUCGAUUUGAAUUUUACCAUUCAAAUAAUAAAUUGGUAUAAAUACCUCUUUAAUCCCUAUCAAUUUUUAAAAUGAACAAAUUGAUUUCUUUCAACAAACAAAAAGAAUUAAAAUAAUUUUCAAAAAUUUAAAAUAUUUAUAAAAAUUCUAAUUUUUUUAAUAAUUUAAAAAAAAUUCUAAAAUAAUAAUUUUGGACCUAAAUAAGUUAAUAAUGAUUGAAGUUUAUUUAUUUUGCUUUAAAAAAUUUUAAAAUAUAAUUAGUUAUACGGUAACAAUAUUUUAAUUUGACAUGUUUAAUUUUUUAAUUUAACUCUAAUAAUUUUAUUCGAUUUGAAUUUUAUUCUACUUAAUUCAAUUCGAAGAAAUUUCAAAUCGAAUUAGAAUAAUAAAAUAGGAGUCCUCAACUCAAUUAAUUUAAAAUUUUUUGAUUUGAUCAAUAUUCAUCCCUAAAUAAAAUCAUAUACAUGUGUGUAAUGUGAUAUAAUUAUAAAUAAAAAAAGACAGAUAAUUAGUUAUAACAAUGAUGGAAACAUAUCCACUUACCACUUCAAUAAGAAGUUGUAACUCCAAGAAUUUGAUCGUCAAAAUAAAAAAUCCAAACACUCUUUUACCUCUGAUUUGCUUCAAGAAGAACAUAAAAAGAUGAGAUGAGAUAAGAUCAAAUAUAUAACAAAUAUAUAAACACAAAUAUAAAGAGAUUUACCUCACUUGGGAACUUCAAAAUCAAACUACACUUUGUGUUGAGAAGAUUCUUACUACUUCAGUACAAUCCAAAGGGAUUCGAAGGUUGGGUUUUUUUUUUUUUUUUUGAGCAAAAGAACUUGAAGAUAUUUUUUAUCUUUAAGGAAAGGGAAAUAAAAAAAAAACAAGAACAAAAUAGAAAUAGAAAUCCAGGUUGAGCUAAAAUAAGGAGAAACCUUCACAAAGAAAUUGAAGUUGAUCUGCCUGGAAAUUUCAACAAACUGGGUUUUCUUGAUUUAGUAGCCAAAUGAUUUGUGCUAUGAGAUUUUUGCAAUAUUGGGAUCUAAAUUAAUGACUGAUUGGUUUGCAAAAAAAACCAACAAGGCAUGUCAGUCGACUUAAAAAAAGGUGUGUCUUUGGGUUAUCUUUUUACUCGGCUUUCCACUUUUUCACUUUGCCCUAAGGCAGACUUAAUAAUUAGCACCAUCUGAAAAGAGUUAAUUCCAUCAAGCAUCCCUCAACUAUUACCUCCAUUUUGAAUUCGUCCCUAAACUUCAAAUUAUUCUAAUUACAUCCUCAUUUUAUCAAUACUAUAUCAAUCGGGUCCUUUUGUUAUUACAAUAGUUAAAUGAUACAUCAAAUCUUAUGCAGAUAAAUUUAAAAUGAAAAUUUUAAAGAAAUAGAAUCAUGCUGCGUAACUUUCAAAAUUAAAAACAAAGUAUAAUAAUAUAAGAGUAGUUGGAAUUGAUGUAGUAAGAAGGAAAUGACAUUCAAUUGAAUGCUUAUUCCAGAAUAUGUUGCUACCACUUUUGUACUGCUUUUAAUAAAGUUGAUAUUUAUUUCUAGACAAAGCAUAUAUUAUUCAUGUGCUGAAGGGUAAGACAUAUGCUGAAUAAAUUUCAGAUUAAUUACCUGAAUUCACAUAUGCUUCACUUUGUUCUUUUCUUACAUGAGCUCAAUAAAUUUGUCUUCUCUCACAAGAAAAAGAAAAAGUAGGUGGUAUGUUUUCCUAUUCAAAAAUAUGUUUAAAUAUGUUUCAACCAAUGUAUAUCCCUACCAAUGGGCCAUGUAGUUUCUUGGGCUGUAGCAGAUUCCUCCACUAUAAUUUCAUCAACUAAUUGGCAUGCCUGCAAAACGAAUUAAACCUUGAUUUAUUACUGUUUGCUUCUGAUGAUUGACGAUGAAGAAAGCAAAGAAACUUUCCCAAAACUGAAAAUAUUGUCAGCCAACAGAAAUCAAUUUUGUUUUAAAGCUUAUUAUUGAGUUUGGAAGAGUAGUGUACCUGUGUUUUGGCAUGCACUGAUUUAUCUGAAUCAAAACUAAAUCUUGUGGUUAUGUUGGGACAAUCUACUACUCGCAAAAUCAACAAUGAUUGGAAAACAAAAUGAUAACCCACAGGGCCGAAGCUUGCGAGGUUUGGUAGCCCAUCAAGCUGUAAGUCGGUUAAUCGAGGUAGGUGUAUCACUUUCUCUUCCUCCUCACUCACAUUUGGCUCAUCUCCUUCAAACACCUGUUCUAAUUUGGAAACCCUUCCAAGGAUUAUAAUUUCUAGUUUUUGAAGGCCGCCAUGAGCAAGAGUAAUUGGGAAGAGACAUUUCAAAUUUUCACAGUUCCUGAUUGUAAUCCAAAUCAGAUUAGGAAAGCAAACAGCUUGGAGAUGAUGUUGUGAUGAAGUUUGAUCCUUCUCGAUUAUUUGCUCCAAUUCCUCACAGUCAGAUAUAUCCAACCUCCACAAUUGUGGCAAAUUUCGAGCCAUGGUAAGUGGGAAGAUGUAUCUUAACCUUUUGCAAUCUUUGACAUCCAAUUCAGUGAGAUUUUGAUAGUUUCCAACUUGGAUGGGACCACUCCAUAUCACUCGCAAUUCAGUUAGUCUAGACAAGUUUAAGAUCUUCAGACUUGAAAGCUUAUAUCCAAAAUAUUCAAAUAACUCUUCAAAAUUGGAAAUUGUUAAAUAUUCGGUACAUGUUGAUGUUCCUCCUCUCCUUUCAGGGACUGCCACGUUGCUUAUUUGCUUCUUUUCUGUCAUCUCCGAGAAGGACAAUUCCUAUAAACAUAUCAUCAGUUUUUAUAGUCAAAGAAUUCAAAUUUUUAAAAAGUUUACUGUUCAACUCAAAUAAUCAUAAAUUACAAAAAAAAAAUCAACAAAAAUAUGGUGCAAAAACACAACAUAAAUAAUAUUACGUAGUACUAGAUAGUGUUUGCAAUAUAUAUAUAUUUCUCAUAUAGAUUAUAAAAGUAUUGUAAUUAACUAAACUACUUAUAGCUUUAUUUAGAUUAGUUUUUAGACCAAAAUUCUACAAUGAAAACUAUUUCUUAAAGAGUUUUACAAGCAUUUAUUUUAUACAAAAAAAAAUCAAAAGGUGAAAAUUUUAAUAAAUAAUAUAUAUAAGAAGAUCUUACUUGUAUAUUAGUUGGAACGAUAAAAGGUGUCAAUUGAGGACAAUCUCUCACAAAUAACAGGUGUAAAGAUGGCGAUGUCAGCACGAUGUUGUUUCUAUCUCUUCCUUUCAAAUGAGGUAAAUUAAUCAACUGAACUUUAUUCAACUGUGCAAGACCUUGAGACAUUGAGAUUAACACUUCUACUACUUGGAUUAUUUCUUGUAAUUGGGAACAACUCUCUAUCCUCGGAGUUUGCAAUUGCCCAAGACUAUUAGCAACACACAUUGGAAAGAGAAAUUUCAACUUAUUGCAUUUUGUGACUUGUACUUCCCUUAGGCAUUGGAAGCUUAUGGUUGAUACUUGUGAGUAUUGGAUUAUUUCUUCCAUUCUAAAGCACCUCUCUAUCUUCAGAGUUUGCAAUUGCCCAAGAUUAUUAGCAACACCCAUUGGGAAGAGAAAUUUCAACUUAUUGCAUUUUGUGACUUGUACUUCCCUUAGGCAUUGGAAGCUUAUGGUUGAUACUUGUGAGGCUUGGAUUAUUUCUUCCAUUCUAAAGCACCUCUCUAUCUUCAGAGUUUGCAAUUGCCCAAGACUAUUAGCAACACACAUUGGGAAGAGAAAUUUCAACUUAUUGCAUUUUGUGACCUGUACUUCCCUUAGGCAUUGGAAGCUUAUGGUUGAUACUUGUGAGUCUUGGAUUAUUUCUUCCAUUCCAAAGCACCUCUCUAUCCUCAAAGUUUGCAAAUUGGGCGCAUUUAGUGUUUUAGAGCUACCUUGAGCAACAAUAAUUGGAAAGAGAGAUUUCAAGCUUUCACAUUCCAAGAUAUCAAUUCGAAUCAGAUUUGGAAAGCAAAGAGGUAGGGGAUGAUGUUGUGAUGACGUUUGAUCUUGCUCCAAUUCCUCAUAUUUACAUGAAUGCAAAUUGCUCAAUUGUUCAUUUGUCAUCUUCCCAAACACCAAUUCCUAUAAACAUAUCAUCAAUUUUCAAUUUCAAAACGUUCAAAGUUGUCAACAACCAACUUAACAUUUCACCAAUUAAUUUCCUUACAAAAAAAUUAUUUUACCUUAAAUCAAGGUUAUACUCCAAAAAUGUGGUACAAAAACAGUCAUAAAUAAUAUCACAUAAUUUGUACAUAUAAAUUAUUGGACAGGUGUAACAACGCAAUUGGGAAUUACUUAAACUCAUUUUCAUAUAUUAAUACAAAAAUAAAAAAAAACCACCUGUGUAAAAGGCUAUAUUUAAAAAAAAUUAAAUAUAUUUUUUUCUACUUUAUUUUUUAAUACAAAUUCUAAAAUCAUCCAUAAUUCCUUCCCACAUUUAAAUAGAAAGAUACACGUGCCUAAAUGCCCUCGAACCCACAACCUCCUAUUCAUACAACAAUAUCGGUACCAACCAAACUAAAAUUUAUAUAUAAUUUUAUAUAGCUUAUUUUUGUUUACCCACAAAAUAGUAUAAUAUAAUUUAGUAUUAGAUAAAUAGUUUGCAACAUAUCUAAAACAUAAAGUUUGGAUAAUAUUUUUUUUUGAAAAUUUUAUUAAUCUUAUUAUAUGGUAUUAUAAUCAACUAAUUUGUUUAAAAGGUUAUUUAGAUUAGUUUUAGACCAAAAUCAUAAAAUAAAAUCUAUCUUUUAACAACUAUUCAAACAACGAAUUAUUAAAGAAAAAAAGAAACAAAUAAAUAAAUAAUAUAAAACAAAAAUAAAAAUCUUACUUGUAUCGUAGUCGAAAUAAAAAAUGUGUCAAUUGAGGACAAUUGUGCACUUUUAACUUCUGCAAAGACGAUUGUGUGGGCAAAAUGUCGUUCACAUCCCAUCCUUUCAAUUGAGGCAAAUCAAUCAACGAAACCUAAAAUGAAAAGCAUAAUCAAAUUUCCCAAUAUUUGACCAUAGGACAAUAAGGAAAAAAAUGUCAAGUUAUUGCAGUGAGAUACACAUACUUUCCUUGGACUUUGGAGUAGACAUUUGUGUUCCACUUGUCGGUCUUCGAUUAUAUCUUCCAAUUGCGAGCAACUCUUUAUCUUCAAAGUAUGCAAUUGCCCAAGGCUAUUAGCUACUGACCUUGGGAAGAUAUAUUUCAAAUUAUUGCAUCUCUCUAUUUCAACAAUCUUCAGACUUUGGAGGCUUAAAUGACGGAUGGGCCCUUCUUAUUCUAUGCUCCUCAAUUCAGCAAUCGGGAAUAACACUUGCAUCUCACCAUAAUCUGAAACUAUAACCUCUUCAAGCUUUUGUAAAAAACCUUGCGGCUGGGGAGCAUUGCACAUCUCUUCCAAAUCAAACAUAUCACUUAAUGAUAACUUUCUCAAAUUAGAGAGUGCAGUGAUUGGCACUUGCUGCUUUGAUGCAUCAAUUAAGCAUUGCAUAGACUGGCACUGUCGAAGAUCUAGAGAAGUUAACUUUCUAAAUCCCAAGUCUAAGCUCGGAAUAAGGUUUGAAAUUGAACAUUCAGGACUUGUUGGAAGGAGAUGAAAAGUGAGGAUCAGACAAGAUUUUUGUUUGGGAUUUCCCUUUUAUGAGGAUCAGACAACUAGCUAUCUUCCUUUUGAGUUGAUUGUUUCUGAUCUGUGGGGACCUGGAUCCGUUGCGUGUGAUAAUAAGUGGUAUUACAUUUCUUUUAUUGAUAUGGGUACGAGGUUUACUUGGAUUUAUCUUUUACGACAGAAGUCUCAGGCUAUAGAAUGUUUUGUUCAGUUUCAACAGCUAGUCAAGACACAGUUUGACAAGACUAUUAAACAAUUUCAGAGUGAUUGGGGUGGCGAAUAUCAUAGUUUUACGUCUCUCUUAGCAUCUCAAAGAAUUGUUCAUCGGCUGACUUUCCCUUAUACCUCUGAACAAAAUGGUGUAGCUGAGCGUAAACAUCGUCACAUUGUUGAAACGAGACUUACGCUGUUGGCUCAAGCAAGUAUGCCUAUGGAAUACUGGGGAUAUGCGUUUUGUUCUGCAGUGCAUCUUAUAAAUCGACUUCCUACUACUGUUCUCUAGGGACGUUCUCCAUUCAAAGCUUUGUAUGGCACUACUCCUACGUAUGAUCAUCUUUGUGUGUUUGGUUGUUGUUGUUACCCAUACUUACGACUGUUUUUAGAUCAUAAGUUGGAAUUUCAGUCCCAACCGUCUACAUUUUUGGGAUAUAGUUCUAGUUACAAAGGGUAUCGGUACUUGUUUUCAGAUGGUAAGGUUAUUGUGUCACGUCAUGUAACGUUUGAUGAACACAGGUGUUCUCUGAAACUUGUUCUGGAAGAUGAGUGCCGCAACUGAGUUUGACUAGUAUGACGGUGUGUCCUAUUGUAUGGCCUAUGUCUCAUCAUUCUUCUUCAUUAUCACCGGUACAACAAAGUUCUUCAUUAUCACCGGUUCAACAAAGUUCUUCACCAGAUGGUGGAGUGAUGCAGUUUCAAACUAUUGCACGUCAAUUUUCUUCGAAUGGUGUCGUCGGUUCUUCACCUACUUUGGAACUUCAUAAUAGAAAUGCUCAGAUCAGAUUGUUGCAAGUACGUCUGAUGGUCAAGAUAGUAGGUUACCUGUGGUUAAUGCUCAUCCGAUGGUUACGAGGGCUAAGGCAGGAGUUUUCAAACCAAGAGUGUUAAAUGUUGAAAAUGUAGAACCUUCUACCAUUGAAGAAGCACUGGCUAUUGUUGAAUGGAGCAAUGCUGCCCAAGAAGAAUACAAUGCCCUUAUUCAGAAUUCUACGUGGGAGCUAGUUCCUGCUCCGACAUAUCAUAAAGUUAUCGGCUGCAAAUGGUUGUUUAAGAUCAAAGAAAUCCUGAUGGUUCAAUCGCCCAACGAAAGGCUAGGUUAGUUGCUAAAGGUUGUUCUCAAGUUUCGGGGUGUGAUUUUAAGGAAACCUUUAGUCCUGUUGUGAAACCAGCUACAAUCAGAGUUAUUUUGUCCAUUUUUGUUUCCAGGGGUUGGUCGCUUCGACAAGUAGAUGUUAAUAAUGCUUUUCUCAAUGGGAAUCUUGAUACUGAGGUUUUCAUGCAUCAACCUCUUGGUUAUGUUCAGUAUGAUUCAGACGACAAACCUCUCGUGUGUCGCUUGAAGAAAGCAUUAUAUGGUCUUCAUCAGGCUCCUCGCGCGUGGUUUGACAAGCUCAAGAGCUUUCUUAUAUCUAAAGGGUUUAUUGCCUCAAAGUCUGAUGCAUCCUUAUUCGUUAGGAUCACAUCAGACUCCACAUUAUAUGUUAUGGUCUAUGUUGAUGAUAUUACUGUUACUGGGAGUCCAUCUCCUAUAAUUGAAUGGUUUGUUCGAUUACUGAAUGAUGAGUUCUUGCUUAAGGACAUGGGUGAUCUUCAUUACUUCCUUGGGCUAGAGGUUACUCGUUCUUUAUCUGGAUGUCUUCAUUUGUGUCAGAGGAAGUACAUCUAAGAUAUACUUAUUCAGUGUUCGCUUGAAAAUGCUAAGAGUGUUCACACACCAAUGAUCAGUUCUUCUGUCAUGUCUAAAGAUGAUGGUGAUCGUUUAGAGGAUCCAACUUUGUAUCGGAGUCUUACUGGUAUGUUGCAGUAUGUUACUCUCACGAGGCCUGAUGUGACAUAUGCUGUUAAUCGAAUAUGUCAGUUCAUGCAUAGUCCUACCACCGUUCAUAUGACUGCUUUAAAACGUAUUUUGCAUUAUUUAGCUGGCACAAUUGAUUUUGGAAUUAUUUUUCGACCGGCUGCUAAUCUAUCUUUAGUAGGAUAUGCAGACGCCAAUUGGAGGUUGGAUUUUGAUGAUCGAAGGUCGACCUCCGGCUUUUGUGUCUAUUUUGGACACACUCCUGUGUCUUGGUGCACGAAGAAACAACAAGUAGUGGCUCGAUCUACUGCUGAGGCAAAAUAUAAGAGUCUUGCCGCAGUAACAAGUGAAGUUACCUGGUUGUUGUCAUUACUUCGAGAGUUACAAGUUUGUUCUGUAGAUACACCUAGCAUUUGGUAUGAUAGCUCUGGAGCUGUUGCGGUUGCCACUAAUCCUGUAUUACAUUUGAAAUUCAAGCAUGUUGAAUUAGAUUUAUUUUUUGUUCGUGAGAAGGUUGCUGAGGGAUCAGUUGUGGUUGGAGAGGUGCCCGCGUGUGAUCAAGUCGCUGAUGUCCUCACUAAGCCACUAUAAGUUUCAAGUUUUACUUGUUUUUGGAGUUGUCUGCGGGUCUUGUCAGUGGAGAGGAUGGAUGCAUGUUAGAAGUAUUAAACAGUAGUCAAUAUUAGAAUAGUCAAGAGCUGUAGAUAAAUUGUUAGUUAGUGAGCGGGUAUUGUACUGUUGCUAGGACUCUAUAAAUACAGUAAUCUCUAUAAUAUUGUAAAAUGGAUCUGAAAAUAUAAAUAAAUUAGUUUUUUCUUUACCUAUUUCUUCAAAUGGAAAGCCACGUUAUAUUCAAUAGAUGGUUAUUGUGAAGGUAUUAUUUACUUCGAAACCAAGACUGUUCAAACAUGGAUGAAGAGUGAAGAGAUCAAUCUAUUUUUUGUUUUCCUUGAUGAAAAUUUAUGGGUUUUUUUUUUCAAAAAAUUUAUCUAGUAAAAAUAACUUUCCAUCCUCAAUUUGCAGCUAUGUCAUUAGCAACAAUUAUAUUAAUAUGUUAUUGAUUAUUCUUGUUCUUUGAAGGUGGAAUUAUAUGUUCCAAACCUUGAAAUUCCUGGCAUUGUACUUGAUUUAUGAUCGGCUAUCACUUCUGUAUUUUGCAAAGAAAACUGACGCGAAACAGAGUUUUAAAGCUUUUACGAGCUUUGGUUUCCAUUGCUGAAGCCGUCUCUGAUUGUCCUAAAACAAUAAGAGUUGUUUCUAAUGAUCUGAAUGGUUUUCUCCAAUCAGAAUUAGACCAAAUUCCUAAUAGUUUGAAACAAGUUUCGAAAAUCACCAGGUCCAAUGUGUUUCACUGUCCAUAGCAAUGUAAAGAACUGCAACUUGAAGGAGAUUUGAAGUCAAAUUCGACCCCGAGCUGGCUGAAUUGGGUGUGUGGUAACGAGUUUGGGGAGCUGAUUGGUGAUUGUAUUCAAGUGUCUCUAGUAAAAUUUUUAAAGAAGAAUCAAUUUGUUGAAUUCUGAAUCUAAGGGUUUUAACUUUGGAUUUGAACUAAAAAAUCUUAUUAAACUCCAUAAGUCUCACUGUUGUUAAUCUCAAUUAUAAAAGUGAGUACUUUUGGAUUGGGUUGUACUUAGCAGAGAACUUGUGUUCCUUAUACUUCAAUUCCUUGAUCAGGAGAAAUUUAAAGACACCGUUCAUAAUUAUCUCCGCACUCUUUGUUUUUGUUCUUUUCUUUUAUUCUAUCUUUUUAUAAUUUAAAUCUUUUAAUCUGUUCAUGCAUUUUUUUGUGUAUUUAUUGAUUAAUAUAUUUAAAUUUAAUAGAUUGGAGUAAGAGUCAGGUUCUAAAUAUCUCACCUCGAGGAGGACUACAAGCAGCUCAAUUUCAUUCUGGUAUUCAUUCUCCCACAAAGCAUCUUUAACUAUUCAAAUUUUCAUAUACAGAUUAAUUCUCAUUGUAGACCCUGUACAAGGCAUAGUUUUGUGUUGAGGUUAAAUUUAAACUAGGGUCAUGGUUGAUUAGAUUUAUGGGUGUCUGAGUUGAUUUAAUGUAACUAGUCAAGGCAUAGUUUUUGUGUUGAGGAGUUGGUAUUGAGAAAUGAUGAACACUAGUGCUGGUCUUCUUAGCAAAUUUGUUUAAGAUCUGAUCGCCUUCCUUAUUAAGUAUUGUUUUUCUUUGGCGAGGGUCGCUUGGCAUGGUCUUUGUAUAAUAUCGUACCUAUCUCAUUGUGAUAUUAUUAUUUUAGAUUAAAUGUAUUCAUUUAAAUAUAUAAGUAACACGUUUCUUUUUUUUAAGAUAUAAAUAAAAAAAAUAAAUAGUAAUAAACAAAUUAUAAAUAAAUAAAAGAAACUCGUAAACAAUAAUAGUGUUAAUUAUAUAAUUAAACAAUAGUUGAUUUUAAAUGAUUUACUAAACCAAUUUUGAACUAGCAUGAAGAUAAUUAGUUUGGAUAUGUUUCAUUUAUAUUAGGUUAAUUUAAUAAAUAAAAGCAUUUAUGACCAUAAAAGCAUUUAUAUUGGUUAAUUCACUAUUAAUAACCAUUUUACCAAAUUAACCUUAAUGAAAUAAAAGCACAAUUCACAUAUUUUAAGGUCAUUUAUGACCAGCACCACUAUCAUUGGUCCAAUAACAUAAUAAGGACCUCUCAUUCAACUUAUCAGCAAAUAAAUACUCUUAACUUAUAGCCUGCUACUUUUACAUUUUACGCGAUUAAGUCCUUUUUAUCAAAUUAAGUAUUUAAACGGUAAAAUUUCUUAAUGAAAUUUUUAUACUAUAAUUCCAUCAUGCUGUAAAACUUAUUAAAAUAAUAUAAUAAAUAUUUUUACUCGGUUAAGUGGUCCCGAAACCACUGUUCCGAUCAGACUCAAAAACGGGUUAUUACACUUAAUCUUUUGUAAUCUUUUUGUUGUUGUUGAACAUUUGAAAGCUAGUAUUUAUAGUCCCAAAUUGAUUUCCAACCAUUGUGGUUGUUGUGGAAUUGAAUAGAAUCAGUGGGUUGUAAAAACCAAUGCAUUAAUGUCACCUACAACAACAAGUAUUGAUACCUUUGGAGGGGUAUCGAUACUUUGGGCAUUUAAUGUCUCAAUUUAGUGAUCAUUAAAGCCUAUAGUAUCGAUACAAUAGGGUAUGUAUUGAUACUUGGACAAUUUAUUGUUUAAUUUUCAAAACAUUGAACCUUAAAACAGUAUCAUUACCAGGAGAAAGUAUCAAUAUAUUUGGUAAGGUAUCGAUACUUUGUAUUUGUCCUCAAUUUUUUUUAGAAACAGAAGCUCAAUUCGGUAUCGAUACUAUGAAAGAGUUUCGAUACUUUGGUAAAGGUAUCGAUACUCUUUUAUUCGUGCUCCUUUUUUUGAAUUUCGAAACUCAAUUCGGUAUCAAUACUAGAAAGGGGUAUCGAUACUUGAGGCUAAGGUAUCAAUACCUUAUUUAGGGUAUCAAUACUUUGAUCCCUGUGAGCAUUUUAAGUUGUUUAAAAAUAUUAGAAAAAUUGUUUGUUGUUUUGAAGAACUUCCAAAAUAUUUUUCAAGUACUUGAAAGAUUAGAUUUAAAAUUUCUCUCUCAAAAUAUUUUGAACCAAAUUUUUACUUUCAAAUUUAUCAAGUUUUAUUUCAAAAACAAGUUUUACUCAAAAACAUUAUAUUUUUUUAUAUCAAAACUCUUAUCAAAUUAAGGCUUGACUUAACAAAAUAUAAUCUUUAAACAUUACAUCUAAAUAUUAAAUAUUAAAAAUAAAUUUAUAAACAUGUAAUAUACAAUUUAUUGUUAUAAACUAAUAAACAAUUCAUUAAAAGUAAUGUUUUAAUUAACAUCUCUAUGAGGAAAAUGAUAAUUUAAUUCUUUUUAAAAGUUUAAUAACCAAAUUUAGAUUAAAAAACAAGAGUCAAAUUUAAUAAAAAUAUAUAAAAAUUGAGGGCUAAAAUUAUCAUUAUACUUUUAAUUAAUUCUUUUUCUUUCAGCUAUGCAAUUCUAUAAUUACAUUACAAAGCUAUUCCAUCCAAAGCAAAAAGAAGUAAAUUUGUGGUUGAGCCGGAAGAUAGCAUAAAUAGAAAACUUGAUGCCUGUGAAGCUAAAACUUUCUCUACGUAUAGAUAAGGAACUUCGUACACAUCACUUCUCUAGUUGUUGCGGUUGCCACUAUAUUAAUUUUUUCACUCCUCAAUUACAGCACUAAAUACAAUUAUAAGUAAACAACAUUAUUGAAAAGUGAACUAUUAGUUAAUGAAGUCCUUGAGUGUUGGGGAGAAGCAAAAAAAUAAAAAUUAAAACUAGGGGAUAAAUUUAAAUUGUAAUUUUUACAAUAAUAAAAAUGCAAUUCCGCAAUUUUAAUACUUUAAUUUAUAAGGAUUAAAUCAAUUUUUUAUCAUUUUUAAGAGGGACCAAAAUGUAAUUUUACCUUUACUAUUUAAAAUAUAAAAAAAAUUAAAGAGCUUCAAUAAAAAAAAAUCAUUUUUGGGGUCGGACCUACAAGCCCCUAAUUAUGCUACUACUUGGGUGGAUGCAAUACAAAAAGUUUUUGAUAUUUGAAACUCCAAAAAAAAAAAAUUGACUAUAAAUAUCAUGCAGAGGAUUAAAUGAAUGUCUUUGUUACAUGGUAUGGUUGUAAAUGUAGUAUCGUUCACUUUUUUUCAAUAUUCUUAGAUAUUUUGAAGGGUGUUAGAGAGUUUUAUUUCUACAUUUAUAUUUGGAUAUUCUUCGUAAAUUAUGGGUGUAAUACUUGAAUUUGUAAGUUAUUCAAGUUUGAAAAAAGUUCGAUUUGAUAAUUAUCAAUCGAGCACAAAUUCAAACAAUUCGAAUUAUGAAUUAAGUUAAAAGUCAAACAUUUUAAUAUUUGAUUAAAGUAUCUUGCGAGCAAUCGACCUUCUUAUAUAUUCUUUAAUUAAUUUUCAUACUGUGAAAUGUAUAGAUUUAUUGUAUGUAUUUAUAUAAAAAAAAUGUUAAUAUAAAAUUUGUAUUUAAAUAUCAUGGAAAAAAAAAUUAAACUGCACGUAACUUCUAUACAAUAAAUUAAGUGCUAAAUUAGAGAUAUGAUUGAAUGACUGAAAACAUGAAUAUAACUUACAUUUGAUUUGUGCCAGUAGAGUAACGUGUUAGAAACAUAAAAAUUUUGGCACGUUACUAAGGUUACUAUAGUAAAUACGAAAAAUAAUCUUAAAAAAUUUAUAAUCUUAGUGGCUCAUAUAAAUUUUUUAAGAAUAUCAAAUUAUAGAUUGAUUUUGAUCUUGACUGCUGAUAUAAAUUAAAUUGUACUAUUGAAUCUGAAGGAGUUCAACUAUAAAUAGAGACCUUCUCAUUUGUAAUCAUCCCAUUGUAACUCAUUCUUGAUUAAGAUCAUACUUUUACGAGUAUUUACUCGAACACUUGGUAUGCUAUUGCUUUUUUGUAGCUUUUUUUGUUCUCUCGUUGCUUCUUUAUUUUUUCGGUGCCCACUUUCGAGAGUAAGAUUGACUUUAGGCGAAUUUGAAGCGAAAGAAUCACCUAAUACCAUGCGAUUUGCAAGACUAUAAAGUUUUAGGCGUGUGACAAUAUUUUGUGGUUGUAAUUUGCUCCAAUAUUACAUUUGCUUUACUAGUUUAAAGUGUAAAGAUUAAGGACACAGAUUUGAUUUACUUCUAUGAUUGUCAUCGUUUAUUUCAGGGAAAUGUAGGCUUAAUGGAAAGCCACUUUAUAUUCAAUAGAGAUGGUUAUUGUUAAGGUAUUAUUUACUUCGAAACCAAGACUGUUCAAACAUGGAUGAAGAGUGAAGAGAUCAAUCUAUUUUUUUUUUUCCUUGAUGAAAAUCUAUGGUUUUUUCUUUUCAAAAAAUUUAUCUAGUAAAAAGAACUUUCCAUCCUCAAUUUGCAGCUAUGUCAUUAGCAACAAUUAUAUUAAUAUGUUAUUGCUUAUACUUGUUCUUUGAAGGUGGAAUUAUGUGUUCCAAACCUUGAAAUUCCUGGCGUUGUACUUGAUUUAUGAUCGGCUAUCACUUCUGUAUUUUGCAAAGAAAACUGAAGCGAAACAGAGUUUUAAAGCUUUUACGAGCUUUUGGUUUCCAUUACUGAAGCCGUCUCUGAUUGUCCUAAAACAAUUAAGAGUUGUUUCUAAUGAUUUGAAUGGUUUUCUCCAAUCGGGUUUUAACUUUGGAUUUGAACUAAAAAAUCUUAUUAAACUCCAUAAGUCUCACUGCUUUUAAUCUCAAUUAUAAAAGUGAGUACUUUUGGAUUGGGUUGUACUUAGCACUGUUCAUAAUUAUCUCCGCACUCUUUAUUUUUGUUCUUUUCUUUUAUUCUAUCUUUUUAUAAUUUAAAUCAUUUAAUCUGUUCAUGCAUUUUUUUGUGUAUUUAUUGAUUAAUAUAUUUAAAUUUAAUAGAUUGGAGUAAGAGUCAGGUUCUAAAUAUCUCACCUGGAGGAGGACUACAAGCAGCUCAAUUUCAUUCUGGUAUUCAUUCUCCCACAAAGCAUCUUUAACUAUUCAAAUUUUCAUAUACAGAUUAAUUCUCAUUGUAGACCCUGUACAAGGCAUAGUUUUGUGUUGAGGUUAAAUUUAAACUAGGGUCAUGGUUGAUUAGAUUUAUGGGUGUCUGAGUUGAUUUAAUGUAACUAGUCAAGGCAUAGUUUUUGUGUUGAGGAGUUGGUAUUGGGAAAUGAUAAACACUAGUGCUGGUCUUCUUAGGAAAUUUGUUUAAAAUCUGAUCGCCUUCCUUAUUAAGUCUUGUUUUUCUUUGGCGAGGGUCGCUUGGCAUGGUCUUUGUAUAAUAUCGUACCUAUCUCAAUGUGAUAUUACUAUUUUAGGUUAAAUGUAUUCAUUUAAUUAUAUAAGUAACACGUUUCUUAUUUUUUUAAGAUAUAAAUAAAAAACAUAAAUAGUUAUAAAUAAAUAAAAGAAACACAUAAACAAUAAUAGUAUUAAUUAUAUAAUUAAACAAUAGUUGAUUUUAAAUGAUUUACUAAACCAAUUUUAAACUAGCAUGAAGAUAAUUAGUUUGGAUAUGUUUCAUUUAUAUUAGGUUAAUUUAAUAAAUAAAUUUUAAAUUUUUAUUAACGUUGAUUUAUUUAAUUUAAAGAACGAAUAUAAAUAAACAAAGAUCCAACUCAUAAACUAUUUAUUUACGGCCUUAAACUUGACUUAUAUCCAUUUAGAACACUUAAGUAACGGUAAUUUAUUGUCAACUUUAGACUUCAAGAACUACGAAAUGAAUAACAGUUGGAUGGAUUUGUCAACGAAUAUCAAAAUGGAGUAUAAAUUUUUCUAAAUUAGCUUGCAUUUAAAUUUUUAUAUUUAAAUAAUUUAUUUAAAGUGAUUGAUCUACUAGUUAACUCACGCAUUACCUUAUAUUUAUACUUUCUCAGAGAAAAUUUUAAUUUUUGUAAUUAAUAAAUUUAAUUUACAAUUAAUUUUUACAUUAACUAACUAAACUUUUAUAAAGAAAAUUAGAAACCCCAUCGGUUAAAACUAGUUAUUUUUCCUUUUAAAAAAUCUAGUUAUUUUUUUUUAAAAAAAGUAAUAUUUUAUUAUUUUAUAUAUUUAAUAUAUUUAAUAUAAAAUUAUAUAAAUAUUUUAUUUUAUUUUUCGUUAUUCUCUACAUCUAUUUUAUGUUCAUGUUCGGGUUUAUUAAACUAAUAUUAAAAUUAUGCAUUUUAAUAUUUAUAUUAAUAUAUUAAUUUAAUAUAAAAACAUAUAUUUUAAUUUUUUUUAUUUAUAUACAUUAAUUUAUAAAUAUUUUUAUUGUUUUAUUGUUUUUAAAAAAUUAAUAAUAUUAAUAUAUUAUUUUAAAAAUAAUAAUUUUAUUUUAUUUUUUAAUAUUUUAUAAAAAUUAAAUGUUAUAAUAUUUUUAUUUUGUUAUUUUAUUAUAUUUUAAUGUAAAUAUUUUGUAAAUACUAAUAUUUUAUAUUUUAUUUUAAACUAUAUAAAAAAAGGAUAUUAAGGGUAAGAUGAUUUAAUAAGACUUAUGUUUUAACUCAUAGAAAAUACAUGGUAAGAAGAUUAACUGUUUGACACAAGUGUAAACCGUGUUCCCCUAUCUCGUACCCCUAAUAUAGUAUCGAAAAACACAUGGUGAGAAGAGUGAUAUAUAUCCAAUUUUCAACAACCAAACAAUUUGAUGUAGUAGCAUCUAUCUUUUAUCCAUCAUUUGAGAGUUGAGUGUUAUUUAACCUAAAACUCCUUUUUUACAUCAAGCCUACCAAAUGUGACCAGACUAUCAAUUUGACUAUAAUUCUAUAUAAAACGAUAAAAAUUGAGUUUUUUUAAAUUAGAAAAUCUUAAAAAUAUAUAAAUUUGAAAAUUAAAUAAAAAUAGAUAAAAUUUUAAAAAAUAUAUAUAGAUAAGUGAGAGAAAAUUAAGGAAAAUUAUUUUUCAUUAUAAGAAAAUAAUGAGAGAAAAAAAGAUUGUAUUUGGAAGAUUGGCAAUUUAUUGAUUUGUAUCUUUGGGUUGAGUUGAUAUUGUAGGAUGAAUCAAGCUCGUUAAUAAAGAUCAUAUCACUUGGAGAAACUUAUUUAGAAGAGUGGAUAGGAUUGGAUUGGCUUAUAUCAAAUCCUAUGGAUAAAGGAAGUUGGAUCGGAUUGAAAAAGUGAAGAGUUAGCUGUCAACCGUCAAUGUUUAUUGUGGUUGUUAAUAAUAUUAUAUUGUAUUUAGCUAUUUUAGUUGUUGUUUAGUAAGGAUUGUGAUAGAUCUUCAUUAUGUUAGCAAGUCUCGAAAUCUCUAUAUGUAAUUAAGAGACUUGUAUACGUUGAUGCACAAAUUAUUAAGAUCAUUUAUAUGUUCAAGUGAGGAACAUUGUUUUGCAAGAGUGCAUUUGUGAUUGUAAAACUUUGUAUUGUGGUUUUGCAAACUAAGUUCUCUGAGGGCGAAUUUAGUGGCGAGUGAUCUAGUCUUUGAAAGUAUAAGAGUGAGGAAUCAUCAUUGGGGUGUGAUACAUUUAGGUUCACUGGUUGUAAUUGUUUAAAUAUAGUGAUUCUACUGAGCAAGGCUUCACAAGUGUAUGGAAACUAAACUGCAUAAAUAAACUUUAAUGUUUCCUAUUUUGUUUUUGCUUAUCACAGUGCUUGCAGAAGUACACACUUUUGUAGUCACUACUACUCAUACUUUGCUUGUUACCUAGCAACAGUUUUAGAUCAACAACAAAUCGUUUAAAUGAAUUAAAUUUUAUUAAUGGAGUUUGAAAAAGAAUAUUUUCUGGUAUAUUUUGUAUUUUUUUUUACUAAAAGAAUGGGAUCAAAGUCAAUUUCACAAGUCUUAGUGAGAUUAGUUUGAAAGAAGUUCUUCAACAGCAUGGAACUUGAUUUGAAGGCAUUACUAAUUUUGUCCUACUUUGUUUUAAAUUUGUUAUUGGAUUCUAUUAAAUAAUCUUUUUCUUUUUUAUGUCUCAAUAUUGAACAAUCUUAAGCUUUACUGCAAUAUAAUAUUAAGUUUUCUUGUAUGUUUCUAAUCACAUUUAAGCUUUGUGCAGAAUGAAUGUUUAUUAAGAUAUUGAAAUUGAUCUAUUUUUAAAAUCCAUUUUCAUGAUUUAAGGCAAUGUUGAAUAUUUUGUUGUUGCAGAAAUCAAAAUUUUUAUAUAGAAUUUUCUAUUUUUUUAAAUAAUAUUGAGUUUUUAAAAUUAAUUUUAUAUAGAAUUAGGGUUAAAUGGAGAGAAAGUAUAAAAGCUAAGGGUUAAAAUUCUCAUUAUCUAACUAAAAAAGUGUGGUUGUUAGCUAUUUAAUAGUUGGGUAAAAAAAUAAUUUCGAAAAUGUUAGUGGCCAAAUUGUAGCUCUUUCAAUUAAGUGACACAUAAUUGAGGGAUUAAUAGUGUAAUUCCAUUAUCUUUUUUAAACAUAUGGAUUAAUUCACAUUUAUUUGGAAUCUGUUAUUAAUUCACUUAUGUAUUUAACUAGUGGUGGAGCUAGAAAUUCCUCUUUGGUCCACCAUUCUAUAUCACUACCAAUUGGCCAUGCAGUUUCUUGAGCUGUAGCAGAUUCUUCCACUAUAAUUUCAUCAACUGAUUGGCUUGCCUGCAAAGCAAAUUAAACCUUCACUUAUUACUGUUUGCUUGUGAUGAUUGAUGAUGAGGAAAGCAAAGCCAAUUUUCCAAAAUUGGACAAAGGAUGACAUAUUAAGAACAAGAACUGUGAAUUGAAAAUAAUAAUGCAACAAUGAUAUCUAGAAAGAAAUAUUGACAGCCAACAGAAACCGAUUACAGUUGAUGCAAUUUCAUUUAGUCAUUUAAAGCAUAAAAACAAAAACAAAAAAGAAUUUCUCAGGCAGCCAUAAUAAAAAUAUUGCAUUAAUGCAUAGAAAUUAAAGCUUAGUAAAUAUAAAGUUUGGGAGAAUAGUGUACCUGUGUUUUGGCAUGCACUGAUUGCUUUGAAUCAACACUAAAUCUUGUGGUUACGUUGGGACAACCUUUUACUUUUAAAUACCUCAAAGAUUGGAAAACAAAAUGAUAGCCCACAGGGCUGAAGCUCACGAGGUUUGGUAGCUCAACAAGCUCUGAGGAGCAGAGCUGAGGUAGGCGUAUCACUUUCUCUUCUUCCUUAUUCAGAUUUGACUCAUCUCCUUCAAACACCUGCUCUAAUUUGGAGACCCAUUUAAGGCAUAAUCUCAAUAGGUUUGGAAGGCCGUCAUGAGCAAGAGUAAAGGGGAAGAGACAUUUCAAGUUUUCACAGUUAAUGAUUGUAAUCGAACUCAAAUGAGGGAAGCAAAUUGGUUGGAGAUGAUGUUGUGAUGAAGUUUGAUCCUUCUCAAUUAUUUGCUCCAAUUCCUCACAGUUAGAUAUAACCAAAGUCCACAAUUGUGGCAAAUUUCGAGCGAUGGUAGGUGAGAAGAUGUAUCUUAACCUUCUGCACUUGAAGACUGCCAAUUCAGUGAGAUUUUGGAAGUGUUCAACUUGGAUGGGACCAGUCCAUAUCACCCGCAAUUCAGUUAGUUCGGACAACUUUAGGGUCUUUAGACUUGAAAGAUUAUAUCCAGAAUAUUCAAAUAACUCUUCAAAAUUUGAAAUUGUUAAAUAUUUCGUACAUGUUGAUGUUCCUUCUCUCCUUUCAGGGUCUGUCACGUUGCUUAUUUGCUUCUUUUCUGUCAUCUUCGACAAAUCCAAUACCUAUAAACAUAUCAUCAAUUUAAGAAUAAGCACAAGAUUUCUUUUUCAAUCUUUCAUAGUCGAAGAAUUCAAAUUUUUAAAAAGUUUGCUGUUCAACUCAAAUAAUCAUAAAUUACAAAAAAAAAACUCCAAAAGCACAACAUAAAUAAUAUUACGUAGAACUAGAUAGCGUUUGCAAUUAACUAAACUACUUAAAUAAUAUAUAAUUCUACAAUGUUAUUUAUGUUACUAAUUGGUAUUGUAAUUAACUAAACUACUUAAAGGUUUAUUUAGAGUAGUUUUUAGACCAAAAUUCUACAAUGCAAACUAUUUUUUAAAGAGUUAUACAAGCAUUUAUUUAUUUUAUACAAGAAAAUCAACAGGUGAAAAUUUUAAUAAAUAAUAUAUAUAUAAGGUGGUCUUACUUGUAUAUUAGUUGGAACGAUAAAAGGUGUCAAUUGAGGACAAUCUCUCACUCUUAACACGUGUAAAGAUGGCGAUGUCAGCACGAUGUCGUUUCUACCCCUUCCUUUCAAUUGAGGCAAAUUAAUUAACUCAACUUCAUUCAAUCGUUCAAGACCUUGAGACAUUGAGAUUAACACGUCUGGUCUUUGGAUUAUUUCUUGCAAUUGGAAACAGCUCUCCAUCCUCAGAGUUUGCAAUUGCCCAAGACUAUUAGCAACACACAUUGGGAAGAGAAAUUUCAACUUAUUGCAUUCUGUGACUUGUACUUCCCUUAGGCAUUGGAAGCUUAUGGUUGGUACUUGUGAGUCUUGGAUUAUUUCUUCCAUUCCAAAGCAUCUCCUUAUCCACAGAGUUUGCAAAUUGGGCGCAUUUAGUUUUUUAGAGCUACCUUGAGCAACAAUAAUUGGAAAGAGAGAUUUCAAGCUUUCACAUUCCAAGAUAUCAAGUAGAAUCAGAUUUGGAAAGCAAACAGGUAGGGGAUGAUGUUGUGAUGACGUUUGAUAUUGCUCCAAUUCCUCGUAUUUACAUGACUGCAAAUUGCUCAAUUGUUCAUUUGUCAUCUUCCCAAUCACCAAUUCCUAUAAACAUAUCAUCAAUUCUCAAUUUCAAAAUGUUCAAAGAUGUCAACAACUAACUUAACAUUUCAUCAAUUAAUUUCCUUACAAAAAAAUUAUUUUACCUUAAAUCAAUAUUAUACUCCAAAAAUGUGGUACAAAAACAGUCAUAAAUAAUAUCACAUAAUCAAUAUCAAACAACAAUAUAAUUUUAUACAGCUUUUUGUUUACCCAUAUAAUAGGUAUAAUAUAAUUUAGCAUUAGGUACUAAAACAUAAAGUUUGGAUAAAUUUUUUUUUUUGAAAAUUUUAUUAAUCUUAUUAUAUGGUAUUAUAAUCAACUAAUUUGUUUAAAAGGUUAUUUAGAUUAGUUUUAGACCAAAAUCAUACAAUAAAAUCUAUCUUUUAAACAACUAUUCAAACAACGAAUUAUUAAAUAAAAACCAGAAACAAACAAAUAAAUAAUAUAAAACAAAAAGAAAAAUCUUACUUGAAUCGUAGUCGAAAUAAUAAAAUGUGUCAAUUGAGGACAAUUGUAUACUUUUAACUUCUGCAAAGACGAUUGUGUGAGCAAAAUGCCGUUCACAUCCGUUUUUUUCAAUUGAGGCAAGUCAAUCAACGAAACCUGAAAUGAAAAGCAUAAUCAAAUUUCCCAAUCUUUGACCAUAGGACAAUAAGGAAAAGAAAUAUCAAGUUAUUGCAGUGAGAUACACAUACUUCCCUUAGACUUUGGAGUAGACACUUGUAUGCCAUUUGUCGGUCUUGGAUUAUAUCUUCCAGUUGCGAGCAACUCUUUAUCUUCAAAGUAUGCAAUUGGCCAAGGCUAUUAGCAACUGAAAUUGGGAAGAUAUAUUUCAAAUUAUUGCAUCCCUCUAUUUCAACAAUCUUCAGACUUUGGAGGCUUAAAUGACGACUGGGCCCUUCUUGUUCUAUGCUCCUCAAUUCAGCAAUUGGGAAUAACAGUUGCAUCUCACCACAAUCUGAAACUACAACCUCUUCAAGCUUUUGUAAAAAACCUUGCGGCUGGGGAGCAUUGCACAUCCC